rnacentral:lncRNA from 1 species
AGGAUGGCCAGAGAUGACGAUAACAACACAUUUCACUGCACCGCAAACAUUAGUGAUGGUGGUUGGGCCAGGGUCAGGGAUUGUCAAAUUGAAGCUGUAACCAUAUGUCUUGGCAUAUGGAUGUUCUCCAACUACAACAAUGGCAUACGAGAAAUUAUUUUACUUUACAAAUUCAGCGUCAGGAUUCUCCUUGUACACAAGUUGGGUUUUUGGAUCCACUGUGUUUUUAAUGGCAGUGAGAAUAGUGGUACCUGUCUAGGAAAAAUAAGUUUCAUAUAAGAUUUUUAGUAGUUCGCAUGCCUUGUAAGGAAACAUGUCCGCGAUUCUUUGUCUUUUAAAAUAGGUUUUGUUAGAGCAAGUUGAAGCAUUAGGACUCAUUUGGGAGUGAUUAUGGAUAUGCCAGAAUCACUUACGUGAGAGGUGCUUCUCCAUCACUUUAAGUGAUUUUAAGUUAUUAUUGUUUGGGACCACUCAACAAUGUCACCUCAUGAUCAAGGCAAAUUUGUCCUUAACCAAUGAAAAUAUUCACAAUAAUCAUCAAAUGAUUAACCGAUUUCCAAUUGCCUAAUUUUUUGAGGGCAGUCCUUGCAUGUUGACCUAAAAACUAAACAGUCCUGGUCAUGAGAUGACAUUGUCUAGUGAGUUCAAACAAGUGGUUAGCGCCGUAUUAAUUGAACUUAAUUAUUUUUUAAAUAAUGAUGAGCAACUUUUGAAACAUCAGAGAGAUAAGGCUCUCAAAUUUACCUUGUGUGAGAUUGUUGCCACUUAAUCCCUGCCACUCCAUAGUCCACCCUCCACACUGAUAGCCAAGAUUAUGCGCAUGGCUGCCAGCUACAAGUAUUUUUGAGGCCUUCUUGGGAAGGGGUGGCAAUGGCUUGUCAGCAGAUUCACCAUUCUUAAGCAGCACCAGUGAUUUCCUCACAGCUUCCCUAGCCAAUUCUCUAUGUUCCUGUGAAAUUAUCAGUAACAGAAAAGAUAAGAUUAACCAGUUUCCAGCAUGAAUUAAUAUUGCUUGCAAAAUUGUGUCAAGUUUAUCAAGAGCUACCUGACUGCCAAGCUGAUUGACCAGGCUGAGAUCAGCCAACGGUUCCUCAAAUAGUCCCAUGACAAACUUAACUCGCAAAAUUCUCUUUACUGCAUCAUCAAUGAUUUUAUUUUUUACCAGGAAGGUUAAACCGCCGAUGAAUUCUGUAUAGUUGUAUGGAAGCAUGACCUGUAACAUGCAGAGAAUUAGGUGUUCUUCAAUUCAAUUCAAGAAAGAAGAAAGGAAAAAAAAAAAACAGGUCAACAAACAGAGAUGUUGAUUAUUACCAUGUCAAUGCCAGCAUUGAUUCCUACCUGAAUUGAAUAAGAGUAGUUGGCAUGAGGUGGAGAGGUGAUUCUGUCAAUACCCUCCCAGUCUGAGAUGACAAAACCCUGAAACAAUCCACAAAGUUUUAGUGAAAUGGAUAAAAGGCUGAAACCGAAACUCAGAAACGCGUAUUUACCCCAAAACGGAGAGUGUUCUUAAGGAAGCCGGUGACAAGAUCACGGUUAGCAUGCAUCUUUACUCCAUUCCAGCUUGAGUAAGAUACCAUAAUGGUUGCCACACCUUUGAUAAUUGAGUCAUAGUAGGGUGGCAUGUGAAUGCUGAGCAACCCAUGUUUGUUUAUCAGUGUGUUGUUCUCAUUGAUGCCCUUGUUUGUUCCACCAUCUGCCACAUAAUGCUUUGCACAAGCUGCAACCUUUUUACUGCCAUAACAUACCACCAACAGAAAAUCAUGGAACAUUAAGUAUUAACAAUGAAACAAGUUUGUUGUUUCGAAUCUCAAACUGAUUAACUUGUCAGUAAGAUAAAUGUGUUACGAGAACCGAAAUCGUAAACAUAUGUUGAUUCUUUUCUGUGAUAUGAAUUCUAAUUACUAAAAUUAACAAAGUCCCUUUUAGGCACAAAUCAGAGUGCAACAACACUAAAUUAUCUAGUACCCCAAAGUUUGGUUGGGCUCACUACUACAUUUUAUAUUUUGCGCGACGAAGAGAAUUUCGUCGCCCAAAAUACAUUGUAGUCGCACAAAUUUCAGCGCGACAGAAACGUCGUCGCGCAAAGAUCGUGAAGGACUUUGCGAGACAAAAAAAUAUUGGUCGCGCAAGUUUUGCGCGACGAAAAACAUUGGUCGCGCAAAGUUUUGCACGACGAAACACAUUGGUCGCGCAAAGUUUUGCGCAACGAAACACAUUGGUCGCGCAAAGUUUUGCGCGACAAAAAACAUUGGUCAAGCAAAGUCUUUAAAAAAAUUUAAAAAAUAAAAAAUUCCCGCAUCCCAUUUUUGGUGCCUGCCCAAAUUUUUAGAGUUUUGCGUGACGAAAUAUUUUUUGUGAUAAAUAAAUAAAUAUAUAUAUAUAUAUAUAUACGCACACACACCAUUCAACGAUCCAAUCAUCAGACUUGUUUGUAUAUACUUCAAGAUUGUAUACCCCAAAAAUCGAAAAAAAAUAAACAUUUAGAGAUCAAGUAACGGGACAAAACUUUUUGACGGUUAUAAAUGAAAAAUCAUGAUUUAACGGUUAUUUUAACUCCGAUUUUGAUGAUUUUUUUAUAGCUACACUCCUUGACUGUAUAUGAAUACAAUGACUAAAUUUGAUCUUCAAUUUAAAAUAUUUACACUAGCGGAUACCACAAAAUCUUAUGUUAUAUUUAACGAAAGUAUAAAUAAACUCUUAACUGUUAGUGAAUAUAUUGUUUUGAUGGCAUACGCAUUCCACGAAACUAGUUUCAACGAUCCAACCGUCAAACUUGUUUGUUUAUACUUCCAGAUCAUAUACACUAAAAAUCGAAAAAAAUAAACAUUUAGAGAUCAAGUAACGGGACAAAACUUUUCGACGUUUGUAAAUGAAAAAUCAUGAUUUAACGGUUAUUUUAACUCCGAUUUUGAUGAUUUUUUACAGCUACAUUCCUUGACCCUAUAUGAAUACAAUGACUGAAUUUGAUUUUCAAUUUAAAAUAUUUAUACUAGUGGAUACCACAAAAAUCUUAUGUUAUAUUUAACGAAAGUAUAAAUAAACUCUUAAUUGUUAGUGAAUAUAUUGUUUUGAUGGCAUACGCAUUCUACGAAACUAGUUUCAACGAUCCAACGGUUGAACUUGUUUGUUUAUACUUCAAGAUCAUAUAUGCCAAAAAUCGAAAAAAAUAAACAUUUAGAGAUCAAGUAACGGGACAAAACUUUUCGACGGUUAUAAAUGAAAAUUCAUGAUUUAAUGGUUAUUUUAACUCCGAUUUUGAUGAUGUUUUACAGCUACACUCCUUGACCCUAUAUGAAUACAACGACUGAAUUUGAUUUUCAAUUUAAAAUAUUUACACUAGUGGAUACCACAAAAUCUUAUGUUAUAUUUAAUGAAAGUAUAAAUAAACUCUUAAUUGUUAGUGAAUAUAUUGUUUUGAUGGCAUAUGCAUCCAACAAAACUAGUUUCAAAGAUCCAACCGUCAAACUUGUUUGUUUAUACUUCGAGAUCAUAUAUUCCAAAAAUUGGAAAAAAUAAACAUUCAGAGAUCAAGUAAUGGGACAAAACUUUUCGACGGUUAUAAUGAAAAAUCACGAUUUAACAGUUAUUUUAACUCCGAUUUUGAUGAUUUUUUACAGCUACACUCCUUGACCCUAUAUAAAUACAAUGAAUUAAUUUGAUCGUCAAUUUAAAAUAUAUAUAUACCGUUUAAUUUCUUAAGUGUUAUGCAUACAAAAUAAAAAACAAAAAUAAAUUGAUUUAGACGACGAAAUGUUUGGAUUACAUAAUGCAAAGAUUAUAAAAAAUAAUUUUUUUAUUUUAUAAGGACUUUGCGCGACGAAUUAUUUUUCGUCGCGCAAAAUUUGGAGAGUGUUCUUAAGGAAGCCAGUGACGAGAUCACGGUUAGCAUGCAUCUUUACUCCAUUCCAGCUUGAGUAUGAUACCAUAAUGGUUGCCACACCUUUGAUAAUUGAGUCAUAGUAGGGUGGCAUGUGAAUGCUGAACAACCCAUGUUUGUUUAUCAGUGUGUUGUUCUCAUUGAUGCCCUUGUUUGUUCCACCAUCUGCCACAUAAUGCUUUGCACAAGCUGCAACCUUUUUACUGCCAUAACAUACCACCAACAGAAAAUCAUGGAACAUUAAGUAUUAACUAUGAAACAAGUUUGUUGUUUCGAAUCUCAAACUGAUUAACUUCUCAGUAAGAUCAAUGUGUUACGAGAACCGAAACCGUAAACAUAUGUUGAUUCUUUUCUGUGAUAUGAAUUCUAAUUACUAAAAUUAACAAAGUCCCUUUUAGGCACAAAUCAGAGUGCCACAACACUAAAGUUAUCUAAUACCCCAAAGUUUGGUCAGGCUAGAGCUUGUCUAUUUUUUCAUACAGUGCCUACUGAUGUUUCAUGCAUUUUCUUUUUUAAUUUCAGGAAAAUAGAGAGUUGGAACUUGAAAGUACCAAUAGUUUUCAAGGAUUUCUGGAAAAUGCUCUAUGAGCAUAGCAAUGUGUGAUCUCAUUUUUGUAUGUCAUCUUCUGUUUAUUUUUCAAUUGAUUAUUCACAUUUUGUUGCAUAUGUUCUUUUUUAUAAGUUUUUAUAGGGGAUGAUGUUCAUUCUAACAGUUUGUUUCAAACAAAUGUUAGGAUAACAUAUUUUCUAUUACAAUUUUGCAGAUUUAUGAAAUUUUGCAGAUUUUUUACAGGAUCAACAUUGAUACCAAAUCAUACCCGUCCCAAACGGGACCAGUAUGAUUUGAACGUGUUUUCAAAAACUCUUAUCCCUUAUCAUCCUAUCCCGAUUCCCUUAUCCGGAAUUAACAUUGAAAUGACUUUCAUCCCGUAUCAUCUCAUACCGUGCCCAGCCCUAGUUAUCACUUCUAUUGUGCCCAUAGGAAAGUCACCAUCACUUAUCCGUGCCAAAGUGAACAACAAAUGUAUUUUAAUUUUAAUUUUAAUUUUUUUAAAAGGCACCAUUUUAAGGUGCCAAUUCAUCUUUAUAAAUAAUAAUACAUUUAAUAGUAGAAGCAUAUGGUCCCACCAACACUUUUCUAAUAGUUUUCUUUACUACCCACAAUAUUCUUCGCUUCCAUGCACAAUAUAAUAAUUCAUAAUUUUAUAAAUUAAAUAUUACUUAAUUUCAUAACGAAAAUUUGAAGUCCAAACCAAACUGACCAUGUAUCCUAUUAUUACCUUGUAGGAUGACCAUGUAUCCUUUUAUUACACUACUACGUUUUUCUAUUUGCGCGACAAGAUUUUGCGCGACGAAUACAUGUUCGUCGCUCAAAAUGCAAUAAAGCGACGGAAAAAAGGUUUCGUCGCGCAAAAAAAUUGAAAACUUGCGCGACCAAAGUUUUUGAAGCGCAAAAGCUCUUAGCGCAACAAAUACAUACAUUCGUCGCGCAAAGUGAGCAAAAAAAAAAACCCGAGUUUUUUGUUGGCGCUAAACACUUGCGCGGCGAGAGCAAUCGUCGCGUAAGAAAACCUAACGCGACGAUGGGACACUUCGUCGCGUAAAGGUUAGGUUAAUUGGCUGCGAAAACUCGUGCGACGACAGGUUUCAUCUCAAAAGACAACUUAGCGCGACGAAACUUUUAUACGUCGCGUAAGAAAACGAAGGAUAUUAUUAUUUUGGUUGGCUGCGAAAACUCGUGCGACGACAGGUUUCGUCUCAAAAGACAACUUAGCGCGACGAAACUUUUAUCGUCGCGCAAGAAAACGAAGGAUAUUAUUAUUUUGGCGCCAAAAUAAUUGAGGGGGGAUAUUUUUUUUUGCGCGACGAAAUAUAUGGUUCGUCGAGCAAAGUCCUUCUUCUUCAUAUUAGAAUUCUGCCUCUCUCUCAACCUCUCUGCCGCUGCCUCUGCUGGAAAUUCAGUACGUUCAUUGGGUAAGUAUUUUUUGUCGUUAGUUUAUAAGUAUUAAUAUAAAUUCAUACUAACGCUAUUAAUUUUGUUCUCGUUAGAGAUAUUUGUAAUUAGCGAUUGGUGGAGAACGAUUGAUAAGGUAUUUUAUUCAUUUUAUAUAUUAAAAAUGUUAAAGUUAGUUUGUUAUGUGUAUAUUUUUUUUGUGAAGUUAUAUUUAUAUUAUGUUGUUAAAUUGUGCGUGACGUAGCACAAUGUGUUGUGAUGUACGAAGUUAAUUGAAAUUAACUUCGUACUUUUAUUUGUAUGUUUUGUAACAUUUAGUUUUCCGUUCGAGAUUAGUUGGAUUUCGUACAUGGAUGCGUAAAGCAUGACUGCGGUCCAAUUAAUUCUUGAAUUGUCCCACUAUUUGGAUAGUUUGGUGUAUAGUAUUAUCACGUAAUCUACGGCUACAGGAUUAGGUUUCGAUUGUGGAGAUUUCGGUGUCAUCUCAGUACGUUCUUCGGGUGGUAUAGGUAUUUAUACCUAUGCCCACCUCAAGAACUGUAUCGAGAUGUUGCCGAAAUUCAUCCAUGUCGAAAUCUAAUCUCAUGUAGCUGUAGGUGACGUGAUAGAACUAUGCAUUCUCGAAUGGGAUAGGGCCCUUACCGUAGGCAUAAGGUGAUAUUAUAACUUCGUAUGAAGUUGUUGUGAUUGUUAUGUUGUGAUUAUGGUUUCAGGAAUUAUGAGUAGAAGGUGGAUACAGAACCCGAAUAGAUGCGCAGACAAAUACUUGGAUGGGAUCGAGGAUUUUAUUGAGUUUGCACGUAGACACAACCCGGGUGCAACUAGAAUCCGAUGUCCUUGUAGGAGGUGUAAUAACACGUUGUGGGAGACAAUUGAAAAUGUUGGAUUUCAUUUAGUAAGGAAUGGAAUGAUUGAGACAUAUAGCAUUUGGAACCUUCAUGGGGAACAAUUAGACCAUGCUUCGUCUUCAAAUGCCACAAGAAUGGACAGUGUUGAACCUAUUGUGGAUCCUAAUGAUCAAGUCAUGGAUAUUAUACAGGAUGCUUUUUCAUUUGCAUCGACCAACAUCAAUCACGAAAGGGAAGAUGAUGUGCCUACACCAAUAGACAGCGCGGAGUUUGAACAAUAUGAAAAACUGUUAAAAAAUGCCAACCAAGAACUAUACCCGUAGUGCGAGAGCUUUUCCGUUCUCACGGCCAUUGUAGAGCUAAUGCACGGAAAAAUAAAGUAUCGUAUGUCAAACCUGUGUUUCGAUUACUUUUUGGGGGUUUUCAAGAAAAUGCUUCCGACGGACAAUUGUUUGCCGAAAGACCAUAAACACGCGCAGAAGGUGUUGAAUGGUCUUGGAUUGGGUUCUGAAAAAAUUCAUGCUUGCAAAAAUAAUUGCAUGUUAUUCUACAAGGAGCAUGAAACGUUGGAUACAUGCCCUAUAUGCAAUAAGUCGAGGUUCAAAAUGACAUCUCAGAAUAGAAUGACUAAGAUCCCACAAAAAGUCAUGCGUUAUCUGCCCCUGAAACCUAGGUUGCAGCAAUUGUAUAUGUCGACGCAUACUGCCACAGACAUGAGAUGACAUAAGAAAAAACGGGUAGACGAUGAUGUGAUGCGGCAUCCUGCAGAUAGGGAGGCAUGGAAAGAGUUCGAUCGAACGUUCCCCAAGUUUGCUGUUGAUCCCCGAAAUGUGAGAUUGGGACUUGCCACUAACGGAUUCAAUUCGUAUGGGGUUCUAAACCAACACCACAGCACUUGGCCGAUUUUCGUAUUCCCAUAUAAUUUGCCGCCUUGGAAAUGCAUGAAAAAAGAAUACAUGAUGAUGACUGUUUUGAUAACUGAGGAUCCUGGGAGGUCAAUCGAUGUUUACUUAAGGCCGCUGGUUGAUGAGCUGAAGGAUUUAUGGACAAACGGUGUUCGCACGUACGAUAAAUCAACUGGAAAGAUGUUCACUUUGCGGGCAGCAGUUAUGUGGACUGUGAAUGAUUUUCCAGCAUAUGCAAUGGUUUCUGGGUGGAGCACAAAGGUUAUAUGGCAUGUCCUAUAUGCAAGGAAGAUAUAACUUCUGGUUGGCAUGCGAAAAAAGUUUGUUACCUUGGUCAUCGGAGAUGGUUGCCAUGGGACCACAAGUGGCGGGAAAAAGAUAAAGAGUUCGACGGGAACACAGAGCGUCGCCUCAGACCUAGAGAAUGGUCCGGUGAUGAGAUCUUGGAACAGCUUAACCGUUUGGAUUUUGCUCCGUUCGGAAAAACAGUUAGUCGGACCAGACCUUCUACACAUAUGAACUGGACUCACAAGCCUAUGUUUUUUGAGCUCCCAUAUUGGUCGAAACUCAAAUUGAGGCACAAUCUAGAUGUGAUGCAUGUUGAGAAAAAUGUAUUUGACACAUUGGUGGGCACGAUUCUAGAUAUCGAGGGCAAGACAAAGGACAUAAUCAAAGCCCGUCUUAAUUUGGAAAGAAUGGGCAUACGAAGGGGUUUAUGGAUGAACAGGGACAGUGAUAAAGCUAGAAGGGAUCUUGCAUUCUUUUCUAUGAAACCGAAUGACAAAAAAGAGUAUCUAAAGUUUGUAUCGUCUGUAAAGUUUCCUGAUGGGUAUGCUUCUAAUAUCGCACGUUGCGUGAAUGUUGACGGGGGUAAAUUUACUAGACUGAAGAGCCAUGACUGCCAUGUGUUUAUGCAACGCCUACUUCCUGUGGGUAUUCAACAUCUAUUGCCAGAAGAUGUUGUGAAGCCAAUCAUGUUGUUGUCCAGAUUUUUUUCCCAACUGACGGCAAAAGCAUUGCGAAAGACAGACAUGUUUCAGUUGCGCCAUGACAUUGUCCAAGUCCUAUGCAAGUUUGAGAUGAUAUUUUCUCCAGCUUUCUUCACAAGUAUGAUGCACGUGAUGGUUCACUUGCCAGAAGAGGCAUUGCUUGCUGGUCCUGUCAACUAUCGCUGGAUGUAUCCAAUAGAAAUGUAUAUAAUCUUCAUCAUUUGUGUAUGCAUCAUUAUCACAGACUUGCUAAUUUGUAUCAUAUCGUUUUAUUUUGACAGGCUUCUCGGAGAGCUGAAAAAAAGUGUAUGCAACAAGACGAAGCCCGAAGGAUCAAUUAUAGAGGCUUGGGUUCAAUAUGAGUCGCUUACUUUCUGUAGAAUGUAUUUAAAAGAUGUGGAGACGGCUUUCAAUCGUCCUCAGCGCAAUAAUGACGGAGGUAUGAGAAAGGAAAAACUUUCUGUUUUUGCCCAAAGUGCACGACCCUUUGGAGAUCCUGGACGAGGAGAGUCGUUUUCUAGAAAUGACAUGGAGGUAGCGCAUUGAUUCGUACUGAACAAUUGUGAUGAGAUAAUGGCAUACUUAGAUGAGCAUGAAGAGAUGAUGAAGCGAGAACAUCCAUCGCAUUUAGUUGCCCAGAAACACUGUGAAUUGUUUCCACAAUGGUUUUUGGAUUCCAUAAGUUAUAAGUGUUUUGUAUUUGACAAAUAUAAAUUGUAGUAUUUAAUUUUGUCAAACUAACAUGUGAAUAAUUUUGUAUUAUAUUAGGUGAAUAAGUUGAAAUCAUCGAAUUCCCCCACUUAUAAUGAUGAGUUAUAUAACUUGGCGUUCGGCCCGAUUCGCGCUCAAUUGUUUUCGGGUUGUUAUAUUAACGGCGUCAAAUUUUUGGGGGCUGCACGAGAUGACAAGUUGUGUACGCAAAACAGCGGUGUCCAUGUCCCAAGUGGAGGCGAAAGUACGAACAUUGAUUUCUAUGGCAAACUCACAACUGUCGUUCAAUUGCUUUACAAAGAUCGAUACCAAGUGAUCAUGUUUAAGUGUCGAUGGUUUGAUAGCAACCCAAAUAGGCCGGGAAGUGUUAAAAUUGACCAUGGCUUACUAUCUGUGAACAUUAAUAGAACUUGGUAUGAUGACGACCCUUACAUUUUGGCAAACAUGGCAACACAAAUUGUGUAUCUAGAUGACCCUAAAGCCGGGAGCAGUUGGAAAGUUGUUCUGAAGAUGGAUCAUAGGAACGUGUAUGCUAUACCAGAACUAGACCCAACUGAUAACGACGUCGACAAUGUGGCUGACCAACGUUUAGAAUCUUCAAUGGAAAAUGAUGUGGAAACACUUCGAGAUACACAUGUUAUACAAGAACCGUUUCAAAUACAAGGAGUGUCGUCAAUCGAAAUACCGAUUCAGUCAAUUACAAUUGACCUUGGGGAUCUUCCAAGAUUCAAUGUUGCAGUGGGCCCGAACAACGAAGAUGAUGUAGUUAUAGAGGAGGAGGAGAAUUGGGAGACCGAAAGUGAUGAUAGCGAUGAUAACAAAAGUUAUUAUAGUUCAGAUGAUGAAUGAUUAAAUUUUUUGUAAUUUUAUUAUGCUAGUGUACAGACUUUGUGUAAUACAAAAGUUUGAAUAUAUGUAGUUGUUAUAUCCAAACCUUAUAUAUGUGGACAACUGAAACAUUAUUAAAAUAAAUUAUAAAUUUAGUUAUAAAACAUUGGUAAAUCAAUAUAUCCAAUCCCUUUUAAUCAUUAUUUUUAAAUUUUUUUUUGACAAAACGCGUUUACAAAAUGAAAAUGAUAAAACAUUGAUAAAUAAAUAUAUCCAAACCAUUUUCAUACAAAGUUUGAAAAUUAUUGACACCAAACAUUUUUCAAAAAUGAAAAUCCUUGCGCGAGGGUUACUCUCGCAAAGUUAAAACAUUGCACGACAAAUUAUCAUCCGUCACGCGAUGGAAUUUUGCGCGACGAUAGGCUUACUCUCGUCGCGCAAAUAUAUAUUCUUUUAUAAUAUAUUUUAUAGACACAUAUAUAUUCGAGUUAGUUCAUUGUAUUCAUAUAGGGUCAUGGAGUGUAGCUGUAAAAAAUCAUCAAAAUCAGAGUUAAAAUAACCGUUAAAUCAUGACUUUUCAUUUAUAACCAUUGAAAAAUUUUGUCCCGUUACUUGAUCUUUGAAUGUUUUUUUUUUCCGAUUUUUAGGGUCUAAGAUCUCGAAGUAUAAACAAAGAAGUUUGACAGCUGGAUUAUUGAAACUACUUUCGUAGAAUGCGUAUACCAUCAAAACCAUAUAUUCACCAACAAUGAAUAGUUUCCUUAUACUUUCGUUAAAUAUAACAUAAGAUUAUGUAGUAUCACCCUAGUGUAAACAUCUUAAAUUGAAGAUCAAAUUCAGUAAUUGUAUUCAUAUAGGGUCAAGAAAAGUAGCUGUAAAAAAUCAUAAAAAUCGGAGUUAAAAUAACCGUUAAAUCAUGACUUUUCAUUUAGAACCAUCGAAAAGUUUUUUACCAUUACUUGAUCUUUUAACGUUUGUUUUUUCAGAUUUUUGACGUAUACGAUCUCAAAGUAUAAAAAAACAAGUUUGCCGGUUGGAUCAUUAAAACUAGUUUCGGGUUUAGGGUUUCUGCGGUUUAGGGUUUAGGGUUUGUGCGACGAAUAAGUUUCGUUGGACGCACAAAGCCUGCAAAGAACAGUCUUGUGCGACGAACUAAGGAUUCGUCGUUGCGCAAUCUCAGCCAGCUCUUUCUCCCUCCUCCUCCUUGGACACUUAGUCAAAAAAAUUUGCGAGUUUACAGAAAGCAGACUUGCGCGACGCUGUCGAUAUUCGUCGCGCAAUCCCUCUGCCAAUAAACACUAAACCCCAAAUUUUGGCGGAAUUACAACAUUGAGCGACGAAGAAGUUUCUUUGGUCGCACAAGCCCGCAGAAAACAGUCUUGCGCGACGAACCUAGGAUUCGUCGUCGCGCAAUCUCAGCCAGCUCUUUCUCCCUCCUCCUCCUUGGACACUUAGUAAAAAAAUUUUGCGAGUUGACAGAAAGCAGACUUGUGCGACGCUGUCGAUAUUCAUCAACAUUGCGCGACGAAAUACGAUACUGUGCGUCGCGCAAAAACUACCCUGAUACCAAAUUUUGGGGAUUAACAAUAUUGCGCGACGGAAGUUAUACUUGUGUCGUUGCACAAGUGUCAAUUAAAAUAUUUUGCGCGACGCUUUUGAUUGUUCGUCGCGCAAAAUCGAAUAAAAUUGCAGAAACGACGCGAUAGCCUCCUUCUUCCCCAGAUUAGUUUUUCUGCCCUAACUCUCUCUCUCUCUCUCCGCCGUCAGCUCAGCCCCCUACCUCAGUGGAUUUUGGACGGCGCCACCACAAUAGUGGUACCCCGGAGCUUCCCCGCCGUCACCAUCGAGCCAACUGCCCUAAUUUCCUCGGUUUUCACCGAAUCUGUGCCGCCAUCGUUCUCUCUCCUCCGGCGACCAAAUCCGACACCUGAGGUAUGGUGUCUAUCCUAUUUUUGAUGCUUUAUGAUGUAGAACAGAUGGCAGAUUUUAUCGCGGUUGAGCUAGAAAAAGGACGUAGCGGGAAUAUGCAGUUUUGUCGUCCAAGCUCCGAUUAGGACGCAAAAUACCUUUUCGGAAAGGGAACGAAGCCACGAGUGUAACUCACAGCUUCGCCGUGACAUAAGGUGGAUUUUGGCAUUCUGAGGUCGUUUGGCCUUCCAAAACUGCAGUUAAAGUUUGGUAGUUAAUUUUCCAAUAAAUUCUGUUUUGGACAGUUUAGGAGUUACGUUAUUAAGACUCCAAAUUAAUCCUGUUUUUUCAGUUUUAUGUAAUAACUCCCCUAGUAGUUGAAGGGUUGAGGGUUGUUGAGAAAUGUGUAUUUAGACAGGUUUGUCUAAUGUAUCUGGAACUCAACUUUUAAUCAUAAUAUUCCAAGAGAGCUUCUCUUAAUUUUCUGGUGGAAUCCAGUUUUAUUGUUACUCACGGUUUCGCUUGAAACCUUUGUUGCUUGUGCUGCGUCAAGUGGUAUCAGAGCGGGUCUCUCCCGUCUCGGUAUUCUUGUCUUUAUCUUAUUAUGGGUGAUCGAGAAGCUGAUGUCCCAACCCCAAUUACCCGAGCAGAUCUGGACGCUCAAAACCGACGGAUCGACAAUCUAACCAACCAAUUUGGGGAGAUGCGAGAAUUGUUGUUGCAAGCUCUUGGUGGCAACAAUAGGAGAGAAGGCAGAGAUAACGAAAGAAGAGAUGGCGAGAGAAGAGACAAUAGGAGGCAACUUAAUCCGGAUAGUGAGUCCGAGUCAGAAGAAGAACUUGAAGAACCACCACCGCCGGCUAAUAAUCCUCGUCAUCAUAAUCGUAAUUACGAGAAUUUUGGCGAUUAUCGGAUUAAAGCAGAAAUUCCUAACUUUUGGGGAAAUCUGAAGAUUGAAGACUUCUUGGAUUGGCUUGUAGAAGUGGAGAGGUUUUUCGAUAUUAUGGAGGUUCCUGAGCAUAAGAUGGUGAAGAUGGUAGCUUUCCGCCUUAAAGCUACAGCGGCUGUUUGGUGGGAUCAAUUGCAAAAUUUACGGCAGAGGCAAGGAAAACAGAGGGUUCGAACAUGGAGGAAGAUGAAGUCGCUUAUGAUGGAACGAUUCUUGCCCACAGAUUAUGAGCAGAUUCUCUACCGUAUGUACCUAGGCUGUGCGCAAGGCACCCGUUCGGUUUCUGAGUAUAUCGAAGAGUUCAUGCGUUUGGCAGAGCGAAACCAUUUGACCGAAACUGACAAUCAAAAGGUCGCAAGGUACAACAAUGGGCUGAAAAUUUCCAUCCAGGAAAAAAUUGGCAUGCAGAAUAUAUGGACUUUGCAGGAGGCGAUUAACAUGGCAUUGAAGGCUGAACUGUUGGAAAAGGAGAAACGCCAACCCAACUUUCGCAGGAAUGCGACGGAAGCCUCUGAUUAUACUGCUGGUGCUUCUAGUGGCGCAGGAGAUAAGGGGAAAGCACAGCAGCAGAGUUCUGGAGGGAUGACAAAACCAACAACAGUUGGCCAAAACAAAAACUUCAACGAGGGUAGCAGCCGGAAUUACAACAGAGGGCAGCCCCGAAACCAGUCCCAGAAUCCGUAUGCUAAGCCCAUGACGGACAUAUGUUACCGUUGCCAAAAACCAGGGCAUCGUUCUAAUGUUUGUCCAGAGCGGAAGCAGGCUAACUUUAUCGAAGAAGCCGAUGAAGAUGAAGAAAACGAUGAAGUCGGGGAAAAUGAUUAUGCAGGGGCUGAAUUUGCAGUUGAAGAGGGAAUGGAGAAGAUUACCCUAGUUUUGCAGAGAGUUCUUUUGGCACCAAAGGAGGAGGGGCAGCGUCAUAAUAUUUUUCGUUCCCUCUGCUCAAUCAAAAACAAGGUUUGUGAUGUGAUCGUCGACAAUGGAAGUUGCGAGAAUUUCGUGUCAAAGAAAUUGGUGGAAUAUUUGCAGCUAUCAACGGAACCACAUGUCAGCCCUUACUCACUAGGUUGGGUUAAAAAAGGCCCUUCGGUUCGUGUAGCUGAGACUUGCCGUGUGCCGCUGUCUAUUGGUAAGCAUUACAGAGAUGAUGUCUUAUGUGAUGUUAUUGACAUGGAUGCAUGCCAUAUUUUAUUAGGGCGUCCUUGGCAAUUUGAUGUGGAUGCGACUUUCAAGGGACGAGAUAAUGUCAUUCUGUUCUCUUGGAACAACCGGAAAAUUGCAAUGGCAACUACACAGCCCUCAAAACCCUCUGUUGAGGCCAAGACGAGGAGUUCUAGCUUCCUAACCCUAAUUAGCAACGAGCAGGAGUUGAACGAGGCAGUCAAGGAAGCGGAGUGUUUUUGUCCCUUGGUGUUGAAGGGGUUGUUGAAACUUGGCCGAGGAGGAGGUGACAUUCCACAAGAUGUGCAGCAGAUUUUGUCUCAAUUUCAGGAAUUGGUUUCUGAAAAUCUGCCAAACGAGCUGCCACCUAUGCGGGACAUACAACACCGAAUUGACUUGGUGCCUGGAGCUAGCCUUCCGAAUCUGCCCCAUUAUCGGAUGAGCCCCAAGGAGAAUGACAUCCUCAGAGAGCAGAUUGAAGAAUUACUGCGGAAGGGAUUUAUCAGGGAGAGUUUGAGUCCCUGCGCAGUUCCUGUUUUGUUGGUUCCGAAGAAAGACAAGACUUGGCGAAUGUGUGUUGACAGCCGAGCAAUCAACAAGAUAACAGUGAAGUACAGGUUUCCCAUUCCACGAUUGGAGGAUAUGCUGGAUGUUCUUAGCGGCUCAAAGGUGUUUUCCAAGAUAGAUUUGCGAAGCGGUUAUCACCAGAUUCGCAUCAGACCUGGCGACGAAUGGAAAACAGCGUUCAAGAGCAAGGACGGAUUAUUUGAAUGGUUGGUGAUGCCAUUCGGAUUGUCAAAUGCGCCUAGCACCUUCAUGAGACUCAUGAAUCAGGUUCUUCGACCAUUUAUUGGCUCUUUUGUCGUGGUUUAUUUCGAUGACAUUUUAAUUUACAGCACCACAAAAGAAGAGCAUCUUGUGCAUUUGAGGCAAGUUUUAGACGUUUUGAGAGAAAAUAAACUGUUUGUGAACCUUAAAAAAUGUACUUUCUGCACAAAUAAGCUACUGUUCUUGGGUUUUGUUGUUGGUGAGAAUGGUAUCCAGGUUGACGACGAGAAGAUCAAGGCAAUCCUUGACUGGCCAGCUCCAAAAACAGUUUCUGAAGUUCGGAGUUUCCAUGGCUUGGCCACCUUUUACAGGAGAUUUGUGAGGCAUUUCAGCUCUAUCGCUGCACCUAUCACAGAGUGUUUAAAGAAGGGCCGGUUCAGUUGGGGAGAGGAGCAAGAGAGGAGCUUUGCAGAAAUAAAAGAAAAGCUUUGCACCGCGCCAGUUUUAGCCCUUCCAAACUUUGAGAAAGUUUUCGAAGUUGAAUGUGAUGCCAGCGGUGUGGGAGUCGGAGCUGUGCUUUCACAAGACAAGCGGCCAGUUGCAUUUUUCUCUGAAAAAUUGAGCGAUGCACGUCAAAAGUGGAGUACUUAUGACCAAGAGUUCUAUGCGGUUGUUCGGGCUUUGAAGCAAUGGGAGCACUAUCUUAUCCAGAAGGAAUUUGUUUUAUUUACAGAUCAUCAAGCGUUGAAGUAUAUUAACAGCCAGAAAAAUAUUGAUAAAAUGCAUGCUAGAUGGGUGACUUUCUUGCAGAAAUUCUCGUUCGUUAUCAAGCAUACUUCCGGCAAGACAAAUCGUGUGGCGGAUGCGCUAAGUAGAAGAGCAUCAUUGUUAAUUACGCUGACUCAAGAAGUUGUGGGGUUUGAAUGUCUGAAGGAAUUGUAUGAAGAUGAUGCUGAUUUCCGGGAAAUUUGGACUAAGUGCACCAAUCAAGAGCCGAUGGCAGAUUACUUUCUUAAUGAAGGAUACUUGUUCAAAGGCAACCAGCUGUGUAUUCCAGUUUCCUCUUUGAGGGAGAAGCUCAUUCGGGACUUGCAUGGUGGAGGGUUGAGUGGCCACCUGGGUCGUGAUAAAACAAUUGCAGGGAUGGAAGAGAGAUUUUACUGGCCACAGCUCAAACGAGAUGUUGGAACUAUUGUGCGCAAGUGCUACACUUGUCAAACUUCGAAGGGGCAGGUACAAAACACCGGAUUAUAUAUGCCAUUACCAGUUCCUAACGAUAUUUGGCAGGAUCUUGCUAUGGAUUUUGUCCUCGGCUUGCCCCGAACACAAAGGGGAGUGGAUUCUGUAUUUGUGGUGGUUGAUCGGUUCUCAAAAAUGGCGCAUUUCAUAGCUUGCAAGAAGACUGCUGAUGCAUCAAAUAUAGCCAAACUGUUUUUCAGGGAGGUUGUUCGCUUGCAUGGGGUCCCUACAUCCAUUACAUCCGAUCGUGACACCAAGUUCUUGAGCCAUUUUUGGAUCACCUUGUGGAGGCUGUUUGGGACUACUUUGAAUCGUAGCAGCACUGCCCAUCCCCAAACCGAUGGCCAGACUGAGGUUACAAACCGAACAUUGGGCAAUAUGGUACACAGCGUCUGUGGAGAGAAGCCAAAACAAUGGGAUUAUGCAUUACCGCAGGUGGAGUUUGCGUAUAACAGUGCAGUCCAUAGUGCCACCGGGAAGUCUCCAUUUUCCAUUGUUUAUACUGCUAUGCCUAACCAUGUUGUAGAUUUGGUGAAACUGCCUAGAGGCCAACAAACCAGUGUGGCAGCAAAAAAUUUGGCGGAGGAAGUAGUGGCUGUUCGAGAUGAAGUCAAGCAGAAACUUGAGCAAACUAAUGCUAAGUACAAAGCUGCUGCGGAUAAGCAUAGGCGAGUUAAAGUGUUUCAGGAAGGUGAUUCUGUGAUGAUAUUUCUGAGGAAGGAGAGGUUUCCAGUUGGCACAUAUAGCAAGCUUAAACCAAAAAAAUAUGGUCCUUACAAAGUGCUCAAACGGAUCAAUGAUAAUGCCUAUGUUAUUGAGUUACCGGAUUCCAUGGGAAUAUCCAAUAUUUUUAAUGUUGCAGAUUUAUAUGAGUUCCGUGAAGAUAAGGUCCUUUAUCCAAAUCAUAACUCGGGGUCGAGUUCCUCGGAGGUGGAGGGGACUGAUGUAGAACAGAUGGCAGAUUUUAUCGCGGUUGAGCUAGAAAAAGGACGUAGCGGGAAUAUGCAGUUUUGUCGUCCAAGCUCCGAUUAGGACGCAAAAUACCUUUUCGAAAAGGGAACGAAGCCACGAGUGUAACUCACAGCUUCGCCGUGACAUAAGGUGGAUUUUGGCAUUCUGAGGUCGUUUGGCCUUCCAAAACUGCAGUUAAAGUUUGGUAGUUAAUUUUCCAAUAAAUUCUGUUUUGGACAGUUUAGGAGUUACGUUAUUAAGACUCCAAAUUAAUCCUGUUUUUUCAGUUUUAUGUAAUAACUCCCCUAGUAGUUGAAGGGUUGAGGGUUGUUGAGAAAUGUGUAUUUAGACAGGUUUGUCUAAUGUAUCUGGAACUCAACUUUUAAUCAUAAUAUUCCAAGAGAGCUUCUCUUAAUUUUCUGGUGGAAUCCAGUUUUAUUGUUACUCACGGUUUCGCUUGAAACCUUUGUUGCUUGUGCUGCGUCACUUUAGCUGAUGGUUGGGUAGGAUUUAUGUAAUUGUUGCAAUAGGGCAGUGGAUUUGAAACCCUAAGUUUCGACCGAUUUUUGAAUUUCAAUUCCAGCCACUUCUGGCCAUUUUUCGGGGUAGGUCCGAGAACAAAAGUUGCUCCAAUUGAUGUUUUGAACCUAGGGUAGGAACCUUGGCCCUUAGAUUAUGUAGUAUCGCUUUGGACACCCACGCGCUGCCGGCGCGUGGGUUACUGUAGCAGUCAUGCAUUGGGUCCCAGUGCAAUCCCCUAGUUGUCACGAGCGCGUAGGUGUUUUCGGAUUGGAAUUUGGUUACCGUUUGAGUCUCGAACGGAUUUUGCCUAUUGUGCGAUUUUCGGGUUUGUUAUGUUCGGACCGUUAGAUCAAACUCAAACUCACGUAUGGUAUACCUUGGAUUUCUAUGAUCGUGGAUCGAAGUCCCGAAUACUCCGUACUAGCAAACCCUAAGUCAAGAAUCUUAAUAAAAUUGUAUGUGCUUUCAAAUAUUCGUAUAUUUUAUUAAUUUGUAUGUGUAUUAAUGAAAUUGUGCAGAUGUCAGACCUGAUUAGACGUCGUAGGGCGGUGACGACUACGCAGAGUUCGGAGCCCCCGGCUCAGCCGACAUCUGCUGCCACUGCGCCAGCACUAAUGGACCACUUGGUAGUUGGUCCCGCGGGGUCCCAAGCGCCUGCUUCAUCAGCUUCAUCAGCAGCACAGCCUGUUAGCGCCAGGCGACGUCAUCGGCUCGCCAGCACCACCGACACCACAUCCACUGAUGCGUCGGGGUCACAGCCAGGUAUAGAUUUCCUUAAACUCCAAUUAUUUUUAUUUUUGUUUUUAUUUUUGUUUUUGUUUUUGUUUUUGUUUUUAUUUGUGUGUGUGUAUUUUAUAGUUAAAUUUGUUAUUUAUUUAACAUUAAUGUCAUCUUUCUUUGCAGCCAAGAAGAACACCCGAGGGCCGUGUCGGCAGUUGAAGACGGCAAAGGUCACCCGAGUGACCAACAGUCGUAUCAACAUCGGAUACGACGAGCGACAUCGGGCGACAUCGACGGCGGAGUUGCAUAGCUCCUUGGCCCACGACAUUGGUCAUGUCAUUCGGAGCCAUUGCCCGAUGAAAUGGAAGUCUUGGAAGGUGAUGCCUGACGAUACCAAGACGGAGGUUCGCGACCAGUUGUCGAUAUGUAGGCCUUUUAAUUCUUUUUCUUUCAAAAUUUAUAUUUCUAUUAUUUAAAUGUAUGUAAUUAUUUUAUUGCAGACGAACUACAACUUGGAGAACCUGGACGACGAGUCGUUGGCGUACUCUUCUCUGAGAGGUACAAACAGUGGAAGAGCGACUUGCACCACUAUUUUGAGGCGUUUGAUGAUCCGGAAGUCGCUCUUCAGGAGGGUUGCCCGAAGGAGCUUGAGGGGCGGGAGGAUAGUUGGGCGUGGCUCUGCGCUCAUUCUCAGGUGCCCGCUUUUGUGGUAAUUUGUAAUAUGACUUUCAAAUUUAUUAUAUUUUUCUUACUAAUGUUUUUUCAAUGUUUUAUAUUUAAUUUCAAUUUCAACUAAUACGUUUUAUUUUUUGUAUAACAGAAUAAAGCCAAAGUCAAUAAGGGCAAUAGGAAGAAGAAGACUCUUCUCCAUCAUUCGGGUUCCAGGCCCUUCUCCUAUAGGAUGGAUGCACGGCGGUAGGUAAUAAUAAAAUAAUUUUUAUUUAAUUUUUAAUAUUUCAUUAUUCUUAAUUUAUUUUUUCGUACUAAUAUUUUUCUUCUCUUGUUCAAUUUAGGGGCGGUCCAAAUUCCCAGAGAUCGACGUCUUUGGCGAUGUUUAUGUUCGACCUGGGAAUGAGUUGGCCGAGUCCCUUCAUGUAAGUAUUAUUUAAUUUUAAUUCUUAUGCUACACAUUCAAGUUUAAAGGUUAUUAUAUGAAUGUUUUAAUUUAUAUUUUAUGUUAUGCUAAACUGACGACGAUGGUGGAGAGGAGCCAGUUGGUUCUUCAAGAGUCCGCCUCCCAACUUCCUCCCGAUACUCCGAUCGAGUCUGUGGUCCUCCACAAGAUACUGGGUUUCAGAUCUUGACAGAGACAUUGGAUCACACACUCGGGAGGAGACCGGGGACAUAUUGUCGAGGGAUGGGGAAUGCCAGGGGGAGGGAACCCAGACCCCGUUCAUCAGCGCAGUCAAAAAGUCAGGUUACUGCUUUGACAGCACAAGUGGCCACUCUUCAGAGUCAGAUGUCGGUCAUUCUGCAGUCCCUCGCACAGUCCGGCAUUCCAGUCCCGCAUGUUGAUGCGCCGACCUCCGAGCCCGUCCAUCCCGAGCAUCCCCACCAGACGACGGCCCCUGUAGACACCCAGACCUCUGAACCGCGUGUGCCAGACGACAAUGUAGAUUUUGGAACAUUAUUUUAUUAGUUUUUUUAUUUUCAUAAUUAUUUUCUAAAUAUUUCUCUUGCAGCAUACAUUUAUUUUAUAUAAUAAAUAUGUUCUUUACAAUUCUUUUUUUUAUUGGAAUUUCAUUUUAUUACCCAAAAAAAAAACCAAAUUUAUUUUUUUAUAAAAUAAAAUAAUAAUUAUAUAUACUAAUUUUGCGCGACGAAAUCUUUCUCGUCGCGCAAAUUUAUAUAUUACGAAACAAAAAUGUUUCAUUUUUUUAAAUACAUAUAAUUUAUUCUUGCGCGACUGAUAUUUUCGUCGCUCAAAAAGGAUUUGCGCGACAACAGUUUUUCGUAGCGCAAAAUGUGUUGACACGACUUGCACGACGAAGAUCUCUGUGCCAGAAAUAUCUACGACACAUAUCGAGCGACGAACAUUUUCGUCACGCAAAAAUGUAUGCGCGACAACAUUUGUUUCGUCGCACAAUACAUGUAGACACAAAUUGUGCGAUGAAGAACUCUUGGUGCCGCAAAUGUGUACGAGACGUAUUGUGCGACGAAUAUUAUUCGCCGUGCAUCGUUGUGGUGACGAACCUUCUUUCGUCGCGCAUAAGUUUGUGCUACGAACUAUUGCGUCGUCUCUGAACCUUUUGUGUAACGAAGGGUAACCUUCGCACAAAUUUGCGCGACGAGUGACACAAUCGGUCGCACAAAGUCUUUCUUCACGAUCUUUGAGCGACAGAUUACACACGACGAAUUUUCUGUCGCGCUUGAGUUUGUGCGACCAAAUUUAACUCUGCGCGACGAAAUUGUCUUCGUCGCGCAAAUCGUAAAAUGUAGUAGUGUUAUAUGUUUUGGUCUCUCUUUCUUAUCUUAUUAUUUCUAUAAAAUCUUUUAUGUUCUCUAUUUUUUAUCUCUCUUUUUUUUCCUUUUUUUUUUUCUAUAACUCAAAAUGAAAUACAUAAAAGAUUCUCUUUCUGUAUCUAUAUUGCUGAGUUCUCAAUCUCAUUGUAUUUAGUCCAAGGCCUUUGGCCAUUUUGGGAGAUCCUUUUUAAUUUCUCUUUUAUUUUCCUUAUUGCUUGUUGGUACAUAUCAAUUGGUAUCAUUAUUGGAACCCUAAAACCAAUGUCUGACAGUAUGAGAAACCCGUUGCUUGUUGGUAUUCUUACGAUCUCAUCUAUUUCAACCCUUCUCUGCUUGCCUCUUCGACGCCCUUAACCACCACCCCUACCUCCUCUGAUUUUUCCACUUACUACUCAUUUGAGCCACAUAACUCAUUUUUUUCAAACCGCAAACACUAGCAAAUCAGGGUUCCAUGGCUUUCAUGUGCCGUAUGAACUUCCCCACUGCCAACAAAAUUCCUACCCACUGCACUCCACUCCAAACCCCCAAUUUUCGGACUCAACUUUUUUGAAAACCAUAAGCACGUGUAAGCUUGGCAACAGCGACUCGGGACUAUUUGGGAAAAGGGAUGGGGUCAUCAAGCUUUUGCAUUUUUAGUGAAAAUUAAAAGCUUUUGCAGGGCCAUGAAGGACUACAUUAUAGCCCGCAACUGAUUCGCACCAGAGGAAGUUCAAACAGAGCCAAAAAAGAAAACCCCAACACUUGUUCCUCACCCACAAUCCCUUUUGGGUCUCUCAAGUCACAAAGGUUUAAAAGCCGUGCCCAGCCCUACUCUGAGGAAACUCCAUCUCCAAACCUUUUCACCUACUCGCCACCGCCACAACUUCAGAUCUCUCUCGCCACCACCAUUUCGCAGAAAUGCAGGGCUUGAAGGCUCGGAUCCUGGCCUCCGUCACCGUGCUGCUGUCUCUUGUCUACUGUGGCUUGACCACGCCGUCCACCUUUCUUUCUUUAGAACGGGUUUAUCCGCCGAGUCACCACGGACAGAUUGAGCAGCUCCGAGCUCGUGACCGAGUCAGGCACGCCCGACUUUUGCAAAACUUGACGGGCAGCGUUGUGGACUUCCCACUCCAUGGCACCUCCGAUCCGAACCUAGCCGGGUAAUUUCUAUCGUCAAUGCUAAAAAUUCUUGCAUAAUUUUAUCAUCGAACGAAGAGGGCUUGAGUCUCGUUUUAAUGCUUUUUUUUUUUUUGGGUGAAAAUUUUAAUGCUGUUUCGGUUGUUAAUGAUUGAUGGAUUUUUAGAGUAGGGAAUAUAUAAUUUUGUUUUUAAUAAUUUAUGUUGACUAAGUUUGGCUUGCUUCUGGAAGUUCUGGGCGUUCUUUUCAAUUAGGGACAAUGGAUUUUGUGUGUUUUGUAUUUUUAAUAUAAAAUAGGACAAUAUUGGGCCCAAAAAUAUAUUUGGGAAAAGGGAUGGAAUCAUCAUGCUUGCUUACAGCGUAGUUGAGAAUUUCCAAAAAGCUGGAAGAGCUUGGUUUCCCAUUUUACCCUUGCGGAUUGAAGUCGUUUGGGUUUUGGUGUUUUUGUUUGCGCAAGGGUAAAACAGGAAAUCAAAUUUGUAUGAUAUAACUCUUUUGGCUUUUUUGAAAACCCCUCAAGCACGUGUAAGCUUGGCAACAGCAGCGACUUGGGAGGAAUCCGCAAGAAUUAUUAGUAUUGACGAUAAAAAUUACCCGACUAGGUUCGGAUCGGAGGUGCCAUGGAGUGGGAAGUCCACAACGCUGCCCGCCAAGUUUUGCAAGAGUCGGGCGUGCCUGACUCGGUCACGAGCUCGGAGCUGCUCAAUCUGUCCGUGGUGACUCGGAGAAUAAACCCAUUCUAAAGAAAGAAAGGUGGACGGCGUGGUCAAGCCACACUAGACAAGAGACAGCUGCACGGUGACGGAGGCCAGGAUCCGAGCCUUCAAGCCCUGCAUUUCUGCGAAAUGGUGGUGGCGAGAGAGAUCUGAAGUUGUGGCGGUGGUGAGUAGGUGAAAAGGGUUGGAGAUGGAGUUCCCUCAGAGUAGGACUGGGCACAGUUUUUAAACCUUUGUGACUUGAGAGACCCAAAAGGGAUUGUGGGUGAGGAACAAGUGUUGGGGUUUUCUUUUUUGACUCUAUUUGAAUUUCCUCUGGUGCGAAUCAGUUGCAGGCUAUAAUGUAGUCCUUCAUAGCCAUAGAAAAGCUUUUAAUCUAAAAAUGCAAAAGCUUUUAAUGCAUGAUGACCCCAUCCCUUUUCCCAAAUAGUCCCGAGUCGCUGUUGCCAAGAUUACACGUGUUUGAGGUUUUCAAAAAAGUUGAGUCCGAAAAUUGGGGGUUUGGAGUGGAGUGCAGUGGGUAGGAAUUUUGUUGGCAGUGGGGAAGUUCAUACGGCACAUGAAAGCCAUGAAACCCUGAUUUGCUAGUGUUUGCGAUUUGGGAAAAAUGAGUUAUGUGGCUCAAAUGAGUGGUAAGUGGAAAAAUCAAAGGAGGUAGGGGUGGUGGUUAAGGGCGUCGAAGAGGCAAGCAGAGAAGGGUUGAAAUAGAUGGGAUCAUAAGAAUACCAACAAGCAACGGGUUUCUCAUACUGUCAGACAUUGGUUUUAGGGUUCCAAUAAUGAUACCAAUUGAUAGGUACCAACAAGCAAAAAGAAAAAUAAAACAAUAAAAGAGAAAUUAAAAAGGAUCCCCCCAAAUAGGCCAAAGGCCUUGGACUAAAUACAAUGAGAUUGAGAACUCAGCAAUAUAGAUACGGAAAGAGAAUCUAAAGAGAAUCUUAUAAAAAAGAACAUAUGCAACAAAAAUGUGAAUAAUCAAUUGAAAAAUAAACAGAAGAUGACAUACAAAAAUGAGAUCACACAUUGCUAUGCUCAUAGAGCAUUUUCCAGAAAUCCUUGAAAACUAUUGGUACUUUCAAGUUCCAACUCUCUAUUUUCCUGAAAUUCUCAAAUCCAUGGCAAAUGGAUAAAAGAAGAAGACCUUUCAAACUACAAUCAAGCAUCAUUGAUAGCAAUGUUGGACCAUUCCAAAUAACAAAAGGGAUGCACAAACUUUGACAGAAAUUACUGAAUAACAAAAACUUUGCACAACCCUAACAUAUAUUUAGGCCAAAAUCUCUAUGCACCAAGCCUUGAAUGUUAAGGUAUCUAAUUAUCUAAUUAGAAUUACCUUAUCUGAUGAAGGGUGAAAGCUUAGCACUAUCUAAUGUUUUUACUAAGAAGCAAACCAAGGAAAUUCUUACUUUCCUGCUACGAAGGGAACGCCCUUUGUAGAGUUAGCCGGUAUCUCCCCUUGCAAGCCAGGAAUGAUCUCAGUCAUUGCUUGAACAAGCUUGAGAUCUUCACUGUUGCUUUCAUAAAAAAAGAUAUUAGAAAAAAAAAAAAGAAACAGAUGAAUUUGAAGAGUACCAAUUAACAUCAAGGCCUUACGCAAACAUUGUUCUAGGCAAAAAACCAAAACUGAUCUCAGAAUGAGUCAGAAAUCUAAGCAAUGCAGCAAACGGGCAGAGAAGAGGUUGGCUUAUACUUAUGCAUCUCUGGGAUCUACUUGUCCUUAACAGUUGGCUUACGGUCGAAUGACAAAUCAAAAACACGUUCAACCUAAUCCCCAUAUCACCCGACGGCCUCAAAAUGCAAACUUUAACAAAAAAUUGGCAUUCCCAAGAAACCGACGGACGGAUAAACUCACAAUUUCGAAAUCCAGAUAAGAAAAGAUCAUAGAAAAAGCAAUUGAAUUUGAAGAGCACCAAUUAAAGCAAAUUAAAUCCACCACCAGAAAAACAAAAUGAAAACUGAAGUCUAAAGAAGAAAAUGAAAUAUGAACCAGAAUGGCAACAAACCAGCUAAUCACACCCAGAAACAAGAAAACAAUCAAUACCCAUUUGCCAAAAACUCCAAAAAUCAGCAAAAACAGAGAUAAUUAGCUUAGAGAUAUACUCAACAACUGAAUUGAAUCGCAUCGAAAUCUCAAAAUAAAGCGUUAAAGAAUUACCCAGGAAAAGAACAAUAUAUAAAUCACCUGAUUUUUCUUCCGCGAGAGAAUUUUCACUUGUUUAAAUUAAAGCAAUAGAGUAGAAUCCUGGAACAUAUAGGCGGGUGAUGUGCCUGUUUCGCUGUAUUGAAGAGUAUCGAAACGGAGAAUAUACCUCACCACAAACAAAGGCUGAAAGGCAUAAACGCAUAAACGCUCUCUGAGAGAGAGAAGCCGAGUCUUGAACUAGAAGGGCAUUUUGGGGUUUAAGAAUAUUGGGUGAACAAAAAUGAGUUUGUACUUGGUUUGACGAGCAUUGCGUGCGUCGGGGCGCGAUGGAUGAAUGAAGCCUCUCUCCUCAUUUGGUGCCACGUUUUGCUACUUGGCUUUUGGCCAAGACUUGUUGGGUUUGGUGUCUCUCCGCGCUUGACACGGGCUGCUUGUAAAGGCAGACGUCUUACCUUCUUUUUCUUCUCUUUUUGGUCCUUUUCUUGGUAAUUUUUUUUGUUUUUUCGGUAAUCUUUUAUUAUUAUUAUCAUUAUUAUAUUUGUUAGUUUAUUUUUCCUAAUUUAAUCCACCUACAUAAAAAACUUUAAAUUGUUGUUAAUGAAAAUGUUGAAACAUAAGACAUUUCAUUAAAUAGGAAGUCAUAUUUAUAAUCCAACGGUGGCUAAAUUCUUAUGUAAAUUAGAAAUUAAAAUAAUAUAUUGAGAAGGAGAAUUCAUUCAUAAAUCUACACACGUACAAAGACGUGAUACAGUGGCUUCGUUAAAACAUUCCUAGGACAACCUCAUGGGACAAAUCCCAUUGGAGGAAAGAGUAUCACAUAUAUCAUGGACUAACAAGAGAGUUCAAUUCAGAUCACUUUAGACCAUUACAAUAAAAGAACAAGUCAAAUAAGAAUUCUUGAUAUUUGGCUACAAGUCAUGCCAACAUGUACAUCACCACAAAUCCUGUUGUUAGCACGCUCAAUAGCAUGUCUCCUAAUGAAGAUCUGCUUUCACUCCGCCGUCGAGCAUAGCUAGAAGGUAUGGAGACAUUUACAGGUGAUGAGCCUGAAAAAUAUAAAAUUUCAAAAUAUGACAUAGAUACUAAGGAGAACUUGAAAAAAAUAUAUAUAAGAGUUCAUAUAGACUCAUAAUUGAACUUACAAUCAUAGUUUGCCCAUCCAAUUCGUUGAAGAGCUAAAUCGUAGACGAUUAUCUUAUCUUUUAGAACAAGAUCUGCAAUUGAAGAAACAAAAAAGGGUCAUAAUUGAGACAACACAUUUAUGAUUGUCAUACAUGGUUUCAAAAGCAAAUUGGGAUAAUCAAUAUUUAUCAGUACAAAAAAUAGUUGCAAAGUGCUCAGAAAGCCAUUGCAUUGUGCACCACCAGGUAGACUAGAAAAUACAUUACUUUGCAUAAGCUUUGAAUAAAUAUACACUGAGAAAAUUGAAGAGGAUUCAUCCAACCAAAUAUCAACAAAUUUUUUUUCCGCAAAAAUUCAAUAACCAACCGAAAUUUAGGGCCUAACCUCCUAAGAUUGUCACCCCUCCUUGAGCCUUUUGAAAACCAAUGCACCACACACCAAUGCCUAUCUGUAACAAUACAAUGAUCCAUUACACUUAUGCCAUACAAUUUGCAAUAAUCAUAUGUCUAAUGCAAUGAAUUUAAAUAGUAACUUGUACAGAGGGAGAUGGAGGAACAACUUACUUGACGUAUAAGGUACUCUUCUGGUUUCAACACCAUUGAUGCACCAACAAAGUUUAGACUAACAGCAGGAAAAACCUCCGCCAAACUGAAACAUAAAAUGUCAUUUAGGUCUUCAGAGCUUUUCUUCAGGGGGAAACUUAAAAAAUAUUUAGAGAUAGAACCAACCUGGUGGUUACAUGAUAACACUGGUUUUCAUCUGAAAUGAAAAGAGUCAGUGAUGGUGAAACAGCUGAAGUUAUCUACACAUCCCAACACAAAAUAAGCUUUUAGUAAGGAGAAGAUAUCUUAUUUUUCAGACCAAACACCACAAAUCAACCCAUAAAUAAGACCACGUGAAUAAACUUACCGCACGAACGAAAGGAACGUAAGCAUCUUCAACAAGGUAUGCCAAAGUUGUUCCUGAGUCGAUAAUAGUUCCUCUGUCGUGUGAUGUGAAGGUUGCUGGAUCAAUUGGCAGGAUUUUCCCAUUUACAGCAAUGCUCUGCAGAUUUAAAUAAUAAUGGUGCCUGAAAAUAAUGGUGAAGGACGUUAUAUGAAAAAAUCAAAGACAAAUAAGUAAUAUAAGAUAGCUAACAAGUAAAAGUUUAAAAGUGACAGCAUCUCACCAACCCUUGGUGAAUAAAUUGAUUUCAUAUAAUAAAUUGUAGCAAUACACACUAGAAGAAUUUUGGACAAUAAUCACUAUUUUUUUAACCAAUUAUCAUAUAAGUUACUAUUGUCCUUUAACUUAGGCAAAUUUUACUCUUUAUUGGUAAGUUGAGAAUUGAGACUAUUAAUGAGUUUGUUUUCCAGUAACUAUUAGACAAAAAUAGACUAGGUUAGAAAUUUGGUUUUCUUGGUUAUGUAAACCAACGGAAAUCAGUGGCUGUAAACCCUUGUCUUUAUUUCCUUCUCCCAUUCCCUAGUCUAAACCCUAGUCUUUAUUUCCUUCUCCCAUUUUCUUUCCCACCAAAAUUCACAGUUUGAUAGUAAAAAUUACAAGCAGAAAGAAAUAAGAGAAAGGUUUCAAGAGACGUACCGUGGUGGAACAAGAGGACUGUAAACAAUACUUGGCUCCAAAAUCUCACCAAGAGCAAGUAUGCCCCCUCCUUUUUCAUCUCCCUUCAAACAAUGAGAGAACACUUUGGGAGUCAACCCUCGAGAUGACAACUGCGAUAUAACAGACAGAGGCCCUUGGCUAAACCCAAAUAUCCCAUCCAGUGUUGAAAGUGAACUAGUCAAACCCCCAAACUCAUAGGUAGUGCACCUGUAUGUUUCCAGCACCAUCAGCCAAGGCAAUUUCAGAAUUAAUUCAAUCAACACAACAAAACAUGCUUAUAAUCAGAGAAAUUAUUCUGCAUAAUAUUAAUUAUUUGAUGAAGUUAAGUCUCAUGGUUUCAUUGAAGUCCAAUGGAUGAAUGUAUAUACAUCAAGGUCAGUGGGAGCAAUUUUAUUUUUCUUAUUCUUUAUGUUGAUGACAUACUUUUAGUAAGUAAAAAUUUGACACUACUACAUGACACAAAGGCUUUUCUGUCACAAGCUUUUGACAUGACAAAUCUUGGAGAAGCAUCAUAUGUGUUAGGAAUUGAAAUCAUUCGAGACAGAGAAAGGGGUUUUCUAGGCUUAUCUCAGAAGGGAUACAUUGAGAAGGUAUUAAAAAGGUUUAACAUGCUAAACUGUGCAGGAGGAGAAGUGCCAGUUUCCAAAGGAGAUAAACUAAGCACUGAACAGUCACCAAAAACUGAGCAAGAGAGGUUGGAAAUGGCUGACAGACCUUAUGCCUCUCUAGUGGGAAGUUUGAUGUAUGCUCAAGUCUGUACCAGACCAGAUUUAGCCUUUGCAGUGAGUGUUUUGGGAAGAUUUCAGUCUAAUCCGGGACAAGCACGUUGGGUUGCGACAAAGAAGGUACUAAGGUACCUGCAGAGAACUAAAAAUUACAAACUGGUUUACAGACAGAGUGAGGAUCUAGAGUUGGUAGGUUAUGCGGAUGCAGACUUGGGAGGUUGUGUUGAUUCAACGAAAUCUACUUCAGGUUUUGUAGUCUUGUUUGAAAGUGGUGCUGUGUCUUGGAAAAGUGUGAAGCAAACUCUCACUGCAACUUUAACAAUGCAGGCAGAGUAUAUUGCUUGUUAUGAGGCAACAAGUCAAGCUAUUUGGCUCAAGAACUUUAUCACAAGUUUACAAGUUGUGGAAUCACACGAAAGGCCGAUUCAGAUUUGGAAUGACAACAGUUCUGCUGUUUUCUUCGCCAAGAGCAAUAAAAGGACAUCAGGUAGCAGACACAUAAAAUUCAAGUAUCUGUCAGUAAGGGAAGAUGUUAAAGAAGGCCUUGUAAAUAUUGACCACACUGACACUCACUCUAUGGUAGCAGAUCCAUUGACUAGAGGAUUACCAAAUGGAGUUUUUCAAAGGCAUGUUAGGAAUAUGGGACUGUUUCAAGUUUCGAUGAGUGCAAUUAGUGGGAGUUAUUUGAGUAGUCUAUCUAGAGUUCACAAAGCAGACAAUGUUUUUCUAGCUAUUUUCAGUUGUUUUUAUUUAGCUAGUUUUGCUUUUUAUUCAGUUUUGCAAAUUACUUGUUCUUGAAUUAAUUUGCUUAUCAUGACAAAUGAAUAUGGAGGUAUCUGUUUGUGGAACCACUUAGCUAUAAAGACUGCUAUUCAUCAAAGUGUCAAGACUGUAUUUGUUUAUUCAUGAUUGUGUGCCUUUAAAACAACUCACCCAAAAAUAAUGGAUGCUGAAGAGUCAAUAUAGGAUUGCCCCUGAAUCCGGUCAAAAUGUAGUGUAUCCGAUACGUAAUGACCAAAUAUCCCACUUCCAUCUGCAUAUUGAGUAGUGUAACUGCACUGGUUAGUCUGAGGAGAACAUUUGGCUUGAAAUGCGGAGGUGCACAUUGAACAGGGGAUCAACCGUGCAGUUGAUGAGCUGUUAGAAUCAUAGGAACUGAGCUGAAUCUGUAAAACAUGGAACAGUAAUUGUUAAGCUUUACUAUGCAAGAAUUUGAGAAUGACAUACAGCAAGAAAAAGAAGCAGAAGUUUACGGGAAGCCAAGUAGUCCGGGGGCAAUCACUGCAGGAAUUGCAGGUAACCCACAAGUUUUCACUUCCAGUGUCAAUCUGCACGUUGAAUUCUUUUGGCGGAGAGCCCAAUUUGACUUUGGUAUAAUAAAGCCUGAAUAUGGAAGAAUUGAAGAUGAACAAAAGUGAUUAGCAGAAGUCAAACAUGAUUCCAUAUCUGACGCUACAAAAGAUAUCAAAGUAAUAAAGAGUUGGCGGCAAACAUGAGCUUCUCUUCUCCAACAAUUUGGUUGAAAAGCGGCGGUAACCUACCUAGGGAUAUUCAUGCUCUUUCAGUGGUCCGUGGUGGACCACCAUGUGGCCUCUUAUCCCUUUUAGCCGAGAAUGGCAUUCUUCGUUCAUUUUUCUUUUUCCCUCGAUAGCCAUGCAAAAGCUUUUAAUUUUCACUAAAACGGCAAAUGCUUUUAAUGCAUGAUGUGUCUUAAAAGAUUCUUCCUCAGUCACUGCUUGAGGGGUUUUCAAAAAAGCCAAAAGAGUUAUAUCAUACAAAUUUGAUUUCCUGUUUUACCCUUGCUCAAACAAAAACACCACAACCCAAACGACGUCAAUCCCCAAGGGUAAAAUGGGAAACCAAGCUCUUCCAGCUUUUUGGAAAUCCUCAACUACGCUGUAAGCAAGCAUGAUGAUUCCAUCCCUUUUCCCAAAUAGAUUUUUGGGCCCAAUAUUGUCCUAUUUUAUAUUAAAAAUACAAAACACACAAGAUCCAUUGUCCCUAAUUGAAAAGGACGCCCAGAACUUCCAGAAGCAAGCCAAACUUAGUCAACAUAAAUUAUGAAAAACAAAAUUAUAUAUUCCCUACUCUAAAAAUCCAUCAAUCAUCAACAACCGAAACAGCAUUAACAUUUUCACCCCAAAAAAAAAAAAACAGUAUUAACAAGAGACUCAAGCCCUCUACGUUUGAUGAUAAAAUUAUCCAAGAAUUAUUAGCAAUGACGAUAAAAAUUACCCGGCCAAGUUCGGAUCGGAGGUGCCGUGGAGUGGGAAGUCCACAACGCUGCCCGUCAAGUUUUGCAAGAGUCGGGCGUGCCUGACUCGGUCAUGAGCUCGGAGCUGCUCACUCUGUCCGUGGUGACUCGGCGGAUAAAUCCGUUCUAAAGAAAGAAAGGUGGACGGAGUGGUCAAGCCACAGUAGACAAGAGAUAGCAGCACGACGAUGGAAGCCAGGAUCCGAGCCUUCAAGCCCUGCAUUUCUGCAAAAUGGUGGUGGCGAGAGAGAUCUGAAGUUGUGGCGGUGGCGAGUAGGUGAAAAGGGUUGGAGAUGGAGUUUCCUCAGAGUAGGGCUGGGCACGGUUUUUAAACCUUUAUGACUUGAGAGACCCAAAAGGGAUUGUGGUUGAGGAACAAGUGUUGGGGUUUUCUUUUUUGGCUCUGUUUGAAUUUCCUCUGGUGCGAAUCAGUUGCAGGCUAUAAUGUAGUCCUUCAUGGCCAUGCAAAAGCUUUUAAUUUUCACUAAAAAUGCAAAAGCUUUUAAUGCAUGAUGACCCCAUCCCUUUUCCCAAAUAGUCCCGAGUCGCUGUUGCCAAGCUUACACGUGCUUGAGGUCUUCAAAAAAGUUGAGUCCGAAAAUUGGGGGUUUGGAGUGGAGUGCAGUGGGUAGGAAUUUUGUUGGCAGUGGGGAAGUUCAUACGGCACAUGAACGCCAUGGAACCCUGAUUUGCUAGUGUUUGCGGUUGGAAAAAAUGAGUUAUGUGGCUCAAAUGAGUGGUAAGUGAAAAAAUCAGAGGAGGUAGGGGUGGUGAUUAAGGGUGUCGAAGAGGCAAGCAGAGAACGGGUUUCUCAUACUGUCAGACAUUGAUUUUAGGGUUCCAAUAAUUAUACCAAUUGAUAGGUACCAACAAGCAAAAAGAAAAAUAAAGCAAUAAAAGAGAAAUUAAAAAGGAUCCCCCAAAAUGGCCAAAGGCCUUAGACUAAAUACAAUGAGAUUGAGAACUCAGCAAUAUAGAUACGGAAAGAGAAUCUAAAGAGAAUCUUUUAUGUAUUUGAUUUUGAGUUAUAGAAAGAAAAAAAAAGGAAAAAAAAGAGAGAGAUAAAAAACAUAGAACAUAAAAGAUUUCUAUGCUCAUAGAGUAUUUUCCAGAAAUCCUUGAAAACUAUUGGUACUUUCAAGUUCCAACUCUCUAUUUUCCUGAAAUUCUCAAAUCCAUGGCAAAUGGAUAAAAGAAGAAGACCUUUCAAACUACAAUCAAGCAUCAUUGAUAGCAAUGUUGGACCAUUCCAAAUAACAAAAGGGAUGCACAAACUUUGACAGAAAUUACUGAAUGACAAAAACUUUGCACAACCCUAACAUAUAUUUAGGCCAAAAUCUCUAUGCACCAAGCCUUGAAUGUUAAGGUAUCUAAUUAUCUAAUUAGAAUUACCUUAUCUGAUGAAGGGUGAAAGCUUAGCACUAUCUAAUGUUUUUACUAAGAAGCAAACCAAGGAAAUUCUUACUUUCCUGCUACGAAGGGAACGCCCUUUGUAGAGUUAGCCGGUAUCUCCCCUUGCAAGCCAGGAAUGAUCUCAGUCAUUGCUUGAACAAGCUUGGGAUCUUCACUGUUGCUUUCAUAAAAAAAGAUAUUAGAAAAAAAAAACAGAUGAAUUUGAAGAGUACCAAUUAACAUCAAGGCCUUACGCAAAACAUUGUUCUAGGCAAAAAACCAAAACAUUGUUCUUGUUGUAAUAGUGGAGUCCCCAAAAUGCCCCCCCUCAAGUCCUAUAAAUAGGGCUUCAUCUUCUACUUGUAUGUACAACAAUCAGACAGCAAUAGAAGAGGAAUUCAGUUUCUAUACUUCUCUCUCUCUCAAUCUCCUCUCCAAUUUCUCCAGUUUUAUAACACGUUAUCAGCACGAUUAUCUCUAAAAUACUAGCUGAGAAAUUCUUCAAAGCUUCCAUCUUUUUCUUCCACCAAUGAAGACCUUGCUGCCCAAACGCCUCCUUGGACCACUAUCUUUAUUGGGUCCUUCUGACUCCUACUCCUUCCCCUUCUCUGUCUCUCAGCUCGAAGCUAAGGUCAUGGCUCUGCUGACCCGAGCCUCACGCAUCCCUCUCCAGCUCUUUUGACAAGAAAAAAGUGGAGGCCAUGGAACAUAUUGGGGCUGAUGAGUACCUGAUCAACUCAGAUACCACUAAAAUGCAAGAAGCUGCUGAUUCGUUGGAUUACAUUAUUGACACAGUGCCUGUGGUCCACCCACUUGAGCUCCUUGGUAAAGCAGUUGGAGUUUAUUCUCAAAGAAUUCAACGACUGGAAGGAGAAACAUCGGGUAUGCAGGCAGCACAAGAUGAGAUCAUUAACAAUGAACCGAUGAGUAGUCUCAGAAAAGCUGCUGGUGGCUCAAAUGGGUUUCGAGGAGUCACUCUGGCAUCCAGUGAUCACUUCUUCAUGCCCGGUUCAAUGGAGUAUGAUGGAGACAGAGGAGAUGCUUCCUCAGCAAAGUUGAAAAGGCUGGGCUUGUAACCAAGGCAGAGGAUGCGACGGUGCUGACCAUGUGGAAGAAGUCUUUGCUGCUCAACUGCAAUGGCUUCACCGUGUUCAACAACAAGGACCCUCGAUCCCCGUCACCGCGACCCUCACGGCUGAGAAUGUCGGCGGGGUUGACGUGUCUCCGAUCGAGAAGACGACGUUGGAUGCGAUGGACGACUUCGUCGACUGGUGAUGUCGGCCGGCGAGCCGAUGCCAAGAGUCGUCUUCGACACCGCGCCGAGCUUCAAGGAGGCCUUUCGGAUGGACUGACCGGACGACGAUGGAACCGGCGCACCACGUAGCAUGCCGCCGGGAACAACGCCGCCGAUGCCCGCCACCUUAGCCGCCGCCCUCAUGACUCCGCCUCCCAUUGAGAGCAAGCUCUGCAGGACAUGGACAUGGCACCAGAAUUUCCAGACAAAGAAAGCAAAGGACUCGGUGAAUGAGCAAAACCCAAAGCCAAAGUGCCAGAACACGAAGAGGAAAAAGGCGGUUUUGGCCUUGUUCGACAAGAUUGAUGUUCUGGAUAUUGAAAAAGUUUUGGUUCAAUUGGGACAGUCUAGCUGGCCAUGAUGGAUCCAAGCGGCACCGACCCGUUAUCCUUCCACUACCUUCACAUGUUUUGGAUCAGCGGAUGAUGAUGAGAGUCACCCACUGAUAAAGAAAAGCAAACCCACCGAAAAAAAUAAAUAAUAAAUAAUAAAAAAAUGCUGAAGCUAAAGUGCUGAAGCAUCUUUUAAUUAAAAAUAAUAAUUAAAAAAAAUUAAAAAACAGCAAAACCCACCGACCCACCGAAGGAAUAAGCGAUAGGAUCUCUGCUCCCUUAUCUUCUCUAUUAUUUCCUAUUAUUUUUAUCUGCUUUUCUUUUACUAACCAUUAACAAAAAUGGACCAUCGGUAAUACUAAACAUAUUAUCAGUGGGAGACCGUUACUAAUACUAACAAUUUAAUUUAUGAAUUUAAUUUACUGCACAUUUACAUUUAUUUAAAAAGGGUGGUGCGGGUUUAUCGUCCACGCCUUUACUUUUAUUUAAAUGUAUGGUGCAGAAUUAGUGCCCAUACAAGCACCUUUACUUUAUGAAUUUACUUUACCGCACAUUUAUUUUAUUUACUGUAUGGUGUAGGUUUAUUACCCAUACAACAGUAUUUAUUUAAAAGGGUGGUGCGGGUUUAUCGUCCACGUCUUUACUUUUAUUUAAAUGUAUGGAGCAGAAUUAAUGCCCAUACAAGCACAUUUAAUUUACCGCACAUUUACAUUUAUUUAAAAGGGUGGUGCGGGUUUAUCGUCCACGCCUUUACUGCUAUUUAAAUGUAUGGUGCGGGUUUAUCGUCCAUACCAGUAAUUUAUUUACCAGCAAUUUAUUUUAUGGACUAAAUGUGCUGUAUGAUGAGUUUUUUUUUUUUUUUACAGUAUAUAGAUCAGGACCAGAAGUUCCUUGAUCCUCAUCAUACAAUUACAUCAUGACUUGAAGAUCCUUGAUGAUGAUGUUAAUAUGAGAGCUGGCAGUCUCUCCGGUACUAUAUUUGUAAACAUGUGAUCGGACUUGAGGGUCCUUGAUCCCUGACAUGUAAAUAAGGACCUGGGGUUCCUUAAUGAUGUAACAGUACCAUAUUGGUUUAUUAUGCCGUACACAUGAAUGAUAACUGUACUGGCAAAUGUACUGGAACCUGCAGUUCCUUAAACUCAUGGAUGAACAAUUAAAUGAGAUGCCAGAAGUUCCUCAAAAUAUGGACAAUUAUGUAAGGACUUGAAGUCCAGAAAUAUGUACAGAAAAUUGUAAAAAUGUCCAUACCAUGAGAAUAUGUGAUUUUGGCCCGAAGUUCAAAAUCUAAGGGGAUUGAAUGUCCAUACCAUAAGAAUAUGUGAUUUUGGCCAGAAGUUCAAAAUCUAACAGUGUUGAGAACCUGAAGUUCCAACAAUUAAAUGGACAACCCUUGAGGUAUUAUUGCAAAUUGUGGUACGCCACAUAUCUCUUUGGCAUAAGAGAAUGAUGAAUUGAGGCUCCCCACAUAUUUUGUUAUAUCUGGGCCGGAAACUCAUGAACCCAAAUAUAUGAGAUAUUAUCGUGGCUUUUACUCAAUUCAUAUUUCAUGUCCAUUUUGAAAAGGGCAAAUAAAUUCUGAGUUUGUGUUUAGCCCAGGCCAUAAGUUCCGGGCUCCCAUACGUUGAAAUAUGAAAUUUGGGAGAGUCGAUGUGGUCAUUUGAACCUAUAAGGCACAAGGUUCCAAACCGUCAUUUUGAAAAGACGUAAAAACCACAGGUGCAAAUUUUAAGAAUGUACGCAAUUAUUAUAACAGGAAAGGAGCAAGUUGAAACGCAGUUGCUCCAAUCAAAUUUUGCAAAGGCCAUAUCUAUAGGAGGAAAUAUGGCUACAGUUUCCAGGAUCCCAAUAUUAUCUCAGAUCCCCAUAUUAUCUUUUUCUUUCCCAGAGUCCAAAACUUCAUGUGGCCUCUGAUAAUGUCUGUCGGCACUUUCAGCAUUUUCAAGUAUUAUUUUCGUCAAAGCUGAUCUUGCUUUACGGAUUUCACGGAGCUAUUUUUUCAAAAGUGCCCCGAGAAUCUCGCAAUUUUACUAUGGUUAAUUUGAAAUUCACCAGUUCUACCUAUUCAUCUUACUUAUGUAUAAAUGUGUUACUAAUGAAAUUUUCUUUGCAGAAGACAUCCAGUUUUCUCCAUAACUAGUGAUGCGAUAUCUACUUGUUUUUCUUAUCAGUGAGCACUUAAUAUGCCCGAGAAGCAAGACUAUCUCUGAUCAUCCAAUCAGGAAGCGAGACUAUCCCUGAUCACGUUUCCGUCACAUCCGGGAACUGUGAAGGCGACCUUAUGCUCUAAUCUCCUAAGGUCCUUCUAGACUAGGAGAAAUGAGAGCUUGUUGUUUGCUCCCACCAGCUUCCUUCCUUGAUUGCUUACCUUACUUUGCAAUCAAUAUCACAAUCUUUGUAUCUUUUCUUUCUUUUUAUAACUCUCUGUUCAUUAGGGAUUCUAUUUCUUUAGAACGAACAUCCGAAGAAAGAAUCCAUACGGUGAUCCUAACUCUAAGGGUUAUUUAUUUAUUUUUGACAGAGAGAAGUAUUGUGACUUUUUGCUCUUGCAGGAUAUAACUAGAUCAUCAAGCGUUAUUGGACCGAUACGAGCUUGAAUGAUACUUGAGAAAAGUUUCUCCCACCUAAGGAUGAUAUAACUAGAUCAUCAAGCGCUACAUUUACUGGGCCGAUACAAGCUUGAAUGAUACUUGAGAAAAGUUUCUCCCACCUAAGGAUGUAAGCAAUACUUGUGUUAUUUUUUUGCUUAUAUACUUAUUUGAUAUUUUAUCUUGAAAGGUAACUAAAUGGGAAGAUAAGUCCAAAAGAAUGGCUUGUAUGUAUCCAUGAAUUAUUAAUGCAAAUUUUACAGAUUGCAAGUUGGAUACAUUGAUAAUACACUGCACAGAUUAAUGUACCAUAAUGACAGAUAUAUGGGUGCACGCCUGUUGCGUAGCAAAUGAUAUGGAUUGAAGUCCCGAAAGGACAAUCCUUUGACAUGUCAAUAUUGAUAUUAUGCACGCCUAAUGCGUAGCAAAUUAUAUGGGUUAGAGUCCCAUAAUAUGGGUUAAAGUCCCAGAAAUUAAUUGACAUGUAUGUAUUAAUCUGUGGCAUGCCUGCAGCAUGACAGAUAUAUGGGUUCUAAAUGUUCCAACUCCCUAAAUGGAGAUUUUCCACGCCCUAUGUAAAAUAACGCUCCAUUGGAGGUUAUAAUCCACAUUCUCACAUAAUAAAAGCCCCCUGAAGUGGCUUGGGUACCCAAAAGCAAAGAAAUGCUUAUAAUUGAUGCAUGCGCAUGCACAUGAGAAUGGUGAGAUUAUGAAUUGAUGAAUGACAAUUUUUGGUUUUGGAGUAGCUACUCAAAUCAUCAAUGGGCUGUGUUGAUUGGAACCAUGUUCAAUUAUUAAAUGUCGACAAUAUCAUUGGCCAAAAUGGAAUGAGGUAAUUCCAUUAUAGAUGAGAAUGAACGUGAAAGAACAAACCCACAGUACGAACCCCAAAAGAUGUUAAUACUGAAAUUUAUACUUGGGUGUUCGGAAUAAAAGGGAAUAUACCUGCCUUGUAUGACACACUGUUUCUGGCAGAAACAAGGAAUGUUGGGUUUUUCUCCGUAUUUACAGAUUCAAUUGUGUCUCCCCCCCCCCUUAUUACACAAUUACGGAGACCAACAUAUUAUCUUUAAGGGUUAUUAAAUGCACAGAGCAUAUCGCCAGAAGCGAUUCCCUAAAGAUGUAUAAAUAGCUGGGUUAAAGCUAAAUAAUGUGUCAUAAAGUUUAAUCCCUUUUAACCAAAAUCCGUUGAAAGGAUUGACAUUGCAUAAAGCAAGUCCCUAAAGGACAUGUGCUUGAAGCACAAAAUUUGUACUCAAUAUUAAUAUGCAUAAAUUACCUCAGUGAGUACAUUGAUUAUAAUGUGAUUGCAACACAUUAUAGCUUCUGCAGAAUUCAUGAAAUACUUGUCUCGAUCGAGCAUUAUACCAACGAGAUUCUUACUUGUACUAAGAGAGUCUUAUCCGUUGGUCCUUAAAUGUUUUUUCGGAAGUAUACUAGACCAGAUAGAGCUCAGCUCUACACUGUACUCUUUUUCCUUCAUCCAGGUUUUUAUCCCAUUGGGUUUUUCCUGGUAAGGUUUUAACGAGGCAGUGUCACUCAAGGGUUUAGGGUAUACUAUGAAAGUUUUUAUGGUCGCUUACUGGACAAAAGCUAGUCCUAAAUUUUUCAGGGGGAGAUAUUCAUCAGGGGGAGAAAGGUUUUAAUAAAGACCUUCAUACACUGUACUCUUUUUCCUUCAUCCAGGUUUUUAUCCCACUGGGUUUUUCCUGGUAAGGUUUUAACGAGGCAGUGUCGCUUAAAAUUGACUCACAGAAGCAGUGUCAACUACGAUAUUCAGAAAGGUGAUCAACAGCAUGACUUAAAGAUAUUUUUGCCAAGCAUCAGGGGGAGCGCACCAUCAAUAAAGAUCUUCAAACACCGUACUCUUUUUCCUUCGUCCGGGUUUUUAUCCUACUGGGUUUUUCCUGGCAAGGUUUUAACGAGGCAGUGUCGCACGCGCAUCAAUAUACUUAGAAUUUUAUGUACAUGAUUAUGUACUCUUUUUCCCUUUGUCCAGUUUUUGUCCCACUGGGUUUUUACUGGCAAGGUUUUUAACGAGACAUAUUCUGUAUCAUUUGUGGUCUCCAAGGGGGAGUGUUGUAAUAGUGGAGUCCCCAAAAUACCCCCCCUCAAGUCCUAUAAAUAGGGCUUCAUCUUCUACUUGUAUGUACAACAAUCAGACAGCAAUAGAAGAGGAAUUCAGUUUCUAUACUUCUCUCUCUCUCUCUCAAUCUCCUCUCCAAUUUCUCCAGUUUUAUAACAGUUCUAGGUUUUAAUAUUUAUAAUCCUGAUAUUAUGAGACAAAGAAUGAAUGUGUAUAAGUUUUAAGGAUUUUGUAAAGUUCGCCAUUAUUUUCUUAGGUGAUGAGUUUGUUUUACUAGUAAAAGAUGGAAAUGUUUUAUUUUUAUUUUAUUUUUAUGUUAUUCUUAUUUUUACUUUUGUUUCUAUUUCUAUUAUUAUUAUUAUUAUUAUUAUUAUUAUAUAUAAAUCUAAGUCAGUAAUAUGUAAAUUGAUUUAUGAAUUAGAGGAAGUCUAGUGAGUGGACUUUUGUUUUAUAAAUGAUUUUAUGCAAAUAAGUUUUAUUAUUUGAUCUUGAACGAGUCGUUAGGAUUUUUACUUUCUGAGCAUGAUUGUUGAAUUUCGAAUAUUUUUACUAUAUUAUGCUUAUAUAUAUAUUAUAUAUAUACAGUCCCGAUCUCUUGGACCACAGGAGUCCAAGAGAUUGUGGUCACCCACCGUUGGAUAUUAAUCCAAUGGUUCAAAAUGAUAUAUAUAAAUGCAAUAUGACAUAAAUGAUUAUUACCCGAUUCAAGUCAACCGUUGAAUUUACAUCCAACGGUGGGUGACCAUAAAUCUCUUGGACUACAGGGGUCCAAGAGAUCAGGACUGUAUAUAUAUAUAUAUAUAUAUAUAUAAGUUGAGCAUGGCUUGGAAGUAGAAAGGAUAGUGGCAACAUAAUUUAAGGAUGGAUGAGAAAUGGUAUUUAUGAUUUUCCAAGAAAUGUUUUUUUUUCCUAAACCACCAUAGGUACCCAUGUUGCCUUUGUAAUAAAUAUUUUCUUCGGAAUAAAUGGUUGCCUUCGGUUAUGUUAGCACGUUUGACAGUUGCCCCACAAAUCUUAGGGAUAUCCGGACCGUGCGGAGUGAGGAAUGUGGAUCAGGUUGACCAGAUGUCUCCUGAAUCUUGCGAGGAUUGCGGCUCGGGUCGACUUUGUGUUACCAAGACCUGCGAGGAUGUGUCAAUGCUUUAAACUGAGUUAAUGAUUUAUGUAAAUGUGUGAAUUGUUAUAUAAAUAUAACUAUGCAUGUUCGGUUUCUGUAUGAGUAUGGCAUGUGAAUGUCAUUGAGCAAAUCGCUGACUUGAGAACUUGGAUGGAUUUGUAAUCACAAUGGACAAUAAUAAUUGACGAGAUACACAAGUGCAGUAUACAAAGUGAAAGAACUAUGUGUGGCUUGAUCCCUCAGUAAGGGUACUUAGGCAACCUAGUGUUACUAGGUGCAGCCACGAGAUGGAGUGUUUGAAAUUGUUAAUGUACUAUUGAUAUCUUAAAGUUGAGAUCAAAUUCAGCUAGCAGCACGAUUUACUUGUGUUAAUGAGGCCUAAGGCCAUAACAUUUUGAUGUUUGAAUGUAUGUAUUCUGUCAUUGUGCAUGCUGAACGAUUGAGGACAUUAAAUUGCUUGUUUUAUACAGGUAAAAAUUUUGGGAAACGAGCAAAUUAUAGGGGAGACUGCUGAAUUUUUGGCAGAAGUCAAACUUGAAGUCAAAUUUUGAUUCUAGUUAGAAGGGUAUUUUGGUCAAGUGUGCUCGACACCUGCCAGGUGUCAGACACGCACAGGGUUCGGCUUAGAUUCCAAAGUGAAAUUUGGGUCGGGUCUUGUCAAUACAAUAGGAAUACAAAAGCAAUAAAUGGCUAUACAAUGGCAAUACACAAACUUCAUACUCCCCUAUAAAUUUAUUCAAACAUAAACUUGAAAAGAAAAAAAAAGAUAUACGGGAGCAAUACAAUAGCAAUACACAUGCAAUAAAGGGUUAUACAAUGGCAAUACACAAACUCCAUACUUCCCCUAUAAAUUUAUUUUAACAUAAACUUGAAAACAAAGGAUAUAGGAGGCAAUACAGUAGCAAUACACAAGCAAUAAAGGGCUAUACAAUGGCAAUACACAAACACCAUAUCCCCCCACAAAUUUAUUCCAACACAGACUUGAAAAAAAAAAGGAUAUACAAGGGCAAUACAGUAACAAUACACAAGCAAUAAAGGGCUAUACAAUGGCAAUACAAAAACUCCAUACUCCCCUAUAAAUUUAUUCCAACACAGACUUGAAAAAAAUAGAUAUAUGAGGGCAAUACAGUAGCAAUACACAAGCAAUAAAGGGCAAUACAAUGGAAAUACACAAACUACAUUCUCCCCCUAUAAAUUUAUUCCAACACGAACUUGAAAAAAAAGGAUAUAAGGAAGUAAUACAUUGCCAAUACAAAAGCAAUGAAGGGUUAUGCAAUGGCAGUACACAAACUCCAUACUCCCCUAUAAAUUUAUUAAAACAGAGAUUUGAAAAAACGGAUAUACGAGGGCAAUACAGGAGCAAUACACAAGCAAUAAAUGACUAUACAUAUGCAAUACAUAUCUGUCAUGGCAUUUGCCAAUUAAAUCACUAAUUUGGUUACAUUUGUAUUUUUUUUCUUUUUUGUAAGGGGAAAUGAUAAAACUAUGAAAACUAGUCUUUCAUAAAUUGAUGAACUAACAAUGUUCUCUCAUUACAUCUUAAGAUAUACAGAAGAAAGUGACAAAAAACAAAAAAAUUUACAUCUCCUAUUGGUUUUAACACAUUUUAUAUGUAUCAACAAAAUUCUAGGACAUCUCAAAUUACACCUGAAUUUAAGCUGAAACACUACCAAAAAAACACACACUAGCCACUGAUAUGAAUUUGUCCCCUAAGUUUAUUUUAGAGACAAUAAACAAUAGAGACUAUGUAGCGUCUAUUUUUAUAUCAGUAUCCUAAUUUGGGGUUGCUAUUACUCAUUGGGUAACAUUUAUUGGUUCAGUCCUUCCCUAUUUUCCAUUAAAGGUAUGCUUUUUUAAGAUACGAGCCAAGCCAUAUUGAAUGGCCCCAAACUUGGGAUCUGAUACUUGGGGUUUCCAUUGAUUAUAAGAUACUGUUAUCCCUAGGGGUGGGCAUUAAAAUCGGAAUAUCGAAACCAUCCCGAAACUGUGCCAAUCUUGUGCCAUCUCGUUUGGUGUUGACGUGUAAACAGGAUGAUACCGUGUCAUCCCGUUACUGUUUGGCACGACAUCAGUUCCAGUUUGUGAUCCCGUUUGGUGCCAUACCAUACCGAACAAUAUAUGUAAAUAAUAAUCCUAAUUUAAUUUCAGUUAUUCCUCCUCUCUCUCCACAAACAUUUCAACUCAGCUUUGUUUCUCCUCAGUAUGUUUUCCUAAGCAAUAGCUCCCUUAUUAGUUUUCCUAAGCCUAAAGGGAUCUCCCUAUCUAUCCUGUUUCUUUCUUUCUUCUUCUUCUUCUUCUUCUUCUCCUUUUUCUCUUUCUUUCUUUUGCUUUCUCUCUCAUCUAGUAUGUGUAUAUGUGUGUCACACAAAAAAGCUAUAAGAGAAUUCAACGCGAAAAGGAAAAAUCAGAUCCCCUCCUUCACAAGUGUUAGGAAAUAACGCAGAUUUCCCUAUAAACCAGAUUAGUGAGAAUGCGAAAUAACAGAGGAAAUAAGACACACAAAUUUGAUAACGGAGUUCAGCCAAUUGUGCCUACGUCUCCGGACCUGCUGCAGAUCAUUUUACUAAAGGGAGAAAAUAUACAAAGUGUUUACAACACUCACAACUCUCAACUCACCCCGAAUUAUACUAAGAAUUUUUCUCACAAAAAUUCUUACACAAGCUUUUUCUCUUAAGCUUUUCUCUCAAACUCUCUCUAAUUCUCUAAUUCUGGGGAUGCACUACAAAUGAGAGCUACGGGAUUUAUAUAGGCUUCAAAAAACAUGGGUUGCCUAAGUUAGGCACCCCUUAUUUAUGCAUCUCCAUUGAUAAUUGCCUAAGUUAGGCACCCCUUAUUUUUAACCAAAAAAUGGUUGGUGCCCAUUUUCUUGACAACAAGAACCUUCCUUAUUUCUCUUCAUUUCCCACUCUCUCUCUCUCUCUCUUUUCAGUUUUCUAUCUCUAUCAAUUUUGAAUCAGUAACAUUUAUUUAUAAUAAAAAAAUUGGUUAAAGAAAAGAAAAAACGGAGACUAGGUAAAAAUGGACCUAGCCCUUUCAAAUAUUACAGGGCUGCAUGAAAACAAACUAACCCAAGUAGAGAAAACUGAUUCUGCUUUUUUUGGGUUCCCUUAUGGAAUAGUGGGUGAGAGAAUUUCAGGAAAAUAGAGAGUUGGAACUGAAAGUACCAAUAGUUUUCAAGGAUUUCUGGAAAAUGCUCUAUGAGCAUAGCAAUGUGUGAUCUCAUUUUUGUAUGUCAUCUUCUGUUUAUUUUUCAAUUGAUUCACAUUUUUGUUGCAUAUGUUCUUUUUUAUAAGUUUUUAUAGGGGAUGAUGUUCAUUCUAACAGUUUGCCUCUCUCCAAACUAAAUGCUAGGACAACACUUUUUUAUUUUCUAAACUUAAUCAAUAUUCAAGACUUUGAGACUAGGAUUAGAAAAGAAAAGUAAGGGAAAUGUUAGUAUGGUUGAAGGCAUAUCUACUUGCCUGGUAGCUCCAAGGCCAACAUUGUGGGGAAAGAUUGUUGCCUUGUAGACAUUGUUGUGGCCAUGAACAGCAUCAAUACCAUAAAUCAAUGGAAUUCCAAGCCGAGUUGAUAAAGAAGCCUUUUGAAAAUCAUUCACCAGUUUAACCCAAGUUUCUGCAGAACCCUUUUGUACUCUUAACAUUCACAACCCCACUUAAUAUACUCCCUGCCCAAAACAAAUUUCUUCUUCCCUUAAACAAAACUUACCUACAUAAAAUUAGACUUUUGAUUCCAGUGAUAGAGAAAAGAAAAGAAAAAUGGAAGUCAUGUUUACCAAUGAAGUACUUCUUCAUCACCUCAGCUGAUCAACACGGCUAUCUAUCUGCACCAUUUGGCCAAUCUUUUCCUCCAAAGUCAUCCGGCUCAUCAGAUCCUUGAUUCUAGUAUUUAAUAUUUAAUGUAUUCUGCUUCUGCUAUCGCUAUGCUGCAGAAAGAUAAGAGAAGCAGCCCCGCCAAGAAGACGGGAAGUCUGGCCAUUUCCUGUCCCAAAAUAUUUACACAUGAAUCAAUACCCAAGUAGAAAAGCCACUUUAAGGUAGGAAGAGGAAUGAUCAACCAAAAUUAAGAAAAAGUAGACACUCUACAACCAGAAAUGAAACAGUUAAAGGUGAACCUUUUUUUUUUUUUUUUUUUUUUUAAAGAAAAGUAUUAAGCAACCAUCUUACUAUGUUUAAAGAGAAAGAAAUCAAAAGGACCCUUAUAUUGAAGUAGAGAAUUAAAGAGCACCCAGUUUUUAAGACACUAAAAGACAAUAAAAAAGUUACAUUUCUUCAAGUCAGAAACAGAACACAUGCAUAGUAGCUGUUUGGUUUCUAAGAAAACAAAGGAAAAUUUAAAGAGAAUUGUGACUAUGAAUUUAUAUAUAUGGUUUCUUGCCAUUUCCUGAUUAAACCCAACUGAGAGCUCUGUAAUUGAAUCACCACUAGGCUCAGUUGAAUGGAGGACUCCAUCAUUCUGGAAACUAAAAGUUUCUUGUUUCUCAGCAAACAAACAUGACAUUAAAGAACUUGCAUGUGGAACAAGAAACACUAGAAAGUGAGAAAGAAGCAAAAGAGACCAAGAGGCAAUACCUCUGCUCGGUUGAAGGAAGAGAGUGAGAGGCAGAGAGAGUUGCAUGAAAAAUGUAAAAUUGGGACUUAAAAAAAAGCAGCUUUGUCUUGAUUUACCAAACCCCUUUUCAUUCAGAAUUUUUAAAAUAAGCUGCUUAUUUUAAAAGCACAGCAACCCUUCAAAGGAAGUUGGCUGUCAAGUCAAUUGAUUGAAAGCUUUGAUAUGAUACUUUUAUCUUAGCGGGUGCAGAAAACUGACUUCUAGGAACGUAAACUUGUUUGCUUCUUCAUUCAUGUACUCGUAAAUUAUCUGCUACUCUCUAUUGUUCCAAUUACCUAAGCAGUAAUACUUAAAGAGAGCAAGAAACGCCUUUAAUUCAGAAAAUGCUAAACAGAGCAACAUCUAAUAUAACCUUGACUUGUAUAGGACCCCAUGGCACGUUGGUGGUGUGUGUAAGAAACCCCCUCCCUUUCCAGUUUAGACUAUCGAUUGUAUUAAAAAAAUAUAAUAAUCAUAAAUUACUGAAUUAAAUAGUUAAACAACAACCAAUCACUCCAAGUUGAAGGCUAUAUGAGCGUCUGUCAGAAGGGGCUAGUAAUAAAAUGGCAUAACAACUUAUUUUAUACUGUACUAGAAAAAUAUAAGACCAAAUGCACGGAUGAUCAUGUACAUGGCCAAGACUUGUGAAAUUAUCUGCAAUCAUAUUUUCUUCUCUGAAGAUAUGUCGAACGCAAAAAGUGAAGAUUUGGUUCAGCAUAUGCCAAAUAUUCUGGAUGACAGAACGAAUAUUCCACGGUAGUCGGAUAUCUUUAUUGACAAUUUGCAAAACCUUUUAAUCUCUCUCAAUCUCUAUAUUGGAUAGUCGUAAUCUAAGAGCACACUGACGAGCAUGACGAAGAGCCAACGCUUUUAAUGUAAGUGUAUCCAUGACUUGUAUCUCACAACAUAUGAACUAGUCAUGUUAAACAUUGCUAAAGCAUUACCAUAAUUUCCAAUGCAAUACGAAUACUUAUGAAUGAAUGUUAGUUCACUAGAAUGCAUGUCUGAAAAAUAUACCUAUUGGAGUCAUUGAGAAACUUUACUUACGAAUUUAAAUUAAAGGCUCAUAAAUGAAUAAGCCUCUAAUUAAUAAUUUUAUUAUUCAGAUAAAUAACCAUCCAUUUUGAAGAGUACUACAUGAAUACCUAGUUGAAAUGGGUGGGGGUUGUAGUGAGGCCAAAUCCAAAUGGGAAGAGAGGGUCAUAAUGUGCAUCUCCAACAUUCAUAGGUAGCUGAUCGACUGUUUUGAACCAAGUGCGAGAAAGCUUUCCAGUGAAACCAUAGUCACCAAAUAAAACAUCAGCUACUCCUUGGCCUUCAGUUCCUGGAAGCCAAGCUGUGACAAGGGCAUCAAUCGAAGCAACAUAGGGUUGGAUCACAACAGGACGGCCGGAGAUGACAAUAACAACACAUUUCACAGUGCCGCAAACAUUAGUGAUGGUGGUCGGGCCAGGGUCGGGGAUUGUCAAAUUUAAGCUGUCACCAAAUGUCUCGGCAUAUGGAUGUUCUCCAACUACAACAAUGGCAUACGAGAUAUUAUUUGACUUCACAAAGUCAGCGUCAGGAUUCUCUUUGUAGACUACUUGUGCUUUUGGAUCCACUGUGUUCUUUAUGGCAGUAAGAAUUGUGGUACCUGUUGAAAAAAAAAAAAAAUCAGUUUCAUGUAAGAUUUUAGUUGUCCCUGUCAGGCCUCAGACAAACAUGUCUCCAGUCCUUUAUUUUUCAAAAUAGGUUUUGAUCAUAGUAUAAAAGCUCUUCGCUGCAGUACCAUUAGGUUGACAUUAUCUUUUACUAUAAUGAGGACCAAUUUUUCGAGCACCAAAAAGAUAAGGCUCUCAAAAACACCUUCUAUGAGAUUGUUUCUUGUUGAAGAAAAGUUUCAUAUAAGAUUUUAGUAGUCCUGCCAGGCCUCAUAGGCAAACAUUCAGUCCUCUUCUAUUGAGCUAGAAAUUUGAUUUUGACAAUCCGAACCGUCUAGUUUUCAAAUCUUCAUUCAUAGAUCAUCCUUGCCAAAAAAAAAAUUAGACAAAUUGAAAACAUGUAACUUUUUCCAAUGACCAUUAUCCUUUAUCUUUUAAAAUAGGUUUUGAUCAUAGUAUAAAAGCUCUUCUGUGCAGUACCAUUAGGUCAACUCCAAAUAAUGAUGACUUUCACACACCCAAAAGAGGAGGCUCUCAAUUUACCUUCUGUGAGAUUGUUGCCACUUAAUCCCUGCCACUCAAUAGUCCACCCACCACACUGAUAGCCAAGAUUAUCUGCAUGACUGCCAGCUACAAGUAUUUUUGAUGUCUUCUUGGGAAGGGGUAGCAAUGGCUUUUCAGCAGAUUCACCAUUCUUUAGCAGCACCAGCGAUCUCCUCACAGCUUCCCUAGCCAGUUCUCUAUGUUCCUGUGAAAUUAGUAAUACAAAACACAAGAUUAAGUUUUCCACAUUAGGAUUGCUUGUAGAAUGGUGUCAAGUUUAUCAAUAGCUACCUGACUGCCAAGCUGGUGGACCAGGCUCAUAUCAGCGAAUGGUUCCUCAAAUAAGCCCAUGACAAACUUAACUCGCAAAAUUCUCUUUACUGCAUCAUCAAUUCUGCUCAUGGGAAUGAUCUUAUUUUUCACCAGGAAGGUUAAACCGUCAAUGAAUUCCAUAUAGUUGUAUGGAACCAUGACCUUUCAGAUGCAGAGAAAUAGGUGUGUUAGAAGUCAACUAACUAACAUCAUCAAGUUAUUCAAUUUAAUUUAAGAAAGAAAGAAAGAAGAAAAAAAAAAUGCCAACAAAAAGAGAUGCAGAUUAUUACCAUGUCAAUGCCAGCAUUGAUUCCUGCCUGAAUUGAAUAAGAGUAGUUGGCAUGAGGUGGAGAGGUGAUCCUAUCAAUACCCUCCCAAUCUGAAAUGACAAAACCCUGAAACAAUCCACAAGGUUGUACAAUAAUGCUUUAGUUUUUAAAUUGAUAUUAGUGAAACGGACCAAGAACGGAAAUAAAAACAGAAAUAUGAUUUUACCCUGAAACGUAGCGUAUUCUUAAGGAAGGCAGUGACAAGAUCAUGAUUAGCAUGCAUCUUUACUCCAUUCCAGCUUGAGUAGGAUACCAUAAUGGUUGCCACACCCUUGAUAAUUGAGUUAUAGUAGCCUGGCAUGUGAAUGCUGAGCAAGCCGUGUCUGUUAAUCACAGUGUUAUUCUCAUUGAUGCCUUUGGUUGUUCCACCGUCACCCACAAAAUGCUUUGCACAAGCUGCAACCUUUUUACUUCCAACAGAAAUAACAGAAUAUUAUAAACAAAAUAGCUUGUAAAAUUAAUAACAAACUUAUUGUUUGGAAUCAAAAAAUUAUUAAUGAUUUUUAGAUAAUGUGUAACGAGAACUGGAAUCGUAAAUACGCCCUUUCCUCUAUGGUGAUUGAUAAUUCUAAUUACUAAUAUUAACAGUCCCUUUAUGCACAAAUCAGAGUGCAACAAUAUGGGGAGAACAGUAGCCUUUGCAACCAUAGUAAAUUAACUUUGCAGUUCCUAGAGUACCUACUGAUAUUUCUCUGAAGGAGCUUAAAUGCACUCUUCAUCUCUUACUUUAUUCAAUAACCAACACCACCCCACUCCAAAGAUAAGGAUAAAAACAAAGAUAAAGAAAAAGGAAAGGGAAGGGAAGGAAUUCCUAUAGGAACCAAGGAUGCCGUACUGGAUUUAUGUGGGCCAAUAAAGCAAACUAGGACCAAAUCAAACUUCAUACUAUAGGAUAAAUCUCUCUCUCUCUCUCUCUCUCUCUCUCUCUCUCUCUCUUAUAAUUUUUGUUUGCUAGUUUAGUGUUUGACUAUUACUUUUGAUUUACGCAGUUAGUGGAACAUGGUCCAUUCAUAUAAGUCCACAAACAGAUACAUGAAUAUAAAAAUGUUACUUUCAUAGGACCAUUAUGACCAAUGUACCAAGCACGUUGAAAUGGAUGGUACUGAGGUUACAAAUAAGGGAUGACAAAAACGAUGCAAACUAUAAAAAAAAAAUUAAGCACUAACCCAUAACAUCAGAUGAUCAAUUUUGAGAUGGACAAAACUCAGGGUUACAAAUAUUUUUCACAAACCUACGACAUAAUUAGGCCAAAACAGCCUUGCAUGUUAAGGCUCCAGAGUCCUUCUGGUUUCGAGAAAUAAUCUCUUUUUACAUUUUCCAUAGAAUGAAAUUGAAAUACAAAUACCAUGAAAGUUUAAGUCUAAUUAUGUACAAUUAAUUACCUUAACCAAACUAGUUUAUUAAACAGACAUAGACAACUUAAGUCAAAAACCAAGGAAUUAAAAUUCUUACUUUCCUGCUACGAAGGGAACACCCUUUCUAGAGUUAGCUGGUAUCUCCCCUUGUAAGCCGGGAAUGAUCUCAGUCAUUGCUUGAACUAUCUUAGGAUCUUCACUGUAGCUUUCAUAACAGCGACCCCAUCUUGGAUCUCUGCAAACCUGCACAGAUAGAAUUAAGAGGAAUCACAGCUCAGCUUAAAGUGACUUAUGUUGAUACUUGUCAGAUGAACGAUAUAAUUCUAGUUACCGCUAUACAAGGGGCAAAGACGUAUGGAAUGCCCGUAGCUCUAGCUUCAAGUGCAGUUGCAGCUCCGAUCCUCUUAACAAGUUCCGGAUCCCUGGUUGAUUUAAAGUUUGAGGAAGUUUAUAUUAGUACAAAUUUUCUCUUUGUUGAAUUUUCUGUAGUUUGAACUCUUAAGAAGACUAAAGGCUAGCAGUUGAAGAAACAAAUUUCUCAAUUUUCUCAUAUAUGGAAUUGGCUCAUCUCCAUCUUUACACAACUUACUUCUAUCAGGCUUUGAAUAUUACCGCACCAGAGACAGGAAAAGAAAACAUUAACAUGGCAUCUUGAGACUAGGAUUACAAAACAACUAACCAAAAUUUGAAUAUUGAGGGCAUACUACUUGCCUGGUGGCUCCGAGCCCAAUAUUGUGAGGAAAGAUUGUUGCCUUGUAGACGUUGUUGUGGCCAUGAACAGCAUCAAUACCAUAAAUCAAUGGAAUUCCAAGCCGAGUUGAUAAAGAACCCUUUUGAAAAUCAUUGACCAUGUUAAUCCAAGUUUCUGCAGAAGCCUUCUGUGCUGGAACGCUCCCACCCCCGCUUAAUAUGCUCCCUGCCCAAAACAGAUUUCUGCUUCCAUUAAAUCCAACUUGCAUACAAAUGAAGAAGUGACACUUUUCUUUUUUAAUCUAUGUAGGUUUUGUUCACAGAGAAAAGAAAAAUGAUGGUGAUAUUUACCAAUGAAGUACUUCUUCAUCACCUCAGCUGAAGCAACACUGCGGUCUAUCUGCACCAUUUGGCCAAUCUUUUCCUCCAAAGUCAUCCGGCUCACUAAAUCCUUGAUUCUAGAAUUUAAUGGCUGUUUGGGGUCUUUAUAAUUAAUGUAUUGUGCUUCAGCUAUGGCUAUGUUGAAACAUAAGAAAAGAAGUCCCAUCAAGAAGAUGGGAAUUCUAGCCAUUUCCUGUUCAAAUAUUGUUACAGAUGAAUGUAAUCCUCAAUUAGAAAGCCACUCAGGUGGGAGGUACAGAAACAUGAAGAAGAAUUCUCAACCAAAAUUCUGAAAAAGAAAAGAGUUCUAAAACUAGAACAUGAAACAGUGUAAAGAUGAAGAAAAUUUCAAGAAAAGUAUAAAGCGCAUCUUAUGUAUCUCAGGAAUUCAAGCACCAAUGGAAUAGUUGCAAUAUAUUUAUAAAUAAAAAAUUUAAAAAAAAAACCUGCAGCUAAAAUUAGGCCCAGAGAAAGGAAUCAAAAAGACCCUUGUAGCAAAAUAGGGAGGUAAACAGAACCCAAGUUUCAAGCAACUACCAAACAAACAACAAAAGUUACAUUUCUUCAAGUGGAAAACAGAGAAACAGAGCACAACCAAAAGUCCAAAACAAAAAAACAAAAUUUUUGUUUGACCCCUUUUGAAGAACUGUUUGGGGUCUAAGAAAAGAAAGGAGUACAAAAGAAAAUUGGGAUUUUGAAUUUAUGGGAUGGUGUUACUGUGUCAUUUAGUUGGAACCAAAUUCUUGAAACCAAACUGAGAGCUGAGUAAUUGAAUCACCAAUCGGCUCAGUUCAAUGAAGCAUUUUAUCAUUCUGGAAACUAAAAUUUUCUCUUUUCUCAGCAACAAACAAGGCAUUAAAGAACUUGCAUGUGGAACAAAAUUCACUAAAAAGUAGGACAGAACUUACAGAAACUAAUGGAGACCCACAAGGCAACGACGUCUUCUCAGAUGAAUGGAGAGAGAGAGAGAGAGAGAGAGAGAGAGAGAGAGAGAGAGAGAGAGAGAGUUGCAAGAAAAAUGUGAAGUUGGGAUUUGAGAAAUGUGUAUGGCAGAAGUGGAUUUUAUAGAAAAUUUGCAGCCAUUUUACUGAAAAAUUAUGGUAUGGUAAUUUUAUAUCUUAACGGGUAAAGAAAGGUGCUGACUUUUCCAGGAAUGUAAACUUGUUUGUUUCACAUAUAAAUCAUCCCUAUCUUAAAUUGGUCAAAUUAGCACAAUUUCUUAACUAUUAUUCCCACUUUCAAAUUAUUCAGUUGAUGUUAUCUAACAUGAAUAAUUUCUGGUAUGAUAUUUUCAUAUUUACUAUUUAGAAAAUCAUACACAAACAUAUUGCCUUCUUAGGACAACACAAAUCCUCCCAAAAAAAUAAUAAAACACCUGGCGAAAUCAUGAGAUGCCAACUAAUCAGACUUGCCUAAUUAUAUGUGAGUGCUGCUGCACAGAAGGCUUGAAAAGCCCUCAACUCUCUCUCUCUCUCUCUCCCCUUGCCCCCAGACAAGCAAAAAAUAAAUCCACCAAGGAAGUCUACUUAUAUUAAAAUAAUUUCGAAAAAUCUACCUGUAUUAAAAUGCAUUCCAUAACAACCAUUACAAUAUGCUUAUUACUAAUUACUUCUCUUCCUUGCCUAAUUCCAAUUUCUUACACCAAAAAUUACGAACAAAAACUAGAAAGAAAGAAAACUUGAUAAAUUUAAAACCUUAUCAACCUUAGCUAGCCCAACAUCCAUGCGCUGCGCGCCUACAAAAGUCGAUCAGACAGCGAAGGCAGCCUUCGGAUGAAAUUCAAAGCCGCCGGCGGCAUCCGAUCACGAAAGAUCGGAUGGCGCAGAUAAUAGAACCCAAACACCAUAGCCACCAUCUUCGAUGGCACCAUGUACAGUAUCAUUGCCACAACGAAGCACAACAACACAAAAAUCCCCGUCGCACGUGGGUCCCGCCAUGUCACCAAAGCCUGCACCCGCUCCCCUUGAGUCGCGAAAUCUCCCAACACCGUCUGCACACGUGCACCGAGCAUCCGCAGCUUAUCGUACCUCGCCCGCACCACCUCGAAUGAUCUGGUGCUCGGCACCGAAUCAAACUCCUCGUCCAGCUCGUCACGGUCAACGUUCUCCGCCAAUGAGAGCUUCGGGUCAUAGUGCUGAAGUGGAGCCUGGGAGCGGAACCUAUAGUUCCAAGCACCAAUAACGAACACAUAAAACGCUAAAGUGGGGACUAUCAGAUCCGGGUACCACACAAGCAGCGCCAGCAAAGCGUGUACGAGAAUCGUGGCCAUUGGAUUCUUCCACGAACGCGUGUCGUUUAUCCACCCAACGACAUCCAUCACCCCCGCAACAACAUUGAUGAUGCGGAAAUAAUUGGCGCGCACUUUCCUCAUACUAAAACCUUGUGAAUCCGCGUCCAGCAUGUAAAGCACGACAUCCCGCCCCAGCGGCGGUUCAGAUCGCGACAAGUGGGCGGCCACGAUCUUCACCGCCGCUCUCCUCAACACAUCUUGUUGGACCGGCCCCAGCGGCUUUAUGUGAUGCAUCAACGGCAGCGAUGGCUGCGAGUACACAUGGACCAAAUCCAAGGUCGGGCUCACGGGAACGAAGCGUACCGCGAUCUCCACCUCACCCAUUUUCUUCAAGCCAGUGGGUGAUAAAACCAGCAGCGGAUACGUAUUCUUAUACACUUUACCCGUAGCCAACGUAGAUAUACGCACCCUUAGCUUCCCGAUACGAAAGUCAGGACGCGUGGCGUCUUUCGAGCCCUCGAUUUCGAAACCCGAUCCGGAAUUGUCAAAAACGCCAAUGCUCAGCACUGUACACGGAUCGUAGACUUUAAACGUGUACUGCUCGUUCCACUUGGGCUCCAAACUAUCACAUACGGUACGCGUGCGUACCCAUUUUGGUCCAUACUUGGCCACGCAGUAGGCGUCCGAGCAUCCUUUACCGUUGACCGUCUUGACCGGUAUCAAGUUCUUGCAUCCGAUGACUCCGAGCUCCACCGUGCCUAGCGGUGGCUUCCAGAGCUGCCUCGCAGUUGGGCGGUAGUCGCUGCACACGUGCGCCGCCUCGUCCAUCACGUGAUAUCCGCCAUCGAAGCAAAGGCGCAAGUGCAUUCUGCCACUGUACAUCCUCUUCUCGUCGCCGUCUGGAUUUUCGAAGCUGAACCAUCGCGACGCCACUUUGCGAUCGUCCACUCGUCGUUCGACGGCGCUGAGUGGAAUUCGCAGCACGCCCAAGGUGACCGGUCCCUUCGGUAGCCGGUGCUCUAUGGUGAAAAUUAAGUGGUCGCUGAACGGCUCGGCGGCUACGAACAUCAAGUCUUGGUUCCAAGACGGCACGCCGUUUCGGGUGACGGUAGGCUCGGUCUUGAGGAAUUGGAAUCCGAGCUGGGCUUUGACCUGGAACGUGGCUUCCUUCAAAUUCAACGACGCCGUUACGGGCAGAACGUCUUGCGCUUCGAGGACGGUGGCUCGGAGAUACCAGAGCUUCGGAGACUGGUACACUUUGGCUCGUGCGUUUGGAUUUUUCGCCGUGUCUGUCUUCCACGCGUCGGGGAAUGAAUCGUCUGCCUGGGUGCCCAUCCACGUGGCAAGCAUAAGAUCGCCGUUGAUGCGGGCCCCACCGCCCUCCAGCCGGUACCACUGCGGGGCCAAGGGGCUGUCCGGCGGGUCCCUCAGGGGUAUUUCCAUCACGUCGAAACAGAUCCCGCCGAGGAAUUGAUGGCCGGAGGCCACCUCGGAGGCCGCUGAGGGGUCGAAUACGGGUGGGUCCCAGACGGAGACUUCGAGGAUGGAGGCGUCGGACUGGUCGGGGGAUUGGCGGGCGAAGGCAAAGGUCUGGUCCCACUCGAAGCAGUGGGUUUUUCUGGCGGGCUUGGAUGUGAUGUGGUAGUUGGCGGUGGAGAUUUUUACAAUUGGGCUGCCAUUUGCUGGGAGGAAGCGCGCUUUCACAACUCGGACAAAGAGGUAGUGCAUCUUCUCCACCAGAUCAAACGACGGCCGGUCCAUUGACAUGCUUUCCGUCGGCUCCAGCUGCGACGUAUAAUUGAGUGCUCCACCGGGCACAACCGGAGGUCUCGGAAUUGGUGGUGGACCGUUGGUUCGGUGGAAUUUGACAUCUGCCAUUGAUUUGGAUACGGAGUGUGCCAUUACCUCAAUUUCAUGAUCACGUUGCAUGGGCAUGGGAGCAGCUUCAGGUGCUACUGGUGGGGGUGGUGGGUUUGCCUGAUCCUGAUUUGCAUCAUCAGUGGCUGGUGGUGGUGGAGGUGGCUGUGAGGGACCCGAUUCUGCUACUUCAGGAGCCUCGGUCUUUGGUGGCGGAGCAGCCUCAGUCGGCGGCUCUUCAGCAGGCUUCUUGGGUUCAGGUGGCUGUGUUUGUUCUGCUUCUUUUGGUGGCGCCGCUUCAGCUGGUGGCUGGUCUGUAGGUUGGGGCGAGGCAGAUUCUGGCGGAGGUACCGCCUCUGACUGCGGAGGUUGUGCUGUUUCAGGCUUUGGUUCCUCUGCUUUGGGCGGCGGUGGCGGCGGAGACGGAGGUGGCACGACCUCAUCCACAUAAUAAAUCUUCAACCCAAUGUCGCCGCGAAUCCACGUGAACCAGCUCUUCUUCUGCAAAGGGAAAUAAAUCAAGGCCUCCUCACCUUUCUUCACAAACUGGGAGGAACUCAACCGGAUCCUGCCGAGAAAGUUGUUUCUGGUGGUGGGGCCGUAAUUCUUGUCAUGGUAUACAUCCAGCUCAAGCACAUCCCCAAACACGUCAGAAGGCCUACUGAGAUCGAAGUCGAGCAACUCGUUCCACACAGGAUUCAAGUCGCUCAGCUUGGUUUGGGUGCGUCUUCGCUGCCCGCGGUAGUCCACCACCACAUAGGGGCUCGACGCGCCGCGGCCGUCUUUCGGCGACAGAUUGCGAGCGUCGACAACUUCAACUAUCAGUUUGUGUAGAGUUGCCAUGACUGUUGGAACUUGGUAAGUAUCAGCUUAUAAUUGGAAAUGAAUUAACUUGUAUCUUCUUCACAUCAUACCUUACUUUCAAGUAAUGACUAUCAUGCUUUACUUUCAAGUAAUGAGAAAAAGAAGAGGAGAGGAGUAAUCAUGAUAAAAUGGGAAACACAAGGAAGAGAGUGUAGUGUAGUGGGAUUCCACUUGGGGGGUGGGUGUGCAAGGGAAAGAGGAAAAAGUGCUUAAAACUUCAUCCCCAAGGGCCAAAGGCCAAGGGGGCUUUAUUGUUUCUUGAUUUUCAAGAAGCUUUAGACUCUUGAGGCCAAAGACAAACAUCCAUGUCUCCUUUUCUUGGUAAGAUAAUAAUACUUUUCUUUUAUAGACUGAAGAUUCUGUCUCUCAGUUCUCCUUUUCCCUUUGCCCAUUCCAUCUCAAAUCAAUAUUUUAAAUUUAGAGGUCUUAUUUGAAGCAAUAAUAAUAUGCUUUAUGGCUUCAGGAGAGUGGGGUGCUGCCAAGUGAUGGCAUGCUUUUUUCAAAGAUGAUUUGCUUUUGUGUCACCGACCGCGGGGCGUGUUGCUUUUUAUCAUAACUGGAAAUUUGACAAAGAUGACACCCAGCUAGACACUACCUAGCAAGUCCCGUUCAUUGGAACAGUACAGCACAGAUAUUCAAGGUAAAUGAAUGUUAUUUCUCCCCCCCCCCCCCCAAAAGUAAAAGUUCGUGUGGUUUGGGACAAAACACAAUAUGCACCCACUAUUCCUUAGUCACGGGUCUAAAUUGGAGUUUCUAUUGACUAAAAGACCAACUGAUACCCCACAACGAUUAUGAAGAACAACAAUACCCCACAAGUCGUGUGUCGAUGGUUGAAAACUAGAGCGAUAUUAGAGCCGAAUUGUUUAAAACUAGCGCGAAAUCUUUGUGUCGAAUCCUACAAACCAGAGUAUGAUAGUUGGUCGAGCACAAGAUGAGGCUAAACCCUAAUCUUAUACCCGACCACCAUGGUUUCAAAUUGGAGUAGAGAAUUUUAGGAAGAAACUUUGGUUCGAAGAGAACUAUUUCUCUAUCGACUUCAAAAAGAGAGACUAUAUUCGAGGGGUAAAACAGUAAUCAAGUCUAUAAUAUGUACUGCAUGAGUUGGAGUUGCUUAAUCACUUUAUUUAGCAUUUUGCUUUUUUUAUUAGAACUUUUUUGGUGCUGGAAAAAUGAAAAAGGACCAAUAGAAAUGGUAGGAAAGAGAACGAAGAGAUCGAGUAGUGGGAGGUAAGAAAAGGAUUUAAGGUGCUUAACUUAAUCUCCAAGGAGGUAUACUAUACACCAUUGGAUUGAUGAUCUCCCAAGAGAUAUAUAAUAAAUUUUAUUAUAAAAUUUUAUCCUUAGUUUUUAAUCUUUUGCUUGAUACCAGAAUGGAUACUUUUGUUUUGUGAAAUUCUACUGAAACCCUCUAAUUUUCUCGCUGACUACACCCCAAUUCCUUUUCGUUCAUUUAAAUUUCAAACAUACUCCAUUUAAAAAACAGAAGAACUCAACUGCAUGCCACCAGGGACUUCCCCAGUGGAAAAGAUCUUAGGUUUGAACUUUCAUGAGAUCUUAGUUGAGUGCGUAUGUAAAAAAAUUUCAUCUCUUAUAGUUUAGACUAUCACUUGUACUAAAAAUAAAAAUAAAAAUAAAAAUAAAAUAACUCAACGGCAUAUGUGGUGUUGAUGCGAAAAAGUGGUUUGGCACUUUAUCGGGCUCAACUUAGUGAUGUUUGGGCCUUCGGUAUGCUUGGGCCUCGAUGUAGCGCGAGAUCUGCAAGAUAACAAACGCUCGGUAAGACCUCAGGCACCGGUGUGGUACCAGCCGAAGGCUCUCCAAUGCUUAAGUAAGUACGGAUUUAGCAAUGGAUGUGAAUAGAUCCAAAGGCAGUAUACCGAAAGUUCAAAUUACCUCCCUUUUGAGAAAUUGUGCUCCUUUUAUAAACUUUGGGAAGUGUGCAAGUUGUGUAGAAUUUCGAUGUGGGACUAUAGACAUUCACUGUGGAUACGCUACGUGCCCAGUGGGCAUUUGUGUUUUGUAUUGCAAUCGGUAUGCUUGGGUGCCAAGAGCUUCCCUGCCGAUGCCAAGCAUUGUCCACGUGUUCAGCCUUAAUUGGUCGCUGAUUCUGGUAUCAACAUGUGGCUUAACACCAGCAACGCGAGAGAGAAAGCAGGUUAAUUCAUCACCUGUUGCUGGCAACCAAUGUCUUACAUAUUGACGGAAAUGUAAGUGGAAAAAACAAAGGGAAAACAGGUUAGUUUCCUGCGCACAUUACUGUGGGAAAAUCCGUCUUUGCAUACCAUUCUUUUAAUGUGAGUUCGUUGAAAAUUUAAAGGAUAGAAUUCAAAUUUCAGCAAUAAACUCACAUAAGUCGGGAGAACCGCGAAAAUACAGAAAACAAUCUAUUUAAAAUGGGUACAAAUACAAUAAAUGAAUCAUUUAUUCAAAUUUUUUCCAGUUGGAAAACAGAAACUUUCAUUGAUUUAUUGACAUUAUGCAACAUAAUUUACAAUCCCUUAAUUUAAAAUAUCACAUUUCAAAUGGCCAUGCCCUAACCUAGAAACUAGUCUAAAAAAAUUAAAGGAAACAAAGUCCCAAAAAGGAGUAUGAGAUAAACUUCUGCUACUUUAUGGAUUUGAAAGAUAUAAAAAGUAUCCGCUGAGCUAAUUCUAUACAGUUCAAUGUACAGCAGUGUAUUUAACCCAAAAUGUAAACUGAAAUAAACGAACAGGAGGUGCCUCUAUUUCUACCUAAUUUAAGAUGGGUUCUUCACAAUCCUAACGCUGCUGUAGAAGCGCCUAAGGUCCUUCAUAGCCUUUUCCUCAAUCUGAAUUGAUCGAAUCGAUGAGGGUGUAUCCACCUCUGGUUUGAACCAGCGGUUCACUCCAGAAGCAUCCAAUGGUGAACCCUGACCAUUAGUGACUGAGAAUCCAGCCGUUUUAGUCUUUGGACUGUGGGAAAGACUAUGAUGUUGUUUUCCCUGAUUUGAGACAUAAAUAAAGACAGGUAUGAGAAUGGUAAAUUAAACGCUUGAAAUAUACAUGACUCCACAUGUGGCAACAAGAAAACAACUCAAAAAGAAUGCAUGGAAUUCAGUACACAUAACAAAGGAUAUUAAUGGUCCAAACACAUAAGAAGAGAGAGAGAGGGUGCAAUUCACAUACCUGCUGCAUUUGGAUGUCCCUAAGAGAAGGGCGAGAAAGAAGGGGAGGAGUUCCCGAAGCAGUCCAAGGAGGUGUACCUCUUUCUCCAUCAGAUGCCACUGAAGUAUGGGUUGCAACCACUGGUAUCGAGACCACUGGUAUUGGCUUGGAAGGCAAAAACGAACUCAGUAGAAUCUUCCCAUCACUUCUAGCAUUGAAAGGAUCUUCUGCAUGACCUCUGUUCCUAGUUGACUGACUGUCCUUGGUUUUGCUUUGCUCAUCCUGAAUCGCACGAAGAGAUGCAAAUCCUUUCGGGAUUUUAGCUCCACCCCAUGCAGGGCCUUCACUUUUUGGGGAUGGUGGGGGUGGUACAAUGUAUUUGGGGGCAUCAUCAAGAGCGCCACUCAAGAACAUAGAAAGCCCACCCUUUUUAUUCUUCUUCUUGGAAGUUAUUGGUGAUGAACACUUAUUCUUUGUUAGGUUUAAAUUGUCCUUCUGAACACACAAAGCUGACUCCUUAGUGGUUUGGUUUGUCAUAAUCCCUUCACUCAUGGCAUCUUCCUCCUAUCAAAGGUACAAUUCAAAGAAUUUAGCAAAUGAGAUGAAUUAUUGCACAUAUCGUUAAAAUAUGUGUUCCCACUAAGUUGUAGAGAAUAUUUUAACCAGGGAAAGGGAUACCAAAAAUCAAGUCUUGUUUGGGAAGAAGGCAAUAAUCCAAUAGUAAUUACGAAAUGCAAGUUCCGAGUAAAUUGCACACCAAGAUCAAGUAAAAAUGUAAGUGCAGUUAAACUACUAAAAAAUGGGUGCAAGCCUUGAUGUUCAAUCAAAUUACAUUUUGCCAUCUAGGUGGCAAACAAGCUAUGGAAAGUAAUAAAGGGUGAGACCAAAAUCAUCAUCCUGUAUUUUGGAUAAAGAUUUUUAGCACAAAUGAUCCCUGACCAUAUAAAAGCCCUCACUUUAGUCCUCAAACUUUUGAAUCAAUCAAUGUGGAUCCAGUCUUUCGGUCCACAUUCUGACCCCAAAAAAAAAUCUUUUGGUCCACACAUCAAUUUGAUCCUUGUCAUCGCAUUCCAUCAAAAUUUUCGCUAAAACUAGUCUCGUGUCAUCAUCUGACAAAAUUUGAAGGGCUAUUUUUCAUCAAAAUAUAGCUCAUCCGCCCAAUACACAAAGUAAAGCUCACGCCUCUUAACAAUUUCAGGGACCAUUCAUGAUAAGAACCCGUUGGAUAAUGCCAAACAGCAAGUAUGAAGUUGUUAACCAUCAUAAAUGCACGUCAACAAAUUGAAAAGAUUUCAAACCGCAUUCAAAGAUUCAAACAUCUCAAAAGAAAAACACAAUCAUCUCAAUUAGCUGGAAAAAGAUGAUUUGGUGAAUAAUCAUCUUUUACUGAAAUCAAUUCAAACUUGAUAAUAAAACGAAUUUUGGAAUUUAACAAGCUCACCUUAUUUUUUGUGGUUUGAGAGAUUUCAAUACUCAAGAAAUCUUUUGUGUGUUUUGGUUCUACUUCAUCCCCCGGAAAAGAAGACCCUAUAUCCACUGGUGUGGCCAUCUGUUUGUUCUUUCUCCUCUGUUUUUUUGAUAGCUCAACCCUUUUGUUCCCUUUUCCAUCUGGCUGAACGGAAGAUGAUGCCUUCAAUGGUGGUGUCUCAACUGGAACACCAAGCUCAGCAAGCUCGCUUUCAAGAGCUGGCCUCGUCUGAAGCUUUGUAAUUUGCUGGUCAUCAAGAAGUUGCCCACUAGACUGUUUUGCUUCAAGCAUCUCAAUCUGCUGCAACUUUUUCCGCAAGGCUCGAACUUGCUUGCCGAGACCAUGAUUUAGAUCAUCUUUGGGCUGUAGAAAGGAAUCUGGUCUUUGGUGUAUUUCAUUUUUCGAUGUGGAUUGCUUUGUAUGGCCGUCACGUGUCCUUUGAACCUCAUUCUCACUACCUUCCUCUUCACUAUAAAUAGUAGCAGGAAAAGUAGCUGUAGGAGUUGGGAGACGACGGUAACUCCAUGGUUCAGAUGACCUUAGGUCCAAUAUAUUUUCAAGGUUAGCUAGAGCAUCUGUUGAAGCACUAGCAAUAGCUUGUGAUGAUACCGUAAAUAUAUAGUCAAGGUUGCGUAUGGCAAUGUCCUGCAAUAACAAACACAGCUUCAAUAAUUAAAUAAUUAAGUAGCAUGUAAACUACAAAUCUGCAAAAACUUGGAUCACAAGUCCCAUAAACAGAAGCAUGAGACAAUACUACAUCGUCUUGUAGUUCUUAAAGUGUUCUAGACAAUAACCUGCCCUCCACUAUACUUCUAUGUUCCAAAAGAAGAUAAAGCGGACUGUAUUGGAGAUAUUGAUAACUAAACCACAAAAACUUACUGGAAAAAAAAAAAAAAACACUCAAAGGCCACCCAGAAUCGGCACAUACCACCUUAUAUAUUAGGCCUGAGAGUGGAGAUAUCCAGGUGACCCAACAACAGGAAUCAUAUAUAUAUAAAUAUAUUCAAAUCACAAAUUAUUAUGACGUGAGGUCCAAAAUUCCUGUUGUAUAAUAAUUACACAACGUAGGCAGAUGAUCACAACACAACCAACAGAAAGCUGGACAUAAAUUCAAAUCUGAUACAAUUUGAAACAGGUUAAGAGUUUCAUAAUUUUCCUUCACAUAUUGAGCAGUCCAUGAGGAAGAAUACCUCACAAUACUUCUGUAAAUCAUCUGCCACGAGUGAAUCAGCAAUUUCAAGCAGUUGAAUAGCAUUUCGUGGCUCCACUAGAUUCUCUCCUGCCACUUUUUCACAAAGACUUUUUAAGGUUGGUAUGGGCCCCUUAUCAGUAUCAUCGUUUUGGAUAGUAGGUAAAAGAGUAUCGGACUCCAUAUCAUUGAACAUAAGAUCUUCGUCAAGCUCUUCUAGCUCAUCUUUGACAUUUGACUUCUGCUUCUGAGGGUUCUUCACCACAUUGGAAGGAUAGACAGGAUGAUAAAGGGAACCAAUAAUCAAUACGUGUGUUUCACCUACAGAAACUGAAGUAGCCCGUUUUGUACCAUGUAACCGAGUUGCAACUGGUGGCUUAUCCUUACCUUUCUUCCCAUCCCACAUGUAAACAUCACCUGUAGCUGUAACGGCAGCAGUCCAGUAUUUCCCUGCAGAUAUGUUCACCAUAUUUCUUCCACCCAGCGAAUACAACUAGACAAACAAAAAAACAUAGAGAAGAUUAGAGAUUGACAUGUGCUGCUAGAAAGGAUUAGACAUUCAACAAAAACACUAUUAUGCUAAAGCAAAACCUGUUGGCAUCUUAGAUCAGGAUCUGAUGAAAUCCAAUAAAAUAAUGCACCAUCAUCUGUCAGAGCCAUGCUAUGUACCAUCCCUGCAGCUAUAGAAACCACAUGAAGCCGUUCUUUGCGAUGAAACUUCAAAGUGGUAUUUCCACUCUUUUUCAAGUUUCUAGCAACUACAACACGUUUGGGUGUAACAAUUCGAUGACCCCAAGUGUAUACCUGGUACAUAUAUACAUACAGGAUUUAGCUCAACUACCGCCAAUAGGUGGAGAAGUAUUCACAAGAUAGCAAAGGUAAUAAAAUAGGUUGAAAAUAUAUCUUGAACUGAACAGGAGAAAAAAUCUAAUAUGUGAGCCUAAGAGAAGAAUAUGUACUGUUAAAUCGGGUUAAAAUUACCUCCCCGUCAACUCCCAAGACAAUUGUGUGAAAUUUUGCUGCUGCAACACCCGCAAAAACCUUGCCUUUCAAGUAUUCAACUCCUCUUGGAGUGUAAUUUGACGCAGAGUUAGAUGUACCGUAGCCAAGCUGACCCUCCCUAUUGCAGCCCCAUGUGAAAACCUCACCAUUAUCAGAAACAACAGCCGUGUGCUUGUUUGCUGCAGCAACUGCAACAACUUUUGAUCUAAGGGAACUCACUCUUCGAGGUGUAGGUUGGGUGUCCACAGAAGUGUACCCAAGCUGACCCUCUGCACAACAUCAUGUGAAAAUAAUCAAUUUUCCAUAGUCUUCAGAUGCUAGCAACACAUAGAUCAUAGAUAAAUCUUUUACUAAUGCCAGAAUACGUUAAAGGAAAAUAAUAAAUUUUCUCAUAUAUCGAAUCGUGCAAGGACCCAGUAAAUAAAGACAACUAAAUUUGCGCUUCUUUUGUUAUGAUAGGUAAGUGGUGAGCAAAUUGCAAACACUUUUGGUUGGAAGUCCUCAUGAUUUACCUCUGUUGGAUCCCCAAGUAAAAACUUCUCCACCCUCUGUAGCAAUAACAGUGUGAUGUUUAGCUGCAGCAAUUGCUUUUACCCGACGGGACCCUAGACCAGAAGUCACCAAACGAGGUGUGAUAACUGCAGCUUGACCACUGAAAUGCAUAUAAUAAAAUGGAACUGAUUCAUGCUUCGCAAAAGGUACAACUAGCUAAAGCAUGAAAAUUUUGAUUGAUUAGCCACUUUUAUAAGUGAAAGGCGACAGACUUCAACUUUUCGUCAUACAGAGAAUAAAACCAGAGACGAAUAUGGCUUGUAUGUUUCUUGCAUCUCAAUGUUUUCACAAGUUCAAGAUAAAAAGUUCUGCCAACUUAGAAAUUACAUUCCUACUUGCAUCAUUUCUAUUUCCACGACGACGGGCGCAUUCGUGUCCUUCUGUACACAUGAACAUGUAAAAGUUGAAAUACUACACACUCAAAUUUGAUAAUACGUUAAAGAAUAUCAUUUAUUAAAAAAAUUACCAGGUCAAAAACUUUUCAGUAAAUUAUUUUUAGAUAGUACAGGGAAAUGCUAAAUCAACCAAGAUUAAAGCCUGUAUUAUGUUGGACAGGGGCUACAUAGUAUCAUAAAUGUUUAUACCUGUGUAUAUCAAAAUCUGGGUGACCAAGUCGUCCUCCUCUUCCAAAGCCCCAAGUGUAGACUUCUCCUCGAGAAGUGACUGCUACACUAUGGAACUUAGCAGCAGAAACUAACUUGAUUAAAGAACCAUGAAGAGCAUCCACUUUGCAUGGUAACUUUUGUAUGUGUGCAUUUCCAGUUCCAAGUUGAUAGUUUGUGCCACUUCCCCAACUAUAAACCUCUGUAGUAACUAAAGACAACAACAGCAAUUCAGCAAACCUCUAACCACAAGUACACACAAGUACAUUCAGUAUGAAACAGUAUAUGAUCGUCAUAAAUCUUGGCAAAACACUGCACUAGAUACCAGAAUUAUGUCCAUCUUGAAGAACUUGCAAGACAGGCCCCGAUAGGAGAUCGAUAGGUGUUCGAGAUUUAGAGUCCUCCAGUGAGAUACAAGCACCAAACUGGAGAAGUAUACUUGCCACAGCAAGAUGACCAAAAUGCAGAGCCCUGUGAAGGCUACUCCAUCCGGAUUCCCCAUCCUGCAAUAAAUGAUAUGAAGGGCCAUGCAAAGAUAAAUCAUAAAAAUCGGUUUCCACAUUUAAGAAAAAUAAAAACCUGAAUAGAAUACAAAAGUAUCUAUUUAUAGAUCAAAUAUUUCAACUUUCCAAGUAUUUACCUAAAAGGGCAAGUAAAUUCUUCAACUUUAAAUGCAUUAUUUAUAUACCACAUAUUUCAAUUUUCCAAGUAUCAUUGAUUAUCUUAAUUUUUCAAAUUUCCAUGUACGAUUGGUUAUUAUACAUAGUUACAAACUUCAAAAAGUUCAAAUUUCAUUUAAUUAUAUGUUCCUUCAAGAAGACAUGCUUGGUAAAUAUUUGGUUCAGACAUUUUACCUUAACUUGUUUUUAGAAUAUUAAGUAAUUAUGUCAGGCAAGAUUUAGGAAAUAUUAUAACAUAUAUGACACCAAAAGAAAUACUACUUAUCCAAUUUCUUUUCCCAACCUACAUGGCGAAUGAUAUGGCCGCACCUCAUCAUCACAUUCAGGAAAAUUAAUACAUACAUCAUCACAUGUCAGCUUGCCAUGUUGGUUGCAAGAGAAUGCUGGUAAAACUGUUGGGUUCGAUAACACUGCCCUUAGAAAAAUUAUAUCUUAGAUACAAUUAGAUGACAGGAAAAGAAGACAUAAUAUCAUCUCAAAUUUAAAGGUGCAGGUGAAUCAAAGCAAGAAAAGCAUUAAUCAUUUAAGUAUAAAAGCAUAUAAAAGAAAUAACUUCACAGCCACUAGCAAAAACAUAAAAGCAUUCAUAUAAACUUAAAAGAUCAGUAAAGCAACAGACCCUAGCAUCUGGGUCAGCACCAGCUGUAAGAAGCCUCCUAACGAUGGGAAUGUGAUUUCUCCAUGUUGCAAUAUGAAGAGGAGUGAGACCAAAAAUAUUUCUUGAAUUAAUAUCACCACCACUCUUCUUCAGUAGUGAUAGUGCUGAAUCCACAUCUGCCAAUGAUCCUUCUCGCACAACAAGCCAGAGAUCUUUCUGCGUUCCAGUCGACAAAAAUUUGCGAGCAGGUGACUGCAACUUCUGCUUUUGCCCUUGAGGUGAGAAUUCCAUUGGUCUAAAUCACAAGGCUGAAUGCCACCAAACAAUUAGUUUUUUUCCACCAGAAAAGUAGGAUGUCAGUUCAUGCCAAGUUGCCAACCAACCAAGCAGGCGCCCUUGUUGAAAUUGGUUUCAUCUAAUCCAUGUUAGAGUUGAUUUUCCAAUUCCAACAUAUAGAAAAUUAAGUAGCUAUAUCACAUGGAUACAACAAUAAAUUGAACAACUGGUACCCACAGUCAUCAUUGGCAUCCUUAUACUGGACACAAAUCCCUUAAAGAAGCCACCGGAAGACCCAAAUUACUGCUCAUGAGACACCGAAAUAUUCGAUAAACAAGUGAAGCGAAGGGCGGUAUUCUUAAUUACUCUGACAGUAUAAUAUGCCUUCAAGCUUGCCAACUGAAACAAAAAUAAAGUCAUAGGAAUAAAUAAACAAAAACUUACAUGGAUUGCUGGAAAAAAGAGGCAUGUUAUCUUAUGUUAUACAACUCAUCCUCUGAAUGACUGACACAUUUACUGCUAAAUGCAUUCUCAAAAAGGCUAAAUUGCACAGGUGAAUUAUUUAAAUGAUUUUCAUAUACUAGAAAUUAGUGGUAAGAGCAAGUGCUUGCUUACUCUUCUACUUUCAGUAUGUAAUAUAAUAUAUCUAUACAACAUUUGCGCAUAAUAUAAAAACCCAGACAUAAAAUGAUGAGCCUAUCAAUUCAGUAUAAUUUAAUCAGACACAAUAGAAACUGAAACACAGAAACACUGUGGUAAGCAAAGAACUAAAAUUGAUCAAACACUGAGUCUUAAAUCUAAUCAAUGCAGGAAAUAAGCAGACGUUGGAUUAUAGUUAUGCAUCUCCGAGACCUACUUUCCCUACUUUCCGCAACAUUUGGUUAAGUCAAAUGGAAAAUCAAAAGAUACCGUCAACUUAAUCCUUGCAUCACCCAAUCGAAUCAAAAUGCAAACUUCAACACAGAAUUGGCAUCACCACAAAGCCCACCGAUCAACUAAUAAUUUUUGAAACCCAGAUAUAAAAAGAUAUAAGAAAAAAAAAAAAAAAAAAAACAGAUGAAUUUGAAGAGUACCAAUUAACAUCAAGGCCUUACGCAAACAUUGUUCUAGGCAAAAAACCAAAACUGAUCUCAGAAUGAGUCAGAAAUCUAAGCAAUGCAGCAAACGGGCAGAGAAGAGGUUGGCUUAUACUUAUGCAUCUCUGGGAUCUACUUGUCCUUAACAGUUGGCUUACGGUCGAAUGACAAAUCAAAAACACGUUCAACCUAAUCCCCAUAUCACCCGACGGCCUCAAAAUGCAAACUUUAACAAAAAAUUGGCAUUCCCAAGAAACCGACGGACGGAUAAACUCACAAUUUCGAAAUCCAGAUAAGAAAAGAUCAUAGAAAAAGCAAUUGAAUUUGAAGAGCACCAAUUAAAGCAAAUUAAAUCCACCACCAGAAAAACAAAAUGAAAACUGAAGUCUAAAGAAGAAAAUGAAAUAUGAACCAGAAUGGCAACAAACCAGCUAAUCACACCCAGAAACAAGAAAACAAUCAAUACCCAUUUGCCAAAAACUCCAAAAAUCAGCAAAAACAGAGAUAAUUAGCUUAGAGAUAUACUCAACAACUGAAUUGAAUCGCAUCGAAAUCUCAAAAUAAAGCGUUAAAGAAUUACCCAGGAAAAGAACAAUAUAUAAAUCACCUGAUUUUUCUUCCGCGAGAGAAUUUUCACUUGUUUAAAUUAAAGCAAUAGAGUAGAAUCCUGGAACAUAUAGGCGGGUGAUGUGCCUGUUUCGCUGUAUUGAAGAGUAUCGAAACGGAGAAUAUACCUCACCACAAACAAAGGCUGAAAGGCAUAAACGCAUAAACGCUCUCUGAGAGAGAGAAGCCGAGUCUUGAACUAGAAGGGCAUUUUGGGGUUUAAGAAUAUUGGGUGAACAAAAAUGAGUUUGUACUUGGUUUGACGAGCAUUGCGUGCGUCGGGGCGCGACGGAUGAAUGAAGCCUCUCUCCUGAUUUGGUGCCACGUUUUGCUACUUGGCUUUUGGCCAAGACUUGUUGGGUUUGGUGUCUCUCCGCGCUUGACACGGGCUGCUUGUAAGGCCAUCUCCAUCGCUUCAGGCUGGCCCAGGCAAAAGGCAGGAACAAGCCCGAGUCCACCUCCAGCGCGACGAAACCAGCCCGGGCAAGCUGCGGGUCCCACGAGCCCGGGCAGGCCCAAGGGCAAAAUUCGACUGGGCUCGAACCCGAGUUUAUGCUGACGUCAGCGCCGUAAAUUCAAUUUUUUUUUACCGUUGGCGCGUGUAAUACACGCGCCAACGGUAAAAAAAAUUUGACUGACGUGCGCUGACGUCGUCGUGACGUCAGCACCAACGGUUACAUGCCACGUGUCGGCUCUGGGUGGCUCCGAUUGAAUUUUUUUCAGAAAUCCUACGGUUCUCAUUUUUUUGGCCAAAAAAAUUUAAAAAAAAUCCUAAAAAAUCAGAAAAAAUUCGAAAAAAUUCUGAAAUUUUUUUUAAAAAAUACCAAAAAUGUAUGUAUUUUUUCCCUAUAAAUACCUAACCAUUUUAUCUACUUUCAACACCAAAUCUUCAUACAAUUUCUUCUCCAUACAAUAUUUUCUACUCUCCACUCACAUAAUUCAUUUUUCACACCAAAUCUCCAUACAAACUCAUCUCCUUCCAAUAUUUUUUACUCUCUACUCAUAUUUUCCACUUUCCACACCAAUUCCAUAUUUUACUCUCUACUCAUAUUAUCGGAAAUCUGAGAUUAUAAUUUUUAUUAAUGAAUAUCCGAAAAUUUUAUCUGGAAUAAGACACGUGGUAACCGAGAUUCACAUCCGAAAAUCUUAUCCGAAAAUUUAAUUACAAAAGAUUAUCAAAAUUAAUGAUUUAAAGUAUAAAAAAAUAGGAAAUAAAGUACAAUGAAUAGUAAUUGCCCUAGACUUGCCCUAGACUUUGCCCUUGUGGGUGGAACCACAAAUGGCAAGGCUGACACUAUUCACGUGAAUAGUGUCAGCCCUUGCUUGCCCUUGCCUUAGACUUUGCCCUAAGGGGUGGAGUUGCUCUUAGGCAGACGUCUUACCUUCUUUUUCUUCUCUUUUUGGUCCUUUUCUUGGUAAUUUUUUUUGUUUUUUCGGUAAUCUUUUAUUAUUAUUAUCAUUAUUAUAUUUGUUAGUUUAUUUUUCCUAAUUUAAUCCACCAAAAACUUUAAAUUGUUGUUAAUGAAAAUGUUGAAACAUAAGACAUUUCAUUAAAUAGGAGGUCAUAUUUAUAAUCCAACGGUGGCUAAAUUCUUAUGUAAAUUAGAAAUUAAAGUAAUAUAUUGAGAAGGAGAAUUCAUUCAUAAAUCUACACACGUACAAAGACAUGAUACAGUGGCCUCGUUAAAACAUUCCUAGGACAACCUCAUGGGACAAAUCCCAUUGGAGGAAAGAGUAUCACAUAUAUCAUGGACUAACAAGAGAGUUCAAUUCAGAUCACUUUAGACCAUUACAAUAAAAGAACAAGUCAAAUAAGAAUUCUUGAUAUUUGGCUACAAGUCAUGCCAACAUGUACAUCACCACAAAUCCUGUUGUUAGCACGCUCAAUAGCAUGUCUCCUAAUGAAGAUCUGCUUUCACUCCGCCGUCGAGCAUAGCUAGAAGGUAUGGAGACAUUUACAGGUGAUGAGCCUGAAAAAUAUAAAAUUUCAAAAUAUGACAUAGAUACUAAGGAGAACUUGAAAAAAAUAUAUAUAAGAGUUCAUAUAGACUCAUAAUUGAACUUACAAUCAUAGUUUGCCCAUCCAAUUCGUUGAAGAGCUAAAUCGUAGACGAUUAUCUUAUCUUUUAGAACAAGAUCUGCAAUUGAAGAAACAAAAAAGGGUCAUAAUUGAGACAACACAUUUAUGAUUGUCAUACAUGGUUUCAAAAGCAAAUUGGGAUAAUCAAUAUUUAUCAGUACAAAAAAUAGUUGCAAAGUGCUCAGAAAGCCAUUGCAUUGUGCACCACCAGGUAGACUAGAAAAUACAUUACUUUGCAUAAGCUUUGAAUAAAUAUACACUGAGAAAAUUGAAGAGGAUUCAUCCAACCAAAUAUCAACAAAUUUUUUUUCCGCAAAAAUUCAAUAACCAACCGAAAUUUAGGGCCUAACCUCCUAAGAUUGUCACCCCUCCUUGAGCCUUUUGAAAACCAAUGCACCACACACCAAUGCCUAUCUGUAACAAUACAAUGAUCCAUUACACUUAUGCCAUACAAUUUGCAAUAAUCAUAUGUCUAAUGCAAUGAAUUUAAAUAGUAACUUGUACAGAGGGAGAUGGAGGAACAACUUACUUGACGUAUAAGGUACUCUUCUGGUUUCAACACCAUUGAUGCACCAACAAAGUUUAGACUAACAGCAGGAAAAACCUCAGCCAAACUGAAACAUAAAAUGUCAUUUAGGUCUUCAGAGCUUUUCUUCAGAGGAAAACUUAAAAAAUAUUUAGAGAUAGAACCAACCUGGUGGUUACAUGAUAACACUGGUUUUCGUCUGAAAUGAAGGGAGUCAGGGAUGGUGAAACAGCUGAAGUUAUCUACACAUCCCAACACAAAAUAAGCUUUUAGUAAGGAGAAGAUAUCUUAUUUUUCAGACCAAACACCACAAAUCAACCCAUAAAUAAGACCAAGUGAAUAAACUUACCGCAUGAACGAAAGGAACGUAAGCAUCUUCAACAAGGAAUGCCAAAGUUGUUCCUGAGUCGAUAAUAGUUCCUCUAUCGUGUGCUGUGAAGGUUGCUGGAUCAAUUGGCAGGAUUUUCCCAUUUACAGCAAUGCUCUGCAGAUUUAAAUAAUAAUGGUGCCUGAAAAUAAUGGUGAAGGACGUUAUAUGAAAAAAUCAAAGACAAAUAAGUAAUAUAAGAUAGCUAACAAGUAAAAGUUUAAAAAGCCAAAAGUGACAGCAUCUCACCAACCCUUGGUGAAUAAAUUGAUUUCAUAUAAUAAAUUGUAGCAACACACACUAGAAGAAUUUUGGACAAUAAUCACUAUUUUUUUAACCAAUUAUCAUAUAAGUUACUAUUGUCCUUUAACUUAGGCAAAUUUUACUCUUUAUUGGUAAGUUGAGAGUUGAGACUAUUAAUGAGUUUGUUUUCCAGUAACUAUUAGACAAAAAUAGACUAGGUUAGAAAUUUGGUUUUCUUGGUUAUGUAAACCAACGGAAAUCAGUGGCUGUAAACCCUUGUCUUUAUUUCCUUCUCCCAUUCCCUAGUCUAAACCCUAGUCUUUAUUUCCUUCUCCCAUUUUCUUUCCCACCAAAAUUCACAGUUUGAUAGUAAAGAUUACAAGCAGAAAGAAAUAAGAGAAAGGUUUCAAGAGACGUACCGUGGUGGAACAAGAGGACUGUAAACAAUACUUGGCUCCAAAAUCUCACCAAGAGCAAGUAUGCCCCCUCCUUUUUCAUCUCCCUUCAAACAAUGAGAGAACACUUUGGGAGUCAACCCUCGAGAUGACAACUGCGAUAUAACAGACAGAGGCCCUUGGCUAAACCCAAAUAUCCCAUCCAGUGUUGAAAGUGAACUAGUCAAACCCCCAAACUCAUAGGUAGUGCACCUGUAUGUUUCCAGCACCAUCAGCCAAGGCAAUUUCAGAAUUAAUUCAAUCAACACAACAAAACAUGCUUAUAAUCAGAGAAAUUAUUCUGCAUAAUAUUAAUUAUUUGAUGAAGUUAAGUCUCAUGGUUUCAUUGAAGUCCAAUGGAUGAAUGUAUAUACAUCAAGGUCAGUGGGAGCAAUUUUAUUUUUCUUAUUCUUUAUGUUGAUGACAUACUUUUAGUAAGUAAAAAUUUGACACUACUACAUGACACAAAGGCUUUUCUGUCACAAGCUUUUGACAUGACAAAUCUUGGAGAAGCAUCAUAUGUGUUAGGAAUUGAAAUCAUUCGAGACAGAGAAAGGGGUUUUCUAGGCUUAUCUCAGAAGGGAUACAUUGAGAAGGUAUUAAAAAGGUUUAACAUGCUAAACUGUGCAGGAGGAGAAGUGCCAGUUUCCAAAGGAGAUAAACUAAGCACUGAACAGUCACCAAAAACUGAGCAAGAGAGGUUGGAAAUGGCUGACAGACCUUAUGCCUCUCUAGUGGGAAGUUUGAUGUAUGCUCAAGUCUGUACCAGACCAGAUUUAGCCUUUGCAGUGAGUGUUUUGGGAAGAUUUCAGUCUAAUCCGGGACAAGCACGUUGGGUUGCGACAAAGAAGGUACUAAGGUACCUGCAGAGAACUAAAAAUUACAAACUGGUUUACAGACAGAGUGAGGAUCUAGAGUUGGUAGGUUAUGCGGAUGCAGACUUGGGAGGUUGUGUUGAUUCAACGAAAUCUACUUCAGGUUUUGUAUUCUUGUUUGAAAGUGGUGCUGUGUCUUGGAAAAGUGUGAAGCAAACUCUCACUGCAACUUUAACAAUGCAGGCAGAGUAUAUUGCUUGUUAUGAGGCAACAAGUCAAGCUAUUUGGCUCAAGAACUUUAUCACAAGUUUACAAGUUGUGGAAUCACACGAAAGGCCGAUUCAGAUUUGGAAUGACAACAGUUCUGCUGUUUUCUUCGCCAAGAGCAAUAAAAGGACAUCAGGUAGCAGACACAUAAAAUUCAAGUAUCUGUCAGUAAGGGAAGAUGUUAAAGAAGGCCUUGUAAAUAUUGACCACACUGACACUCACUCUAUGGUAGCAGAUCCAUUGACUAGAGGAUUACCAAAUGGAGUUUUUCAAAGGCAUGUUAGGAAUAUGGGACUGUUUCAAGUUUCGAUGAGUGCAAUUAGUGGGAGUUAUUUGAGUAGUCUAUCUAGAGUUCACAAAGCAGACAAUGUUUUUCUAGCUAUUUUCAGUUGUUUUUAUUUAGCUAGUUUUGCUUUUUAUUCAGUUUUGCAAAUUACUUGUUCUUGAAUUAAUUUGCUUAUCAUGACAAAUGAAUAUGGAGGUAUCUGUUUGUGGAACCACUUAGCUAUAAAGACUGCUAUUCAUCAAAGUGUCAAGACUGUAUUUGUUUAUUCAUGAUUGUGUGCCUUUAAAACAACUCACCCAAAAAUAAUGGAUGCUGAAGAGUCAAUAUAGGAUUGCCCCUGAAUCCGGUCAAAAUGUAGUGUAUCCGAUACGUAAUGACCAAAUAUCCCACUUCCAUCUGCAUAUUGAGUAGUGUAACUGCACUGGUUAGUCUGAGGAGAACAUUUGGCUUGAAAUGCGGAGGUGCACAUUGAACAGGGGAUCAACCGUGCAGUUGAUGAGCUGUUAGAAUCAUAGGAACUGAGCUGAAUCUGUAAAACAUGGAACAGUAAUUGUUAAGCUUUACUAUGCAAGAAUUUGAGAAUGACAUACAGCAAGAAAAAGAAGCAGAAGUUUACGGGAAGCCAAGUAGUCCGGGGGCAAUCACUGCAGGAAUUGCAGGUAACCCACAAGUUUUCACUUCCAGUGUCAAUCUGCACGUUGAAUUCUUUUGGCGGAGAGCCCAAUUUGACUUUGGUAUAAUAAAGCCUGAAUAUGGAAGAAUUGAAGAUGAACAAAAGUGAUUAGCAGAAGUCAAACAUGAUUCCAUAUCUGACGCUACAAAAGAUAUCAAAGUAAUAAAGAGUUGGCGGCAAACAUGAGCUUCUCUUCUCCAACAAUUUGGUUGAAAAGCGGCGGUAACCUACCUAGGGAUAUUCAUGCUCUUUCAGUGGUCCGUGGUGGACCACCAUGUGGCCUCUUAUCCCUUUUAGCCGAGAAUGGCAUUCUUCGUUCAUUUUUCUUUUUCCCUCGAUAGCCAUGCAAAAGCUUUUAAUUUUCACUAAAACGGCAAAUGCUUUUAAUGCAUGAUGUGUCUUAAAAGAUUCUUCCUCAGUCACUGCUUGAGGGGUUUUCAAAAAAGCCAAAAGAGUUAUAUCAUACAAAUUUGAUUUCCUGUUUUACCCUUGCUCAAACAAAAACACCACAACCCAAACGACGUCAAUCCCCAAGGGUAAAAUGGGAAACCAAGCUCUUCCAGCUUUUUGGAAAUCCUCAACUACGCUGUAAGCAAGCAUGAUGAUUCCAUCCCUUUUCCCAAAUAGAUUUUUGGGCCCAAUAUUGUCCUAUUUUAUAUUAAAAAUACAAAACACACAAGAUCCAUUGUCCCUAAUUGAAAAGGACGCCCAGAACUUCCAGAAGCAAGCCAAACUUAGUCAACAUAAAUUAUGAAAAACAAAAUUAUAUAUUCCCUACUCUAAAAAUCCAUCAAUCAUCAACAACCGAAACAGCAUUAACAUUUUCACCCCAAAAAAAAAAAAACAGUAUUAACAAGAGACUCAAGCCCUCUACGUUUGAUGAUAAAAUUAUCCAAGAAUUAUUAGCAAUGACGAUAAAAAUUACCCGGCCAAGUUCGGAUCGGAGGUGCCGUGGAGUGGGAAGUCCACAACGCUGCCCGUCAAGUUUUGUAAGAGUCGGGCGUGCCUGACUCGGUCAUGAGCUCGGAGCUGCUCAAUCUGUCCGUGGUGACUCGGCGGAUAAACCCGUUCUAAGGAAAGAAAGGUGGACGGCGUGGUCAAGCCACAGUAGACAAGAGACAGCAGCACGGCGACGGAGGCCAGGAUCCGAGCCUUCAAGCCCUGCAUUUCUGCGAGAGAUCUGAAGUUGUGGCAGUGGCGAGUAGGUGAAAAGGGUUGGAAAUGAAGUUUCCUCAGAGUAGGGCUGGGCACGGUUUUUACUUGAGAGACCCAAAAGGCGUGGACGAUCGCAAAGUGGCGUCGCGAUGGUUCAGCUUGGAAAAUCCAGACGGCGACGAGAAGAGGAUGUACAGAGGCAGAAUGCACUUGCGCCUUUGCUUUGACGGCGGAUAUCACGUGAUGGACGAGGCGGCGCACGUGUGCAGCGACUACAGCCCAACUGCGAGGCAGCUCUGGAAGCCACCGCUAGGCACGGUGGAGCUCGGAGUAAUCGGAUGCAAGAACUUGAUACCGGUCAAGACGGUCAACGGUAAAGGAUGCUCGGACGCCUACUGCGUGGCCAAGUAUGGACCAAAAUGGGUACGCACGCGUACCGUAUGUGAUAGUUUGGAGCCCAAGUGGAACGAGCAGUACACGUUUAAAGUCUACGAUCCGUGUACGGUGCUGAGCAUCGGCGUUUUUGACAAUUCCGGAUCGGGUUUCGAAAUCGAGGGCUCGAAAGACGCCACGCGUCCUGACUUCCGCAUCAUCAAUGUCGUUGCGGGGGUGAUGGAUAAGUCACUUUAAGCUGAGGUGUGAUUCCUCUUAAUUCUAUCUGUGCAGUUUUGCAGAGAUCCAAGAUGGGGUCGCUGUUAUGAAAGCUACAGUGAAGAUCCUAAGAUAGUUCAAGCAAUGACUGAGAUCAUUCCCGGCUUACAAGGGGAGAUACCAGCUAACUGUAGAAAGGGUGUUCCCUUCGUAGCAGGAAAGUAAGAAUUUUAAUUCCUUGGUUUUUGACUUAAGUUGUCUAUGUCUGUUUAAUAAACUAGUUUGGUUAAGGUAAUUAAUUGUACAUAAUUAGACUUAAACUUUCAUGGUAUCUGUAUUGCAAUUUCAUUCUAUGAAAAAUGUAAAAAGAGAUUAUUUCUCGAAACCAGAAGGACUCUGGAGCCUUAGUACCAUCCAUUUCAACGUGCUGUUUGUGGACUUAUAUGAGUGGACCAUGUUCCACUAACUGUGUAAAUCAAAAGUAAAAGUCAAGCACUAAACUAGCAAACAAAAAUUAUAAAUCCAGUACGGCAUCCUGGUUCCUAUAGGAAUUCCUUCCCUUCCCUUUCGUUUUUCUUUAUCUUUCUUUUUAUCCUUAUCAUUGGAGGGGGGUGGUGUUGGUUAUUGAAUAAAGUAAGAGAUGAAGAGUGCAUUUAAGCUCCUUCAGAGAAAUAUCAGUUGGUACUCUAGGAACUGCAAAGUUAAUUUACUGUGGUUGCAAAGGCUACUGUUCUCCCCAUAUUGUUGCACUCUGAUUUGUGCAUAAAGGGACUGUUAAUAUUAGUAAUUAGAAUUAUCAAUCACCAUAGAGAAAAGGGCGUAUUUACGAUUCCAGUUCUCGUUACACAUUAUCUAAAAAUCAUUAAUAAUUUUUUGAUUCCAAACAAUAAGUUUGUUAUUAAUUUUACAAGCUAUUUUGUUUAUAAUAUUCUGUUAUUUCUGUUGGAAGUAAAAAGGUUGCAGCUUGUGCAAAGCAUUUUGUGGGUGACGGUGGAACAACCAAAGGCAUCAAUGAGAAUAACACUGUGAUUAACAGACACGGCUUGCUCAGCAUUCACAUGCCAGGCUACUAUAACUCAAUUAUCAAGGGUGUGGCAACCAUUAUGGUAUCCUACUCAAGCUGGAAUGGAGUAAAGAUGCAUGCUAAUCAUGAUCUUGUCACUGCCUUCCUUAAGAAUACGCUACGUUUCAGGGUAAAAUCAUAUUUCUGUUUUUAUUUCCGUUCUUGGUCCGUUUCACUAAUAUCAAUUUAAAAACUAAAGCAUUAUUGUACAACCUUGUGGAUUGUUUCAGGGUUUUGUCAUUUCAGAUUGGGAGGGUAUUGAUAGGAUCACCUCUCCACCUCAUGCCAACUACUCUUAUUCAAUUCAGGCAGGAAUCAAUGCUGGCAUUGACAUGGUAAUAAUCUGCAUCUCUUUUUGUUGGCAUUUUUUUUUUCUUCUUUCUUUCUUUCUUAAAUUAAAUUGAAUAACUUGAUGAUGUUAGUUAGUUGACUUCUAACACACCUAUUUCUCUGCAUCUGAAAGGUCAUGGUUCCAUACAACUAUAUGGAAUUCAUUGACGGUUUAACCUUCCUGGUGAAAAAUAAGAUCAUUCCCAUGAGCAGAAUUGAUGAUGCAGUAAAGAGAAUUUUGCGAGUUAAGUUUGUCAUGGGCUUAUUUGAGGAACCAUUCGCUGAUAUGAGCCUGGUCCACCAGCUUGGCAGUCAGGUAGCUAUUGAUAAACUUGACACCAUUCUACAAGCAAUCCUAAUGUGGAAAACUUAAUCUUGUGUUUUGUAUUACUAAUUUCACAGGAACAUAGAGAACUGGCUAGGGAAGUUGUGAGGAGAUCGCUGGUGCUGCUAAAGAAUGGUGAAUCUGCUGAAAAGCCAUUGAUACCCCUUCCCAAGAAGACAUCAAAAAUACUUGUAGCUGGCAGUCAUGCAGAUAAUCUUGGCUAUCAGUGUGGUGGGUGGACUAUUGAGUGGCAGGGAUUAAGUGGCAACAAUCUCACAGAAGGUAAAUUGAGAGCCUCCUCUUUUGGGUGUGUGAAAGUCAUCAUUAUUUGGAGUUGACCUAAUGGUACUGCACAGAAGAGCUUUUAUACUAUGAUCAAAACCUAUUUUAAAAGAUAAAGGAUAAUGGUCAUUGGAAAAAGUUACAUGUUUUCAAUUUGUCUAAUUUUUUUUUUUUUUUGCAAGGAUGAUCUAUGAAUGAAGAUUUGAAAACUAGACGGUUCGGAUUGUAAAAAUCAAAUUUCUAGCUCAAUAGAAGAGGACUGAAUGUUUGCCUAUGAGGCCUGGCAGGACUACUAAAAUCUUAUAUGAAACUUUUCUUCAACAAGAAACAAUCUCAUAGAAGGUGUUUUUGAGAGCCUUAUCUUUUUGGUGCUCGAAAAAUUGGUCCUCAUUAUAGUAAAAGAUAAUGUCAACCUAAUGGUACUGCAGCGAAGAGCUUUUAUACUAUGAUCAAAACCUAUUUUGAAAAAUAAAGGACUGGAGACAUGUUUGUCUGAGGCCUGACAGGGACAACUAAAAUCUUACAUGAAACUGAUUUUUUUUUUUUUUUUCAACAGGUACCACAAUUCUUACUGCCAUAAAGAACACAGUUAGUCUACAAAGAGAAUCCUGACGCUGACUUUGUGAAGUCAAAUAAUAUCUCGUAUGCCAUUGUUGUAGUCGGAGAACAUCCAUAUGCCGAGACAUUUGGUGACAGCUUAAAUUUGACAAUCCCCGACCCUGGCCCGACCACCAUCACUAAUGUUUGCGGCGCUGUGAAAUGUGUUGUUAUUGUCAUCUCCGGCCGUCCUGUUGUGGUCCAACCCUAUGUUGCUUCGAUUAAUGCCCUUGUCGCAGCUUGGCUUCCAGGAACUGAAGGCCAAGGAGUAGCUGAUGUUUUAUUUGGUGACUAUGGUUUCACUGGAAAGCUUUCUCGCACGUGGUUCAAAACAGUCGAUCAGCUACCUAUGAAUGUUGGAGAUGCACGUUAUGACCCUCUCUUCCCAUUUGGAUUUGGCCUCACUACAACCCCCACCCAUUUCAACUAGGUAUUCAUGUAGUACUCUUCAAAAUGGAUGGUUAUUUAUCUGAAUAAUAAAAUUAUUAAUUAGAGGCUUAUUCAUUUAUGAGCCUUUAAUUUAAAUUCGUAAGUAAAGUUUCUCAAUGACUCCAAUAGGUAUAUUUUUCAGACAUGCAUUCUAGUGAACUAACAUUCAUUCAUAAGUAUUCGUAUUGCAUUGGAAAUUAUGGUAAUGCUUUAGCAAUGUUUAACAUGUCUAGUUCAUAUGUUGUGAGAUACAAGUCAUGGAUACACUUACAAUAAAAGUGUUGGCUCUUCGUCAUGCUCGUCAGUGUGCUCUUAGAUUACGACUAUCCAAUAUAGAGAUUGAGAGAGAUUAAAAGGUUUUGCAAAUUGUCAAUAAAGAUAUCCGACUACCGUGGAAUAUUCGUUCUGUCAUCCAGAAUAUUUGGCAUAUGCUGAACCAAAUCUUCACUUUUUGCGUUCGACAUAUCUUCAGAGAAGAAAAUAUGAUUGCAGAUAAUUUCACAAGUCUUGGCCAUGUACAUGAUCAUCCGUGCAUUUGGUCUUAUAUUUUUCUAGUACAGUAUAAAAUAAGUUGUUAUGUCAUUUUAUUACUAUCCCCUUCUGACAGACGCUCAUAUAGCCUUCAACUUGGAGUGAUUGGUUGUUGUUUAACUAUUUAAUUCAGUAAUUUAUGAUUAUUAUAUUUUUUAAUACAAUCGAUAGUUUAAACUGAAAAGGGAGGGGGUUUCUUACACACACUACCAACGUGCCAUGGGGUUCCUACACAAGUCAAGGUUAUAUUAGAUGUUGCUCUGUUUAGCAUUUUCUGAAUUAAAGGCGUUUCUUGCUCUCUUUAGUAUUACUGCUUAUGGUAAUUGGAACAAUAGAGAGUAGCAGAUAAUUUAUGAGUACAUGAAUGAAGAAGCAAACAAGUUUACGUUCCAAGAAGUCAGUUUUCUGCACCCGCUAAGAUAAAAGUAUCAUAUCAAAGCUUUCAAUCAAUUGACUUGACAGCCAACUUCCUUUGAAGGCUUGCUGUGCUUUUAAAAUAAGCAGCUUAUUUUAAAAAUUCUGAAGGAAGAGGUGUUUGGUAAAUCAAGACAAAGCUGCUUUUUUUCAAGUCCCAAUUUUACAUUUUUCAUGCAACUCUCUCUGCCUCUCACUCUCUUCCGUCAACAGAACAGAGGUCAUUGCCUCUUGGGUCUCUUUUACUUUUCUGUAAGUUCUGAGUUCUUUCUCGCUUUCUAGUGUUUCUUGUUCCACAUGCAAGUUCUUUAAUGCCAUGUUUGUUCGCUGAGAAACAAGAAAGUUUUAGUUUCCAGAAUGAUGAAGUCCUCUAUUCAACUGAGCCUAGUGGUGAUUCAAUUACAGAGCUCUCAGUUGGGUUUAAUCAGGAAAUGGCAACAAACCAAAUAUAAAUUCAUAGUCACAAUUCUCUUUAAAUUUUCCUUUGUUUUCUUAGAAACCAAACAGCUACUAUGCAUGCGUUCUGUUUUUGACUUGAAGAAAUGUAACUUUUUUAUCGUCUUUUAGUUUCUUAAAAACUGGGUGCUCUUUAAUUCUCUACUUCAAUAUAAGGGUCCUUUUGAUUUCUUUCUCUUUAAACAUAGUAAGAUGGUUGCUUAAUACUUUUCUUGAAAAAAAAAAAAAAAAAAAAAAGGUUCACCUUUUACUGUUUCAUUUCUGGUUGUAGAGUUUCUACUUUUUCAUAAUUUUGGUUGAUCAUUCCUCUUCCUCCCUUAAAGUGGCUUUUCUACUUGGGUAUUGAUUCAUGUGUAAAUAUUUUGGGACAGGAAAUGGCCAGACUUCCCGUCUUCUUGGCGGGGCUUCUUCUCUUAUGUUUCUGCAGCAUAGCGAUAGCAGAAGCAGAAUACAUUAAAUAUAAGGACCCCAAACAACCAUUAAAUACUAGAAUCAAGGAUCACUUUGGAGGAAAAGAUUGGCCAAAUGGUGCAGAUAGAUAGCCGUGUUGAUCAGCUGAGGUGAUGAAGAAGUACUUAAUUGGUAAAACAUGACUUCCAUUUUUCUUUUCUUUUCUCUAUCACUGGAAUCAAAAGUCUAAUUUUAUGUAGGUAAGUUUUGUUUAAAGGAAGAAGAAAUUUGUUUUGGGCAGGGAGUAUAUUAAGUGGGGUUGUGAAUGUUAGAGUACAAAAGGGUUCUGCAGAAACUUGGGUUAAACUGGUGAAUGAUUUUCAAAAGGCUUCUUUAUCAACUCGGCUUGGAAUUCCAUUGAUUUAUGGUAUUGAUGCUGUUCAUGGCCACAACAGUGUCUACAAGGCAACAAUCUUUCCCCACAAUGUUGGCCUUGGAGCUACCAGGCAAGUAGAUAUGCCUUCAACCAUACUAACAUUUCCCUUACUUUUCUUUUCUAAUCCUAGUCUCAAAGUCUUGAAUAUUGAUUAAGUUUAGAAAAUAAAAAAGUGUUGUCCUAGCAUUUAGCAUUUAGUACACAUCUGAUGCCAUUCAGUUGAGAAAUAUGUUUCUUUAGUCUUCUUAGGAGUUGAAGAAAAAGUAAAUUUGUACUAAUGUCAAUUUCCUCAAACUGAAAUCAAGCAGAGACUCUCAACUUGUUAAGAGGAUCGGCACUCGAAGUUAGAGCCACAGGCAUUCCAUAUGUCUUUGCACCAUGUAUAGCGGCAAAUAAAUUUAAUUAGUAUCCACAUAGGUCACUUUAAUUUAAGCUGAGCUCUAAUUCCUCUCUUCUGUCUGUGUGUGCAGGUUUGCAGAGAUCCAAGAUGGGGUCGAUGUUAUGAAAGCAACAGUGAAGAUCCCAAGCUUGUUCAAGCAAUGACUGAGAUCAUUCCUGGCUUGCAAGGGGAGAUACCGGCUAACUCUACAAAGGGCGUUCCCUUCGUAGCAGGAAAGUAAGAAUUUCCUUGGUUUGCUUCUUAGUAAAAACAUUAGAUAGUGCUAAGCCACCCUUCAUCAGAUAAGGUAAUUCUAAUUAGAUAAUUAGAUACCUUAACAUUCAAGUCCAAACCAAACUGACCAUGUAUCGUCAAUGCUAAUAAUUAUGUGGCUCAAAUGAGUGGUAAGUGGAAAAAUCAGAGGAGGUAGGGGUGGUGGUUAAGGGCGUCGAAGAGGCAAGCAGAGAAUGGUUGAAAUAGAUGGGAUCGUAAGAAUACCAACAAGCAACGGAUUUCUCAUACUGUCAGACAUUGGUUUUAGGGUUCCAAUAAUGAUACCAAUUGAUAGGUACCAACAAGCAAAAAGGAAGAUAAAGCAAUAAAAGAGAAAUUAAAAAGGAUCUCCCAAAAUGGCCAAAGGCCUUGGACUAAAUACAAUGAGAUUGAGAACUCAGCAAUAUAGAUACGGAAAGAGAAUCUAAAGAGAAUCUUUUAUGUAUUUCAUUUUGAGUUAUAGAAAGAAAAAAAAAAGGAAAAAAAAGAGAGAUAAAAAACAGAGAACAUAAAAGAUUUUUAUAGAAAUAAUAAGAUAAGAAAGAGAGACCAAAACAUAUAAUAAAAGGAUACAUGGUCAUCCUACAAGGUAAUAAUAGGAUACAUGGUCAGUUUGGUUUGGACUUCAAAUUUUCGUUAUGAAAUUAAGUUUCCUAAUAUUUAAUUUAUAAAAUUAUGAAUUAUUAUAUUGUGCAUGGAAGCGAAGAAUAUUGUGGGUGGUAAAGAAAACUAUUAGAAAAGUGUUGGUGGGACCAUAUGCUUCUACUAUUAAAUGUAUUAUUAUUUAUAAAGAUGAAUUGGCACCUUAAAAUGGUGCCUUUUUAAAAAGAAAAAAUUAAAAUUAAAAUACAUUUGUUGUUCACUUUGGCACGGAUAAGUGAUGGUGACUGUUCCAUGGGCACAAUAGAAGUGAUAACUAGGGCUGGGCACGGUAUGGGAUGAUACGGGAUGAAGGUCAUCUCAGUGUUAAUCCCGAAUAAGGAAAUCGGGAUAGGAUGACAGGAGAUGAGAGUUUUUGAAAACACGUUCAAAUCAUACUGGUCCCGUUUUGGACCGGUAUGAUUCGGUAUCAAUGUUGAUCCUGUAAAAAAUCUACAAAAUUUCAUAAAUCUGCAAAAUUGUAAUAGAAAAUAUGCUAUCCUAACAUUUGUUUGAAACAAACUGUUAGAAUGAACAUCAUCCCCUAUAAAAACUUAUAAAAAAGAACAUAUGCAACAAAAAUGUGAAUCAAUUGAAAAAUAAAUAGAAGAUGACAUACAAAAAUGAGAUCACACAUUGCUAUGCUCAUAGAGCAUUUUCCAGAAAUCCCUGAAAACUAUUGGUACUUUCAGUUCCAACUCUCUAUUUUCCUGAAAUUCUCUCACCCACUAUUCCAUAAGGGAACCCAAAAAAAGCAGAAUCAGUUUUCUCUACUUGGGUUAGUUUGUUUUCAUGCAGCCCUGUAAUAUUUGAAAGGGCUAGGUCCAUUUUUACCUAGUCUCUGUUUUUUCUUUUCUUUAACCAAUUUUUUUAUUAUAAAUAAAUGUUACUGAUUCAAAAUUGAUAGAGAUAGAAAACUGAAAAGAGAGAGAGAGAGAGAGUGGGAAAUGAAGAGAAAUAAGGAAGGUUCUUGUUGUCAAGAAAAUGGGCACCAACCAUUUUUUGGUUAAAAAUAAGGGGUGCCUAACUUAGGUAAUUAUCAAUGGAGAUGCAUAAAUAAGGGGUGCCUAACUUAGGCAACCCAUGUUUUUUGAAGCCUAUAUAAAUCCCGUAGCUCUCAUUUGUAGUGCAUCCCCAGAAUUAGAGAAUUAGAGAGAGUUUGAGAGAAAAGCUUAAGAGAAAAAGCUUGUGUAAGAAUUUUUGUGAGAAAAAUUCUUAGUAUAAUUCGGGGUGAGUUGAGAGUUGUGAGUGUUGUAAACACUUUGUAUAUUUUCUCCCUUUAGUAAAAUGAUCUGUAGCAGGUCCGGAGACGUAGGCACAAUUGGCUGAACUCCGUUAUCAAAUUUGUGUGUCUUAUUUCCUCUGUUAUUUCGCAUUCUCACUAAUCUGGUUUAUAGGGAAAUCUGCGUUAUUUCCUAACACUUGUGAAGGAGGGGAUCUGAUUUUUCCUUUUCGCGUUGAAUUCUCUUAUAGCUUUUUUGUGUGACACACAUAUACACAUACUAGAUGAGAGAGAAAGCAAAAGAAAGAAAGAGAAAAAGGAGAAGAAGAAGAAGAAGAAGAAGAAAGAAAGAAACAGGAUAGAUAGGGAGAUCCCUUUAGGCUUAGGAAAACUAAUAAGGGAGCUAUUGCUUAGGAAAACAUACUGAGGAGAAACAAAGCUGAGUUGAAAUGUUUGUGGAGAGAGAGGAGGAAUAACUGAAAUUAAAUUAGGAUUAUUAUUUACAUGUAUUGUUCGGUAUGGUAUGGCACCAAACGGGAUCACAAACUGGAACUGAUGUCGUGCCAAACAGUAACGGGAUGACACGGUAUCAUCCUGUUUACACGUCAACACCAAAUGAGAUGGCACAAGAUUGGCACAGUUUCGGGAUGGUUUCGAUAUUCCGAUUUUAAUGCCCACCCCUAGGGAUAACAGUAUCUUAUAAUCAAUGGAAACCCCAAGUAUCAGAUCCCAAGUUUGGGGCCAUUCAAUAUGGCUUGGCUCGUAUCUUAAAAAAGCAUACCUUUAAUGGAAAAUAGGGAAGGACUGAACCAAUAAAUGUUACCCAAUGAGUAAUAGCAACCCCAAAUUAGGAUACUGAUAUAAAAAUAGACGCUACAUAGUCUCUAUUGUUUAUAAAAUAAACUUAAGGGACAAAUUCAUAUCAGUGGCUAGUGUGUGUUUUUUUGGUAGUGUUUCAGCUUAAAUUCAGGUGUAAUUUGAGAUGUCCUAGAAUUUUGUUGAUACAUAUAAAAUGUGUUAAAACCAAUAGGAGAUGUAAAUUUUUUUGUUUUUUUGUCACUUUCUUCUGUAUAUCUUAAGAUGUAAUGAGAGAACAUUGUUAGUUCAUCAAUUUAUGAAAGACUAGUUUCCAUAGUUUUAUCAUUUCCCCUUACAAAAAAGAAAAAAAAUACAAAUGUAACCAAAUUAGUGAUUUAAUUGGCAAAUGCCAUGACAGAUAUGUAUUGCAUAUGUAUAGUCAUUUAUUGCUUGUGUAUUGCUCCUGUAUUGCCCUCGUAUAUCCGUUUUUUCAAAUCUCUGUUUUAAUAAAUUUAUAGGGGAGUAUGGAGUUUGUGUACUGCCAUUGCAUAACCCUUCAUUGCUUUUGUAUUGCUAGUGUAUUACUUCCUUAUAUCCUUUUUUUUCAAGUUCGUGUUGGAAUAAAUUUAUAGGGGGAGAAUGUAGUUUGUGUAUUUCCAUUGUAUUGCCCUUUAUUGCUUGUGUAUUGCUACUGUAUUGCCCUCAUAUAUCCAUUUUUUUCAAGUCUGUGUUGGAAUAAAUUUAUAGGGGAGUAUGGAGUUUUUGUAUUGCCAUUGUAUAGCCCUUUAUUGCUUAUGUAUUAUUACUGUAUUGCCCUUGUAUAUCCUUUUUUUUUUUCAAGUCUGUGUUGGAAUAAAUUUGUGGGGGGAUAUGGUGUUUGUGUAUUGCCAUUGUAUAGCCCUUUAUUGCUUGUGUAUUGCUACUGUAUUGCCUCCUAUAUCCUUUGUUUUCAAGUCUAUGUUAAAAUAAAUUUAUAGGGGAAGUAUGGAGUUUGUGUAUUGCCAUUGUAUAACCCUUUAUUGCAUGUGUAUUGCUAUUGUAUUGCUCCCGUAUAUCUUUUUUUUUCUUUUCAAGUUUAUGUUUGAAUAAAUUUAUAGGGGAGUAUGAAGUUUGUGUAUUGCCAUUGUAUAGCCAUUUAUUGCUUUUGUAUUCCUAUUGUAUUGACAAGACCCGACCCAAAUUUCACUUUGGAAUCUAAGCCGAACCCUGUGCGUGUUUGACACCUGGCAGGUGUCGAGCACACUUGACCAAAAUACCCUUCUAACUAGAAUCAAAAUUUGACUUCAAGUUUGACUUCUGCCAAAAAUUCAGCAGUCUCCCCUAUAAUUUGCUCGUUUCCCAAAAUUUUUACCUGUAUAAAACAAGCAAUUUAAUGUCCUCAAUCGUUCAGCAUGCACAAUGACAGAAUACAUACAUUCAAACAUCAAAAUGUUAUGGCCUUAGGCCUCAUUAACACAAGUAAAUCGUGCUGCUAGCUGAAUUUGAUCUCAACUUUAAGAUAUCAAUAGUACAUUAACAAUUUCAAACACUCCAUCUCGUGGCUGCACCUAGUAACACUAGGUUGCCUAAGUACCCUUACUGAGGGAUCAAGCCACACGUAGUUCUUUCACUUUGUAUACUGCACUUGUGUAUCUCGUCAAUUAUUAUUGUCCAUUGUGAUUACAAAUCCAUCCAAGUUCUCAAGUCAACGAUUUGAUCAAUGACAUUCACAUGCCAUACUCGUACAGAAACCGAACAUGCAUAGUUAUAUUUAUAUAACAAUUCACACAUUUACAUAAAUCAUUAACUCAGUUUAAAGCAUUGACACAUCCUCGCAGGUCUUGGUAACACAAAGUCGACCUGAGCCGUAAUCCUCGCAAGAUUCAGGAGACAUCUGGUCAACCUGAUCCACAUUCCUCACUCCGCUCGGUCCGGAUAUCCCUAAGACUUGUGGGGCACCUGUCAAACGUGCUGACAUAACCGAAGGCAACCAUUUAUUCCGAAGGAAAUAUUUAUUACAAAGGCAACAUGGGUACCCAUGGUGGUUUAGGAAAAAAAAAACAUUUCUUGGAAAAUCAUAAAUACCAUUUCUCAUCCAUCCUUAAAUUAUGUUGCCACUAUCCUUUUUACUUCCAAGCCAUGCUCAACUUAUAUAUAUAUAUAUAUAUAUAAGCAUAAUAUAGUAAAAAUAUUCGAAAUUCAACAAUCAUGCUUGGAAAGUAAAAAUCCUAACGACUCGUUCAAGAUCAAAUAAUAAAACUUAUUUGCAUAAAAUCAUUUAUAAAACGAAAGUCCACUCACUAGACUCCCUCUAAUUCAUAAAUCAAUUUACGUAUUACUGACUUAGAUUUAUAUAUAUAUAAAUAUAAAUAUAAUAAUAAUAAUAAUAAUAAUAAUAAUAAUAAUAAUAAUAAUAAUAAUAAUAGAAAUAGAAACAAAAGUAAAAAUAAGAAUAACAUAAAAAUAAAAUAAAAAUAAAACAUUUCCAUCUUUUACUAGUAAAACAAACUCAUCACCUAAGAAAAUAAUGGCGAACUUUACAAAAUCCUUAAAACUUAUACACAUUCAUUAUUUGUCUCAUAAUAUCAGGAUUAUAAAUAUUAAAACCUUUGUCCAUAAAAUACCAAGAUAAAAUCCUUGAUUUUAGUUUAAAAAAACAUCUCAAAACUUAAAUUCUCUCCACCGAGGCGAACUCCCAUUCUUGAUCCGUCAAUUCCGUUAUUACCGUCAAUUCCAGUAUUAUUCCAUCAAUUUCAAAUAUCAGUCAAUUUCAUAUAUUUGUCAAUUCCAUCCUCGCAGGCUUCGGAGACACCAAGUUAACACAGCCGCAUUCCUUGCAGGCCUCGGAGACACCAAGUCACCCGAGCUGCAUUCCUCGUAGGUCUCAAGAGACCAUUAGUUAGACUGAGCCGCAUUCCUCGCACCACAUGGUUCCAGCGUCCUCGAACUCGUGGGGCAUUAUUUAUGAAUGACAACUGUUUCAAGGCAACUUGGGGGGGGGGGGGGGGUAACUCCUGCUGUGGGUUCGAAAAAUCAUAUUCGAAACUUAUCACAAACUUUUCUUUAUUCCACAAAUCCAUUGCCAGCUACUGAGUAUAUGUAUUAAAUAUAGACAUGCACUUAAAUAGUUAAUUAGUUUGUUAAUCACGUCAAACUUCGAUUAACAAACCAUUCUAAUAUUGUAAUUAUAAUCUUGGGUUAUUCAUAGCAAUAGUCCCUCAACUAUACCCGUAGUUACAGUUUGGUCACUUAACUCAAAUAUUAGUUGUAGACGUCACUCAAGUAGGUGCUUUGUUGCAUCAUUAGUCCUUCCGUCAAAUUCUGUUAAAUUUUCUAUCAAAAGUGAGGGUAAAUUUGAAAAUUCAUCAACAACCAUCUCCUUUUCCACAACCCUCCGUUGUCGCAACCCAAUGCUUGCUUCUCCUCCCUUGUACCAAAAUCUGGGCAGAAAAAGGAAAAGAGAAAGACAACUCGAUUGCUUCUCCUCUCUUAUACCAAACUCGCCACCCAAUCCUUCCUCCUACCCCAACCCAGCACUUACUGUAAACCAUCAACCAUAAAAUACAUAAAUGUAGAGAGAGAGAGAGAUAUAUAUAUAUAUAUUUAUAUAUGGAGAAAAUAAUGCACAAUUGUUCUUUUCAUACCAAUUGGUUUUAUUCUCCAAGUUGUCCUGCUUUUUAUGUUCAGAAAAAUGCUGAAUUAGAAAGAGGAGUCCCAAGAUUAGUUAUCAAUUACAAGCCUCUUAAUGCGGUCCUAGAAUGGAUUAGGUAUCCCAUACCUAAUAAAAGAGACCUCAUUAAUCGAUUAGAAAAAGCAGUUGUUUAUUCUAAGUUUGAUAUGAAAAGUGGUUUCUGGCAAAUCCAAAUAGAUGAGUCAGAUAGAUAUAAGACUGCAUUUGUCACUCCUUUUGGUCAUUACGAAUGGAAUGUAAUGCCUUUUGGUCUGAAAAAUGCUCCUAGUGAAUUCCAGAACAUUAUGAAUGAUAUAUUCAACCCUUACAGUCAGUUUUCGAUUGUCUAUAUUGAUGAUGUUCUGAUCUUUUCUGAGUCCAUAGAGCAACAUUGGAAACAUUUGUAUAAGUUCCUUCAAUUUGUCAAACAAAGUGGUUUAGUUGUUUCUGCCAAAAAGAUCAAGUUGUUUCAAACCAAUAUUCGUUUUCUUGGUUUCAAUAUAUGCCAAUCUCAAAUAUCUCCAAUUGAUCGAGUCAUCCAGUUUGCUGAUAAGUUCCCUGAUCAAAUUCUUGAUAAGAGUCAGCUUCAGAGAUUUUUAGGAUCUUUGAAUUACAUUUCUAAUUUUUACAAAAAUUUGAGAAAACAGUGUAAGCCCUUAUUUGAUAGGUUGCAGAGUAACCCUCCUCCUUGGUCGUCUACUCAUACUGAAGUUGUUAAACAGAUUAAAAGCCAUGUCAAGACACUUCCCUGUCUUGGUAUUCCUUCAGUUGAUUCCUUCAAAAUAGUUGAAACCGAUGCCUCUGACAUAGGUUAUGGUGGCAUUCUUAAGCAGAGGGUCAGUCCAAGCUCUCCAGAACAAAUUGUUCGAUUCCAUUCUGGAACCUGGACUCAGUCGUAGCAUAAUUACAGUACUAUUAAAAAAGAAUUAUUAGCUAUUGUAUUAUGCAUUAGUAAAUUUCAAGAUGAUUUGCUUAAUCAAAAGUUUUUAAUCCGAGUUGAUUGCAAGUCUGCAAAACAUGUUUUAGAAAAAGAUGUUCAAAACAUUGCAUCUAAACAGAUUUUUGCACGAUGGUAAAGUAUUUUAAGCAUAUUUGAUUUUGAAAUUGAAUAUUUGAAAGGCAGUGAGAAUUCUGUUCCUGAUUUUCUCACUAGAGAAUUCUUGCAUGAUGCACAAUGGCUCCCAAGAAAGACAAACAAAAAGCAGUAGCCAGUCAACCUAAGUCGCCCAAGUCAACCCAGUCAUCAUUAAGCUUUACAGCAAAAGUUAUUCGGCUUUUAGACUCAGGGCUCAGAUGUUUAUCCCACCAGCUUCUGAGAGUACCGGUGAAACCAGUAACUAACAGAGGGACAAUUUCAGACUGUCUGAAAUUGUGAUUGGUGAUAUAACUAUUGGCAACCAUAGACAUAUGUUGUAACUUAUUCAGGAUUUCUUGCUUAGAAAGACCAUCAAUAUUCCACUCAUACAAUUUGUCGGAAGAAACAGAAAACUGGGUUUGCAAGUUUCUUUCUUCAAAUUGAAUGUCUGGAGGUGUUGGUAUGAGAUACCAAUUUUUGGUCAGACUACUGGGGCUGACAAACUUUUCUAAUUUCUUAACUUUGGGUUCAACUUGGAUUUCUAGAGUUUGAAAGGCUUUUUCAAUUUUAGAAAUAUUACUUACUUCUGACGACUCUGACUCAGAGGUGUUUUCUUUUGCAAAAGCAUCUAGUGUUUUAAGACCAGAUUUCUCAGUUUUUUCAAUUUUGGCAGGGGUCAACUGAGCUAACAUGUCUUCUAUUUUCUUCAUUGUUGGAGUGAUCUUAAGAGUCGGGCUAGACCUAAGAUCCUGGAACUGGACAAUUGGUUUUUCAACUUUCUUUUUAGACUCUACGUCUGUAGAACCUAUCUUAUCAAUUUUAGUUUCGAUUGUAUCCAACUGUUUUCCUAUAACUAUUAGACUCUGGUUGGUAUAAUUAUUUUGCUCAAGAAUUCUUCUAUUAUUGUCACUGCUUUCAAAGGUUUUGAAAGGAGUAGCAGGAAUAAGAGUAUCUUUGUGCUCAAUAAUUAUAGUUUCUACUGGAGGAUGGCUGGAUUCAACGACAGACUUAUCUGCCAUUUUCCAUUUUUGCUGAGUUAAAGUUUUUAACUCAUCAUUUGACAUAUAGCGACUUUCAACAAAAUCAAGGUAGAAAAUUUCAACUUGGGUUGUCCGCAUGUAAUCUUUCCAUUCACUAAAGAUUUCUAGGCGGCGUUGGGCUUCUGGAUAGGCUUGGUGGUAACUUUCUCGUCUAGACAAGUUCUCAGGGGCUUUGAGAUGUUUGUUUAGACGUGACCAGUCAAUUCUGAAUUUUCUAUUAAGGGUUCUUAACUGAUUGUCAACUGUGGCAUAAUUUUCAACUAUAAAGUCAGACUGGGUCGGUGACUCAGGGGAUUCUGACUUUUCUUCAACUGGAGCCUUGCCAUAGCAGGGCUGGGUUACCUGAGAAGAUCUUCUCAGAGACUCAAGUUUCAAAUCUAUCAUUGUUUUUUCUAACUCUAGGUCUCGUUCUAGAGUAGAGGAAGAGGCAGUAAAGGAAUGCCGAGCAGGGGCAUGCCUUUGAGACUGACCAAGAGUUGGCAAUUGUUGUAACUGGACAUUGGACUUUCUCAGAGGCUGGUUAUCGAACCUAAUCUUCAUCGUGCCAUCUAAGUACUGUUGGAUGUAGUCUAAAUUGUUUAGACUACGUUGGAUCGGAGCUGGUUGGCUCUCGGUAACUAGGGUCCAAUCUGUUGGAAGGGCAACUUCUGACCAUUUAAUGGUCUGGGGAACUUGUAUAUGGGCAUUUGACGUAUGGCUCUGGAUCAGGACUGUCUGAUCCUUAGGGCUUUUGUUUAAGGCCUGGAAGUUCAUAUUGGUUCCUGUGACCUUAUAGUAAAUUCUGUAAACUAGGGCUAAAGGUUGGGUUCCUGGGAGGACAUUAUAACCUUCAGUCUUAAUAUUGAGAGUUAGGGUUCUCAAUAUAUGCGGAUCACUAAGGCUUACAGUGAAGUCUGGGUAACAAUCAAAAUGAACUGGACCGUUACACAAACUGGACUCAAUUACUCCUAGGGUACUGUCACUGAACGCGGUGAACCGGGCAUCGUGUAGACAGAGCAGUAUGGAUGCUUUUAAUCCUAAUCUGGUUAGGGGCUUAACGGCAACUUGAACAAGACCAAUAUGAAGGAAAUUGUUUCCAUCAGUCUUGUGCUUUUUGAUUGACUCAAGAUUAAGCAACUGGCAAGUUUCGUGUUCUUUACUAAAAGCGUAAACUUGUUCAACUGUUUUGACAUGUGUGGUGCUAUUAAAACUGGAAGGCAACCAAUGUUUCUUAUAGAUUUUUUGAUUCGGGACUUUAGGAAUAUUCCAAUCUCUAAAGUCUAAUUGUUCUUUGCAACUAGAAUCAUAUUCAAAUUAUUCUUCAUUAACUAUCUCAGGGAGUCGACUUAUACUGGCUUUAGAACUGUUUGACUUACAGGAAUUCGACCUAAGAAAACGACUCAUGGCUACUCAAGUGUUUGACUCAAACGGACUGAGGAAGAAGAUAAACAGGGACUUCCUAGACUCACCGUUUACUCUACAAAUAACCUAUUAACCUUAGUAGGAUGCACAAUGUAUAUGGUUUUAUAUAUUUAUAUAUAUAUAUAUAUAUAUAUGGAGAUGGGUUUGGGAAUUGUGUGCAAAGUCUCAACACUUUCUGUGUAUUGAAUGGUAGAUAGACAGAUAGACAUGGAUGAAAGGUUUUUGCUGGUUUUCUCAUCAUUUCAGUAAUUAACUCCUCUGUUGAGUUUUUGUGCCAAAUACCCUUUUUAUUUGCCAGCGCACGACGACACAUUGUUUAGUAUCUUUUUUUUAUCUUAAUUGAUUAGCGUCAAUUUUUCUGCCCUUUAAAAAAUUUCAGCAAUCAAAUGGUGCAAUGGUGCAAGAAUUGGAGGAGAAAGGCGUGGGUUGCAGCAAUGGAGGAAGUGGAGGGUUGUGGAGGAAGGUGAGGGUUGUGGAGGAGAGGAAGGGUUGUGGAUGAAUUUCCGAAUUUACUCUCACUUUUGACAGGAAAUUUAACAGAGUUUGACAAAAGGACUAAUGGUGCAACAAAACACCUACUUGAGUGACCUUUGCAACUAAUAAUUGAGUUGAGUGACCAAACUGUAACUAUGGGUAUAGUUGAGGGACCAUUGCUGCGAAUAACCCUUUUAAUCUUCAUAGAAAUAACUAAAUAAAUAAAUAAAUAAGUGAAUAAUUAACAGGCACAUAAUCAUCACCCCUAGAGAUUCCAUUAGUUCCAAUAAUGAAUAAUCUCCGAACAUCAAAAAUAGCAUUCAAGUAUACUAUCAAUUACUAUUAUGCACUUUAAAAUAACCAUAAUAGAACUAUGCACAAUUUAGCAAUCUAUAUAUAACUAUCUAUACUCAUCCCAAAAUCAUAUAAAUUCAUAAUACGAUAUGAAUAACUCAAUUUUCGAUCAGGACUCGUCUGCAUGGUCAUUCUAACACUUCUCAAAGAAUAUAACUACCUCGAAAGACUCACGGUCAACUGAAGAGUCAAACUGCCUAAACUUGGUCAACUGGGCCCGCAUGGCCCAUGACCUUCGAUCACUAAUCUGGGAGUUCCUAUAGGUUUAACAUACUUAUCUAAACCUCCUCUGCAAGUUUGGCCCAAAUCGAAUAGUCGGAUCUCUCACGAUCGUACGAUCGGAUGGUUAUUGUAAAAUGCAAACUUAAACUUAUUGAAUCGGAACAUCCGGGGUUUCGAUUCACGAUCCGCCAAUUCUUGCACGAUCCUAAGAAUGCCUAGAUCAACAUAUAUUGAAUUGGAGUCGAUCCAACGGUCCGAACCUGUCAAACCCGGAUAACGCCUACAUGAUCACCGCAUAGAGUGGAGCAACUUUUGUUCUUGGACCUACCUCAAAAAGUCGAAGGAAGUAGCCGGAAUCGGAGGCCAAAACCGGCCUAAACUUCUAUCGCUUAAUUACCCACAAAAACUCAAAAAUUUCUCCUAAAUACCACAACCAGUAGCUAGAACACAUUGAAAGGAUAGAAAAUCAUAUCAAAUUCGAAGAAAAUGGUAGCCGGAGGUGUCCGGACGAGCUCUGUGAAAUUCCGUCAAAAACUAUCCAAACCGCCCUGUUUCGUGGCCCUUUUUGGCAACCACGACGGCUUAUUGAAGUUGGGAUGGGCUGGAAUUGAAAGAGGGAAGUGAGGUGGUUCGUUUGGGACCGGUCUUGCUUGAAACGGUGGCCGGAGUUGGGAGAAAUCAAGGUUUGAAGUUGAUUGGUCGUGUCCUCCAAGAGAAGAAAAUCUGGGUUUUUAAAAAACUUAACUUUGAAAUAUUUACGGUUAUGUCCCUGAGCUUCCGUAGAUAAUAACUUCUUUGUUACAACUUCGAUUUGAGCUCACUACGUGUCUACGGACUCAUCUCAACGUGCUCUACGCAACAGUCCAAUUAAAAUUUCCACAUUCCAUUCCAAACUUAAAAUGACUUUUUUGCCCCUUUUAUAUUAAAUAAUAUUUUAAUCUUCAAAAACCUUAAUUAAUUCAAAUCAUUUUAUUUUAUUGUUUAUUUCAAUUUACUUUCUCAUUUAAAUUUAUUUCCUCUUAUGUGAAUUAUUUUAUUACUCUUUAUGACUGGGAUGUUACAGUUUCACAAAAAUCUUCCCCGAACAAAAGUUAACUUUUAAAUCAUUUAAAUAUUCAUGGAGUAAAAUUGUCUAUUUCUUGAACAAUAUAAUAUUUAACUAAUAAUUUAGGACCUGGUUGUUACAAUUGCUUCCAUAGUAGGGAAAUUGGGAAAUUGGCGGUAUAUGGGUGUAAGAAUGUGAUUUCAUCAAGGACGUCACGUCCUUUUUUUUUUCUUCAGAAAACACGUUAUAUACAUUCGGUGUAUAUUGCAUGUAUAUUGUAUGUUUAUUGCGUGUAUAUUGCUUGUUCAUGGUCUGUGUAUAGCUGUUUAUUGCCUUUUAUUACCAUUGUAUUGUAUGUUUAUUGCCAAGUUAUAGCUUCUGUCAUUUUUUGAGGAAAAAUUAAUAUAAACUCUUAAUUUUGACAGUACAAGGGUGUAAGUAUGUGAUUCCAUCAAGGCCUCAUAUAUGUGCUUGUAUUGCCUUUGUAUUGCCCGGAUAUAUGGCUUAUUUUGCGUAGGUAUUGCCCCCAUAGAUGACUUGUAUUGCCUACGUAUUGCGCAAAAACGAGGACUCUCAAACCAAUUAAUGCAAAAAAUAUGUAGCAAAAACCAGGCAAUACCACAACACUACAAUGUCAACACCAUAACAAUACAAGAGCAAUAGGGCAGCAAUACAAUGACAAUACAAAAACUCCACAUUCCCACUAUAAUUUCAUUUGAACACAUAAAAAAGGUGAUAUGUGCGCAUUAAAUGGGAUAUCCAAUGACAAAAAUAUAUAUAUAUAUAUAUAUAUAUAUACACACACACGAAGGCAAUUAGGAGCAAUACCAUGGCAAUAAGAACCCAAUAGGAGGCUAUAUAGUGGCAAUACUAACGCAAUAUGAGACUUUACAGUAGCAAUACAAAAACUCUAAAAGUCCAUCUUAUGCAGGCAACGCAGGGCAAAAAAUAAUGUAUAUAAUGUUCUUUCUUCAAUGUAUAAUAUAAGUAAAAGUAUUUUUUCCACACAAACUUGCAAAUAAAUAAAAAGAACAAAUUCAAGACUGAAAAUUUCAACUAAAUUGAAUUCAAUAUCAUUGAAUGAGGACUAAAUUACAUGAGUGCAAUAUGUAGUUCCUCAUAAUUACAGUACACUUCCUGUAACUCAAUGGAAUGUUGUCCCACGCCAAAUUGAUGAUGGUUCUCAAUCACAACAAUCUUCCAGAAGCCAAAAAUCUAGGUCCAACUAUCAUGAAAAAAAAAGAACCCUGGUAGUGAACACUGCAAAAGAGAUAGCAAAACAAAAAAGUUUCAGGUGCCUGCAAGUGAACCCUGCAAAAGAGAUAACUGAUAUGGUUUAUGGCAUCUGCCUACAUCCACCUGCAGCAAUGAAACAUAAUUUUAGAAAGAGAAACAAGGAAGGUUAUAAGAAUUGGAGAGAAAUUCCAGAGUGGAAUGAACAAAGCAGUCUUGUAAUUGGUGAAUCCAUUAUCCAAUUCCUCUACAAGCACAAUCUAACUUUGCAAAAAGUGUUCUACAUUGUACAUGAGUCUAAUUAAAGUAAGUGGUGGACAUCAAGCACAAUCUAGCGUUUGCUUCUUCUUAAGCUCAUCAUGUCACCAAAUCAGAUCCAAUUCAUAGACAGUAAAAUUGGAAAAUUGGAAAAAUACCUUGCUGGGAAAUUUGCAAAAGUGGAAUUUAGGUAAUUUUUUGAAAUAAUUGAAAAUUUAAAACAUUAAACCUACCGAAAUAGGGAAAUUCCAAAUGAACAACAUCAAAGCAAUAUCCAAGGGAUAUAUCAGCAAUAUAAGUACAAUAGAGUGACAAUAGACACCUGAUAUGCAAUACAUAAGUAGUGUAAGGAUUACUAUUCACAAAUGAGUCUCAUGACACACCAAAAAAAAAAAAAAUUCCUUUUACCUCCCUUAAUUUGUCCAUCCCAUUUCUAUGUCUCAUACUUUCUCUAUGUUCUCUCCAUUAUCAGAGCAUCAUUAACAUGUUUAGUGUAGAACUUGGAUUUUAAGCCAGAAUAGCACACACGCACACAAAACUUCACAACAUUACGAAGACGAAUUACAUAACAAAAACACAGAUUGUUCAUUACAACUACCCAAUCCAACCAUCUCAAGUUCCUAUUCGAGCAAACAAAUAGAUCUUUCAUAUUGUUUAAGAUAUAAAAGCUAAAAGUCCCAAAUACUUUGAAACAUACUUGAGACUUGUAUGGACUGGGUGGCAUGUAAUGAAAUCCAGGAGGGAAAUAGUGUUUGGCUAUUUCAAUGGGAUCUGCAUGGAUAUCAUAAACAGGCUCAAUAACAAAUAGGUGAGAAUUGCUAAAAUAUGAAAACUAUGAGAGAAUAUUUGUUUGUGGGAAUUUUCUGUGUAUUCUUCUCCUUGUAGGAGGUCAUAUUUAUAAUACAACAAAACCUGAAUGGGUAAGUAAAUAAUAAAUUCCUAAAUCUAUUUACAGUAGUAAAUCAGGAAUUAAAGUAAAUCAAUUACAAUUAUAAUAGGAAUUCUUAGUGUGUAAGGAAAGUAAGUCAAUAUCCACAAGUCACGCCAACACUCCCCCUCACGUUGGUGCAUAGAUGUCGCCAAUGCCCAACUGAUCCAGUGAAUUGUGGAAUGCUUUACUGGAAAUUGCCUUUGUCAAAAUAUCCGCCAAUUGAUCCUCGGAUUUCACAAAAGGAAACUGAAACACUUUAGCCUCAAGCUUCUGUUUGAUGAAGUGUCGAUCCACCUCAACAUGUUUAGUACGAUCAUGUUGAACCGAAUUUUGUGCAAUGGCUAUAGCAGCUUUGUUGUCACAAAAGAGAUUCAUUGUGGAUGUAGGUUUAUACCCAAGUUUAGUAAGCAGCUUUCUUAACCAAAGAAGUUCACAAAUCCCUUUAGUCAUGCCUCUGAACUCGGCUUCUGCACUGGAUAAAGCUACUACAUUCUGUUUCUUACUCCUCCAUGUCACCAAAUUACCUCCCACGAAUGUGAAGUAACUCGAUGUGGAUUUUCUAUUUGUUACAUUACCUGCCCAAUCUGCAUCUGAAUAACCAUCAAUAUUUAGAUGACCAUGCUUUGAGAACAUAGGUCCUUUUCCAGGUGCAGACUUCAAAUAUCUAAGUAUCCGAAGAACUGCAUUCAUGUGGUCUUCACUUGGACAGUGCAUAAAUUGACUGACAACACUCACUGCAUAAGCAAUGUCUGGUCGAGUAUGUGACAAAUAGAUCAAUCUUCCCACUAACCUUUGGUAUCUUUCUUUGUUAGUUGGAACUUGAUCCGGAUAUUCUCCAAGAUGAUGAUUCUGAACAAUAGGAGUGUCCGCAGGUUUGCAAUCUAGCAUUCCUAUGUCCGUCAACAAGUCCAAGACAUAUUUCCUUUGAGAGAGAAAUAUGCCUUGCUGCGAUCGAGCCACCUCAAUUCCCAAGAAAUACUUGAGUCCACCUAGAUCCUUCAUCUCAAACUCAGUAGCCAAAUAGUCUUGUAGCUGUGAUAUUUCCUGUUUAUCAUUCCCAGUAAUAAUCAUAUCAUCAACAUAUAUUAUUAAUGCUGUUACCUUCCCUUUUCGAUGUUUCAAGAACAGAGUAUGAUCUGAGUUGCACUGUUUGAAACCAUUGUUCUUCAUUGCCAUGGUGAACCGUCCAAACCAUGCACGUGGUGACUGUUUCAAUCCAUACAAUGCUUUUCGUAACCUGCAAACUGUUCCACUCUGAGUAGUAUUAUAUCCAGGAGGAAUGUCCAUGUACACCUCCUCCGUGAGUUCGCCAUGUAGAAAAGCAUUCUUUACAUCAAACUGGUGUAGUGGCCAAUCCAAAUUAGCUGCAAGGGACAAUAAGACUCUGACGGUGUUUAACUUUGCAACUGGUGCAAAAGUUUCUUCAUAGUCUAUACCAUAGGUCUAUGUGUACCCUUUUGCCACAAGUCUUGCCUUGUAUCGCUCGAUAGAUCCAUCUGCAUUAUGUUUUAUAGUGAACACCCAUCUACAUCCGAUAGUCUUUUUUCCUCGUGGUAUAGUCUCCAAUGUCCAAGUCUGAUUUUUCUCAAGAGCUUUCAUCUCCUCUUUUAUAGCUUGGACCCACUUAGGAUCUUUCAAUGCUUCGGAGACCUUGGUUGGAAUAUGGAUAGCAGACAACUAAUGCACAAAAGCCUUGAGUGGUUCAGACAGCUUCUCAGUGGAUACAUGAUUUGCAAUUGGAUACUUGGAUGUCUUGCCAAUAUCAGGUGAAUAACGGUUUGGUGGCUUCCCACGAUUUUGCCUGAAAGGUAAUUGAUAUCCAAUAGUUUUAUCCUCUAAAUGCACAAGUCUAGUAGGAGUAUUUACCUCAAAGAUAUUCUCAGGAGAUUGGUUCGUUGGUACUGUUGAAUGAGAGGGGGGGUCUUCAUCUUGUUGUUCUGAGUUAUCUGUAAGAGUAUGACUCGCAUCAAAAACAUCUUCGCAAGGGUUAGGCGAUCGAUCGUUGUUUGGCAGAGAGCAUUCGCACGUGCCAAACUCGGGACGAUCGAUUGUUAUUGUUUCUUGGCCGAGAGCAAUAUUCUUCGUGCAUAGAUGAAUAUCCUCAUGUUCCAAGCUGCUCCAAUUGAGCUCUUCACUCGGUAUCUCCCCCUGAAGAGUAGAAUUGGAUGCUGGGUCAUAGAAGAACAUAUCUGAUUCUAGAAAGGUGACAUCCAAAGUGACAUAGGUUCGCCGGGUAGGAGGGUGAUAACAUCGGUAGCCUUUCUGAUGAGUGGCAUAAAGCAAAAAAACACAACGAAGCGCACAUGGAUCAAGUUUGCUUCGUUGAUUUUUGUGGAGAUGAACGAAGGCCACACAGCCAAAAAUGCGAGGGGUAAGCACCAAAAUAGAGGGCAGAGGCCCGUGUUGCGCGAGCACUUGUAAUGGAGUUUUGAAGUUCAAGACCCCAGAUGGCAUGCGGUUGAUAAGGUGGACAGCAGUGACAACAGCAUCAUCCCAGUGAUGACGAGGAACAUGGCCACCAAUGAGAAGAGCACGGGCUGUUUCAAGGAGAUGACGAUUCUUCCGUUCGGCAACACCAUUUUGUUGUGGUGUCUGGGGGCAAGUUGUCUCAUGAAUAAUGCCAUGUGUCUGGAAGUUAGUCUGAAAAUCAUGAUUAACAAAUUCUCCACCGUUGUCAGAGCGAAGAAUCUGGAUUCGAGCAUUGAACUGUGUUUCCAUCUGUUUGUGAAAGGAUUGGAACACGGAAAAUACUUCAUUCUUAUUUUUCAUCAAAUAAAGCCAUGUCAUCCGUGUAUAAUCAUCUAUGAAUGUGACAAACCAACGAAUACCGGAAUGAGUAGAAAUAGGUGAGGGUCCCCAAACAUCAGAAUGAAUUAAAGCAAAAGGAAUAAUACUUUUAUUCAUACUUAAAGGAUAGGAUGCUCUAUGACUCUUGGCUAGAAUGCAAGUGUCACAUUUAAAAUCUGAGUCCUUAAAUACAGAAAACAAUUCGGGCAAUAAGUGUCUCAUAUAACCAAAAGAUGGAUGCCCCAAACGUCGAUGCCAGAGCCAAAUUUGUCGGUGCUUGUCAUCAGACGGAUGCUUCACACUAUUGGCACGUCCCAUACUGAAGUCAUUCACAUAGUACAGCCCCCCUCUUUGAGUACCACGCCCAAUGAUCUCCUUGGUGAGAAUAUCCUGUAGUAAACAAAAAUUGGGAUAAAUUAGUGCACAACAAUUUAGUUGUUCAGUUGCCUGACUCACAGACAUUAAUUUAUUGGACAAAGAUGGAACGAGUAGAGUAUUAGAAAGGGACAGAGAAGGUGAAAGGGCAACAGUGCCAGCCCCUGUCACAGGAUAGGUAACUCCAUUUGCAUUGGCAAUACUUGUGCAGCGGGGUGUAGUGGUGUGCAAAAAAUCAUUCGGAUCAAAGGUCAUAUGAUCAGUGGCGCCAGAAUCAAUUAUCCAACCAGUAGUAUCUCGUAGAUCAGAAGUAUGAAAUGCAUAACCACAGUUACCUGAGACAUCCGGAAGCGCGGGACGAUCAGGAGGAUCUACCUGCGGGAACAAGGCUAAUGGGGGUUCGGUAGAGACAAGAGCAGCACGGCCAGAAUUACUAGCAGUUUCUCUGAGCUUGCGAGCGCGGAGGUCCUCCCACCAAUCAGGAUAACCAUUUAGCUUAAAACAGGUGUCACGGGUAUGUUUGAGGUUGCCACAGUGCGUGCAACCACUUCCAUCAGUCAGAGCCUUGGGACGGGAAGGUGGGAUAGUUUUAGGAAGUGGCGCACCAGCAGCAGUAGCAUAUGACUGGAUCUGAAGGUGGGCUGCAGUAGAGGAAUUAUGGGGCUGGCCGACACGAGUAGGGGGACCUGAUCGAGGCGCACUCUUGGCCGCUAAGCCAGUACCAGUGGCUCGAUCGGAUGAACCCAUCAUCACUGCUUGUCGAACUUCUUCACGGCGAACAUAGGCAUAAGCUUGGUCAACAGUAGGGAAUGGAGUCAUGUGAAGAACAUCACUUCGGGCCUUAUCAAGACGAUCAUCAAGGCCAUCCAAAAAUAUGUAAACUCGAUCUUCCUGCAGAAUAUCAUUAUAGCGCUUGAUAUCACUUUCAUACUCCAUCAUAUUUGGACGACAAAAAUCAAUUUCUCUCCAUAAGCUUUGGAGAGUAUUGUAAUAGGUUUCAAUGGAGCCACCAGCUUGUCGCAGACGAGAGACUCGUCGUUUCAGAUCAUAAACCUGAGAAGUGUCAGUGCCAUCAUAGUAAGUUGUGGCAAUUGCAUCCCACACUGCUUUUGCCGUUGAAAAUCGAAUGAAAUUGCCAAUCAAGCUCUGCUCCAGAGAAUUGAUAAGCCAUCCCUUCAUAAUAGAGUUCUCGGUGCGCCAGCGAGGAAACGUUGGAGCAGUCGAAGGAGGUUGCGGAAGAUAGCCAUUAAUAUAUCCCAAUUUGUCUUUGCCGAAGAUAUACAACUCUACAACUUGGGACCAUAGGGCAUAGUUGGUGCCAUCCAACUUUAUGCCAAUCUGUGCAGCGGAAGCUUCAUAGGUAAUUGUUGUCGUCGGAAUCGUUGUCUGAUUCGGGUUCAAGGUCGUCGUCUGAUUCGAGGUCGGGGUCGUCGUCUGAGUCAAGGUUGGGGUCGUCUUGGUAGGAUCCUGAUUUAGGAUCAAUUUCGAGGUCUGAGUCUGCAUCUGCAUUAGUUGAGCCACCUGAGCACUCAACUCGGCUAUGGUUGGUUGAGAAGGAGAGGAGGAAGCAGUGGUGCUACCGCCAUGAGGAUUAGAAGAGUCAUCCUCCCCCAUGGUGGCGGCUAGGGUUUAGAAACUAGAGUCAGCAAUCCCAAGAUCGCCGCUCUGAUACCAUGCUGAAAUAUGAAAACUAUGAGAGAAUAUUUGUUUGUGGGAAUUUUCUGUGUAUUCUUCUCCUUGUAGGAGGUCAUAUUUAUAAUACAACAAAACCUGAAUGGGUAAGUAAAUAAUAAAUUCCUAAAUCUAUUUACAGUAGGAAAUCAGGAAUUAAAGUAAAUCAAUUACAAUUAUAAUAGGAAUUCUUAGUGUGUAAGGAAAGUAAGUCAAUAUCCACAAGUCACGCCAACAAGAAUUACUUUUGGGCAAAUAAGGGGACGACUUUUUGAAAGCAACUGAGGGACCAGCUGAGGUGUCUACUAAAAAAGGAUCAUAGCAGUAAAGGAGUGCCUGGCAGGGGUAUGCCUUUGAGAUUGACCAGGGGUCGGCAACUGUUGCAACUGGACAUUAGAUUUUCUCAAAGGUUGAUUUUCAAAUUUAAUUUUUACUGUGCCGUCUAAAUAUUGUUGAAUAUAGUCUAAAUUGCUUAGACUACGUUGGAUUGGAGCUGGUUGGCUCUCAGUGGCUAGGAAGUCCCAAAUACUUUGAAACAUACUUACUGUAGCUCUCAUAAAUCACAAGAUCAUUAAGAGUACCCAAAGCUACACCUCAGAGAGCGUUGAACACUACAAUGUCUCAAGAAGCAACCAUGGGAAACUGAAAACGGGAAACCCAAAGUAAUGAGAAAAUGCCUUUUCCUGCUUCCAAAACCAUAAAUAUGCUAACAAAUAAUAUUGAAUUUGGUAUAACAAAGCAAAAAAGAAAACACCCAUCUUUACACAAAAAUCCAUGUUAUUGUUGGUUUUGUGAUGGAAUAUGGGGUGCUGGCUGGAAAUAUGAGUUGCUUCAGCAGAGUUCUUUUGUAUUCUCUUAGCUUGUGUUGUUGUCACAAUGAUAAGCUCAAAGGCUUUUUAAAUAGAACAAAUAUUCUAGAGAAUUCUUCCUAGAGAACCUAAAAGACAUUGCAUAGGAACUCUACCAAAUUAAUUAAGGACCGCUACAGCUACUGUAAUAAAUAGAGAUAUUCUAGAGAAUUAAGGAAGUGCAUUAAUUCCAACAGUUAUCUGAGUUUAACCAUAUAAACAAAUAUACAUAUAAUGAGAGAAAGAUAUGAAAUUUCCUACCCAUUUAGGUAAUCCAGCACUGACUAUAUUACAUGUCCAUCACAUAAAGAAUACCGUAAUUAUCUGAAAGGUUCCAAAAAUUAGUAAAACUGCACAUAUAGAAUGAAUUAGAACCGAGCCUUUUCAAAUUUCUAGUUGUGAGUAUGAGAUGCAGAUACAUGUACAUAUUUCAAAACUCUAUGUGUAACCAAAUGCAUCAUUUCAUUAGGAGCUUCCGAAUAACUUUGAAAUAAACAUUGGGGAUUUAGUAUAUAGUACCUAAUGUUGCAAUAAGAAGGAAUGGGAGAUCAAAGAAUUAUUUAGAAGAGACAUAGUACAAGAGCAGGGACAUCUCGUACUAUUUGUUGCCUUGUUAACUAGAUAACAAAGGCAUGUGCUCAAGAAAUAUUGCUCUGUAUUUUAUAUGUUGAUUAAAAACCAACAUUGUCCUCCUGCUUUAAUAUUCACUACUAAAUACAAGGAAAAGAUGACAGGACCCGUCCCAAAUGUUCCGAAAUCCGAGACGAAACUUGUAAAUUUUUCCGACAUCACCCCGAUGUUGGGCCCACUUCUAAAACUAUAUCCUUUUUCCCCAAAAGGAAUAAGGGUACAACACUUUCUACCCAAAUUUCGGCAGAGUCUCCCCUGUAAAUUGAGCAUUGCCCAAAAUUUCAACCUGCACAAAAACACAUUUAAUAUCCCAACAGGCAGCACGCACAAUAUAAUUUCAUGCAAUUCACAUAAACGGCCUUCGGCCUUCCAAUAAUUCUCAACAAACUACCAAGCACACUAUCAAAUCAAUUCAUGCCUUAAACGAGGCAAACAAUAAAUUCAAAUACGAAUUAUGACUACUAAAUUUCAACAUGCAUCAUUUAACUUUUCCAAUCCCAAUAUACGAGGUUUUAACCUCCUAACACAAUCACCUCUCGUUUUCACCCUAAUCUCAGGACCAACGACAAGGUCCGAACCAACCUCAAUAAAACAUAUGACUAACAUUUAGUCUGCUGCUGCACCUAGUAACCUUAGGCUGCCUACGUACCCUCACUGAGGGAUCAAGCCACACGUAGUUCUUUCGCUACUAAAAUCCGAUUCCAACACAUACAAUACCUUUAUUCAUCUCUCUGUUACUCACAUAAUCUCCCUAUACGCUGGUACUACCAACACCACGUAUGAGGUCUGUCAACAAGCCGGAUAACCUACGCCACGUGCGACCUCAACAUACUAUCACAUAAUCUCCCCAUACGCCGGUACAACCAAUGCCACUUGUGACCUCAACAUACUGUCACAUAAUCUCCCCAUACGCCGGUACAACCGACUCCACGUAUGAGGUCUGUCAACACGCCGGAUAACCUACGCCACGUGCGACCUCAACAUACUGUCACAUAAUCUCCCCAUACGCUGGUACAACCAACGCCAGUAUGGAGUCUGUCAACACGCCGGAUAACCUACGCCAAGUGCGACCUAACAUACUGUCACAUAAUCUCCCCAUACGCCGGUACAACCAACACCACGUAUGGGGUCUGUCUCAACGCCGAAAAAUCCUACGCCACGCAAGACCUCAAUAUCAUAUCACAAUAUCUCCCCAUACGUCGGUACAACCAAUGCCACGUAUGGGGUCUGUCAAUACGCCGGAUAACCUAUGCCACGUGCGACCUCAACAUACUAUCACAAUAUCUCCCCAUACGCCGGUACAACCAACGCCACGUAUGGGGUCUGUCCGCAAGCCGGAUAACCUACACCACGUGGGACCUCAUAUAAUAUCACAAUAUCUUCCUAUACGCCGGUACAACCAACGCCAUGUAUGGGGUCUGUCAACACGCCAGAUAACCUACGCCACAUGCGACCUCACCAUAUUAUCACAUAAUCUCCCCAUACGUCGGUACUACCAACGCCACGUAUGGGGCCUGUCUGCACGCCGGAUAAACUACGCCACGUGGGACCUAACAUUCACAGGGUGGUACUUAUCGUGUAAUCAUAAUCUGGGGAGGUACCUAAGGUAGUGCGUAUAGCACUUCAAACUGACAUUCUAGACUUUUUUUAUACCUUUAAAAUAUAUAUAUAUAAAUAUAUAUAUUAAGCUCAAAAAUUGUAUAAACCUCAAACAAUCUAGCAUCCGAUAAUUCUCGAAUUCAAAACAAGAAAUUAAUAUUCUAAUCCUACAUCAUCAAUAAAACUCAACAAUGCUCAAGACCUGUCACUAGGGACAUUAUAAUCCUUCUAGGAAGGUAAAACUACAUCGGAAGACUCGCAGUCAACCAAGGUCUAACUACCCAAUCUUGGUCAAACUGGCCCACGGGGCCCACGACCUCCAAAUUCCAAUCCGAAGGUUCCUAUGGGUUCUACAAGGUAUAGGACACUCGUCCUGCAAGUUUAGUCCAGAUCAGACGGUCAGAUUGCUCACAAUCGCACGAUCUAACGGUUAAUAUAAACAUAAACUUUAAAUUAUUAAAUCGGAACAUCCGGGGCUCUGAUUUACGAUCCGUGAAUUCCUACACGAUCCUAGAAUACCUAGAUUAACAUAUAUUACAUUCAAGACCAUCCAACGGUCCCAACCUAUCGAACCCUAAUAACGCGCAAUAGUCAGUAUCCGUUCGAUAGUCAAACGACGUCUGAAUUGAGAUCCGCAAAAUCCUACACACUCGUGACAACCUAAGGAUCUCAUCGAGACAAAGUGAAACUUCACUACCCUCACCCACGCUCUGCCACACGCUCCGGCAGCGCUGGGUGCCCAAAGCGAUUACGCAUCGCCAAAAAAUCUCAAAACCACAACUCCAAACUCCUACCCUAGGUAUAACACCCUAUUUGGAGCCACUUUUGUUCUUGGACCUACCCCAAAAACUGACCGUAAUCGAGAUCCCAAAACCGGUCGAACCCUAAAUCCAAAAUCGAGCGGCUUAGGCUAAAAAUUGAUGCAAUCCUACCCAACCAUCAGCUAGAGCAUGAAAAAUAGGUAGAAAUCCAUACCUUACCCGACUGAAUUGGUGAACGAAGGAGAGAGAUCGAGCGGUGAGAAGUUUUGUCAAAACCGGCUCAUUUCGAUGUAUCCGGCGAGCACAGUGGAUGGGGAUGGCUGAGACCAGUCGGGAAAGGACGAGGGAGAGGUGGCGGUUCGAACGGGACAGGUCUCAAGGCCGGUCGUGGACUGUGGCGGGGCGACAACCUUGGAGGGUGGCGAAUGUGAAAAACGAAGGGGAGAGGGGGGCUGUUCGCGAUGGGGGAGAGAGAGAGAGAGAGAGAGAAAAUCUGAUUUUUAAAAUAAAAAUCCCAUUUUAAAAUAUUUACGAUUUUGCCACUGAACUUGUUUUGCUCGUAACUUCUUCUUUUCAACUUCGAAUCGAGCCCACUACGUGUCUGCGAACUCAUCUCAGUACGACCUACCCAAAAAUAUCAUUCAUUGCCCCAAACUCUCUCCGGGUAAGAAAAUGACCAAAAUACCCCUAUCCCAAGGGUAAAUUUGUCACUUGAAUAAUUUAAAUAAGGGAUUAAAUUUGGAGUCGGGGUGUUACAAAAGAUGUAGAGAGAAGCACAAAAUUAAAAGAUGAAGCAAUUUGCAAAAAUAUUUACAGUACUCAUUCAGGAAACUGAAUGCACAAUUUGUUUGUAAACUCAAAUAUCUGCUAUCAAAACUCCUAUGAAAUUGUAAUAAGCAAUAUGACAUUAUAAAGUUAUCAGUAUUCCAUCUAUAUAAAAUAGAUAAUAAACUAGGGUUAAUGACCAAAAUGGUCCCCCAACUAUUGCUCGAGUAUCAUUUUGGUCCACCAGGUAAAAUUUUCGUUUGAAUCAUCCUUAAACUCUUUAUUUUUUAUCCAGAUGGUCCUAUCGUGACAGAUUCCGUCACUUUUGAUCACACGAUGGCCACGUGACUGAGUUUUGAAGGCUAUAUGUGACUUUUUGAGAAGCUCUAUCGUUCAAAAGCAAAAUACCUACAGUUUAUUCGAUGUUUCUCUCAUUUUAGGCGAUUACCAUAGACUGAAAGGGAUUGUAAUGCGAGUUGCUAAAUUGGUCGACGCAGUAGUAGUGUGCCAGUCGCUGAAUUGGUGAAGUUAGUGUGUAAUUUUAGUGUUAAUUUUGGAGUUCGAAUUUCGGAGUUUGGGUUCGGGUUUGAUUUUGGGGAUUUUGGGAAAUUCAUUGCUUGCUAAUAAUGGAGUUCAAAUUCCGUUCAGGUGGAAAGACUCUCAAAUAUGGUAAGGGCUUUUGUAAUGCAUUUUAUGUUGUUUUUGUUUGGAAAUGGAUGAGUUGUACUUGUCUGGAAGUGUGGUUUCUUUAUGCGUAAAAGAUUCCUUUUUCUGUGUUUGUGUUUGGCUUUUUGGUUGUUUUAUGUUUAAAGUAAGGGUAAAGGAAUCGUUUUCCUGUAUGUGGAUUUGGCUUUUGGUACAUUAACUGUAGAGUGUAAGCUUUAUUUUGUCUGAAAUGUUGAAUGUGGGGUUUUUUUUUUAAAUGUCUGCGGUCCCUUGGUUAUUUGCUUCACACCCAAGUCAAUAAUUGUUGCCCUUAGCAGUAACAACAAAACUUUGACUUUAAAUUAACAUAUUGUUGUUUCAAAUUUGCAGCUACUAAUGGAAUGUGCACUCUAGAUUUACAUCAUGGGGGCUGGUUUGAAAAUAGGGUUUAUAAAAAGGGUAAGGUCUGUUAUUUGGACAAUAUUGUAGAAGAUUUUCUGUCCUUAUUAGAUUUCCUGAAAAUUGGGAGAGGUCUUGGGUAUGAUGUUGACAUUUCUCAAGUUGAGCAACGUUUGGAAAUUAGGUAUAGAAAUGUUGAGGGUGGACUAGAGCUUGUUACAUGUGAUACUACAGUGGUUGAAAUGGUUUGUCACAUACCAUCCAAUAAGGUUAUUAAGUUAUACUAUAGUGAGAUUCAAGACUAUGAUGACUAUGAUGUAGAUGCAGAAAAUUAUGGUAGGGUUGUGACUCAGAAUUACCAAGUGAAAGAGGUGACUUAUAUUGAAGAUGAGGAGACUUUUGAGAAUGUUGGGACGAAAGUGGCAAAUGAAGAUACAGCCAAAGAGGUACCAAAUGAAGAUGUAGGGGUAGAAUUACCAAAUGAAGAUGUAGGGGCAGAAUUACCAAAUGAAGAUGCAAGGGCAGAAUUACCAAAUGAAGAUGUAGGGGCAAAUGUGACAAUUGAUGAUGAAAUGGUGGAUUGCCAAAUGAAGAUGAAGAUGAGGAUUCAAAAAUUAAAGACAGUGAUUAUAAGUUCAGUGAAAAUGAGACAGAGGUCAAGUCAACUGUUGGAGAGAAUGUAGAAGAUGAGGGGACUACUCAUGGGGCUCCAAGAGAGGUGUCAUCUGAUGGUGCUAACACAUCAUAAUUUGACACUGGAAAUGAGACUGAAGAUGAGGGUAACAUUAGAAAAAAGAAAAAACUGCCAAAGUUUAAGCAGCAUAGAAGAGAUGUGGAAAAAUCCAGAGUUUAGAUUGGGAAUGAAAUUUGCAAACAAAAAACUAUUGAUAGAGGCUAUCAGCAUGCAAUUAUACAUGGUAGGGAAGUGAAAUUGAUAAAAAAAAAACACAAGAGACGAGUUCAUGCAAAAUGUGUGCAAGGCUGUUCUUUCCAAGUAUAUGGAUCAAAGAUUGAUACAAAGGAAGGGACAUUUGCAAAAAAAACUUUGAGCAUAGAACAUCAGUGUGGAAGAGUAGACGAGCUUAGGUAUACCACAUCAUACUGGCUUUGUGACAAAUAUGCAAACAAGCUCAGGCGGAACUCAGAGUUUGAUAUGAAAUCAUUUCAAGACGAUGUGUUGGAAGAUUACAAAAUAAAUGUCACAAAAAUUCAAGUUUAUAGGGCAAAGAGGCUGGCCAAAGAUUUAAUUGAAGGUACUUACAAAGAACAAUAUGCUAGUUUGUUUGAUUAUGCAGAAGAAUUGAAAAAUGCAACAAAGAGUAGUACAGUGAAGAUUAAAACUCGGAUUGUGAAGGGUGAGACAGUGUUUCAGAGGAUAUAUGUGUGCUUGGCUGCCUAUAAGAAGGGAUUUUUAGAGGGUUGCACCCUGUUAUUGGUGUUGAUGGCUACCAUUUUAAAGGGUCUUAUCCUGGAUAGAUCUUGACGGCUAUUGGGGUGGAUGAGAACAAUGGUUACUUCCCAGUAGCUUAUGUUGUGGUUGAUAUUGAGAGUAAAGACUCUUGGAUUUGGUUUUUCAAUCUGCUUAUUGAAGAUUUAGGGAUUACAAAUUGAAGAGCUUGGGUAGUCAUUAGUGACAAACAAAAGGGACUUGUACCUGUCAUUGAGGCAGUACUUCCAACUGCAGAGCACAAGAUGUGUGUGAGACACUUGUACAGUAACUUUAGGGCAUCACAUACUGGUUUUGCUCUGAAACAUAUUUUAUGGGCUGCAGCAAGAGCUACUACUGUGCUUGGUGGGAGGCAGAAAUGGAGAAGAUGAAAAAUGAGGAUGAGGAAGCUUGGAAGUGGUUGAAGAAGAGACUUGCAAACAAUUGGAGCAGAUCUCACUUCGAGUCACAUUUUAAAUGUGAUAUUUUGUUGAAUAAUCUAUGUGAAAGUUUCAAUGCAGCCAUACUAGAUGCAAGGGAUAAGAUAAUUUUGAGCUGCUUGGAGAGGAUAAGGGUGUAUGUCAUACUUAGAAUGGCUAGUAGGAGGUCUGCAUCUAAGAAUUGGAGAUACUCUUUUAGGCCUAGGAUAUUCAAGAUAAUUGAGAAGAAUAAGUUAGGUCCAUCACAGUGCAUUCCUAGAUUGGCUGGUGAGAAAUUGUAUCAAGUGAGCCACAUUUAUGGUGGAGAAUUUGCUGUAGACCUUAGAGCAAAGACAUGCUCUUGUAGGAGGUGGAAUUUAUGUGGAAUACCAUGUCUCCAUGUAAUCUCAGCAAUAUUUCAAAGAUGUGAAAACCCAAUUGCUUAUGUGGAUGAUUGUUAUGAGUGAUUCACCCCAUCCCUUCAAUUGACCAAUGGAGUAAAUGUGGUCUUCCUCCAAUUAAACCUCCACUUUACAAGCAACAACCGGGUAGGCCUAAAAAGGUUAGGACAAAGGAGCCUUGUGAGGUUGAAAUACCAGCCCUUAUCCCACCAAACCCUAGGCCUCUAAAUUAUAUUGCCCCACCAGCCAAGCUUAGAAGGGUUUUCAUUCAAAUAAGAUGUCGUGGAUGCAUUCAAAGAUGCCAUAAUAGAGCAACAUGUGACAGACUAAACAAUGAAAACCAACAGGUAUGACUGUUAGACACCUUGUUUAGUUCUAUGUUAUGGACCAAUUGCUUAAUAAUUUUCUUACAUUUGCAUAUUAAUGCAUCUUCAGCCCAAAUGGAGCAAGGUUCUUCUUCAGCCCAAAUGGAGCAAGGUUCUUCUUCACAACCACUACAAGCUUCUUCACAAGCAGGAUCUAGCACAGUCAGAGGGAGAGGCAUGAGUAGAGGAAGAGGCAUAAGUAGAGGGAGAGGCGUAAGUGGAGGAAGAGGCAAUGUUGCCAAAGCCACUGUUUACCCAAAUUCACAACAAAGUGUAAGCUUUAUUUUCUCAACCAUUCAAUUUUUUAUUGCUUAAGUCAUUCAAAAACAAUAAAUAUCAGUAACUUUUUCAAGUGACAAGAGGUAAUGGACAAGUCUUACCAUCUUCACAUGUUGGCUUAGGAAGAGGUUUACCAUCUUCAAAGCUAAGUGCAAUUAGAGGAAGAGGCUUAGGAAGAGGCAUAAGUAGAGGAAAAGGCUUAGGAAGAGGCAUAAGUAGAGGAAGAGGCUUACCAUCGUCACAGCCAAGUGUUAUUGUCAUUUGGUUUAAUUCUUACUCGUUUGACUAAUUAACAAUUUUUCAACCAUUACACACCUGACAUUACUACAUUGUUUAGGUGGCAAGAGGAAAGGGACAAGGAAGAGCAGAUUGGGACAACAUUUCCCAUGAUAAUAACAUGGCCUAAAAAUAAGGGAAGCUAUUGCCAAGGGUGUCAUAUGUUGUGUAUUUUGGGAUAUGUACUUUUCUGGGCAAGGGGAUUUUGUGUAAUGGGUCUUGAAAGCUGAGUUUGGAUUGUGUAAAUGGUUUUGAGUUUGAAGGCCUAAAACUGUGUAAUCGCUUGCCUAUUCUAGGUUAGGUACUUUUCUGGGCAGAAGGAUUUUGUGUACUUUGUCUAAUUGAUUUUGAGCUAGAGGGGCUCAAACUGUGUAAUUGGUUGUCUAUUUUGGGAUAUGUACUUUUCUAGGCAAGUGAAUUUUGUGUCCUUUGUCUAACUGGUCUUGAAUGGAACAGCUCAAACUCUGUAAUUGGUCUUCAAUGGUUUUGAGUUAGAAGGGCCCAAACUUUGUAAUUGGAAUAUUUGGAAUGUUUACUCAGUUUCUGUGCAUCUCCCAGAUAUUCAAAUAACCCAAAUUCAAGAAAAUUUUAGAACACUAAUGGACAUUCAUUCUACAAUUGAAACAGAAGUCUUCACCAUUACAUUCAAAGAAACAAACCCCAUAACAUAACAAUUAAAACUUCCCACUCAUCACAAAUGUUAUAAACAAACCCCAACAAAAAAUCAAGGAAACCCACAUUAUCAAUUGUCUUUGCCCAUGAGCCCAUUCCAAAACCCUUUUUUUUUUUCCUGAACCAUUUCUUUCAAUUUCUGUUGCAGUUCUUUCUUUUUUGCUUCCACAGAUCUCAAUUGUUCUUCCUUUGCUCGACCUUCCUCCUCCAUUGCUCUAAGUCUUCUAAGCAAACCAGGGACCACUUGUUUUCCUCUUGGACAAGUUUCAUUUUCACCCACUCGAAAAAAUGCAUACCUUUUCUGCUAUUCUGGAAAUAAAAUCUUACUCAAUUUCAGACCUCAACAAGCAAUUACAAAUGAAAAAGAACAACUUUUGCAACCCGAAUAAUAACUUACCCAAUUUUUAUCACAAGCAUCGAAUCUUCUUACUGGGUUCAAAUCUGUCCAUGAAGUCCGACGAAUUAUCUUUGUCUCAUCGACGCAGUACCAACUUGUGCCACUUGAGGUCGUUGAAAUCUCCGACAUUGCAAACCUAGGGUUCUAAUCUGGGGGUUUUGGUAAAGCUUCCAACAGAAAUGGGAGGGAAAACAUUCCUAUGUUGGCUUGGUCGUUUUAAAGGAGGGUACUCACCUAAAAAUACGGUUUUUUCCUUGAUUUCAUGGAAUAAUACACAUACUUUGACGGUAGGAUCAUCUUGAUACAAAAUAAAGAGUUUAAAGACGAUUCAAAUGAAAAUUUUAGUUGGUGGACCAAAAUGAUACUCGAGCAAUAGUUAGGGGACCCUUUUGGUCAUUAACCCUAAUAAACUACAUACUAGAAGCAAAUCCUUUCAAGCUUAUCAAGUAACCACCAACAAAUUCAGUAUGAAACAAUCAUAAAUUGCGUAAUGGAAACGAAAACAGAUAUUUCAUUCCUAAUGGAAACAAAAACAGAUUAUUCAGCCAUAAUGGAAACACCAAGAGAAUCAGAAACCCAUCAAUGUCUCAUUCAAUCACAGAAACCCAAAAAAAAAAAAAGAAAAAAAAAAGCAAAACCAAUAUCAGAACUCACCACAGUGAAGAUCGAUGAUGAAGGCAUUUUGGCUUUGCAGUGGAAGUCGAUGACGGAGUUGGCGAGUCACAACCAUGGCUUCACUGUGGAGGCCGACGACGAAGGUGGCGAGUCGUGGUAGCUAAGGUCUGGUUCUGAUAUGUGAGUUGGAAAAUAUAACUAAUGGGAGAUGAGGUUAUGCGAGAUUCGAUGGUGGAGCUGGAUUUCUUGUGAGGUUUCGCAGAAGGAUGAAGAGGAAGAGGAAGAGACUAGAGAAAGGAUAGGAUUUCAGAGAGCAACGAGUCUGAAGAAAAAAUAAUAAUAAGUGAAUGAUGGGCAAUAGGCCUGUCAAUAAGGUUUUUAUACGAGGCAUUUGUGAUUAGGUUUCAAAAUAGGGACAUUAGUGAAAAAAUUAGGUGUGCCAGGGGCAAAGCUGCGUAUGUCCCUUUUAUGUUUAUUUGUUGGUUUAUCGGGAAGUGGUGAAACCAAAGAGUCCUUGGCGCAGAGUUGGAGAUGCCUUCUAACCCAAAGCCUGUCAUCUUCCUUGCUGUUUAUGAAUGGUAUAUUUCUGUUCAAAGGGCAAUUAAGCCUAAGAUUAAAAUCCAGAUUAUUAAGCAUAUCUACCAUGAACAAAAUGUAGCCACAGAUGCUUUGGCUACCAGAAAUUAUAAUCUUGGCCCUGGGCUCCAUCUCUAUGAUGAGGUGCCACAGGCCCCGUGCUUUUGUUCUAUAAUUGUUUGGCUUUGGGCUUUUAGCCCCACCCCCCCCCCCCCCCCCCCCCCCCCCCCCACUUACCCCAAAAAAAAAAAAAAACCAAAAAGCCCAGAUUAUGAUAUCUUGGAACCCUCCUGAGAUUGGGCAAUUUAAGCUUAAUGUGGAUGGGACUUGAAAAACUGCCUCUGGUGCGAUGGGGCUGGAGGUCUGCUCAGGGACUCUUCCGAGGACUGGAUAAGAGGAUUUGCUGUUAAUCUUGGGAAAAGUCAGAUCUUGAAUACACCCACAUUUAGAUGGACAUUUUAAAAGUUCAAACAGGUCAAGAUUGAAUACACCCAAACUGUUAUAGACUUUUUAAAAGUAUAAAUCCAAAUUGAAUACACUGGAUUUUUAAAAUCUUUUUAAACGCUCUAAAAUCGUAAUUGAAUCCCCCCUAGCCACCGCCCCCUGCGGAGCCCCAUUUGGUUCAUGGGAAAGGAGACUUGGGGAUGAGAAAUUACUUUAUCAUGUUUGGUAAGUUUAGGCAUGGAAAAUCGUUGAUUGGCCUAUGGGAAAGUAGGGGGGAAAGUAAAGCUAUCCUCCCAACUUGGGUUUUGUUUUCCCUCCUCAUGGGAAAGUUUGGGAAAGCCAAUAUUAAAUAAACAUUUUGUCCCAUUAACAAUUUAGAAUUACAAUAUAUCAUUAAAUGCAUUCUUUUUAUUUAAUUUAAUAUGAGUAUAAUUGAAAAUUUACACAAAAUUUGUUUUCCAUUCAUACUCAAAACAAAUAUGGGAAAAGAAAUAAAGUGAUAUCUCCUGGGUACUUUCCCAGAGUUACCAAACGUGAGAAAGGAAUCUUCCAUUUCCUAUCCAUUGUGAAAUGAUUUCCCCUCAAACUCAUUCCGUGAACCAAAUUGUGUUUUCUGUCUGGGGCUUUUAGCCCCCCUUCUUCACCCAAAAAAAUAAAAUAAAUUGAUUUCCUGUUUUACCCUUGUGCAAACAAAAACACCAAAACCCAAAACGAAACCCAAAUGAUGUCAAUCCACAAACACCCCCUACCCUUCUAACACAAAAAAAGAGAAGGUUGUUUACAAAACAAAACCACCACCAUCCUAAAAUUAAAAAUAGAACCAACUUUUACCCAAAAAGGAAAUUAAAAAAACCAAAUCUCUGAUUCCUUCAACCCUUUUUUUUUUUUUGGGACAGAAGAUUUCAUCAACCCUUGAUUUCCUUAGAAAAUGCUGUUUUAUUUAUGGGGUUAGCUUUGAGUUUUGAUAAAGUUGUGCGUUUUGGCUGUUACUUUGAAUAUUUUUUAUUUUUUAUUUUCCUUUUUCCAGAUCAAUUUUUCUCUCCUUUCAGCUGUAUGUCUCUCCAGCUCUAACCAUUGUUAUACUCAAUCUCAAGUGGCUUACCAUUGUUUUCUUUAUUAUUUGAAAAUAUUUUGGAAGAAUACUAAAGAAAGUAAAUGAAAUUAAAAUUGAUUGUUGAACGAUGCUGAUAAUAUUUAUAAAUAAAUAAAAACAAAUUUGUUGUAAAAGUAAAUAGAGAAAGUAUAUAUAUGAAAGGUAAGAGUAGUUCUCAAUAGCUCAAUGCUUAAGUGUCUUAUUCAUCUUUAGUGCAUACUAUUUAUAGGCAUAGGAAAUACAUUUACCACCCUUAAGUAGUGCGUUACAAAUCAUAAUAACGUAUGAUAAAUAUGGUAUUUAGUGCAUAGGUUAUAACCCUAUAAUGAUAGGUAUAUUGAAGGAUAUAAUGGAGGAAUUACAAUGGAUUUAUGGUGGGCAUCCAUAACCUUUGAGGUUACAACACUCCCCCUUGGAUGUCCACCGUGCAUGGAGUAUGCCUCAAUAAAACCUUGCCAGUAAAACCCGGUGGGACAAAACCUAGACGAAGGCAAAAGAGUACAUAUCCAUAUGUAAUAUAGAACGUGUGACACUGCCUCAUUAAAACGUUGCUUGGAAAAACCCAGUGGGAUAAAAACUAGAACGAAGAAAAAAGAGUACAAUGUGAAGGUCUCAAUUAUGACACGUUGUUUGGAUGUGGUCACCAAAUUCAAGCCAAACCAAAUCAAGUGGAAACCCAAAGGCCUAGCCAAAACAAAAGAUAUUGUUGUUUAAAAUAACAAUAGUCAAAUAAUAAAUAAAUAGAAUGGCAAGAUUCACAAGCUUGGCUUGGGGCCAACCAAGGGGUUUAAAAGAAUGAAGAACUCUCACCGCCAAAAAUCAGCUGAAGUGUAGGUUUCCUUCAAUGGCAGCUGGAAUAGUAAAAGGAUGGUGAGUUAUUGAGCUGAGAUUUUUUUAUCAAGCUACAGCAGCUGGGUUUCAAUCCUUGGGUGAUGUCAAGAAGGCCUGAGCCAAUCUCCACAUUGAUAUUUGUUUUUGAAUUGAAAAGCCAAGCCCCACAUUGAUAUUUAUGUUGUGAGUUGAAAGGUUGGCUAUUCAAAGCCAACCUGUCGCUGAUCAGGUCGCAAGUUUCAAUAACAUUAAUAUUAUAUAUUAUUUCAAUUGGCUAUAUAUAUAUAUAUAUAUGACAGUCCUGAUCUCUUGGACCACAGGAGUCCAAGAGAUUGUGGUCACUCACCGUUGGAUAUUAAUCUAAUGGUUCAAAAAAGUUUCUUAAAAGGAGUUCAAAAUUGAGUGAACCGUUGAAUUUACAUCCAACGGUGAGUGACCACAAAUCUCUUGGACUCCUGUGGUCCAAGAGAUCGGGACUGAUAUAUAUGAUAGGCUAAUUGAAGGUUUCGACUUGGCUGAUUGAAUGGCCUUUUGAAGUUGUUUGGAUAAUGAACUUAGCUAGGAGAAUGAAGGAAGAGUUGGUUGGGACAAGUCAAGGACUUGGCUGGAAGAGUGGUCAAGUCAGACCCAUGUGGGUCGGCAAGAAUUUGGAAGACAAAAAUGGUCCUUGGCUUUGUGUAAUGGUUUUGUGGCUCACAUAUAUAAUUAUUAAUUAUUAUAUAUGUAGUCUUAUUAAAAUUGGAAUAUUAAGUGUUUUCUUAAUUUAAAGAUUUUAUGGCUCGUCACGAGUUGGUCAUACGUUAAAGAAGUUUACGCAAUUCAUUGGGCUCUCAUGCCUCCCCAACAUCGGUGUAUUAUUUUCAAUUAAGACUAGGACUCCGGAAGCCAUGAUGUCUCACCAUAUGUCAAGCCAAGUCCUCGGAGGUCCAAGCCUAACCUGCAAAAGUAGGUCCAGAACCUCUGGAUAUUUUCAUGCACGUGACGAGAUCCAUCCAAGAAAGCAAUCAAAGAGAGUAAUGUCAAUUCCAUGAAUUUAGGAAGCCACACAAGGAAAGAUUCUGAACGAGGUUGACCUUUUGGCCAUUUAAUGGCCAGCCCAUGGGCUGACGAAUGCCCCUAUAUAAACUACAUCAGACAAAGAGCAAGAGCCCCUCGACAUCAAACACACAAACUUACUUUUUGUCCUUCAAUUUUCUAUCCCUAGACUAGGUUCUUAUUUUCCAAGCAAGUAGACUAGAUCAGUUCUUCACUUUCGUUAGUGUAAGUUUAAUUUCUUGUAUUUUCCAUUACUUUGUUUUAAGAUUCAAUUUUAUUGCUUUAUUGUUAAUUGUUAUUGAAUUUGCUUUAAGCUUAAUUUAAUUUCAAAUUGCUUUAUUUUAUUGCCUUUACCAUUUAUAUCGUUCUUAUUUUGUUCUUCUCUUAAUUUAAGUUUAUUUAUCGCUUUGAUUACUUUAUCGCACUUCAAUUUUCGUCUUUAAAUUUAAUCGCAUAUUUUAAUUUAAUUUGCAUCGUUAUCAUUAAAAAUCUCAAAAAUACUAAAGUACCUAUACGAAACCUAACCAUCCUCGACCCCGAGGAAGUGAAAGAACCUAGGCCAAGAGGAGGUUCCUUGCUUGGCCUAUCAAUCGGCUGGUUAGAAGUCAAAAGCAUGAACACAACAAUCCAACCUUUUCCAUUCAAGCCAGUCAGUGGCUUGGUGAUGGCAUGCCUAUGCAAUCUAAAAGAAGAAGGACCAAAAACUCCUUCAAUCGGCCUACCCGGCCGAAAAGAGGGAAACACACGCUCCCCCUGAUGUUGGCAAAAGAUCCUUAAGUUGACGCAUUCUAAUAUUGUUGACCAUCUUUCUGAAUGUUGUAGUUGGCCAUGCUUUAGUAAAUAAAUCUAUAAAGUUGUUACCGGAUUGUAUUUGUUGAACAUCUAUGUCACCAUUCUUCUGAGUUCAUGCGUGUAGAAAUUUUUUGGGGAAAUGUGUUUGGUUCUGUCACCUUUGAUGUAUCCAUUUGUAAUUUGAACAAUACAAGCAGCGUUAUCUUCAUAUACUAAUGUUGGAGAAUCUUUGAUUGACAACCCACUUGUUUCUCGAAUAUGUUGUAUCAUAGAUCUGAGCCAUAUACAUUCCUAGCUUGCUUCAUGCAAUGCUAAUAUUUCAGAAUGAUUUGAAGAAGUGGCUGCUAAUGUUUGCUUUACAGACCGCCAUGAUGUAGCACCACCACCACAAGUGAACACAUACCUUGUUUGUGAUCUAGCUUUAUGUGGAUAAGAAAGAUAACCAACAUCAGCAUAGCAAACUAUUUGAGAUGUUGACCCUUUUGAAUAAAAUAAACCCAUGUCAGUUGUUCCACGAAGAUACCGUAGUACAUGUUUAACACAAUUCCAAUGUCUUUUAGUUGGUGCAGAGCUAUACCAUGCUAAUAAGUUGACAGGAAAAGCUAUAUCAGGCCGUGUACAAUUUGCAAGAUACAUUAAAGCUUCAAUUGCACUAAGGUAUGGUACUUUAGGACCAAGUAAUUCUUUGUUAUCUUCUCGUGGGCGAAAAGGAUCUUUCUUUACAUCAAGUGAUCGAACAACCAUGGGGCUACUUAAUGGAUGGGCUUUACCCACAUCAAAUCGUUUUAAAACUUUUUCUGUAUAUGUUGAUUGAUGGAUAAAGAUUCUAGUUGGUAAAUGCUCGAUCUACAGGCCAAGACAAACUUUAGUCUUCCCAAGAUUUUUCAUCUCAAAUUCCUUCAUUAAAUAAGCAGCAGUCUUUGUAAGCUCUUCAGGAGUUCCAACAAGGUUUAAAUCAUCCACAUAUAAUGCAAUAAUGGCAAAUCCACUUCCAGAUCUUUUAAUAAAAACACAUGGAUAAAUUGGAUUAUUUACAUAUCCUUCUUGUAUAAGAUAUUCACUAAGGCAAUUAUACCACAUUCUUCCGGAUUGCUUUAAUCCAUACAAGGAUCGUUGUAACUUAAUUGAAUACAUAUCAUGAUAUUUUGGAUCAUUUGCUUCAGACAAUUUAAAGAGAUCUCUUCUGAUGUAUGUACUUCUUCUGGUGUAUGUGCCUCUACAAGGACUAUAUCUGCAUCAAUUUUAAACUGGUCAGUUUUUGGCUCAUCAAGAGUACUAUUUUGUAUUGGAUUUUUAUCUUCUUCUAGAAUAGACAUUUCUUGUGUCCUUUUCUUCCAGGGAUUUUUUAUCUUUAGCACCAACAGGACGACCACGCUUCAAGCAUACCUUUAAUGUACUAUCAUAUUGACCUUCAGAGACAUCAAUCCGUGCUGGAGUAUUUAUAGCUGGUAUAUGAGAUUUUGUUACUUUCUUUAUGUCAGUAAAGGCAUUCGGUAAUUGAUUUGCUAUACUUUUCAAAUGGAUGAUCCUUUGAACUUCACAUUCACUUUGAUUUGUAUGUGGAUCCAAAUGAGAUAAUGAUGAUGCAUUCCAUGUAAUUUCACGCCGUUCUUCAGGAAGCGACACCUUUUCUCCCCCUAACAGCGGCAAAAUUGUCUCAUCAAAACGGGAAUCCGCAAAGCGUGCUGUAAACAUAUCACUCGUCAGGGGUUCAAGAUAUCUAAUUAUGGAUGGAGAAUCAAAUGCAAUGUAAAUUCCAAGAUGUCUUUGAGGGCCCAUUUUAGUUCAUUGUGGUGGAGAAAUAGGAACAUAAACAGCACAACCAAAAUUUUUUAAAUGAGAAAUAUUAGGUUGUUGGCCCAAACCAAGUUGUAAUGGAGAAUAUUGAUGAUAAGCAGUUGGACGGAUGCGAACCAAAGAUGCAGCGUGCAAUAUAGCAUGUCCCCAAGCAGAAAUGUGUAAUUUUGACCUUAAAAGUAAAGGCCGAGCAACAUUUGAAGGCGUUUGAUAAAGGACUUUGCUAAUCCAUUUUGAGUAUGUGUAUGUGCAAUCGGAUGUUCAACACCAAUGCCAAUGGACAUGCAGUAAUCAUCAAAUGCUUGAGAUGUAAACUCGCCAACAUUAUCAAGACGAAUUGUCUUAAUUGGAUAGUCAGGAAAUUGUGCCCUCAAUUUGAUUAUUUGAGCAAGAAGCUUAGCAAAUGCAAUAGAACGAGUAGAAAGUAGGCAAACAUGUGACCAUCUUGAUGAUGCGUCUAUUAAAACCAUAAAAUAAUGAAAUGGCCCACAUGGUGGAUGAAUAGGUCCACAUAUAUCCCCCUGGAUUCGUUGUAAAAACGUUGGGGAUUCACUAGCACCUUUCAAGGGAGAUGGUUUAAUAACCAAUUUUCCUCGUGAGCAAGUCUGACAUGGACAGUCACUAGAUAAAAGAAUCCUCUGGUUCUUUAAUGGAUGAUCAUGUGAAUUUUCAAUUAUUCGACGCAUCAUUGUUGACCCCGGAUGGCCAAGUCGGUCAUGCCAAAGCAUAAAAAGCUUUAGAUCACUGAACUUCUGGUUCAUUAUGAUAUUUGAUUCUAUUGCACUUAUAGUUGUAUAAUACAAGCCAGAUGAGAAAGCUGGAAGUUUAUCUACUACAAGCUUUUGGCAUGAAACUAUAGAAGUAAUAAGCAGAUAUUCUUUACUCCCCUCAUUUGUAGUUUCAAUAUGAAACCCAUUAUUCCGUAUAUUCUUAAAACUAAUCAGAUUUCUUCUGGAUCUGUCAGAAUAUAAAGCCUUUUUGAUAUAAAUAUGUGUUCCUCCAGGUAAUAUUAUAUUUGCUCUUCCAGAGCCUUCGAUUAGCUUUGCACUACUUGAAAGUGUAUUCACAUUGGAUUUUACUAAUUUUAAGUUUGAAAAAUAUUUCUUAUCCCGAAGGAUUGUAUGUGUUGUUGCACUGUCCACCAAACAUACAUCUCCAUCAUGCAUCUUGGAAUUGCUCAAAGCAUUGACAUUUUCCAUGCUUCUUCAUUUAAAGAAAAAUACAUAUAUAUAAUAAGUUUAUGAAUAAAUAUAACAAAAGUAAAAUAUAAUAAAAAAAUAAAAUAAAAUAAUGAGAUCAUAGAUCAUUUUAUUGAAUUGAAAGCAUUACAAAUGAAAACUUAAACUUAAAUCAUAAGUUCAUAUCGUUUUAUUGAAUUGAAAUAAAGCAACCUAAUAUAGCAACAUAAAAUUAGUCAAUAUUGGAGUUUCCAUCAUUGGCAUCAUCAUCACCAUCCUUCAUAUUUUCAUAACCAACAUUGAUAUUUCCAUCAUUGUACGAAUGGUCAAAUGUGCCGCUUGGUUCCGCAAAGAAAUAUGACACAUCCAAAUGGGUGAUAUCCAUUGGCUCGGUGAAAUUAUAAAAAAUAUUGCUGAAAUCGAUGAAGUUUGUUUCUUUCUCUCUUUUCCUUUCCCUUAAUUGAUGCUUGAUAAUGAUUAACUAGGUGUUUUGUUGUACGAUAGGUACUAACCAAUGUCCUUUCAUGCCACACCUAUAGCAAGCCUCAUCACUUUUCUUUUCAGAAUUAAUCUGCACACCUUUCCCCUUUCCUUGUUUUUCUUCAUUGUUAUUCCACUUCUGGUGGUAUAGUGCACUUUUCUUACAUGAGGUAUGAUUGUGACCACCUCAAUUUCGAAAAUUAUAAUGACCACGACCACGACCAUGAUUGCUUGCAUUCAUUUUCAGGGAAUGAUGCACUUGCAUUUGCUUUUGGAAAUGGUUUUGAGCCAGUUGGGUGGGAAUGAUGGUUUUUCCUCAAAACACUACUACAAAAAGUGAAAAAGACGACCAGAAAACAACGACGGUCUAAGUGAAAACCGUCGUGGUUUUUAAAAAGACGACGGUUCUAAAAACACCGUCGUGUAAUACAACCUUAGACAACUAAAAAAUGGAGAUUCAAAUGGCUGUUCAAAAACAACGACGUACAUAAUUAAACAACCGACGUCUAUUUGAAACAGAUUUCCGCAGUGUAAAAUCAAUGCCAACAAAGAACGGCAGAAGUUAUGAAUCGACCGACGUAGAAAGUAAAGACGACGAUUUCAAUAAAAACUGCCGUUUUUACUCAUAAAAUAACACGACGAGGUUUUCGUAUAAGACGCCGUAUAAUUACAAACAAAUCCACGGCUUUAAAAUACAAAAUAUCGCCGUAUUAAAUUAAUGUACAACGACGGAAAAUAUAAAUAUAUCGACGUCAUUCUCUUAUAGUUCUACGACGUUAUCUUUAAAUCGUACAAUAAAAUUUAACGUCGUAUUUAUUCAUUUUAUACGUCGUACCUUUAAUUUUAACCGUCGUCUUAAUAAGAAUUUUUGUUAACAAUUUUUUUCUUUGAUUUUCUUAUCCUAUGUCGGUAGAUCUACUUAAUGACAAGAAUUGAAAUAACCACGAUGGUUUAUAUAGAAAACCGCCGACAUAAUCAGAUUUGUCUGAGAUCCCAAGGGUUACGAAAUCUUACCAGAUGGAACUCUGUUCCACAUCAUAAUCUUAACAGAUGACACAGAUUUGCAAAUAUUGCGUCGUGUUAUUUUACAAAUUCUAGAACAUUAAUUUUCCUCAUUUUAAAUUUCCUUGGGAAAGAAAAAUCUAUUUAUCAUGCUUUGUAAUUGAAAACUAAAACUGAAAGAAUACGGGAAAAAAACUCUAUUUAUAAUUUAAAAAUAAAAUCCACGUCGGUUGUAGUACACUUAACGACGUUUAACAAAAUAAUCUACGUCUGUAAUUAUAAAUCUACCGCCAUCUUACCUUAAUAUAGAUGACGAGAAAAGACGACGGUAGAAUAGAAAACAGCCGUUGUUUCAGUUUCUUUAACAGUUUGGUCCUUUAUCUUUCUGCAGGACUUGUAUAGUUCAAAGCAUUGACAAUGUCUUCAUCAUAUCUCCCAGCAACUACUGAUUCGAUUGCUCAUGCUUUAGAGUCCAUCUGAAGCCAUUUCUAUUCUUUAUCGCAUUCUUGAAACCCAUCUUCUUCUUCUGAAGCUCUACGGAUAAAGGAAGAGGCUAUCACAAAUCUGACGGAUCUUCUUAGCCAAGAAAAUCAAGAAGAUUUCCAUGAGAAGCGAACUUUCCUUCGACAGCGAGUGGAGGCCAGGAUUGCAUCUCUUUUGAUGGAAAGCAAGGAGUAUUCAGAAGCACUAAGUGUCCUAUCAGGCUUGAUCAAGGAAGUGAGAAGGCUAGUUGACAAGCUUCUUCUUGUGGACAUAUAUUUGAUGCGAGUAAGCUCAAUUUCUCUUUGAGAAAGACAUCCAAAUUAUUGUCUUUGAGACGUGAGAGACUGAGAGAGGAAGAACUUGGAACCUUAAAUGUAAACCGAAAAUGAAUGAAAGCGACAAAUUUAUAGAAUAAAUUUUUAAAACCAACGGCGGUCCUUACAAAAAAACCGCUGUUUAAAUUGUAAAAUCAACGUCGGUAUUAUCGACGUAUAUUACAGAAAUCCACGUCGGUAAAUUAAUAAAAACGACGUGUUAAAUAAUCUACCAUGACGCGAGUUAUUACUUAUGUACUUUAAUUUUUGAGUUUACUACGACGGUACCUACAACACUACUGUCGUAUUUAUUUACCACGUCCGAAGUUAAAUGUACCGUCGUAUUUUGUAAUUUAUACGUCGUAGUUAUAUGUAACCGCCGUAUUAUUUUUUUGAAAUGGUUUUAUAUGUAAGCAACUUUUCGUCUACCCACUACUACAAAAAAGCAAAAAGACGACGGUAAAUCACCGUCGUGUAUUCGGUUUUUCAAUGGUCGUGGAAUUCACCGUCAUCUUUUCCCUCAUAAACCACGAUGCUAAAUCACCGUCGUUGUUACAAUAUACAACGUCAUCAACAAAUACAAAACGACGUCUUUGUACUGCAAAAAGAUCUAAAAAAGCAGUCGAGGAUGAGAAUAGACGACCAACUCUCUAAACAAACCGUCGUUAAAAAGGAAAAAUAUGACACAUAUUAACAGAACAUGGCCGCAAGAUAGACAUACAACGACGAAAAUUAAAAUAAGACGCCAUUAAAUAUCAUUUUCACGACAAUAAAAAAUAUGUCGUCUUUAAAUACAUUAGAAGACGACGUUAUUGAUACCUACUACGUCGCCUAUAUAAAAAUAACCGUCGUAAAAUAAAUUUUCCACUUCGAUUUUUCUAUAAAAGAUGACGUGGAAAUAGUUGUCAGUGUCAUUAUUUAUGACGUAUAUAUUUAUAGAGUAGACGUUAAACAACGAAACAACGUCGGUUACAAAUAUAUGAGAGUCGUAUUACAAAAUUUAUACGUCCUAUUUUCAGAAACAAACAACGACGAUAAAUAUUAGACGUUGUUAAAUAAAACAACGUCGAAAACAAAUAAAAACAGACGUGUUUAGUCUGCUAAAGUUCUAAAAAAUAGUCGAGGAUGAGAAUAGACGACCAACUCAAACAAAUCACCGUCGUUAAAAAGGAAAAAUAUGACACAUAUUAAAAGAACAAGGCCGCAAGAUAGACAUACAACGACGACAACUAAAACACUACGCUGUCAAAUAUAAUUUUCACGACAAGAAAAAAUAUGACGUCUUUAAAUACAUGAGAAGACGACGUUAUUGAAAUAUACUACGUCUCUUAUUUACAAACAACCGUCGUGAAAUAAAUUUUCCACUUCGAUUUUUCUAAAAAAGAUGACGUGGAAAUAGUUGUCAGUGUCAUUAUUUACGACGUAUGUAUUUAUAUAGUUGACGUUGAAAUGCGAAACAACGUCGGUGGCAUUUAUAUAGUCGACGUUGUAUUUAUAUGUAUUCAUUACUCACGACGCACUUAUUAAUAUAGACGACGUUGAACUUCUAAACAACGUCGGUUCCAAAUAAAUGAGAGCCGUAUUACAGAACAUAUAGACGGCGUUGAUUAUGAUGAGAGCCGUAUUACAAAUAACGUCGUUUAAUUGAUAUUAGACGGCGGUUAUAAUGAAUUACCGUCGGAAUUCAUUUCGUUCCUCUUCGUUUAUAAAAGAACUUGCGACGUGGAAAAUGUAUGAUGACGUCGUAUUUUUUAACGUUCAGAUUAUAUAUCUCGUUUUUUAGACGUCGGUAUUAUGGGAUUGGAGUCGUGUUAUUUUGAAUUACAUGGCGGUUCUUAAUCCUUCCCCGACGUGAUAUCCUGAAUAAUUGCUUCACAAUAGCGUCGUGGUUCUUCAUUGUUACGUUGCUUUAAGACGUCGGUAAAUAUGCUGAAUAACUGGUGCACAAUAACGUCGUGUUUUAUUUGAACGUAGAAAGUGAAGAAAUCACAUUACAAUAUAUUACAAAAUUAAUGUCAUACAUUGCCAAUUACAUAAGCAUCAUUCAAUCCAUAUAUCUUCACACCCAUCUCGAAUAUUUUGACCGCCUAACUCACCCACCAGUUCAUCAAAUGUGUCAACAUUUGGCAUCCCUCUAGUAAAUGGCUCACACUCAAUUAUCACAUCACCUAAGACUUCAUCACCAAUAACAUCAUUAUAUUCUCUAUUAGGCAUUGAUAACACUACCGACCAACCACGAUGCAUCGGGUCGUCAACAAAAAAUAUUUGUUUGACUUGAGAAGCCAAAACAAAUUGGUCAUUCCUAUGUCCAAUUUUACUCAAAUCUACAAGGGUAAAUCCAAGUUCGUCGACUACAAGACCAGAACUAUCUAUCCAAUCACACCUAAAGACUGGGAUUGUAAACUUUUGGUAGUCAAGGUCCCAAAUUUCUUGAAUGACACCAUAGAAACCCAUAUUUGAGAGAAUUGGGUUUUUAUCCUUGGCACUAGCAACUUGCAUGGUAUGUGCAAGUAAAUAAACUCCACUAUUUUGAGUUGUCCGCACAUCAUCUUGUGCCUUGAUAUUGAAUUUAAUACCUUUAAUAAGAUAGCUCCUAUAUAAUGGCACUGCCAUGUUUGGACCAGCUGCUAGCCACCUUAAAUUUUCUGAUACGCCAUGAUUGUCUUCCUCAAGUUCACUUUGAACCUGCAAAUUAAUCAUAUAUCUUAAUUCAAUCUAACAUAGAAAUAAGAAGAAAAUUAAAAGAGAAAUAUGUUAUUCAACAACAUAUACCUUGAAGCGUAGCCAUUGAAUGAAAGUGCUAUUGUGCUUAUCCUGCAGCCACUUUGUUCUCUUUCUAAAUUUUGGAUAAGCAGUCUUGAUGUGGAUCAUAUGUUGCCUACAUGACACGAAAAAUUCAAGCAUUACGGUCCCAAAUAUAGAAGAUAAACAUAAGAAAUAAUUUAAAAUCAAUAAGUUAAAGAAUAAAACUCAUACGUACUCGAUAUAAGGUAGGACUUCCUCCGUAUUCUCCAAGACAUAUAGAUGUGCUUGAUUCAACAGGUCCUGAUCAACUACGCUCACUGUGCAACCUGAUAAUGGUGAAAGUCCCAUCUUUUGGCUUGAAGGCACUCCAACUGUACUAACAUCAGAUAAAUGCUGAGUACAAAACUCUACUGCUUCUUCAGCUAUAUACCGCUCAGCAAUGCAACCUUCGGGACGAGUACGAUUCUGAACAUACCCCUUCAGCACUUUCAUAUAUCUUUCAAACGGAUACAUCCACCUAAAAUAUACUGGCCCACAUAGACGAACUUCUCUGACAAGAUGUACUACUAGAUGAACCAUGAUAUCAAAGAAUGAAGGGGGAAAGUACUUCUCAAGCAAACACGGAGUAACUACUACAUCUUCUUCCAACUUAUCUAGCUUGGAAACAUCAACAGUCUUUGCACAUAUAGCAUUGAAGAAGAAGCACAAACGAGUUAUUGCAUACCUUGCAGGCUUCUCCAAAACAGAACGAAUUGCCACAGGGAGCAAUUGUCGCAUUAAGGUAUGACAAUCAUGUGAUUUAAGGCCAAGAAGUCUUGAAUCUUGUAAAGAUACAAGAUUUUUAAUAUUUGAAGAAUAACCUUCAGGGACCUUCAUACUAUAGAAAGAAUUGCAAACCUCUCUCUUCUCUGCUCUUGACAAAUUCCAAGGCCCAGGAGGCAAACGAGUACGUCUUUCUCCAUACUCGGGUUGCAAAUCAGUUUUGACCACCAUGUUCAAUAAAUCUAAUCGAGCAGCAAUCCCAUCUUUAUUUUUUCCAGGGAUCUCCAGCAAUGUACCAAUAAUACUAUCGCAAACAUUCUUCUCAAUGUGCAUAACAUCUAGGGCAUGCCUCACAGGAAGGUAUUUCCAAUACUCGAGAUCAAAGAAUAUUGAUUUCUUCUUCCAACAAACUCUGUCACCAUUUUCAACCAUAUGCAGCACUUCUUCUCCGGUUAAUGGCUCGGGAGGUAUGCCAUAUUCAGGUUUCCCAUUAAAAGCUGCACGUUGCCUCCUAUAUGGAUGAUUGAUUGGUAACCAUUUUCUAUGCCCAAUGUAACAAAUUUUGUGGCCAUUUUUCAACCUGUGACUAGGUGUAUCAUCGCCGCAUAUUGAACAAGCUUUAUAUCCUUUAACAACACAACCAGAUAAGUUUCCAUAGGCGGGAAAAUCAUUAAUUGUCCACAUUAAUGCAGCUCUGAGUGUAAAGUAUUCUCCAUUAUGUGCAUCAUACACUCCUCUAAUCCCAUCCCACAAAGAUUUUAAAUCAUCAAUCAAAGGCUCCAAGUAGACGUCUAUAUCAUUUCCGGGUUGUUUAGGACCGGAAAUCAAUAAGGUUAACAUCAUGAACUUUCGUUUCAUGCACAGCCAUGGAGGGAGAUUAUAUGUAACUAAGAUAACCGGCCAACAACUAUAUCUGCUACUUAGAGAACUGUGGGGAUUGAAUCCAUCAGAUGAAAGAGCCAAUCUCAAGUUUCUCGGCUCAUUACCAAACUCAGGGCAUUUAUCAUCAAGAAGUUUCCAAGACGGGGAAUCCGCCGGAUGAGACAUCUGACCGUCAAUUGAUUUUCUAGCAGCAUGCCAAGUCAAACUCUUAGCUGUCUCAUGUGAUUGAAAUAUCCUUUUAAACCUUGGAAUUGGAGGAAAAUACCACACCACCUUCGCUGGCACACCCUCUUUCAAGAUUGAAUCUUUGCCUUCCUUCCACCUUGAGAUACCACAAGUAGGACAAUUAGUUGAAUCCUCAUACUCCUUCCUAUACAAGAUGCAAUCAUUGGGGCAUGCGUGCAUUUUCUCAUAACUCAGCCCCAAUGCACACAAAGUCUUUUUAGCCUCAUACAUAGAGGUUGGUAUUGUAUUUCCUUCUGGAAGCAAAUCGCCUUGAAGUAUCAAUAAUUCUGUAAAACAGACAUCACUCAUCCCAUGUUUUGCCUUCAAAUUAUACAACUUCACUAAUGCCGAUUGUUGAGCCUAUUCUUAACAACUAAAAUGAGUUAUUAAAAACAGCAACUUUAAUUCUCGCAAGUGCACGAACCGUUUAUAGUAUAGCUUAUGUAAAUACGAGGUCGAUCCCACGGAGAAUGGUAACUUGGUUCCAAGUUAAAUUACUUAUAAUGCUAGAAAAACAUAGAACAAAGAAACUGACUAACUAGCUAAAGGCAUGGUCGAAUUCAACAAUGCCUCUUGCUAAUUACUCAAGGUCUAGGACAGAAUCCUAGCACCACACACGCACUCGAAAUGGGGGGUUUUGUUGAAAAAUAAAAACAAGAAAGUGAAAUGAAAGUGCUCGAAAUUAAACACUGGCAGCAAUCAACAAGUUGUGAAACAAUGAUUGAGAGGUGUUAGAGCCUUGGAAUCUGCCACUAGUCUUCCUAUCCAAGUUAUGAAUGCAUAGAAAUUGACUCAAGCUUCAUCAACAAUAGAUUAUCGCAUACAAGCCUAUGGUAUCUAGGUGCAGGAUGCAUCAUUCUCCUAAGGCAUGUGAUUGUGCAUGGUAUCUACACAGCACGUGAUCUCUAAUAUGCAACCUAAGCAUGGUAUCUACUUAGAAUAAAGCAUACAAGAGUCAUUAAGCUCCUUGAGAAUAUGAUAAUCACACAAGUCCUAGAACAUGGUAUCUGUCCUAGUCAACCUAUGGUUGUUAACCCCUUGAAUGAUUCUUAGGCCAUUCAUGUGUUGCUUGUGAAAGGAGAGUAGAAUUGGUGAAUCUAAACCCCUUCCCAACCUGUGCUAGAUGCAUAAAAUCCUAGUUAGCUACUCCAAGAAAACAUACAUCAAGCACAUAAUAAACUGGAGAUUAACAACUUGAUAAUAAAAGCAAGGAAAUCAAUUAACUAAAUCAUCCAUAACAUUGAAUAUUCAUGACUAGGGCUUCAUCCUAAGCCCUAACUAAAUGGAUUAGUUAGACAUAACUAUGAACACAGAAAAUAAGAAAUACAUAGAUAGGAUAAAGAGAGGAGAAGAACUAGAUGAUGGCAGCAAGGAAGUUCCCAGGACAGCUCCAAGCUCCCUUGACAGCUCCAAGCUCCCUUCUCUCUUUGUGGUGAAUCUGAAUGUGUGUAUGAGAGUAAUGGAUGAAGUGAAUGUGUGUGUCUGCCCUCCCUCUUUGAAUGAGUGUGCAACUCUCUAUUUAUAGAGUGCAAUUUCGUGCUCCCCUUUGGCUGGUGAAACACACCUCUCUUAGCUGCUCCCAAUUGCCUAAGCUGCCCAAUAAAUGCCAACUUUUCCAGCUGCCCAAUAAAUGCUUUGGUGGACUUUUCUUGGUUUCUUUAUGGAAAGCUUGACUUUUGUUCAUCUUUUUGACUCCCAUACUGAUUUGUCUCCCAUGUGUAGCCUACCAGAAUUCCUGGAAAAUGGUCCUUGAUUUGUGCAGACAAGAUCCCCAUAAUUAAGCAUGCCAUGUUUUGCUCCUUUUUGACUUCCAUAGCUAAUAUGCCUCCCUAAUUUGCUCAACAUGUCAGGUCCAAAGUCAAAUAAUGCUGAAGUAAGGCACAUGGCUCAAGGGAGGUGUGGAGCACAAGGCUCACCAGCUGGCAGCUACAUAUUAAAAUCCUCCUAGAGCAUGGUUCAGUGUUUGACAGGCUAAGGACUCUAGUUAUCAUUAAUUGGGCUGAAAUUUGGAUAUGUUAUACUAGACACCCAUAAGAAACAACUUCUGUGAAGCAUGUCUCCUCAUCCAAGCAGUGUAGGUUGCUGAAAUGAGGCCAGCAAGAUGACCCACGAAUUUGGACUGACAAGGAGUGUGGCCCAAAUUGGUUCUGUCAUUAAGCUCAUAUUCCUCUUGUGCCAAUCAACCCUUAACAUGCAUGAAUUGUAUCAAAUGUGAUCCCCUUGCUGUCCUAACCUACAAAACACACAAACAUAGGUAAGAGACUCAAAAUAAAGAGAAACUAAACAAAAUUACUAAGCAAAGAAGGCAUGCAAACGUUUGAAAUUAUGACCUUAUCACCGAUAACUUCGUGUACUUUCUACAACCAGGGUACACUGGUUGAUCUCCAUCCCCAAUCACAUUGGCAAACUCAUACGGAUCGGAACCAAAAUCACCAAAAUCAUUAUCAUCCAUAUCAAUUUCUUCAGACACAAAACUGUACCUACUAUGGCCAUCAUCUUCUUCAACAUUUCUACUAGCAUUAGUAGUUGCUUCCCAAGGUUCUCCGUGAAAUGUCCAAUUCUUAUAGCUUUGGUCAAUUCCAUUAAAGUAUAAGUGAUCCCUUAUAAUUCCAACCCCAAACAACUUCAAAUUAACACAUUUAACACAUGGACAACGGAUAUGUGUUGUAGUUAGAAGAUUUUCUACAGCAAAGUUCAAAAAUGCUUCCACCCCAAACUCAUAUGCCUUCGAUCUUCUAUCCGAGUGCAUCCAUGACUUAUCCAUCUCCGACACUAUAACCUAUUAUCUAUAAUAAAGUGAAAAUACAGGCAAUGACCAUCACUAUAGCAGAUUAUACAAAGAUCUAAUAGCAAGUAAUACACAACAGAGAUGACGGGUUUUAAACAAAAACAGACGUAUUUGGCAUAUAUAGACGACGGAUUUUCAACAGACGUCGUCUAAUAUAAGUAAUACAAACGAUGGUUUAUGAAAAAACCGUCGUGUAUAAGUAAUACAACGACGGUUUUUUCAUAAACCGUCGUGUAAUCGUCGUCGUAUGCCUAAAAAGGCGUCGUGUCUGAGUUUAUUUUCAAGAACCCAAAACCCAUUAAGAACACAACAUAUAUAUGAAACCAAGCAAGAAACCAACAUAUACAUGAAACCAAGCAUGAAAACAAUAAAUCCAUUCCCAAUUCAACAUAACAUAGGGUGAUUAAAUGCAUAGAUAAGUGUUGUAAUAGAAUCAAGUCUGUUUUUGUUCUUACUAAUCCAUGAACCCAUUAAACAUAAAAUCCAUGAACCCAUUAAACAGAAAAUCCAUGAACCGAUACCUAUAAGCACAUUAUUAACAGAUCGCAAAGCAUAUACCUAAAACUCUUUAACAAAACAAGCAAGAAACCAACAUAUACAUGAAACCAAGCAUGAAAACAAUAAAUCCAUUCCCAAUUCAACAUAACAUAGGGUGAUUAAAAGAUCCGACAAAUUAAAACCAUUCCCAAUUCAACAUAACAGAUAUGUAAUCCAUGAACCCAUUAACAUAAAAUUCAUGAACCCAUUAAACAGAAAAUCCAUGAACCCAUACCUAUAAGCACAUUAUUAACAGAUCGCAAAGCAUAUACCUAAAACCCUUUAACAAAACAACCUAAUAUCAUUCAAUGAAUUUACAAGGGGAAGAUAGGGUUUGUACUUACAGGUUGGACGAGCUCACAGAUUCGACGGAGCCUGGAGAGUGCAACUUUUAAUUAGAGCAGAAGUGAGAGAGCGAAUGUUAUGUUGCGCGAAAUCUGAAAAUUUUAGGGUUCAGAGUUAGAAGUAUAAGAAUAAGAGCCAAAUAUAAAAAAAUUUAGGGUACACGAAAAUUUUUAGAGCGCGCGCUCUUUAAAACGUCGAAAGAAAAACCAUGGCGAAAGUUCUACAAGAACCGACGUAAAUGUAAUAUUCCACGACGAAAACACUGAACGUAACGCCGUUUAUUUUGACGUUCAUUUUUCGGAUUAAUUUUAAAUUUAUUUUGAAUAUUUUGAUAUAAAGACGACUGAAAAACCACGUCGAAGUUAAGAAAUUGAAAACGUUGUAAAUUAUAAUAGACGACUUACAUAUUAAAAUGACGUCGUUUAAAGUGGAAACCAUGUCGGAUAUUUUAUUGCACGACGUAACAUAUGUAUUCCACGACUCAACCACCGUCGUUAACAAUUAAUACGCUAAACCCUUAAAACUAAAUUAUAUAAUUUUAAAAAUUAAGUUUAUAAAAGGGUUUAUGGUUUUACAGCCUAAUAUAUACCCUAUACUACCCAAAAAUUAUACUUUAAAAAUAAACCCCAAUAAAUAACAACCCGAAUCUCUAAACCCUAGACUCUAAACCCUAAACCAUAAAACUAGAAGUGAUUUUAUGAUUCAUCAAAACAAUUUUGUUUUGGAUGGUCAUUUUAAAUUUUUGUUAUUCAAAAUGAAUUUUUUCAAGGUUUAGGGGGAAGAAAAUAUAUCAAUGACUUCAUAGGAGUUGACUUUGCAUUUUUCUGAUUUAUUUUAAAUUUAUUUUGAAUAUUUUGAUAUAAAAAUAAUAAAAUAUUCUUAUCACAACAACAAACCACGUCGGUGUUAAUAAAUUUUAGACGUUGUAAAUUGUAAUAGACGACUAAGUUGUUAAAAUGACGUCGUUUAAAUGAGAAACCAUGGCGGAUAUUUAACUAUCCGACGUAAAAUAUAUAUUCCACGACUUAACCGCUGUCGUUACAAAGUACUACCCUGAACCCUUAAGAAAUUGAAGACGUUGUAAACCAUAAACGACUCAAUUGUUCAAAGAACGUCGUCUAAAUAUCCUUUUACGUCGGAUUUGGUUAAAAGGAAACAACAAAAAACGACGGCUUUUGACUUUAUUACGUCGUUGGAAAAGUAUUACACGUCGGUUACGCAAUUUGUAUGUUUUUUUUUUUUUUUUUAAUUUAAGAAAACCUCAACAAAUUUUUACAUUAUAUAUUAUAGACAAAAUUUGUACAUUAUACAUAAAUAUCAAGUGUUCAAUAAUUCCCCUAUUCCAGGUGAAGGCAAACAAACUCUGACCAUUCAUUCCGGACUUCAUCAAUUGCUUCUUGGGGGUAUGGCGCUUCCUGUUUUCCCUUGGCAUACUGCAUAAACAAUGACUAUUAAGGUUUAUAAAUAAAAAGAAAUUCAAUCACAGACGACGAUAUUUUUCAUAACCGACGUACUAUAUCUAUUCAACGACGGUAAUUUUACAUGACCGUCGUUGAUAAUACAAAAAACGACGUAAAAUGUAUGAAUGUAAUUUCUUCUUACCUUCUUCUCAAACCCCAAGGAAGGAUCCAUGAUGAUGUCCCUCAUGAAGCGCAUCACAUAAUACCCGCAUUCGACAUUGCUGGGUUGCUUUGGUGUGCCUGACAGAGUUUUCCAAAUGACUGCCUUACGGCCUGGUCUGGCUAUGUGAGAAUUAUAAAUUUUUAUAGCACUGUUCACAAUGUUUUUGGCCUCUUCAUCGACCACACGAUUUCCUGGCAGAGGAUCCAGAAAAUAGACGGUUUCUCUCUUUGCUCUUACAAUCAGCAAGAUCCAAUGAUGGCUGCACAAAAUUAAUAUAAAAACGACGGUUAUUUACAAUAACGACGUAUUAUAAUAUUUCACACGACGAAAUAAAGUAGCAAUCGACGACAUUUUACAUUUAUCACGACGAUAAAUAACUACCGACGUGGUUAGUAGUUUCAAACGACUCAAUAAAAUAAAACACCGACGUGGUUAGUUUAUACGCAGUAAUUUAUUGAAAAUCAUAAAAACAAAAUCCUGUUAAGGAGACUAACCCUGGAUUGUAAGGCAUCAGGAAAAUCUGUUCACCGUCAGUCUUCUGAAGUCGAGCUGCUAGUAGGCGUGAUCUGUCAGCUAUUGUGCCAGAGCUGGCACUAACUGUAGCAGGGUCGAUAAAGCCAACCAUAUUGCACAUAUUUGCUCUUUUCAAAACAUCGUGCAAGUGCCUAAAUAUAUAAAAUAAUAUAAACAAGUCAGCACAAAAAAACACACGACGGUUAUGUAUAACAAAACGACGUAUUAUAAAAUUUCACACGACGUACUGAAAUAGACAACGGCGUUAUAAUAUAUUUAUCACGACGGUAAAUACUAACGACGUGGUUAGUUAGUUAAGACGACGCAAUAAAUAAACCAACGACGUAUUAUUUUAGAAUGACAAACCUCAUAUAUACAAAAAAACACGACGGUUAUGUAUAACAAAACGACGUAUUAUAAAAUUUCACACGACGUACUGAAAUAGACAACGACGUUAUGAUAUACUAACGACGUGGUUAGUUGGUUAAGACGACGCAAUAAAUACACCAACGACGUAUUAUUUUAGAAUGACAAACCUCAUAUAUACAGCAAUGACAGUGGCUCCUAUUUCUUCCAUGCCUGCAAAUUGUGUAAUAUCUUCAGGCAGGAGGAAGGUAUCGCGCUCUAGACCAAACACCUCCUUAUCAAUUGUAAAGUGCAGGGUCUUAUCCUGAGGCACGAGUGUCGUUUCCACAUAACGACAAAGGGAGUUUAAAGAAGAUGGCGCCUCCAUAUUUGAAUAAUCAACAACUUUAAUAACCUGUUUAAAGAAAUAAAAAAAAUGACGUGGUAAUUCAAUAAAAACGACGGUUUAAGGAAUAAAAUGUCGUCUGAAAACAAUUUAAACGUCGUCUGAAGAAACCGUCGUGGUGAAUAAUUUAUUACGUCUUAAAAAAAAUUCCGCCGUCUAAGUUGUAAACAAAUGACGGUUCAAAGAAAAAUAUCGACGUCUGGAAUUUUGAAAAACAAAUAAAAAGGGCAAAGUUAUGUGAACAUACCUGGUCGUCAUCUUCUUUCUCCUUUUCAUCAUGUUUUUCUUCUGUCUUCCCUUCAUCUAUUACGUCGGGAAUGACUAACUCCGUCGUCUAAAAACCACAAAGUUUUAAAAUAACGACGUUUAAUGGCGUGUAAAACAAGUAAACUAAAUACGACGUGGUAUUGAAAUACAAACGACGGUUUAUGUUUAAAAUCGUCGUGGUAUGUAUUUCAAACGACGGUUUUAUUAAUAAUAACGACGUCUAAUGGUUUUUAAAAAAACAGAGAAUUCAAAGUUCAGAUAUGUUACCUUUUCUUCCUGAUGUUUCCCAUUUUUGGCAGUAUCAUCCUCAAAAUGCUGGGAUCUCACAUCACCUCCAGAGCAGCUUGCUUUGUCAGACAUUGGAUUUUUGGGACUUUGGCUAAUUCUGGGUUUAAGCAUGCUUGGAUCAAAAUUGGGAAUGAAUUGGGAAAGCUGACUCAGGAAAUGCUCCCUCUCAGCCUCUACCAAUUGUUUCGUUCUAGCCUCCAUCCUUAAAGCCUCUUCCCUUGCCUUAGCCUCCAUCUUUUUAGUCUCUUCUGGAAGGAGAACUCUUAAACUGUCCUUCAAACGGUCGUCAAAGCUCACUCUCUGUGGUUUGGGUAAAUUGAAAUAUUGCCUUGGUGAGAUCCCAGCACCUACUCCUCUGACUCUGCCUGGAUGCUUGGGGCCCAAAGCCAUGGUCAGCACAUCAUUGCUGCCAGAAACAGUGACUUUGCCUUCCGAGACUUGUUUUUGCAAUUCAUCCUAAAACAAAGAUAUAUAAAAAAGUAAGAACAAAAACACACGACGUUUAUUUAUAUACAAACGACGUAUUAUAUAAUUUCACACGACGCAAUAACAUAUAAAUCGACGUUAUUAUAAUUUAUCACGACGGUAGUUAUACCGACGUGGUUCGCUUUUUAAAACGACGAAAUUAAUAAACCACCGACGUCUUAUGCUUUAUUUACAGAUAACAGAGGGAUGAUUCAAUAUUCACACCUUUAACGACGUUGUUCAAAACAUUUCGACGUAGUAAUUUAAUACAGACGACGCGAAAAUGAACCACCGACAUCUUAUGCUAUAAUUACAGAAAACAGAGUUGUGAUUCCUGAUUUAGACCUUUAACGACGUUUUUUAAAAUAUGUCGACGUGGUAAUAUCAUUCACACGACGCAAAAUAUAACAUAAGACGUAAUAAGAAUUAUUCACAGUUUAAUAAAAAUUUAAAACAGAGUGAGUAGGCUUACAAUUAAUUUUGCUUUCUCUGCCACCUUUGGAUCAGGGAUGUUACCAUGUUUGUCCUGUCUAGCUCUCUUCCAUAAGGUAGAUCGAUCAAUUUCUACCCCAGGCAUGGUUUCCUCCAAUUGAUCCUCCAAACCAGCAUAUCCUUUUCGAGACAAUCGAUGAUUGUACUCGAGUUUCUCCCUAAUCUGUGCAUGUUGAGAAUGCACAGACUCAAAAUCUUUGGAUAACCUUGAAGCUAUAAAGGCAUCCCAUUGUGCUUUCUCUAUGAAUUUAUAUGUUUCAGGGGGUUGGCUUAAUCUCUCCCUGUCAUUGGUGUAUGGAAGGAUAUAUUGCCUCGUUAGUGUAGACUUGAAAUCCUUCCAUUUCUUGGCAGCAGAAGCUAACACAGAGCUCUUGCCCCCUUGACCUACCACAAAAGCAAGGUCAACUGCUUCCCAAAUCUGCUCCUUUAUAUCCUUGGGGAUUUGAGCCCAUUUCAUGUCCACAAGUGGAACUCUGGAGCGUGCCAACACACCAAUGUAGGACUGCAUCUCACUAUGUGCUUGGCCAAUUCCUUUCCCCCUUUUAUUGUACUCAACAAUUGGCCUCAGUUUCUGAAGUUUUCUCUUCACAACACGAGGCAUUGUGCUCAUACCUCGACCAGACUUUGAAUCAUCAGAGAUUGUUGUCGUGCUGGUUCGUUCUGUCUCAGCAGAUGAUGAAGCAAACUUCAUCUUCUUCGAAGGCUUCACUUGAGGAGGUACCAUUCCAAGGUCCUUACCUCCAUUUUUCUUGGAGCCAGAAUCCUUACUUUGGUCUUGGUGAGAAACCAUUUUUACAGACAAAACUGCAAGUGAAAAUAUUUCAGGAAAAGAUUAAGAACACAAAUGACAGUUAUUAAUAAAAUACGACGUAUGAUAUGAUUUUAAACGACGCAAUGAAAUAAUCUCAGACGUAAUAAAUGUUUAAAACCAAGGUAAUUAAACAACGACGAAAUAAUUAACUAUAAACGACGUGAUAAUUAACUAUACACGACGAAAUAUUUAUAUAACGUCGUGGUAUUGAUGUUCACACGACGUCAGUCGUAAUAUACCAUCGUCUAUAUAAGGAUCCAAAACCCUUCUUUCUUUCUCUGUGAAUGUUUGAUUGCAGAUUUGAUUUUUCUGAACCAUGGUUUUUGUUUUCUAAUUUGAUAAAACACAAGGCCAAGAAAGAAAGUUUUGGAAUCUUAUAUAGACGACGGUAUUUUAAUAUGACGUCGUGGUAUUAACAUUCACACGACGUAAAACAAUAAGAUACUGUCGUCUAUAUUAGAUACCAACCCUACUUUCUUUUUCUUUAUAUUUUAUCAAAUUAGGGAAAAACAAAAACCAUUGUUCAGAGAAAUCAAACCUGCAAUUAAACAAGCAAAUAAAAAAAAGACUAUAAUUUUAAAAACAACUUUGUCAAUUUUCAGACGACGCUAGAACGACUGACGAACCGUCGUUGUCUACAUAUUUAACCACGUACAUAAGAAGCUACCGUCGUCUUAUUUAGUUGAGGUAGUUGUCUUCAAAGUUGGAAACUUUCCCUCUUUGUCUGUAUAUUUUAUCGAACUUGGAAAGAAGUAAAAUGAUUUUGGCCAGAAAAAAGGUAAAAUGAUUUUGGCCAGAACCCGAUUAAAAAGAAGUAAAAUGAUUUCGUCUACCUGACAUACACAUGCGCUGUUUCUAAACCCGAUUAAAAAGUUCAAUCUCCCAGAGAAAACUUUUAGACUUUUUUCCUUGUCAGAGCACUGUCAGAGUAUCUCAUCGUCUUCCUCUCGUCUUCUUCGUCGUCUCUGAACUUAAACAUAAUCUUCCUCUUGCUUUCAUUGCACGCAAAAGGUAAGCUUUCAUUUUCACUAUUUUGGUUGCUGUUUUGCAUGCUCAUACGUUUUUUGUUUGAAAAAUCUUUUUACCUUUUUUCUGGCCAAAAUCAUUUUACAUCGACUAACGGAGAGGGGGUGAUGUGCCUUAUAUGUACAUGCCCACUUCCAUCUAGCACGAGGCCUUUUGGGAGCUCACUGGCCUCGGAGUCAUGGGAACUUCGAAGUUAAAUGAGUUGGGGCUAGAGCAAUCCCAGGAUAGGUGACCCACUGGAAAGUUGCUUGUGAGUUCCCAGAAACAAAACCGUGAGGGCAGAGAGGGGGGGCCCAAAGCGGACAAUAUCGUGCUACAGCAGAGCCGAUUCCGGGAUGUGACAAUUUGGUAUCAGAGCCACCCUGCCGUGUGGUGCGAGUGUGCCAACGAAGACGUGUUAGGCCCUUAAGGAGGGUGGAUUGUAACAUCCCACGUCGACUAACGGAGAAGGGGUGAUGUGCCUUAUAUGUAAAAGCCCACCUCCAUCUUGCAAUAGGUCUUUUGGGAGCCCACUGGCUUCGGAGUCAUGGGAACUCCGAAGUUAAGCGAGUUGGGGCUAGAGCAAUCCCAGGAUGGGUGACCCACUGGAAAGUUGCUCGUGAGUUCCCAUAAAUAAGAUGGUGAGGGCAGAGAGGGGGAGCCUAAAGCGGACAAUAUCGUGCUAUGGUGGAGCCGAUCCUGGGAUGUGACAUUUUUUCUGUUUAACAAUUUUCAUUUACUCACAAACACAACUUUUGAAGACGGUCUUUUCUCCUACCGACAUUAGAAUUCGUACACAACGACGGUAUUUGUUUACCCCCAUUUGAAUAAUCAUACUACGUCAGUUUUUUAACCCGUCGUCUUCAAUAAAUACCACGAAGGUUUAGACUUUUGAUUUAGGGUUGUUUUUAUUUAUCUUUAUUUACUCUCACACACACACACACACACUCCCCCUCUCUCUCUGUGUAAUUGUUUUUAACUUUAUUUCUGAUAAAGAAUGCUGAUUUUCUGUGAACUUUUUUUAAUUGUGCAUUUGAAUUAUACGACGGUUUUGUCUCAUGUGAUGUUAUAAUUUUUACACAAUGACGGUUUUAAUUCACCGCCAUUUGAAAUUAUAUACGAUGUUAGGUUUGUCAGGAAACCGUCUUGAAAUACCAAAACGGUUUAUAUUUUCGAGUUAGUCGUUUUAUUUUAUCCGUUUUACAAUCUAUUCACUCACUAACAUUCUCUCUCUCUCUCUCUUUCAUUUAGGAUGAAUUAAAAAAAUAAGUCCCUAAAGGCACUCUAACUGUCUCUAGAAGCAAUGAUGUUUUGUCUUUGGCAUUGGGAACCCCCAAGCAUGGUGGGAGAGUCAAAAGUAUUGGAGCUUAAUUCUUCAAUUUGUCGAGACAACACAAAAUAAAGUUUGCCAACAAAUUGAAGGAAAGUGUUAUGGAGGCAGUCAGAGAAUAUAAAUGCCUAAUAGAGAAUGUAAUGAUGUUAUUGGUGAUGAUGUGCUAGGUGAUACUAGAAUUGAGUGUGAGCCAUUUACUAGAGGGAUACCAAAUGUUGACACAUUUGAUCUCCGAGUGGGUGAGUUUGGGAAUGAAAAUAUUAGAGAUGGGUGGGAAGAUAUAUGGAUUGAUUGAUUGUUGUAAUGUAUGACAUUAGUUAUUCAGUUAAUUCUAUUACAUUAAUUAAUAAUUAUGUACAACAUUUUAAUUCUGAACACAUUUUCAUUAUGCAGGCUUUGGGCACGACAAAUCAAAAAUUAAAAAAGCUGGGUUAAAGGUGUAAAGUACCAUGGUUCGGUAAAAAAAUUAGAAACACAGACGUAUAAGAUAAAAACAACGUCGGGUUUUAAAAAGCAACAGACUGUAAAACAAAAAAACAGACAUCUGAAACAGAAAUCAAGACGGUUUGCUUAAAAUAAACCAUCGUCUAAAGAGUGAAAUAAAGGCCGUUCAGUUCCAUUAACUGUCAUGACAGAUGUUCUGCAUGUCGGCUAGUCUAAAACAACUGACGUCUUCGCGCAUACAUACGUCAAGGCAGGUUAAACAAGCGACUUUUAAAAGGAUAACCGCGUCAUUAGUAAAUCAAAACCGACGUGGUAAGCAAUUACAACGUCAAGCAGCUGGAUCUCUAGACGAAGUGAAAUAAUUAACCACGUCCUUUAUUUUAAUGCAACGGACGUUGAAUAUGUAAUCCACGUUGGUUGUGUUCCUAUCCACGCCUUCAAUACUAUUUAUAACAUCAUCCUUUGCCUUCAAUACUAUUUAUAACAUCAUCCUUUGACAAAAACCGACAUGGGGGACAGAUUUGUACGUUGAUAUUGAGUAAUAUUAUGUCAUUUUACAUCUUUUAGACAUUGGUUAUUUACAAAAAGUGACGCCUAACGAGUCUUGCAAGAAACAGACGUGAAAAAAUGUUAACACAUCGAUUUUUAUUAUAGUUCGCCACGUGGAUAACUACAUAAGCGUCGGUGAUGUCAGGUGCAGGACGUGGUUAUAUCAUGUUAUGGCGGUUAUUGAGAGACAAAUGACUUGUAAUACUCUUUAAACGUCUGUUGGUUUGUGUGAACGUCAUCGUUUAUGUUUUAGAUGUCGGUUUCUUUUUUUGUUUAACGUAGUAUAAAUUAACCACGACGGUUUCUAGCUUAUCCAAGUCUUUUUUCCUUCAUUUAGGGACGUGGAUAAUUAUUUGUAUGUCGGUUCUUCCUUUGAUCUUGACAUGUAACACUCUUUAGACGUCUCAGUUUUCAUGAAACCGUCGUCUAAUAUUGUCAGAGAUUUCAUUUUAGGCUAAUUAUAUAGUAAUUACACGUUGGUUAGUAAUAAAUUUGGACGUUGAAUGUCUUAACAAUGUCUGGUAUUAACCGUUGUUGUUUUUUGUACAAAAGAUGGCGGUCGAUUUCACGACGGUUGGAAAACCUUCUAGAUGACGGUGGUUUUCCGUCGUCUAUUUCGAUUUUUGUAGUAGUGAAUGCGGAGAUGCACAUUGAACAGGGGAUCACCCGUGUUGUUGAUGAGCUGGCAGAAUCAUACAAACUGAGCUCAAUCUGUAAACCAUGGCAUGGAAGAGGUUGUUAAGCUUUACUAUGCAAGAAUUUGAGAAGAAAGCAAGGAAAAAAACAAAAAAAAGAAGUUUAUGGGAAGUCCACUAGACCGGAGACAAUCACUGCAGGAAUUGCAGGUAACCCACAAGCUUUCACUUCCAGUGUCAAUCUGCACGUUGAAUUCUUUUGGCAGAGAGCCCAAUUUGACUUUGGUAUAAUAAAGCCUGAAUUUGGAAGAAUUGAAGAUGAACAAAAGUGAUUAACUUUAUAUACAAUAGAUUAGCAUAACUCAAACAUGAUUUACAUAUGAAGCUACAAAAGAUUUGCAGCUCGAAGCACACAAAUCAAAGGAAUAAAGGGUGGCGGCAAACAUGAGCUUCUCUUAAUAUUUAUUUAUAUCCAAUGCAAUAUUUUUAAUCUCAUAACUAAUAUUUACCACAUAUCAACUUCAAAACAUCUCUUUUUUGUAGACCAUAUAAUUCUUUUUGUAUGAAGUUAGAUAAUUUGUUAAUUUUCAAGCCCAUAAACUAAAAUUUCAGUUGAAAUUUGUAUAAAAAAAUAAUUUGAAAAAAUAAUAAUAAUAAUCCAAUUCAAAAUCGAACUGGACCAGAACCUGACCAAAACCGAUUCAACCCAAACCGACCAGUUUCAUAAAUUUUUUACUAAAACUGAACCAAAUUGAACUAGAUAAAUACUACCAAUUUUGAUUUCAAUUUGAAGAGAAAAUCGGAACGAACCACACCGCGCCCACUAAUGUGAUUAAUUGCAAGUGGAUAAUAUUGCUCAAAUUAAUAUAGUAGUAACUAGAGUAUCGUUCCAACAGGGAUCAAGUAAUAUUAAAUAUUACAGUGAUUUAUUUCUAAUUUUAUUUGAAUUAAACGAAAAGAGAAUUAUGAUGAUUAAAAUCUAAUUAAGCAAACAAAAUAAAUUGAGAUUAAGGAAAUAAUGUAAAAGAUGAAAACAAAGAUGAUAAAGCACUAGGGCACCGAUUUCACCAAGCUAAUCCCACCCAAAUCCUUCUAGCUUGUUAAUUGUAAUUACCUAACAUGUUGAUAAUCGUUUUUCCUUACCUCACCAAUACUCUCUUCCGAGUUAUAUUAGUUGUAUUCCUUACCAUCAACCCACUCUAUUCCUAGUUAUGGAUUUAGAGCUAAGAACCCAUUAAGAUUUGUGGAAAACAAUAAAGAUUACAUAAAGCAUAAACUAGUCUUCCGAGUCGGCUAUGUAAUUUAUGGUACUUGUUACUAGAAGUUUUUAUUAGGAAUCUCCUUCCGGUCUCAACCUAAUUCUUACAAUCAUGCAAUUAGUGGCCAAUUGAUUGAAAGCAUUAAGAACGGUAACAAGCACUCAACAUAUAUAGAUAAAUAAAAUUAACAAUAUCAAAGAAUUUGAGUAUUCAUAGCUAGGCUACGUCGUAGCCCUAGUAAAAGAAAAUAGUUCAUGAAGGACUUAUUGAGAAUCAUGAUGGUUGAUGAAGACAUGGAAGACACCGAAUUCUCCAAGUAGAAUGCCAAGGUUGCGUAAGCUUUCUUCGUAUUCUCCUUUGGAUAUUCUGGGUAUGAGUAUGAAUAUGUAGGAUGAUGGAUGAUGGAGGAUGAUGGGAGAUGGGUGAUGGGGUCCUUGAACAAUGACCUAAACUUCCUAUUUAUAAGACUCCUAGAAAUCCUAUCUAAGAUAUAAUUACAAUUGUUAUAAAAGUAGGAUUCCUUCAAUAGGGUCUUCCUUAUUUCUCAUUGUUUGACUUGAUUAAUCUCCAAUCUUCAUCUUCUUGCCCUUUUUAGCACACUUUCUCAUAUUCCCACAAUUCCUUCACAAAUCUCACAAAACCAAUUAAAACAACCAAUUUAAUAAAAGAAAAUUAACAAAUAAAUAAGUAAAGGAGGCAUAAAAUAUAUAUAAAAUAUAGGCUUAUCAAAUACCCCCAAACCUAUCUUUUGCUAGUCCUUGAGCAAAACUGAAAAUCACAAAUAAAAUAAAACUAACUAAACUAAACCACUUUCGUAGGUAAUCUCGAUGGCACUUAGCAUGUGCCACAAGCCUUUAAACCUCUAGGUAUCCCAAGUAGGAGGAGUUCUGUCUCCUGAGGGUGUACCAGUCACGACACCCACAAACGCUCCUUGCAAAACAAAUUUGUUAAAGCAAUACUUCCAACAAACUAAUAAUAACCAAUGAAUGACAAUCACAAUUCAAAAACUAAAGUUAUGCCACUACAAAUAAAAUGCAUCAUAGUGUAAAGUGUAAAGCCAAUACUCCAGGCACUCGAACUUAAAGAUAACCACACUCGGCGUGUGUACAAAUUCGCCUCGACUCUAAGCCUCACUGGAUAACUCUCAAUUUUCUCACAGAACCUAGGGUUGCACUCUUACCCAGCAUAUGUGAAUGAAGUUAGGUAAAGAAAUCAAAAUGUAAGACACAUAUGCAUCCAAAAUAAAUAAAUGGCAAUUUCUGAAAAUAGAUCUCAUGGAAAGGAAAUCAAAUACUAAGAACUACAGAUGAAGUACAUACCUCCACUUCCGAGUAAGAAGUCCCCAAAGAUCCAUUAGGUCUUUACUGUGGUUGUAAUGAAGGGCUAGGUUAUGGGUUAUGAGAGAAAGGGAAGGAAAUACUAAAACUUAAGACAUACCAAGGCAUUUAUCGCGUUAUAAGGCUUGGCUCUUCAAAUUUACUUCACAAAGGCAUCCAAGAUUUUUGAUAUGCUUCACUUUUUUUUUCAUUUUUUUUUCAAUAUAUAUCUUCUUUUUUUCUUUUUCUUUUUCUUGAACUUUAAGCACAUAUUUCCUCGGCACACGCCACGUCUUUUGUUGAUGUAGAGCUUAACCUUCAUCCUUGUCUUCAUGUGUCAUGACAUAUCCCAAGUUAUAGGGUAUGGCUAAAAAUAGGGUGAAAAUGCUAAGGAAAUAUUGUGGGUGAUGAAAGAAAAGGCUAAGUGUUUGGCUUCAAAGGGUUGAUGGUACACAUAAUGGGUAGGACAUGAGGCUCUAUUUAUUGGUUAGAACAUGCAUAGCCUAACAUCAUCUCUUAAGGUCCAUCCAACUCAAAAGUGAAAGCAUAGCUUAUUCAUACAAAAGAGAAAUUAGUUCUUAGUAUUCAAUUCAAAAGCCUAAUUGAGAUCAAUCUAAAUAAGAAAGAAAGAAAAUAGUUAAUAAGAAUAAUCCCAAAUACUCUCUCAAUGAAUGAAAAUUUGGCUCAAGUAUCUCACAAUGGUAGCCUCCACUAUUUCUCCACAAUCAUCCAAGUAUAACUACCUUAUCCAUCAAAAUACUUGAAGUAUGGCUAUGUGAAGCGCUAUAAUUAUGAUGCAUAAAAUUUCAUGGCAACACUUUAGUUAAAGAAAUAUGAUCAAACAUUACAUAUACAUCACUAUUAGUAAGAGAAAGUACAAGUUUUAACAAAUUUUUAUUUUUUCAAAAGUUAAAGGAAUUUUGUGAUUUUGCAAACAAAUAUGAGUGAAUUUAUGAGCCCCAAUUGCUUAGGUAUAAAGAAUUUUCAUCAAAAGGAAGAGGACACACGUGGAAUAGCUCCUAGAAACCUUUGAUCGCGAAUGGAAUGGAUCAUAAUUGAUUUUGAAUGAAAUCGGAAAAUUCUGGAAAACUGACCUUCAGCGACGAAAAAUUUGAUGAACACCGUCACUGAAAAGCCUUUAGCAACGAAAAAUCGAACAGCACAGCUGAAAACCCUGUUGUGAUGAAAAAUCUUCAUAUUUCUGGGCAAAUUGCAGCUGGCCUUUUUUGAGUUUUAGGCCACUGCUUCAAAUCUUUCUAAAACGUCAUCAUAAUAACCAUUCUAAACAUGUUGGUGACUUCAAAUUUACCUGAAAAACAUCAAAAAGGAAAAUAGGCAAAAAAUUUUAUUUUGACCAACAUAAGAACAUAAUAACUUCUUUUGCUAUUUUCUGGGUUUUACAGUAAUCUAGACCAAAACAACAUCUGUACCACAUCUGCAACAUGCUUGCAAUCAUCAUGGGGCUAGAAAAAUUCGGGAAAUGUUCUUUGAAACACAAAAUCCUUUCUUUGGAACACAAAAUAUGUUUUUUGUUUUUUGUUUUUCUUUAUGAGUCAAGACUCAAAUAGCAACAAAAACAACACAAAUCUACACCCCCAACCUAAACUAAGCAUUGUCCUCAAUGUUUAAAUUAGAUGCAUGUAAUGAUUAGUAAAGGCAUAGAGGGAUGAAAAAUAAAAAUAUAAAAAAUAAAAAAUGAAAAGAAAGGAAUGAAGGUACCUAGUUGGGUUGCCUCCUAACAAGCGCUUGGUUUAUAGUACCCUGCCCAACUUUUGGAAUGAUUAUCACCCAGGAUCGUGGAGAGUGAAGGUCUCUUUUUGUUGAUUGCAAAGGCAGUGGUGGUUGGGAUGGCCUUGGUUUCCAAUAUGUUCACCAUGUCGAGCACGUGUGGCUCCUCUCCUACCUUUAUAUCAUGAACCAAACUUGCUUUUAGUGGAUCUUUUGGGUAGUCCUCCAUGAAUUGUGGUCGAACAACAUGAUCUACUGCUUCUAAACGAACACAAUACUCCGAAUCAAUGGGAUACUUGGUUGCAUCAAAAACUUUGAAUUCCACCUCUUGAUCGGCAUCUCGUAGGAUCAAAGAACCUUUUUCUACGUCAAUUAUCAUUCUUCCCGUAAUGAGAAAUGGGUGGCCUAAAAUAAUUGGAGUGUCGACAUCUUCUUCCAUAUCCAAAACUAUGAAAUCAACUGGGAAUAUGAAUUUAUCCACCUUCACUAGUACAUCUUCAAGAAUGCCUUGAGGAUAUGUAAGUGAUCUAUCCGCCAUCUGCAAAGAAAUAUUAGUUUUCUUAAUUUCUCCCAAACCAAUUCUUUUAGCUACAGACAAAGGCAUUAAAUUAAUACUAGAACCUAGAUCACACAAUGCUCUUUGAAAAGAAAUAGUGCCAAUGGUGCAAGGAAUAGAAAAAUUCCCUGGAUCCUUUCGCUUAGGUGAUAGAUGACUUUGUAUUACUGCGCUACACUGCUCCGUCAAUUCCACCAUCUCUGUAUCUUCCAAACGUCUCUUUUUGCUUAAGAUGUCCUCGAUGAACUUUCCAUAGUUUGGCAUUUGCUCUAUUGCUUCACCAAAUGGAAUGGUAAUUUGCAAUUUCCUAAAAAUUUCAAGAAAUUUGGAGAACUAUGCAUCCUUCUUAUUUUUCUUCAAGCGUUCAAUGGAACAUAGGAUUUUGAAGUGAGAUUUUUGGAUGGUGGUUGCUCAUUGGUCUGAGAAGAAAAAUUCAUUGCCUAUGUUGCUGAAUUUUUGGUUGAGCUUAUUGCGGCGGGUAAGCUAUUUUCUUCAGCUUUUUCCGUAUCUCUCAAUUUUGGUAGUGCUUUUCUACAUCCAAAUCUACAGCGGUUUUGAUGGGUCUCCCAUUUCGAAGUGUGAUUGCCUUCACAUGUUCUUGAAUUUUCGGAUCAAUCUCGGGUUGGCUUGGCAAUACUCCUUGGGUUCUUCCACUCAAUGUAGUAGCUAGUUGGCCUACUUGCACCUCCAAGUUCCGAAUAGAAGCGCUCUGAUUCUGAAGUUGGGUUUUGGUUUUAGUCAUAAAUUGGGUGGUAGACAUAGUUAACUGAGUGAGAGCAUCUUCCAACUUUAUUUUAUUCUCUUGAGGUGGAAAACCAAGUGGUGGUUUUUGGACGUUCUGAGUAUUGCUCCAUGAAAAAUUGGGGUGCCUUUGCCAUCCCGGAUUGUAUGUGUUGGAGAAUGGAUCAUUGCCGGGACGUCUAUAGGUAUUCACCAUAUUGGCUUGUUCUUGCAGAAAUUCUGAAAAAUCAACCCCAUGAGGACAAGAUAUGGUGGUAUGACUGGGAACAGCACAAAUGGAGCAAAUCUCUUGUGUUGGUGCUCUCCCAUUCAUAGCAAGCAAGGCGUCCAAUUUACUGGUUAUAGCGUUAACUUGCUCUUUAGAAGCAAAAGCAUUAGAACUACCAAUUUCAUAAAUUCCAGCAUGCUUACCUCAUGUAUCAGAAUGCUGUGUUUCAAUUGCUAGUGUAUCAAACAAAGUUUGACAUUCAGUUGGUGUCUUGUUCUUAAUAGAUCCACCUGCAUAGUUAUUCACUGCAGCCUUACUCGAAACAAUUAGUGCCUUAUAAAAAAUACGCAUGAGAACUAGAGUAGACAAACCAUGGUGAGGGCACUGUAUUAAAAAAUUAUUGAACCUUUCCCAAGCUUCUGAAAAUGACUCAUCGGUCUGUUGACUGAAUUGCAUGAUUUUAUCCCUCAGUGCGUCAGUUUUCUGAGUUGAAAAGAAUUUUUCCAAGAACUUGUUUUGAACCUCCGUCCAGCUUGUCAAUAAUCCAGGCCUUAAGGAGUUUAGCCACAUCUUAGCUUUAUCUUUCAGUGUGUAGGGAAAGACUUUCAUCCUGAGAUGUUCUUCGGUGACUCCCUCUGUCAAAGCCAUGUUAGAAACCAUGUUAAAAAUAUCUCUAAUAUGAGCUAAAGGAUCUUCAAAACUUAAUCCAUGAAAAGAAGGCAUCAUAUUAAAGUGGAUAUUUUUCAAUUCAAAAUUCCUGGCAACUGCAGGGAGAACGAUGCUUGAAGGUGACGUCGGAAUUGUCGGGAUAUCAAGGUCUCCCAUUGUUUCAUUCUGUACAAGGGCAAUCUCGUCUUCUCCUUGUUGAUUCUUCUUUUCUCUAUCUUGUUUUUGACUCCAACGAAUUUCUCGAAGCUUCUGUUCAAUCUCAGGUUCCAAUUCAACUAGUUGGUUAGUUGAAGAUCGGGUACCAGUCAUUCACCGUAUGCUCAGAAACAGAGUUAUUGUACCUACAAAACAAGGACAAAGGAUUGUUUAAAUAAGGAGAGAAUAAUAGAAUUAAAGAAGGAAAUAAAACCCAAACACAAUUAGGAAAAGAAACUUUAAUAAAAGGAACAGAAAGUUGAAUGAAAAUAGGAAUGGAAUUCCUAAUGGCUGCGUGAAACUCUCCUUUUUUUUCCCUUCAUGCGAGCUGGCUGUUUGGGCUGGUUUCUUGCUUCCUUUUGGUUUGUUUGUGGUCUGAAUCCCUCACGUUCUCUCCUCUCCUUUUUUUUCUUUUUUCUUUUUUUUUUGGGGGUUGGAAAUCAAAUGGAACUAAAGGAGUACCUGAAAUAAAAUAAAAUAAAAUAAAAAAAUUAACUAAUUAAAUAUUCAAAAUAUAACUAGAAAAUAAAGCGCACUAAUAUUAACAGAUUAAGUCAAUCCCCCACAGCGGCACCGAAAUUUGAUGUGAUUAAUUGCAAGUGGACAAUAUCGCUCAAAUUAAUAUAGUAGUAACUAGAGUAUCGUUCCAACAGGGAUCAAGUAAUCUUUUAAAUAUUAGAGUGAUUUAUUUCUAAUUAUAUUUCAAUUAAACGAAAAGAGAAUUAUGAUGAUUAAAAUCUAGUUAAGCAAACAAAAUAAAUUGAGAUUAGGAAAAUAAUUUAAAAGAUGAAAACAAAGAUGAUAAAGCACUAGGGCACCAAUUUCACCUAGCUAAUCCCACCAAAAUCCUUCUAGCUUGUUAAUUGUAAUUACCUAACAUGUUGAUAAUUGUUUUCCCUUACCUCACCAAUACUCUCUGCCGAGUUAUAUUAGUUGUAUUCCUUACCAUCAACCCCAGACUCAUAGGUACUGCACCUGUAUGUUUCCAACACCAUUAACCAAGGCAAUUUCAGAAUUAAUUCAAUCAACACAACACAACAUAAUUACUUACAAGUUAUUAUCAGAGAAUUUAUUCUGCAUAAUAUUACUUAUUUUUGUUCUAAACAAUGGGACCUAUGCGGCCAUGCCAUGGCAUUUCAAAAUUUGUAGUAACUAUGGAUAAGCUGUAUUAUUAAAAAAAUUGUUUUAUUUAUUCAGAAAAACAAAACAAUCUAUGUAGAUAGUUACUAUUUUUCUCUUUCACGUUUUUCUUCUUCUUCUUUUUUCCUCAAUGAUUGGUUUCUAUUGCACAUUUUUUAUCCACACAUCAUCUCAGUACAAGUUGACGGAACUGUGUACAGCAGGGCAAGAUUUGUAAACUACUAACUCGGUGCAAAUUUUAUAAGCUAUUCCUACCCCCAACAAAUAUUAGCCCAUACCUCCCUCCUGUGUCCUUCAAACUUUGGUGUGGUUUUUGUUUUUGUUUUUUGUUUUUGUUGCUUUUUUUAAUAUUAGCCUAACCCCCAGCCCAACCAAUAUUGUUUUCAAAAUUGACCCAACCCAACCCACCCUUAGAAAUAAUUAGGCCUCGUCAAUCGACCCGGUCCAAAUUUAAUGGGCUUGGAUCGGGCUGGAUCGGGCUUUAAAGAGGAGAGAGAAAAUGUCAAUCUAGGCCGGGCUGGAUUUUUAAAAAAAUUCAAAGUUCAAGCUAGACCCAUGAGUUAGGCUUGAAAAAGCUCAUGGCCGGAGCGGGGCCGAAAUGGGUUUACUUUAUUUUUUAUUUUUUUAAUAUUGAUUUUGUUGUCAAUUCUUUAUUUUUUUUCUAUGUUUUGGUGUGUUUCUAUGUUUCGUUUUUUUUUUCUUCAUAGUUCUCUAUUUACAUUUAUCUAUAUUUAUGUCUUCAUUUUUUUCUUUGUUCAUUUCAUAAAUUCACAAUACAUAAUUAAAAUUUAGAAAACUACAACAAAAAUUCAUAUGAACUCUUGUGACAUUCUCUUCACUGUAAAGCUCUAAAAGAGGACAUGGAAAAAGUGCCUUCUAAGUUGACAUAAUUUGAUGUAGCUCCAACAUUAUUGAUAUGGCUUAAAUUCAGUUGUGGCAAGGUGUUUGAUGAAGCAUAUAUAAAUAUCAAAUGGUGUAGCAUAUAAUCACUUUUACUAAGUUGUUGAUUGGGAUGAAAGUGGUCGGGGUUCUAAACCCCUUGUGUGUGUCUCCAUUUCCUUUCACUUUUGAACUAAAUUUAUAUUUAUAUAAAAUAUAUAGGCUUGCGGGCUGGGCCUUAAUGGGCUUUGCGAGCUGGGCUUUCAUGGGUUUAAACGGGCUUGGCCUAUGGGUCGGGCUAGACUUUAGCCACCUACGCCCAAGCCCAACCCACUAAAUAUCGGCCCAAGCUGAACUUUUUCUCGAUGGGCCAGGCGGGCCCCCAUCGACCCACGGGCCCUUAGGCCAAAUGAUGACCCCUAGAAAUAACUACAGAGAAGCUCCGUCAUCCCCCAUCCACUAUUGCUUCUUCUAUUUCUUUGUUACUUUGUUUCACUCCAUUGGCAGCCCAUCGAAACACCUCUAAACCAAUAUUCACUCCAUGGGUAAGUCAUAUUCGUUUCCUCUUAAUUUGUUUUUCACUUUCGAUUUUUCUAUUUUUUUAGUAAUUCAUUUAAUAUCAAGAGUUUAGUCAGAUAAAAUAUCGAAGUUCAUUCUUCAAGACAUCUCUACACAUCCGCAAGCACAGAAGGAAAUGCCAUAAUCAGCGCUACUUGAUACAUCAAUAUAUAGCCUAUACUUAUGACGUGCACCAAAAAUCUUAUGUUCUCCCAAUAUGUUCGUUAAAUGUUUGAACGGAUAAUAAAUAACAUCACCUUCUUACUUAUGGUUUACUUGGUUUGAAUUUUUUUAUAUUUCAUAAUACUGUGAUGAUAAAGGUGUGGUACACGAGCAAACAGUGAAGUGAUUCUAAAUUACCGAACACAACGAAAAAAAGUAAUUGAAAUAGUGUAACACCAAACAAUUUUCGCUAAUUAGGCGACAACAUGAAAUUCAAAAGUUUAUAAGUAAUUGUCUUCUAUUCUCAAACUGUUGUAGUAAAUAUGGCAAAUAUAAGUGAUGGUUCUGAAUGACCUCUUUUAAUCACUUGAAAAACAGAUAAAGUUGUACAGAUAAGGAUUACAACGAAGUUAACUAAUACAAAAUAAUUGUAUAUUUUAGUCUAAAGCACGUAGUUCUGAAUCUCAAAACAAGUAAAUAUUACUAAUUUCUUUAGUGUGUGCUAAAUAUGAUUAUUUCUUACUAAUUUCGUGUUCGAUCCACUGAAUAACACGAAAGAAUUAAAGUUUUCAAAAACAAUAUCUCUUUGGUUGUCAUUUUUAUUUUAUUUUAUCACCACAUAACUCUGUUUUAAAUAAACUAGUAUCUCUUUCGCAUACAAAUAAUUGGUAAAGGAGUUCGGCAACGUAGCGUUUUUCUAUUUUAAAAAAUGUACCAUCAAGGUCCAUUAAUUCGAUAAUAUAUUGGGAUUUGAUUCUGGCCUUAGUUUCAGUAACAUAAUAUUGAGAAAUCGAAACUCCAAUCUACCGUGGUUUCGUCACAGAUUUACUAAAGUUCAUACUUACGUACCAACAAACAAUGCCUUCCUUGGAGUCAUAUAUACUUUAAUUGCAAGUUGUACUCAUUUAGGUUGCCAAGUUAUAUAUAGCAUGAAACAUAAUAUGUCAAUUUAGUUACCGUUUUGUUCAACAAAUUAAUCUCUGGAAAAAAAAAAAAAUCCUUUCACGAAUACGCAAUUUAUAGGAUUUAUAGUUAUGUACACAUGUACAUGUGAAAAUUAAGUUACAUAUAUUCGAUAGUUUGGAAAGCACUGGUAACUUAGAAAUUUAAGUUAUAUUGUUUCAAUAAUUUAAAGCCACUAAUUAUAUAAGGAAUAAAAUCGCAAUCUUAUUAUGCCAAUUUAUUUACCAUUAUAGUUCGAUACAUUGAUUUUUUAUUAUAGAAAAUCCAUACAUGAACAAUUCUUUGAAUCCAAUGCGCUCAUCAUGGCGUUGCUUAAAGUCAUACUUUUGUACAGCAAAUAACGCCAAUAAUAAAAUAUAUAUACUUUGAAUUAAGGUCGUACUUGUAUUGGCUUGAAACCUAAUAUGCUAAUUUAGUUACCAUUCUGGUCCAACAAAAUCAUCUCUUAAAAUAAUAUUUCCUUUCAUGCAUACACAAUUUAUUUAACUUAUAAUUUCUAAACAUGCAUUUACAAAAAAUAAGGUACAUAUAAUCUUAGGUUCGGAGAGCACGAAUAAGUUAGAAAUUAAGCUAUAUAGCUUGAAUAUGCACCUAAUUAUACUAGGCAUCAAAUCGCAAUCUUAUUAUCAUAACUUAUUUACCAUUAUAGUUCGAUAAAUUGAUUUGUUUACAAAAUUCAUGCAUGAACAAUUCGUUGAAUCCAACCUCACCGAGAUGUGCAAUCAUAGAAAAUAGUUUUCAAAUUCACCUAUAUAUAUUGUAGUCUUUUUAAAAACUAGUGACUCCGAAUUCAAGUUUUACAUCACGUACAAACCUAUAAUCCUUCCUUGCCUUCAACAAAUUGAAUAGAUAUGGAGAAAGGUUCAUUCAAGUCAACUUUCCUCAUUGUGCUCCUUCGUAUUUCAUAUAAUGGUAAAAUACUUCUCUCAAUUUUUAUUUUUGUUACAAUGAAAGAGAAAUUUAUUCUUGACAUACUAUAAGCCGAACGUUAAUCCUAACAACCUAGGCUAACCUUUGGGGCUGACUUCUUUGAACAAUACAACUGCAUAUAGGAAUUUUUUUCUCCAACCUGUUUGACUUCACUUAUUUUGAAAAUGUGUAUAUGUCCUUGACACAUCGUUAAAAUUAUAUACUUUAACCUAACAAUUGUCGAUAUUUUCAGCCAUAAAGUCGAGUUUAAGUGUAUAUUUUUGUAACGUAAACUUAUGCAUAAAGCAGUAUGUUCACAAUAAAGGCAAAAAACAGUUUUAUUAUGAAUUAUGGAAAUAUUAAUUGUGGUAGGUGUGCAAUUUGGAGCCGAAGCAAGAGGUCCAGUUAACAUCUGCUCUAUGCGGCCCAUGCACAUGCGUCGAGAAUUGGUGUAAGUGUCCGCCAGAUAAAAUAUCGAAGUUCAUUCUUCAAGACAUCUCUACACAUCCGCAAGCACAGAAGGAAAUGCCAUAAUCAGCGCUACAUGAUACAUCAAUAUAUAGCAUAUAAUUAUGACGUGCACUAAAAAUCUUAUGUUCUCCCAAUAUGUUCGUUAAAUGUUUGAACGGAUAAUAAAUAACAUCACCUUCUUACUUAUAGUUUACUUGGUUCGAAUUUUUUAAAUUUCAUAAUACUGUGAUGAUAAAGGUGUGGUACACGAGCAAACAGUGAAGUGAUUCUAAAUUACCGAACACAACGAAAAAAAGUAAUUGAAAUAGUGUAACACCAAACAAUUUUCGCUAAUUAGGCGACAACAUGAAAUUCAAAAGUUUAUAAGUAACAGUCUUCUAUUCUCAAACUGUUGUAGUAAAUAUGGCAAAUAUAAGUGAUGGUUCUGAAUGACCUCUUUUAAUCACUUGAAAAACAGAUAAAGUUGUACAGAUAAGGAUUACAACGAAGUUAACUAAUAUAAAAUAAUUGUAUAUUUUAGUCUCAAGCACGUAGUUCUGAAUCUCAAAACAAGUAAAUAUUACUAAUUUCUUUAGUGUGUGCUAAAUAUGAUUAUUUCUUACUAAUUUCGUGUUCGAUCCACUGAAUAACACGAAAGAAUUAAAGUUGUCAAAAACAAUAUCUCUUUUGUUGUCAUUUUUAUUUUAUUUUAUCACCACAUAACUCUGUUUUAAAUAAACUAGUAUCUCUUUUGUAAGAACCCAAACCAAAAUAUCUAAAAAUUGAGAUUUCUUUAUUCUAGCCAAAAGACGAUUUUGCCCUCGCAUAUUCUAAAAGGGGAAAGUUUGACUUUUUGAUCGGAAAAGAAUUUGGCAAUUCCGCUUAUGCCGUUGCGUAGAGUACGGCGAAACGAGUUCGUAGACAUGGAGUAGACCCGAAUCGGAGUUGUAACGAAGGAUUUAUGGUUAAAAGAGUCUCAGUGGCAGAAUCGUAAAUAUUUCGAAGUUUUUUUUUUUUUUUAAAAACCAGAUUUUUCUCUUGCUAUCCCGUCAUUAUUUUUUUCUCUUCUCCCUCUCUCCUCCCGAUUCUUCCUCCAACCGCCCGACCUUUCCCCCUUCUCCUUGACGCCACGGCCACCAUACUUGGAACCGAUCUCUGCCGUUGGUACCAAACGAACCACCAUUCGACCACCGACGUUUCUUGACCCUUCGCCGGAGUUUCCGUGGCCGGAGCUGGUCGGAAAACUCCAUUUUCGCCGGAUUUCCAGUUCAAACUUUCAGCUCGAUUUUCUCCUUCAAUUCUCCACCAAAUAAGUCGAGUGAGGUAUGGAUUUUCAUCUAUUUCUCGUGCUCUAUCUGCUAGUUGGCUGGGUUUAGAUCAAUUCAAUCCCUAGAUCAUUCGAUUUUCGACUUGAAGUUUGGCAGAAACUUCGGCCGCCAAAAACUACUGUUUCCGGUCACUUUUUGGGGUAUGUCCAAGAACAAAAGUGACUCCAAAUGUGGUGUUUUACCUAGGAUAGGAGUUUGGAGUCGUAGUUUGGAGUUUUUCCGGCGAACCGUUAUCGCUUUGGACACCCGCCGCUGCCGGCGCGUGUGGCGGCGUGUGGGUGAGGGUACAGUAGUAACUCUGGGUAUUUUUGUGAUCCUCGUAUUGUCACGAGCGCGUAAGAUUUCGCGGAUCUCAAUUCGGAGUCUGUUCGAGCCCCGAACGGAUUUUCCAUAAUAUGCGAUUCCCGGGUGCAGUGUCGUCUAGCCGUUGGAUCGCACCCCAUUUCGGAUAUGUUGUUCUAUAUUGUUUCAGGGUCAUGUAGGAUUCAACGGAUUGCGAAUCGGAGUACCGGAUACUCCGAAAUCGCGAACCCUAGGAUUAGGGUUAGAGUUUUAAGCGAUAACGCGAUUUUGGCCGAUCCGACCGUCCGAUUCGGACCAAAUUCGCAGAACUUGGUUCCCGCCCUAUGAGAAACCUUCCGGGAAGCUCAGAUUGGCCAUCGGAGAUCGUGGACCCCACGGGUCCCGGGUCGGCCGAUCUGACAGUUUAUCGCUUAACUGAGCGUCGGACCUUCCAAAAGUGAUCCAAGUGUCUAAAAAGAGCUAAGGUGGGCAUAGGAGUGAUCUAGAACGAAAUGUAUAUAUUUCUAAGAGCCGGGGGCAGGGUAUGUGAUUUAAAAUUCUAUUUAUCCAGCAGUUUAUUAAUUUAUUAUUCAUGGAUAAUCAGGCACCAGGAGUCUAGCUAAUCCACAGGAGGGACCUUCAAGAGGUCUAGCUAGCUCGGACCAGCAGUGAGUGGACCUUUCUUUUAUAAAUGAUUUUAUGCAAAUGCAUUUAAUUUAUUAAUCUUGAAUAAGUAUUCUUGCAAGUCUUGAGCAGGUUUUAUACGGUCAAAUACUUUGAGUUACAUAUAUUAUUGAGGUUAUAGUAGCAGCAGACCUUGAGCUUUAUAUAAGCAUUACGACUACAGUUAAAUUAUCAGAUUCCAGAGAAUUGUCAGAUAACUAUUUUUAGUCCACCAUGAAUUAUCGAAAGCAGAGUUUGAGUUUUCUAUCAGAUAAAAAGGGUAAAAAGGUCAUUCGUGCCCGGCAUUCGCCAGGUGUCGGACACGCACAGGAUUCGGCUCGGAUUCCAAAGCGGAAAUUGGGUCGGGUCCUGUCAACUUGGUAUCAGAGCAUAGGUUUUACUUCCUGUAGACCCUCUUUCUUGUUACUGAACCCUUGUUCUUCUUUCAGUUGAAUAUGGGCCCGAAGCGUGGUGGUUUCCAUAGGGGGACGAGACAGUCGUCCCGAGUGAGGGGACAGGACCCUCCUCCAGAGAACUUUCCUACCCCAGAACCGGUCCAAGAACCCGGUUGAACAGUCAUUUGUUGGAGGCCCCUCAGGCCCGCACCUCUUAUGCCCACAGUGAUGGGAGACCCAACUUUUCAGCAGACCUUAGAGAUGUUGACUCAGCCCUAUCCCGGACAGGGCAGCCUAGAGACCCGUCUUGGGAUACGCAGACCAAGCAAAAANNNNNNNNNNNNNNNNNNNNNNNNNNNNNNNNNNNNNNNNNNNNNNNNNNNNNNNNNNNNNNNNNNNNNNNNNNNNNNNNNNNNNNNNNNNNNNNNNNNNNNNNNNNNNNNNNNNNNNNNNNNNNNNNNNNNNNNNNNNNNNNNNNNNNNNNNNNNNNNNNNNNNNNNNNNNNNNNNNNNNNNNNNNNNNNNNNNNNNNNNNNNNNNNNNNNNNNNNNNNNNNNNNNNNNNNNNNNNNNNNNNNNNNNNNNNNNNNNNNNNNNNNNNNNNNNNNNNNNNNNNNNNNNNNNNNNNNNNNNNNNNNNNNNNNNNNNNNNNNNNNNNNNNNNNNNNNNNNNNNNNNNNNNNNNNNNNNNNNNNNNNNNNNNNNNNNNNNNNNNNNNNNNNNNNNNNNNNNNNNNNNNNNNNNNNNNNNNNNNNNNNNNNNNNNNNNNNNNNNNNNNNNNNNNNNNNNNNNNNNNNNNNNNNNNNNNNNNNNNNNNNNNNNNNNNNNNNNNNNNNNNNNNNNNNNNNNNNNNNNNNNNNNNNNNNNNNNNNNNNNNNNNNNNNNNNNNNNNNNNNNNNNNNNNNNNNNNNNNNNNNNNNNNNNNNNNNNNNNNNNNNNNNNNNNNNNNNNNNNNNNNNNNNNNNNNNNNNNNNNNNNNNNNNNNNNNNNNNNNNNNNNNNNNNNNNNNNNNNNNNNNNNNNNNNNNNNNNNNNNNNNNNNNNNNNNNNNNNNNNNNNNNNNNNNNNNNNNNNNNNNNNNNNNNNNNNNNNNNNNNNNNNNNNNNNNNNNNNNNNNNNNNNNNNNNNNNNNNNNNNNNNNNNNNNNNNNNNNNNNNNNNNNNNNNNNNNNNNNNNNNNNNNNNNNNNNNNNNNNNNNNNNNNNNNNNNNNNNNNNNNNNNNNNNNNNNNNNNNNNNNNNNNNNNNNNNNNNNNNNNNNNNNNNNNNNNNNNNNNNNNNNNNNNNNNNNNNNNNNNNNNNNNNNNNNNNNNNNNNNNNNNNNNNNNNNNNNNNNNNNNNNNNNNNNNNNNNNNNNNNNNNNNNNNNNNNNNNNNNNNNNNNNNNNNNNNNNNNNNNNNNNNNNNNNNNNNNNNNNNNNNNNNNNNNNNNNNNNNNNNNNNNNNNNNNNNNNNNNNNNNNNNNNNNNNNNNNNNNNNNNNNNNNNNNNNNNNNNNNNNNNNNNNNNNNNNNNNNNNNNNNNNNNNNNNNNNNNNNNNNNNNNNNNNNNNGGCAUCUCGUAGGAUCAAAGAACCUUUUUCUACGUCAAUUAUCAUUCUUCCCGUAAUGAGAAAUGGGUGGCCUAAAAUAAUUGGAGUGUCGACAUCUCUUCCAUAUCCAAAACUAUGAAAUCAACUGGGAAUAUGAAUUUAUCCACCUUCACUAGUACAUCUUCAAGAAUGCCUUGAGGAUAUGUAAGUGAUCUAUCCGCCAUCUGCAAAGAAAUAUUAGUUUUCUUAAUUUCUCCCAAACCAAUUCUUUUAGCUACAGACAAAGGCAUUAAAUUAAUACUAGAACCUAGAUCACACAAUGCUCUUUGAAAAGAAAUAGUGCCAAUGGUGCAAGGAAUAGAAAAAUUCCCUGGAUCCUUUCGCUUAGGUGAUAGAUGACUUUGUAUUACUGCGCUACACUGCUCCGUCAAUUCCACCAUCUCUGUAUCUUCCAAACGUCUCUUUUUGCUUAAGAUGUCCUCGAUGAACUUUCCAUAGUUUGGCAUUUGCUCUAUUGCUUCACCAAAUGGAAUGGUAAUUUGCAAUUUCCUAAAAAUUUCAAGAAAUUUGGAGAACUAUGCAUCCUUCUUAUUUUUCUUCAAGCGUUCAAUGGAACAUAGGAUUUUGAAGUGAGAUUUUUGGAUGGUGGUUGCUCAUUGGUCUGAGAAGAAAAAUUCAUUGCCUAUGUUGCUGAAUUUUUGGUUGAGCUUAUUGCGGCGGGUAAGCUAUUUUCUUCAGCUUUUUCCGUAUCUCUCAAUUUUGGUAGUGCUUUUCUACAUCCAAAUCUACAGCGGUUUUGAUGGGUCUCCCAUUUCGAAGUGUGAUUGCCUUCACAUGUUCUUGAAUUUUCGGAUCAAUCUCGGGUNNNNNNNNNNNNNNNNNNNNNNNNNNNNNNNNNNNNNNNNNNNNNNNNNNNNNNNNNNNNNNNNNNNNNNNNNNNNNNNNNNNNNNNNNNNNNNNNNNNNNNNNNNNNNNNNNNNNNNNNNNNNNNNNNNNNNNNNNNNNNNNNNNNNNNNNNNNNNNNNNNNNNNNNNNNNNNNNNNNNNNNNNNNNNNNNNNNNNNNNNNNNNNNNNNNNNNNNNNNNNNNNNNNNNNNNNNNNNNNNNNNNNNNNNNNNNNNNNNNNNNNNNNNNNNNNNNNNNNNNNNNNNNNNNNNNNNNNNNNNNNNNNNNNNNNNNNNNNNNNNNNNNNNNNNNNNNNNNNNNNNNNNNNNNNNNNNNNNNNNNNNNNNNNNNNNNNNNNNNNNNNNNNNNNNNNNNNNNNNNNNNNNNNNNNNNNNNNNNNNNNNNNNNNNNNNNNNNNNNNNNNNNNNNNNNNNNNNNNNNNNNNNNNNNNNNNNNNNNNNNNNNNNNNNNNNNNNNNNNNNNNNNNNNNNNNNNNNNNNNNNNNNNNNNNNNNUGUAUCAGAAUGCUGUGUUUCAAUUGCUAGUGUAUCAAACAAAGUUUGACAUUCAGUUGGUGUCUUGUUCUUAAUAGAUCCACCUGCAUAGUUAUUCACUGCAGCCUUACUCGAAACGAUUAGUGCCUUAUAAAAAAUACGCAUGAGAACUAGAGUAGACAAACCAUGGUGAGGGCACUGUAUUAAAAAAUUAUUGAACCUUUCCCAAGCUUCUGAAAAUGACUCAUCGGUCUGUUGACUGAAUUGCAUGAUUUUAUCCCUCAGUGCAUCAGUUUUCUGAGUUGAAAAGAAUUUUUCCAAGAACUUGUUUUGAACCUCCGUCCAGCUUGUCAAUAAUCCAGGCCUUAAGGAGUUUAGCCACAUCUUAGCUUUAUCUUUCAGUGUGUAGGGAAAGACUUUCAUCCUGAGAUGUUCUUCGGUGACUCCCUCUGUCAAAGCCAUGUUAGAAACCAUGUUAAAAAUAUCUCUAAUAUGAGCUAAAGGAUCUUCAAAACUUAAUCCAUGAAAAGAAGGCAUCAUAUUAAAGUGGAUAUUUUUCAAUUCAAAAUUCCUGGCAACUGCAGGGAGAACGAUGCUUGAAGGUGACGUCGGAAUUGUCGGGAUAUCAAGGUCUCCCAUUGUUUCAUUCUGUACAAGGGCAAUCUCGUCUUCUCCUUGUUGAUUCUUCUUUUCUCUAUCUUGUUUUUGACUCCAACGAAUUUCUCGAAGCUUCUGUUCAAUCUCAGGUUCCAAUUCAACUAGUUGGCUAGUUGAAGAUCGGGUACCAGUCAUUCACCGUAUGCUCAGAAACAGAGUUAUUGUACCUACAAAACAAGGACAAAGGAUUGUUUAAAUAAGGAGAGAACAAUAGAAUUAAAGAAGGAAAUAAAACCCAAACACAAUUAGGAAAAGAAACUUUAAUAAAAGGAACAGAAAGUUGAAUGAAAAUAGGAAUGGAAUUCCUAAUGGCUGCGUGAAACUCUCCUUUUUUUUCCCUUCAUGCGAGCUGGCUGUUUGGGCUGGUUUCUUGCUUCCUUUUGGUUUGUUUGUGGUCUGAAUCCCUCACGUUCUCUCCUCUCCUUUUUUUUCUUUUUUCUUUUUUUUUUUGGGGGUUGGAAAUCAAAUGGAACUAAAGGAGUACCUGAAAUAAAAUAAAAUAAAAUAAAAAAAUUAACUAAUUAAAUAUUCAAAAUAUAACUAGAAAAUAAAGCGCACUAAUAUUAACAGAUUAAGUCAAUCCCCCACAGCGGCACCGAAAUUUGAUGUGAUUAAUUGCAAGUGGACAAUAUCGCUCAAAUUAAUAUAGUAGUAACUAGAGUAUCGUUNNNNNNNNNNNNNNNNNNNNNNNNNNNNNNNNNNNNNNNNNNNNNNNNNNNNNNNNNNNNNNNNNNNNNNNNNNNNNNNNNNNNNNNNNNNNNNNNNNNNUAAUCUUUUAAAUAUUAGAGUGAUUUUAUUUCUAAUUAUAUUUCAAUUAAACGAAAAGAGAAUUAUGAUGAUUAAAAUCUAGUUAAGCAAACAAAAUAAAUUGAGAUUAGGAAAAUAAUUUAAAAGAUGAAAACAAAGAUGAUAAAGCACUAGGGCACCAAUUUCACCUAGCUAAUCCCACCAAAAUCCUUCUAGCUUGUUAAUUGUAAUUACCUAACAUGUUGAUAAUUGUUUUCCCUUACCUCACCAAUACUCUCUGCCGAGUUAUAUUAGUUGUAUUCCUUACCAUCAACCCCAGACUCAUAGGUACUGCACCUGUAUGUUUCCAACACCAUUAACCAAGGCAAUUUCAGAAUUAAUUCAAUCAACACAACACAACAUAAUUACUUAUAAGUUAUUAUCAGAGAAUUUAUUCUGCAUAAUAUUACUUAUUUUUGUUCUAAACAAUGGGACCUAUGCGGCCAUGCCAUGGCAUUUCAAAAUUUGUAGUAACUAUGGAUAAGCUGUAUUAUUAAAAAAAUUGUUUUAUUUAUUCAGAAAAACAAAACAAUCUAUGUAGAUAGUUACUAUUUUUCUCUUUCACGUUUUUCUUCUUCUUCUUUUUUCCUCAAUGAUUGGUUUCUAUUGCACAUUUUUUAUCCACACAUCAUCUCAGUACAAGUUGACGGAACUGUGUACAGCAGGGCAAGAUUUGUAAACUACUAACUCGGUGCAAAUUUUAUAAGCUAUUCCUACCCCCAACAAAUAUUAGCCCAUACCUCCCUCCUGUGUCCUUCAACUUUGGUGUGGUUUUUGUUUUUGUUUUUUGUUUUUGUUGCUUUUUUUAAUAUUAGCCUAACCCCCAGCCCAACCAAUAUUGUUUUCAAAAUUGACCAACCCAACCUACCCUUAGAAAUAUUAGGCCUCGUCAUCGACCCCGGUCCAAAUUUAAUGGGCUUGGNNNNNNNNNNNNNNNNNNNNNNNNNNNNNNNNNNNNNNNNNNNNNNNNNNNNNNNNNNNNNNNNNNNNNNNNNNNNNNNNNNNNNNNNNNNNNNNNNNNNAUUGCUUCCGGAAGAAGUUAUACUUCGUAGCCCUGGACGCCCUGAAGUGACAUUUUAUGGUGAGCGUAGAGUGCUCCCAUCUAGCCUCAUUUCAGUGAUGAUGGCAACGAGAUUGCUCAGAAAAGGGUGCUCAGGAUAUGUAGCUUAUAUAGUGGAUAGUAGGACUCAGGAGUUAAAGUUUGAGGAUAUACCAGUAGUUCGGGAUUUUCCAGAUGUAUUCCCGGAUGAUCUUCCUGGGUUACCUUCCCAUCGGGAGAUCGAGUUCACUAUUGAACUCAUGUCAGGAACAAGCCCUAUAUCUCAGGCACCUUACAGGAUGGCACCUGCAGAACUAAAAGAGUUGAAGGUGCAGCUGCAGGAGUUAGUAGACAAGGGCUUCAUCCGACCUAGUUUUUCUCCUUGGGGUGCCCCAGUAUUGUUUGUGAAGAAAAAGGAUGGUACCAUGAGGUUAUGUGUCGAUUACAGGCAACUGAAUAAAGUCACAGUGAGAAAUAAGUAUCCGCUACCCCGUAUUGAUGAUUUAUUUGAUCAGUUGAGGGGUGCUAAGGUAUUUUCCAAGAUUGAUUUGAGAUCGGGGUACCAUCAGUUACGGAUCAAAGAAGAAGAUGUACCUAAGACAGCUUUCCGCACCAGGUAUGGGCAUUAUGAGUUUUUAGUAAUGCCAUUCGGAUUGACGAAUGCCCCAGCUGUGUUUAUGGAUUUGAUGAACAGAGUGUUCCGACGUUUUUUGGAUCGCUUUGUUAUUGUAUUCAUAGAUGAUAUUCUGGUGUACUCCAAGAGUCGGAAGGCGCAUAUGAAGCAUUUAGAACUGGUACUGAAGACGCUGAGAAGGAAGAAAUUGUUUGCUAAGUUCAGUAAGUGCCAGUUCUGGCUAGAUAGAGUAAAUUUCUUAGGGCAUGUUAUUUCUGCAGACGGUGUUUAUGUUGAUCCUCAGAAGGUUGAGGCAGUAGUGAAUUGGCCGCAGCCAACCAGUGUUUCAGAGGUACGGAGUUUUCUGGGGUUAGUUGGUUAUUAUCGUCGCUUUGUAGAAGGUUUUUCUACGAUAGCGACGCCUCUCACCCGUUUGACUAGGAAGGGAGUUAAAUUCGAAUGGUCAAAGGAGUGUGAGAAAAGUUUUGAUGAGCUUAAAACCAGGUUAACUACUGCUCCAGUAUUGACGCUUCCAGAUGACAGUGGUAACUUUGUGAUUUACAGUGAUGCCUCCAAACAGGGUCUUGGAUGUGUACUGAUGCAGCAUGGUCGGGUGAUCGCUUAUGCUUCUAGACAGUUGAAGAAGCAUGAGUUGAAUUACCCUGUGCAUGAUUUGGAGUUAGCAGCAGUAGUAUUUGCUUUGAAAAUCUGGAGACACUACUUGUACGGAGUUACCUGUCAGAUUUUCACAGAUCAUAAGAGUUUAAAGUAUUUAUUCACUCAGAAGGAGUUGAAUUUAAGACAAAGGAGAUGGUUAGAGCUGAUCAAAGACUACGAUUGUACCAUAGAGCAUUAUCCGGGGAAAGCUAAUGUAGUAGCUGAUGCACUUAGCAGGAAAUCAUCUGGUUCAGUAGCUUAUCUCCGAGGAAGGUAUGACCCAUUUAUGGUUGAAUUGAGAAAGCUUAGAGUUGAGCUGGAUGUAGAUGACCAGGGAGCAUUGUUAGCUACUCUCCGGGUGCGACCUAUAUUGGUGGAACGCAUAAUAGCAGCUCAAGCAGAGGAUCCUUUAAUUUGUACUCUUCGAACAGAAGUGGAGAAUGGCACUAGAACAGACUGUUCAGUGAGGAACGAUGGAGCUCUAAUGCUGGGUAACAGAUUGUAUGUUCCUCAUGAUGAAGCUCUGAAGAGGGAAAUUCUUGAAGAAGCCCACAGCUCAGCUUUUGCUAUGCAUCCCGGGAGUACUAAGAUGUACCACACGCUGAGAGAACACUAUUGGUGGCCUUUCAUGAAAAAGGAGAUAGCAGAGUAUGUCAGAAAGUGUCUAAUCUGUCAGCAGGUGAAAGCGGAACGACAGAAACCGUCUGGCCUGUUACAGCCUCUUCCGAUUCCGGAGUGGAAGUGGGAGCAUAUAACUAUGGAUUUCGUGUUCAAGCUUCCCCGAACACGAAAUAAGUAUGAUGGAGUGUGGGUGAUUGUGGAUCGACUUACGAAAUCUGCUCAUUUCUUACCAGUAAGAGCAAAUUAUACUUUAAAUAAGUUGGCCCAGCUCUUUAUUGAUGAGAUAGUAAGACUUCAUGGAGUACCAGUUUCGAUCACUUCUGAUCGAGAUCCAUGGUUUACCUCACGUUUCUGGACAAAGUUGCAUGAAGCUUUUGGAACCCGGUUACAGUUCAGUACUGCUUUUCAUCCUCAGACGGAUGGUCAGUCUGAGAGGACGAUUCAGACUCUAGAAGAUAUGUUGAGAGCUUGUGCAUUGCAGUUCAAAAAUGACUGGGAUGAGAAAUUGCCACUCAUGGAGUUUGCAUAUAAUAACAGCUACCAGGCAAGUAUUAGAAUGUCACCCUUUGAUGCUUUAUAUGGAAAACAAUGCAGAACUCCAUUUUAUUGGGAUGAAGUCGGUGAGAACCGACUGGAAGUGGCAGAUGAUGUUGAGCGGACGAAAGAACAGGUGAAGAUAAUCCGAGAAAGGCUGAAAAUAGCCCAGGAUAGACAGAAGAGUUAUGCAGAUAACAGGAGGAAAGACCUCCAGUUUGAAGUAGGAGAUUUGGUAUUCCUGAAGCUUUCGCCUUGGAAAGGCGUAGUAAGAUUUGGAAAGCGAGGAAAGCUAAGUCCUCGUUAUAUUGGCCCGUAUGAGGUUGUAGAACGGGUAGGCCCAGUAGCCUACAGACUUGCUUUACCUCCAGAUUUAUCUCGGCUGCAUGAUGUGUUUCAUGUCUCGAUGCUCCGGAAGUACAUUCCAGACCCAUCUCAUGUACUGGAGGAGCAACCGAUAGAGCUGCAAGAAGAUUUGACUUAUGUAGAGCAGCCAGUGCAAAUUUUAGAUCGAAAGAUGCAAGUUUUGCGCUCGAGAGAGAUCCCUCUUGUGAAAGUUUUAUGGAGGAGCCACACUGUGGAAGAGGCUACCUGGGAACCUGAGGACCAGAUGCGGGAACAGUACCCGUCUCUCUUCGAGUAACAGGUACGUAAAUUUCGAGGACGAAAUUUUCUUAAGGGGGGUAGAUUGUAAGAACCCAAACCAAAAUAUCUAAAAAUUGAGAUUUCUUUAUUCUAGCCAAAAGACGAUUUUGCCCUCGCAUAUUCUAAAAGGGGAAAGUUUGACUUUUUGAUCGGAAAAGAAUUUGGCAAUUCCGCUUAUGCCGUUGCGUAGAGUACAGCGAAACGAGUUCGUAGACAUGGAGUAGACCCGAAUCGGAGUUGUAACGAAGGAUUUAUGGUUAAAAGAGUCUCAGUGGCAGAAUCGUAAAUAUUUCGAAGUUUUUUUUUUUUUAAAAAACCAGAUUUUUCUCUUGCUAUCCCGUCAUUAUUUUUUUCUCUUCUCCCUCUCUCCUCCCGAUUCUUCCUCCAACCGCCCGACCUUUCCCCCUUCUCCUUGACGCCACGGCCACCAUACUUGGAACCGAUCUCUGCCGUUGGUACCAAACGAACCACCAUUCGACCACCGACGUUUCUUGACCCUUCGCCGGAGUUGCCGUGGCCGGAGCUGGUCGGAAAACUCCAUUUUCGCCGGAUUUCCAGUUCAAACUUUCAGCUCGAUUUUCUCCUUCAAUUCUCCACCAAAUAAGUCGAGGGAGGUAUGGAUUUUCAUCUAUUUCUCGUGCUCUAUCUGCUAGUUGGCUGGGUUUAGAUCAAUUCAAUCCCUAGAUCAUUCGAUUUUCGACUUGAAGUUUGGCAGAAACUUCGGCCGCCAAAAACUACUGUUUCCGGUCACUUUUUGGGGUAUGUCCAAGAACAAAAGUGACUCCAAAUGUGGUGUUUUACCUAGGAUAGGAGUUUGGAGUCGUAGUUUGGAGUUUUUCCGGCGAACCGUUAUCGCUUUGGACACCCGCCGCUGCCGGCGCGUGUGGCGGCGUGUGGGUGAGGGUACAGUAGUAACUCUGGGUAUUUUUGUGAUCCUCGUAUUGUCACGAGCGCGUAGGAUUUCGCGGAUCUCAAUUCGGAGUCCGUUCGAGCCCCGAACGGAUUUUCCAUAAUAUGCGAUUCCCGGGUGCAGUGUCGUCUAGCCGUUGGAUCGCACGCCAUUUUGGAUAUGUUGUUCUAUAUUGUUUCAGGGUCGUGUAGGAUUCAACGGAUUGCGAAUCGGAGUACCGGAUACUCCGAAAUCGCGAACCCUAGGGUUAGGGUUAGAGUUUUAAGCGAUAACGCGAUUUUGGCCGAUCCGACCGUCCGAUUCGGACCAAAUUCGCAGAACUUGGUUCCCGCCCUAUGAGAAACCUUCCGGGAAGCUCAGAUUGGCCAUCGGAGAUCGUGGACCCCACGGGUCCCGGGUCGGCCGAUCUGACAGUUUAUCGCUUAACUGAGCGUCGGACCUUCCAAAAGUGGUCCAAGUGUCUAAAAAGAGCUAAGGUGGGCAUAGGAGUGAUCUAGAACGAAAUGUAUAUAUUUCUAAGAGCCGGGGGCAGGGUAUGUGAUUUAAAAUUCUAUUUAUCCAGCAGUUUAUUAAUUUAUUAUUCAUGGAUAAUCAGGCACCAGGAGUCCAGCUAAUCCAUAGGAGGGACCUUCAAGAGGUCUAGCUAGCUCGGACCAGCAGUGAGUGGACCUUUCUUUUAUAAAUGAUUUUAUGCAAAUGCAUUUAAUUUAUUAAUCUUGUAUAAGUAUUCUUGCAAGUCUUGAGCAGGUUUUAUACGGUCAAAUACUUUGAGUUACAUAUAUUAUUGAGGUUAUAGUAGCAGCAGACCUUGAGCUUUAUAUAAGCAUUACGACUACAGUUAAAUUAUCAGAUUCCAGAGAAUUGUCAGAUAACUAUUUUUAGUCCACCAUGAAUUAUCGAAAGCAGAGUUUGAGUUUUCUAUCAGAUAAAAAGGGUAAAAAGGUCAUUCGUGCCCGGCAUUCGCCAGGUGUCGGACACGCACAGGAUUCGGCUCGGAUUCCAAAGCGGAAAUUGGGUCGGGUCCUGUCAUCUUUCGCAUACAAAUAAUUGGUAAACGAGUUCGGCAACGUAGCGUUUUUGUAUUUUAAAGAAUGUACCAUCAAGGUCCAUUAAUUCGAUAAUAUAUUGGGAUUUGUUUCUGGCCUUAGUUUCAGUAAGAUAAUAUUGAGAAAUCGAAAUUCCAAUCUACCGUGGUUCCAUCACAGAUUUACUAAAGUUCAUACUUACGUUGACAGGACCAGACCCAAUUUCCACUUUGGAAUUCGAGCCCAGUGCUGUGCGUGUCCGACACCUGGCGAAUGUCUGGCACAAAGGACCUUUUACCCUUCUUGUUUCAAAUUCUUUUUAAAUUUUUCCCUUAGACUUCUGCCGAAAAUUCGGCAGAGUCUCCCCUGUAUUUUGACCGAACCCAAUUUUUUUCACCUGUUAAACAAUCAAAUAAAUCCACACCAACUACCAGAAUAGAAUAACCAAGUAUUCACUAACUCCAGUUUUCCACUAAAACUAGAUAUCAGAGCAUUUUCUAAAGUUCACAGAGUUUCAAGAACUUUUCCACAAAACUCAAUACUUGGUGGCGCGGAAGCUAGGGAUGGCCCGGUGGUGGAUCCUGCGCACUUCUACGACCUGGGGGCGAAAAACAGGUUGAAAAUGUGAGUGGACAAAAAUUAAGUUCUUGAAAAUAAAUUUUAUAAACAUAGUAACCCCCAUUUAAAAAUAAGCAAGGAUUUAACUCGAGGGUUUGUCUAUAUUUCAAUACAAGGUAUUCAAAUAAGCAUGUAAAAACCUACUGAUGAAUGUGAUCGUAUAACUGAACAAAUAUGUAAAGAUAUAAAUGCACGAAUAUCAAAGAAACUGAUAGAAAAUAACUGAAAGUCAUAAUCGAAUAAAAGAAAACUCAAAAUCCUUUGAAAAUACCACCUAUUUGUACCCCUGUCAUAUCCGUCAAUUCCCCUGGCAGGUCUCGGGCGCCACGCAGUCUACCCGAACCGCAAACUGGUGAAAUCAGGGGACUAUGAUCAGCCUGAUCCGCCGACAGAUUCCUCGAUGACACUAAGUCAGCUCGAGUCGCUCUGGCAGGAUGCAGGGACCGUAGUCAGCCUGAUCCGCAAUCCUGGCAGGUCUCAGGGACAUAGAGUCAGCCGAGCCGCAAUCCUGGCAGGUCUCGGGACACCAAGUCUGCCGAGCCGCAAAUCCUGGCACUCACGGUCCGAGCGUCCCCGAAACUCGUGAGGCAAAGUCAAGUGCACUGACAUAAACUGAAAUCGGACUGGAUGUCCGUAGACAUCGGUCCAACUCUGGGUAAUCACCAAGUAAAGGGUGGGUACAUGGUGGUUCUAAAAUAAACUAUUUUUAGAAAAAUCUAAUAACUCACUGCCUUUUUGUGAAACUGAAAUUUAACUGUUGUCUCCUCUGAUAGAAUUCUCAAACUCUGCUUUUUAUAUUACUGAGCUUCAAUAACUGAACAACACGUAGAUCAAAGUAUUGUACAGCACAGAUCACAUUCGAAAUGAAUAGUUCAUAAAACUUCUUCAAGAUCAAAUAAUGACAUUAACCCAUAUAAACUAAUUUGUAAAAGCUUAUUUGUAUAAACUCAUUAUAAAAAAAAUCACUUAAAUAAUCUCAUUUAUAUAAAUCAUUUAUAUAAUUCAUGCAUAUAAAAUCGUUUAAGAUAUAACUCAUGCAUAUAAAAUCGUUAUGAAAGAAAGUCCACUCACUGAUGGUCCGAGCUAAUUGGACCCUUCGAAGGUCCUUCCUGCAGAUCAACUGGACCUCUGGUGCCUGAUUAUCCAUGAAUAAUAAAUCAAUAAACUGCUGAAUAAAAAGAAUCAAAUUAAACACUCUGCCCCUGGCUCCUAGAAAUACGUGCACUCAUUUUAAAGUUACUCUUAUGCCCACAUUAGCUUUUUAGACGGUUAGAACGACCUUAAGAGACCCGAAGCCUUACUAAGCGAUAUACUGCCAGAUCGGCCGAUCCCGGACCCCGUGGGUCCACAGUCUCCGAUGUCCAAUUUGGGCUCCUUUGAAGGUUCCUUACAGAGAAGGAACCAUGUUCUGCGAGUUUGGUCUGAAACGGACGGUCGGAUUAGCCAAAAUUGCGUUAUCGCUUAAAAUCCAAACCCUAGCCCUAGGGUUCGUGAUUUCGGAGUAUCCGGGACUCCGAUUCUCAAUCCGUCGAAUCCUACACGAUCCUGAAAUCAUGUAGACCGACAUAUCCGAAAUUCAGUGCGAUCCGACGAUUUGACGACACUGCACCCAGGGAUCGCUCGAUAUGGAAAAUUGGUUCGGAGCUCAAACGGACUCCGAAUCGAGAUCCGCGAAAUCGUACGCGCUCGUGAUGACACGAGGAUCUCAAAACUACCCAGAGUUACUCCACCACCCUCGCCCACGCGCCCCAGCACGCUCGGGCGGAUUCGGGUGUCUAAAGCGAUACCGACUGGCCGAAAAAUCUCGGAACCAAGACUCCAAACUCCUAUCCUAGGUAAAACACCCCAUUUGGAGUCACUUUUGUUCUUGGACAUACCCCAAAAAGUGAUCGAAAACAGUAGAUCACGGCGGCCGAAGUUUCGGCCAAUUUUCAAGUCGAAGAUCGAACCCUUUAGAGCUAAAAUCGAUCGAAACCCAUACAUCCAUUAGCUAGAACACCAAAAAUAGCUGAGAAAUCGUACCUUACUCGAUCGAUUUGGUGGAGAAUGAAGGAGAAAAUCGAGCUCAAAGUUCAAACUGGAAAUCCGGCGAAAAUGGAGUUUUCCGGCGAGCUCCGGCCACAGAAACUCCGGCUAAGGGUCAAGAAACGUCGGCGGUCGAGUGGUGGUGCGUUUGGUACCAACAGCGGAGAUCGGUUCCAAGUGUGGCGACCGUGGCGUCAAGGAGAAGGAGCAAAGGUCGGGCGGCUGGAGCAAAAAAUCGGGAGGAGAGAGAAAUGAGGAGAGAGAGAAGGAAAAAGGGUUGAAAAUCUGACUUUUGGCCAAAUUACCAUUUUGCCCUUCAUGGUAUUUUGAUCGUAUCUUCUUCGUUACAACUCCGAUUCGGGUCUACUCCGUGUCUACGGACUCCUCUCGCCGUGCUCUACCCAAAGGCGCAAGCAGAAUUGCCAAAUUCGUUCUCGAUCAAAAAGUUAAUUUUCCCCCUAUUAAAUAAUGCGAGGGAAAAAUUGUCUUUUAUGCUAGAAGAUAUUAUCCUUACUUUUUAGAUAUUUUAUUUCUUUUUAGAUAUUUUGGUUUGGGUUAUUACAUACGUACCAACAAACAACGCCGUCCAGGGAGUCAUAUAUACUUAAUUGCAAGUUGUACUCGUUUAGGGUGCCAAGUUAUUUAUGGCAUGAAACAAAAUAUGUCAAUUUAGUUACCGUUUUGUUCAACAAAUUAAUCUCUGAAAAAAAAAAAAAUCCUUUCACGAAUACGCAAUUUAUAGGAUUUAUAGUUAUGUACACAUGUGCAUGUGAAAAUUAAGCUACAUAUAUUCGACAGUUUGGAAAGCACUGGUAACUUAGAAAUUGAAGUUAUUUUGUUUCAAUAAUUUAAAGCCACUAAUUAUAUAAGGAAUAAAAUCGCAAUCUUAUUAUGCCAAUUUAUUUACCAUUACAGUUCGAUACAUGGAUUUUUUAUUAUAUAAAAUCCAUACAUGCACAAUUCUUUGAAUCCAAUGCGCUCAUCAUGGCAUUGCUUAAAGUCAUACUUUUGUACAGCAAACAACGCCAAUAAUAAAAUAUAUAUACUUUGAAUUAAGGUCGUACUUGUUUUGGCUUGAAACCUAAUAUGCUAAUUUAGUUACCAUUCUGGUCCAACAGAAUCAUCUCUUAAAAUAAUAUUUCCUUUCAUGCAUACAUAAUUUAUUUAACUUAUCAUUUCUAAACAUGCAUUUACAAAAAAUAAGUUACGUAUAAUCUUAGGUUUGGAGAGCACGAAUAAGUUAGAAAUUAAGCUACAUAGCUUGAAUAUGCACCUAAUUCUACUAGGCAUCAAAUCGCAAUCUUAUUAUCAUAACUUAUUUACCAUUAUAGUUCGAUAAAUUGAUUUGUUUACAAAAUUCAUGCAUGAACAAUUCGUUGAAUCCAACCUCACCAAGAUGUGCAAUCAUAGAAAAUAGUUUUCAAAUUCACCUAUAUAUAUUGUAGUCUUUUUAAAAAACUAGUGACUCCGAAUUCAAGUUUUAUACCACGUACAAACCUAUCAUCCUUCCUUGCCUUCAACAAAUUGAAUAGAUAUGGAGAAAGGUUCAUUCAAGUCAGCUUUCCUCAUUGUGCUCCUUCUUGUUUCAUAUAAUGGUAAAAUACUUCUCUCAAUUUUUAAUUUUGUUACAAUGAAAGAGAAAUUUAUUCUUGACAUACUAUAAUCCAAACGUUAAUCCUAACAACCUAGGCUAACCUCAGGGGCUGACUUCUUUGAACAAUACAACUGCAUAUAGGCAUUUUUUUCUCCAACCUGGUUGACUUCACUUAUUUUGAAAAUGUGUAUAUGUCCUUGAUACAUCGUUAAAAUUGUAUAAUUUAACCUAACAAUUGUCGAUAUUUUCAGCCAUAAAGUAGAGUUUAAGUGUAUAUUUUUGUAACGUAAACUUAUGCAUAACGCAGUAUGUUCACAAUAAAGGCAAAACACAGUUUUAUUAUGAAUUAUGGAAAUAUUGAUUGUGGUAGGUGUGCAAUUUGGAGCCGAAGCAAGAGGUCCAGUUACUCGUUAUCCGUGCCAAACAUCUGCUCUAUGCGGCCCAUGCACAUGCGUCGAGAAUUGGUGUAAGUGUCCGCCAGAUAAAAUAUCGAAGUUCAUUCUUCAAGACAUCUCUACACACCCGCAAGCACAUAAGGAAAUGCCAUAAUCAGCGCUACUUGAUACAUCAAUAUAUAGCAUAUACUUAUGACGAGCCCCAAAAAUCUUAUGUUCUCCCAAUAUGUUCGUUAAAUGUUUGAAUGGAUAAUAAAUAACAUCACCUUCUUACUUAUAGUUUACUUGGUUUGAAUAUUUUUAUAUUUCAUAAUGUUGUGAUGAUAAAGGUGUGGUACACGAGAAAACAGUGAAGUGAUUCUAAAUUACCGAACACAAUGAAAAAAAGGCAAUUGAAAUAGUGUAACACCUAACAAUUUUCGCUAAUUAGGCGACAACAUGAAAUUCAAAAGUUUAUAAGAAAUAGUCUUCUAUUCUCAAACUGCUGUAGUAAAUAAGGCAAAUAUAAGUGAUGGUUCUGAAUGACCUCUUUUAAUCACUUGAAAAACAUAUAAAGUUGUAUAGAUAAGGAUUACAACGAAGUUAACUAAUAUAAAAUAAUUAUAUAUUUUAGUCUCAAGCACGUAGUUCUGAAUCCUAAAACAAGUAACUAUUACUAAUUUCUUUAGUGUGUGCUAAAUAUGAUUAUUUCUUACUAAUUUCGUGUUUGAUCCACCGAAUAAUAGGAAAGAAUUAAAGUUUUUAGAAACAAUAUCUCUUUGGUUGUCAUUUUUAUUUUAUUUUAUCACCACAUAACUCUGUUUUAAAAAAACUAGUAUCUCUUUCGCAUACAAAUAAUUGGUAAACGAAUUCGGCAACGUAGCGUUUUUGUAUUUUAAAAAAUGUACCAUCAAGGUCCAUUAAUUCGAUAAUAUAUUGGGAUUUGAUUCUGGCCUUAGUUUCAGUAAGAUAAUAUUGAGAAAUCGAAAUUCCAAUCUACCGUGGUUCCAUCACAGAUUUACUAAAGUUCAUACUUACGUACCAACAAACAACGCCGUCCUUGGAGUCAUAUAUACUUAAUUGCAAGUUUUACUCGUUUAGGUUGCCAAGUUAUUUAUGGCAUGAAACAAAAUAUGUCAAUUUAGUUACCGUUUUGUUCAACAAAUUAAUCUCUGAAAAAAAAAAAAAAAAAUCCUUUCACGAAUACGCAAUUUAUAGGAUUUAUAGUUAUGUACACAUGUGCAUGUGAAAAUUAAGCUACAUAUAUUCGACAGUUUGGAAAGCACUGGUAACUUAGAAAUUGAAGUUAUAUUGUUUCAAUAAUUUAAAGCCACUAAUUAUAUAAGGAAUAAAAUCGAAAUCUUAUUAUGCCAAUUUAUUUACCAUUAUAGUUCGAUACAUUGAUUUUUUAUUAUAGAAAAUCCAUACAUGAACAAUUCUUUGAAUCCAAUGCGCUCAUCAUGGCAUUGCUUAAAGUCAUACUUUUGUACAGCAAAUAUCGCCAAUAAUAAAAUAUAUAUACUUUGAAUUAAGGUCGUACUUGUAUUGGCUUGAAACCUAAUAUGCAAAUUUAGUUACCAUUCUAGUCGAACAAAAUCAUCUCUUAAAAUAAUAUUUCCUUUCAUGCAUACACAACUUAUUUAACUUAUCAUUUCUAAACAUGCAUUUACAAAAAAUAAGUUACAUAUAAUGUUAGGUUUGGAGAGCACGAAUAGGUUAGAAAUUAAGCUAUAUAGCUUGAAUAUGCACCUAAUAAUACUAGGCAUCAAAUCGCAAUCUUAUUAUCAUAACUUAUUUACCAUUAUAGUUCGAUAAAUUGAUUUGUUUACAAAAUUCAUGCAUGAACAAUUCGUUGAAUCCAACCUCACCAAGAUGUGCAAUCAUAGAAAAUAGUUUUCAAAUUCACCUAUAUAUAUUGUAGUCUUUUUAAAAACUAGUGACUCCGAAUUCAAGUUUUAUACCACGUACAAACCUAUAAUCCUUCCUUGCCUUCAACAAAUUGAAUAGAUAUGGAGAAAGGUUCAUUCAAGUCAGCUUUCCUCAUUGCUCCUUCUUGUUUCAUAUAAUGGUAAAAUACUUCUCUCAAUUUUUAAUUUUGUUACUAUAAUCCAAACGUUAAUCCUAACAACCUAGGCUAACCUCAGGGGCUGACUUCUUUGAACAAUACAACUGCAUAUAGGCAUUUUUUUCUCAAACCUGGUUGACUUCACUUAUUUUGAAAAUGUGUAUAUGUCCUUGAUACAUCGUUAAAAUUGUAUAAUUUAACCUAACAGUUGUCGAUAUUUUCAGCCAUAAAGUAGAGUUUAAGAAUUGUCGAUAUUUUCAGCCAUAAAGUAGAGUUUAAGUGUAUAUUUUUGUAACGUAAACUUAUGCAUAACGCAGUAUGUUCACAAUAAAGGCAAAACACAGUUUUAUUAUGAAUUAUGGAAAUAUUAAUUGUGGUAGGUGUGCAAUUUGGAGCCGAAGCAAGAGGUCCAGUUACUCGUUAUCCGUGCCAAACAUCUGCUUUAUGCGGCCCGUGCACAUGCGUCGAGAAUUGGUGUAAGUGUCCGCCAGAUAAAAUAUCGAAGUUCAUUCUUCAAGACAUCUCUACACACCCGCAAGCACAUAAGGAAAUGCCAUAAUCAGCGCUACUUGAUACAUCAAUAUAUAGCAUAUACUUAUGACGUGCCCCAAAAAUCUUAUGUUCUCCCAAUAUGUUCGUUAAAUGUUUGAAUGGAUAAUAAAUAACAUCACCUUCUUACUUAUAGUUUACUUGGUUUGAAUAUUUUUAUAUUUCAUAAUGUUGUGAUGAUAAAGGUGUGGUACACGAGAAAACAGUGAAGUGAUUCUAAAUUACCGAACACAACGAAAAAAAGGCAAUUGAAAUAGUGUAACACCUAACAAUUUUUGCUAAUUAGGCGACAACAUGAAAUUCAAAAGUUUAUAAGAAAUAGUCUUCUAUUCUCAAACUGUUGUUGUAAAUAAGGCAAAUAUAAGUGAUGGUUCUGAAUGACCUCUUUUAAUCACUUGAAAAACAUAUAAAGUUGUAUAGAUAAGGAUUACAACGAAGUUAACUAAUAUAAAAUAAUUAUAUAUUUUAGUCUCAAGCACGUAGUUCUGAAUCCUAAAACAAGUAACUAUUACUAAUUUCUUUAGUGUGUGCUAAAUAUGNNNNNNNNNNNNNNNNNNNNNNNNNNNNNNNNNNNNNNNNNNNNNNNNNNNNNNNNNNNNNNNNNNNNNNNNNNNNNNNNNNNNNNNNNNNNNNNNNNNNUUCGUGUUUGAUCCACCGAAUAAUAGGAAAGAAUUAAAGUUUUUAUAAACAAUAUCUCUUUGGUUGUCAUUUUUAUUUUAUUUUAUCGCCACAUAACUCUGUUUUAAAAAAACUAGUAUCUCUUUCGCAUACAAAUAAUUGGUAAACGAAUUCGGCAACGUAGCGUUUUUGUAUUUUAAAAAAUGUACCAUCAAGGUCCAUUAAUUCGAUAAUAUAUUGGGAUUUGAUUCUGGCCUUAGUUUCAGUAAGAUAGUAUGGGGGAAAUCGAAAUUCCGAAAACAAAGGGGUUCCAUCACAGAUUAGAGAGAAAAGGCAUACUUACGUACCAACAAACAACGCCGUCCUUGGAGUCAUAUAUACUUAAUUGCAAGUUUUACUCGUUUAGGUUGCCAAGUUAUUUAUGGCAUGAAACAAAAUAUGUCAAUUUAGUUACCGUUUUGUUCAACAAAUUAAUCUCUGAAAAAAAAAAAAAAAAAUCCUUUCACGAAUACGCAAUUUAUAGGAUUUAUAGUUAUGUACACAUGUGCAUGUGAAAAUUAAGCUACAUAUAUUCGACAGUUUGGAAAGCACUGGUAACUUAGAAAUUGAAGUUAUAUUGUUUCAAUAAUUUAAAGCCACUAAUUAUAUAAGGAAUAAAAUCGAAAUCUUAUUAUGCCAAUUUAUUUACCAUUAAAGUUCGAUACAUUGAUUUUUUAUUAUAGAAAAUCCAUACAUGAACAAUUCUUUGAAUCCAAUGCGCUCAUCAUGGCAUUGCUUAAAGUCAUACUUUUGUACAGCAAAUAUCGCCAAUAAUAAAAUAUAUAUACUUUGAAUUAAGGUCGUACUUGUAUUGGCUUGAAACCUAAUAUGCAAAUUUAGUUACCAUUCUAGUCGAACAAAAUCAUCUCUUAAAAUAAUAUUUCCUUUCAUGCAUACACAAUUUAUUUAACUUAUCAUUUCUAAACAUGCAUUUACAAAAAAUAAGUUAAAUAUAAUGUUAGGUUUGGAGAGCACGAAUAGGUUAGAAAUUAAGCUAUAUAGCUUGAAUAUGCACCUAAUAAUACUAGGCAUCAAAUCGCAAUCUUAUUAUCAUAACUUAUUUACCAUUAUAGUUCGAUAAAUUGAUUUGUUUACAAAAUUCAUGCAUGAACAAUUCGUUGAAUCCAACCUCACCAAGAUGUGCAAUCAUAGAAAAUAGUUUUCAAAUUCACCUAUAUAUAUUGUAGUCUUUUUAAAAACUUGUGACUCCGAAUUCAAGUUUUAUACCACGUACAAACCUAUAAUCCUUCCUUGCCUUCAACAAAUUGAAUAGAUAUGGAGAAAGGUUCAUUCAAGUCAGCUUUCCUCAUUGUGUUCCUUCUUGUUUCAUAUAAUGGUAAAAUACUUCUCUCAAUUUUUAAUUUUGUUACAAUGAAAGAGAAAUUUAUUCUUGACAUACUAUCAUCCAAACGUUAAUCCUAACAACCUAGGCUAACCUCAGGGGCUGACUUCUUUGAACAAUACAACUGCAUAUAGGCAUUUUUUUCUCCAACCUGGUUGACUUCACUUAUUUUGAAAAUGUGUAUAUGUCCUUGAUACAUCGUUAAAAUUGUAUAAUUUAACCUAACAGUUGUCGAUAUUUUCAGCCAUAAAGUAGAGUUUAAGUGUAUAUUUUUGUAACGUAAACUUAUGCAUAACGCAGUAUGUUCACAAUAAAGGCAAAACACAGUUUUAUUAUGAAUUAUGGAAAUAUUAAUUGUGGUAGGUGUGCAAUUUGGAGCCGAAGCAAGAGGUCCAGUUACUCGUUAUCCGUGCCAAACAUCUGCUCUAUGCGGCCCAUGCACAUGCGUCGAGAAUUGGUGUAAGUGUCCGCCAGAUAAAAUAUCGAAGUUCAUUCUUCAAGACAUCUCUACACACCCGCAAGCACAGAAGGAAAUACCAUAAUCAGCGCUACUUGAUACAUCAAUAUAUAGCAUAUACUUAUGAAGUGCACCAAAAAUCUUAUGUUCUCCCAAUAUGUUCGUUAAAUGUUUGAGUGGAUAAUAAAUAACAUCACCUUCUUACUUAUGGCUUACUUGGUUUGAAUUUUUUUAUAUUUCAUAAUACUGUGAUGAUAAAGGUGUGGUACACGAGCAAACAGUGAAGUGAUUCUAAAUUACCGAACACAACGAAAAAAAGUAAUUGAAAUAGUGUAACACCAAACAAUUUUCGCUAAUUCGGCGACAACAUGAAAUUCAAAAGUUUAUAAGUAAUAGUCUUCUAUUCUCAAACUGUUGUAGUAAAUAUGGCAAAUACAAGUGAUGGUUCUGAAUGACCUCUUUUAAUCACCUGAAAAACAAAUAAAGUUGCACAGAUAAGGAUUACAACGAAGUUAACGAAUAUAAAAUUCUUUACUGUGUGCUAAAUAUGAUUAUUUCUUACUAAUUUCGUGUUCGAUCCACCGAAUAACAUGAAAGAAUUAAAGUUUUAAAAAACAAUAUGUCUUUGUUGUCAUUUUUAUUUUAUUUUAUCACCACAUAACUCUGUUUUAAAAAAACUAGUAUCUCUUUCGCACACAAAAAAUUGGUAAACGAGUUCGGCAACGUAGAGUUUUUGUAUUUUAAAAAAUGUACCAUCAAGGUCCAUUAAUUCGAUAAUAUAUUGGGAUUUGAUUCUGGCCUUAGUUUCAGUAACAUAAUAUUGAGAAAUCGAAAUUCCAACCUACCGUGGUUUCAUCACAGAUUUACUAAAGUUCAUACUUACGUACCAACAAAGAACGCCGUCCUUGGAGUCAAUAAUUGCAAGUUGUACUCGUUUAGGUUGCCAAGUUAUUUAUGGCAUGAAACAUAAUAUGUCAAUUUAGUUACCGUUUUGUUCAACAAAUUAAUCUCUGGAAAAAAAAAAAUCCAUUCACGAAUACGCAAUUUAUAGGAUUUAUAGUUAUGUACACAUGUACAUGUGAAAAUUAAGUUACAUAUAUUCGACAGUUUGGAAAGCACUGGUAACUUAGAAAUUUAAGUUAUAUUGUUUCAAUAAUUUCAAGCCACUAAUUAUAUAAGGAAUAAAAUCGAAAUCUUAUUAUGCCAAUUUAUUUACCAUUAUAGUUCGAUACAUUGAUUUUUUAUUAUAGAAAAUCCAUACAUGAACAAUUCUUUGAAUCCAAUGCACUCGUCAUGGCGUUGCUUAAAGUCAUACUUUUGUACAGCAAAUAAAGCCAUUAAUAAAAUAUAUAUAUAUACUUUGAAUUAAGGUCGUACUUGUUUUGGCUUGAAACCUAAUAUGCUAAUUUAGUUACCAUUCUGGUCGAACAAAUUCAUCUCUUAAAAUAAUUUUUCCUUUCAUGAAUACACAAUUUAUUUAACUUACCAUUUCUAAACAUGCAUUUACAAAAAAUAAGUUACAUAUAAUCUUAGGUUUGGAGGGCACAAAAAAGUUAGAAAUUGAGCUAUAUACCUUGAAUAUGCACCUAAUUAUACUAGGCAUCAAAUCGCAAUCUUAGUAUCAUAACUUAUUUACCACUAUAGUUCGAUAAAUUGAUUUGUUUACAAAAUUCAUGCAUGAACAAUUCGUUGAAUCCAACCUCACCGAGAUGUGCAAUCAUAGAACAUAGUUUUCAAAUUCACCUAUAUAUGUUGUAGUCUUUUUAAAAACUAGUGACUCCGAAUUCAAGUUUUAUACCACGUACAAACCCAUAAUCCUUCCUUGCCUUCAACAAAUUGAAUAGAUAUGGAGAAAGGUUCAUUCAAGUCAGCUUUCCUCAUUGUGCUCCUUCUUGUUUCAUAUAAUGGUAAAAUACUUCUCUCAAUUUUUAUUUUUGUGACAAUGAAAGAGAAAUUUAUUCUUGACAUACUAUAAUCCGAACGUUAAUCCUAACAACCUAGGCUAACCUCUGGGGCUGACUUCUUUGAACAAUACAACUGCAUAUAGGAAUUUUUUUCUCCAACCUGGUUGACCUCACUUAUUUUGAAAAUGUGUAUAUGUCCUUGAUACAUCGUUAAAAUUAUAUACUUUAACCUAACAAUUGUCGAUAUUUUCAACCAUAAAGUCGAGUUUAAGUGUAUAUUUUUGUAACGUAAACUUAAGCAUAAAGCAGUAUGUUCAAAAUAAAGGCAAAAAACAGUUUUAUUAUGAAUUAUGGUAAUAUUAAUUGUGGUAGGUGUGCAAUUUGGAGCCGAAGCAAGAGGUCCAGUUACUCGUUAUCCGUGCCAAACAUCUGCUCUAUGCGGCCCAUGCACAUGCGUCGAGAAUUGGUGUAAGUGUCCGCCAGAUAAAAUAUCGAAGUUCAUUCUUCAAGACAUCUCUACACACCCGCAAGCACAGAAGGAAAUGCCAUAAUCAGCGCUACUUGAUACAUCAAUAUAUAGCAUAUACUUAUGACGUGCACCAAAAAUCUUAUGUUCUCCCAAUAUGUUCGUUAAAUGUUUGAACGGAUAAUAAAUAACAUCACCUCCUUACUUACAGUUUACGUGGUUUGAAUUUUUUUAUCUUUGAUAAUACUGUGACGAUAAAGGUGUGGUACACGAGCAAACAGUGAAGUGAUUCUAAAUUACCGAACACAACGAAAAAAAGUAAUUGAAAUUGUGUAACACCAAACAAUUUUCGCUAAUUAGGCGACAACAUGAAAUUCAAAAGUUUAUAAGUAACGGUCUUCUAUUCUCAAACUGUUGUAGUAAAUAUGGCAAUUAUAAGUGAUGGUUCUGAAUGACCUCUUUUAAUCACUUGAAAAACAGAUAAAGUUGUACAGAUAAGGAUUACAACGAAGUUAACUAAUAUAAAAUAAUUGUAUAUUUUAGUUUCAAGCACGUAGUUCUAAAUCUCAAAACAAGUAAAUAUUACUAAUUUCUUUAGUGUGUGCAAAAUAUGAUUCUUUCUUACUAAUUUCGUGUUCGAUCCACUGAAUAACACGAAAGAAUUAAAGUUGUCAAAAACAAUAUCUCUUUUGUUGUCAUUUUUAUUUUAUUUUAUCACCACAUAACUCUGUUUUAAAUAAACUAGUAUCUCUUUCGCAUACAAAUAAUUGGUAAACGAGUUCGGCAACGUAGCGUUUUUGUAUUUUAAAAAAUGUACCAUCAAGGUCCAUUAAUUCGAUAAUAUAUUGGGAUUUGAUUCUGGCCUUAGUUUCGGUAAGAUAAUAUUGAGUAAUCGAAAUUCCAAUCUACCGUGGUUCCAUCACAGAUUUACUAAAGUUCAUACUUACGUACCAACAAACAACGCCGUCCUUGGAGUCAUGUAUACUUUAAUUGCAAGUUGUACUCGUUUAGGUUUCCAAGUUAUUUAUGGCAUGAAACAUAAUAUGUGAAUUUAGUUACCGUUUUGUUCAACAAAUUAAUCUCUGGAAAAAAAAAAAAAUCCUUUCACGAAUACGCAAUUUAUAGGAUUUAUAGUUAUGUACACAUGUACAUGUGAAAAUUAAGUUACAUAUAUUCGACAGUUUGGAAAGCACUGGUAACUUAGAAAUUUAAGUUAUAUUGUUUCAAUAAUUUCAAGCCACUAAUUAUAUAAGGAAUAAAAGCGAAAUCCGAUUAUGCCAAUUCAUUUAUCAUUAUAGUUCAAUACAUUGAUUUUUUAUUAUAGAAAAUCCAUACAUGAACAAUUCUUUGAAUCCAAUGCGCUCGUCAUGGCGUUGCUUAAAGUCAUACUUUUGUACAGCAAAUAAAGCCAUUAAUAAAAUAUAUAUACUUUGAAUUAAGGUCGUACUUGUUUUGGCUUGAAACCUAAUAUGCUAAUUUAGUUACCAUUCUGAUCGAACAAAUUCAUCUCUUAAAAUAAUAUUUCCUUUCAUGAAUGCACAAUUUAUUUAACUUACCAUUUCUAAACGUGCAUUUACAAAAAAUAAGUUACAUACAAUCUUAGGUUUGGUGAGCACAAAUAAGUUAGAAAUUAAGCUAUAUGGCUUGAAUAUGCACCUAAUUAGACUAGGCAUCAAAUCGCAAUCUUAUUAUCAUAACUUAUUUACCAUUAUAGUUCGAUAAAUUGAUUUGUUUACAAAAUUCAUGCAUGAACAAUUCGUUGAAUCCAACUUCACCGAGAUGUGCAAUCAUAGAACAUAGUUUUCAAAUUCACCAAUAUAUAUUGUAGUCUUUUUAAAAACUAGUGACACCGAAUUCAAGUUUUAUACCACGUACAAACCUAUAAUCCUUCCUUGCCUUCAACAAAUUGAAUAGAUAUGGAGAAAGGUUCAUUCAAGUCAGCUUUCCUCAUUGUGCUCCUUCUUGUUUCAUAUAAAGGUAAAAUACUUCUCUCAAUUUUUAUUUUUGUUACAAUGAAAGAGAAAUUUAUUCUUGACAUAAUAUAAUCCGAACGUUAAUCCUAACAACCUAGGCUAACCUCAGGGGCUGACUUCUUUGAACAAUAAAACUGCAUAUAGGAAUUUUUUUCUCCAACCUGGUUGACUUCACUUAUUUUGAAAAUGUGUAUAUGUCCUUGAUACCUCGUUAAAAUUAUAUACUUUAACCUAACAAUUGUCGAUAUUUUCAGCCAUAAAGUCGAGUUUAAGUGUAUAUUUUUGUAACGUAAACUUAUUCAUAAAGCAGUAUAUUCACAAUAAAGGCAAGAAACAGUUUUAUUAUGAAUUAUGGAAAUAUUAAUUGUGGUAGGUGUGCAAUUUGGAGCCGAAGCAAGAGGUCCAGUUACUCGUUAUCCGUGCCAAACAUCUGCUUUAUGCGGCCCGUGCACAUGCGUCGAGAAUUGGUGUAAGUGUCCGCCAGAUAAAAUAUCGAAGUUCAUUCUUCAAGACAUCUCUACACACCCGCAAGCACAUAAGGAAAUGCCAUAAUCAGCGCUACUUGAUACAUCAAUAUAUAGCAUAUACUUAUGACGUGCCCCAAAAAUCUUAUGUUCUCCCAAUAUGUUCGUUAAAUGUUUAAACGGAUAAUAAAUAACAUCACCUUCUUACUUAUAGCUUACUUGGUUUGAAUUUUUUUAUAUUUUCAUAAUACUGUGAUGAUAAAGGUGUGGUACACGAGCAAACAGUGAAGUGAUUCUAAAUUACCGAACACAACGAAAAAAAGUAAUUGAAAUAGUGUAACACCAAACAAUUUUCGCUAAUUAGGCGACAACAUGAAAUUCAGAAGUUUAUAAGUAACGGUCUUCUAUUCUCAAACUGUUGUAGUAAAUAUGGCAAUUAUAAGUGAUGGUUCUGAAUGACCUCUUUUAAUCACUUGAAAAACAGAUAAAGUUGUACAGAUAAGGAUUACAACGAAGUUAACUAAUAUAAAAUAAUUGUAUAUUUUAGUUUCAAGCACGUAGUUCUGAAUCUCAAAACAAGUGAAUAUUACUAAUUUCUUUAGUGUGUGCUAAAUAUGAUUCUUUCUUACUAAUUUCGUGUUCGAUCCACUGAAUAACACGAAAGAAUUAAAGUUGUCAAAAACAAUAUCUCUUUUGUUGUCAUUUUUAUUUUUUUUUAUCACCACAUAACUCUGUUUUAAAUAAACUAGUAUCUCUUUCGCAUACAAAUAAUUGGUAAACGAGUUCGGCAACGUAGCGUUUUUGUAUUUUAAAAAAUGUACCAUCAAGGUCCAUUAAUUCGAUAAUAUAUUGGGAUUUGAUUCUGGCCUUAGUUUCGGUAAGAUAAUAUUGAGUAAUCGAAAUUCCAAUCUACCGUGGUUCCAUCACAGAUUUACUAAAGUUCAUACUUACGUACCAACAAACAACGCCGUCCUUGGAGUCAUAUAUACUUUAAUUGCAAGUUGUACUCGUUUAGGUUGCCAAGUUAUUUAUGGCAUGAAACAAAAUAUGUCAAUUUAGUUACCGUUUUGUUCAACAAAUUAAUCUCUGAAAAAAAAAAAAAAUCCUUUCACGAAUACGCAAUUUAUAGGAUUUAUAGUUAUGUACACAUGUGCAUGUGAAAAUUAAGCUACAUAUAUUCGACAGUUUGGAAAGCACUGGUAACUUAGAAAUUGAAGUUAUAUUGUUUCAAUAAUUUAAAGCCACUAAUUAUAUAAGGAAUAAAAUCGAAAUCUUAUUAUGCCAAUUUAUUUACCAUUAUAGUUCGAUACAUUGAUUUUUUAUUAUAGAAAAUCCAUACAUGAACAAUUCUUUGAAUCCAAUGCGCUCAUCAUGGCAUUGCUUAAAGUCAUACUUUUGUACAGCAAAUAUCGCCAAUAAUAAAAUAUAUAUACUUUGAAUUAAGGUCGUGCUUGUUUUGGCUUGAAACCUAAUAUGCUCAUUUAGUUACCAUUACAGAAUCAUCUCUUAAAAUAAUAUUUCCUUUCAUGAAUACACAAUUUGUUUAACUUACCAUUUCUAAACAUGCAUUUACAAAAAAUAAGUUACAUAUAAUCUUAGGUUUGGAGAGCACAAAUAAGUUAGAAAUUAAGCUAUAUGGCUUGAAUAUGCACCUAAUUAUACUAGGCAUCAAAUCGCAAUCUUAUUAUCAUAACUUAUUUACCACUAUAGUUCGAUAAAUUGAUUUUGUUUACCAAAUUCAUGCAUGAACAAUUCGUUGAAUCCAACCUCACCGAGAUGUGCAAUCGUAGAACAUAGUUUUCAAAUUCACCUAUAUAUAUUGUAGUCUUUUUAAAAACUAGUGACUCCGAAUUCAAGUUUUAUACCACGUACAAACUUAUAAUCCUUCCUUGCCUUCAACAAAUUGAAUAGAUAUGGAGAAAGGUUCAUUCAAGUCAGCUUUCCUCGUUGUGCUCCUUCUUGUUUCAUAUAAUGGUAAAAUACUUCUCUCAAUUUUUCUUUUUGUUACAAUGAAAGAGAAAUUUAUUCUUGACAUAAUAUAAUCCGAACAUUAAUCCUAACAACCUAGGCUAAGCUCAGGGGCUGACUUCUUUGAACAAUAAAACUGCAUAUAGGAAUUUUUUUCUCGAACCUGGUUGACUUCACUUAUUUUGAAAAUGUGUAUAUGUCCUUGAUACCUCGUUAAAAUUAUAUACUUUAACCUAACAAUUGUCGAUAUUUUCAGCCAUAAAGUCGAGUUUAAGUGUAUAUUUUUGUAACGUAAACUUAUGCAUAAAGCAGUAUAUUCAUAAUAAAGGCAAGAAACAGUUUUAUUAUGAAUUAUGGAAUAUUAAUUGUGGUAGGUGUGCAAUUUGGAGCCGAAGCAAGAGGUCCAGUUACUCGUUAUCCGUGCCAAACAUCUGCUCUAUGCGGCCCAUGCACAUGCGUCGAGAAUUGGUGUAAGUGUCCGCCAGAUAAAGUAUCGAAGUUCAUUCUUCAAGACAUUUCUACACAUCCGCAAGCACAGAAGGAAAUGCCAUAAUCAGCGCUACUUGAUACAUCAAUAUUUAGCAUAUACUUAUGACGUGCACCAAAAAUCUUAUGUUCUCCCAAUAUGUUCGUUAAAUGUUUGAACGGAUAAUAAAUAACAUCACCUUCUUACUUAUAGUUUACUUGGUUUGAAUUUUUUUAUCUUUGAUAAUACUGUGAUGAUAAACGUGUGGUACACAGGCAAACAGUGAAGUGAUUCUAAAUUACCGAACACAACGAAAAAAAGUAAUUGAAAUAGUGUAACACCAAACAAUUUUCGCUAAUUAGGCCACAACAUGAAAUUCAAAAGUUUAUAAGUAACGGUCUUCUAUUCUCAAACUGUUGUAGUAAAUAUGGCAAAUAUAAGUGAUGGUUCUGAAUGACCUCUUUUAAUCACUUGAAAAACAGAUAAAGUUGUACAGAUAAGGAUUACAACGAAGUUAACUAAUAUAAAAUAAUUGUAUAUUUUAGUUUCAAGCACGUAGUUCUGAAUCUCAAAACAAGUAAAUAUUACUAAUUUCUUUAGUGUGUGCUAAAUAUGAUUCUUUCUUACUAAUUCCGUGUUCGAUCCACUGAAUAACACGAAAGAAUUAAAGUUGUCAAAAACAAUAUCUCUUUUGUUGUCAUUUUUAUUUUAUUUUAUCACCACAUAACUCUGUUUUAAAUAAACUAGUAUCUCUUUCGCAUACAAAUAAUUGGUAAACGAGUUCGGCAACGUAGCGUUUUUGUAUUUUAAAAAAUGUACCAUCAAGGUCCAUUAAUUCGAUAAUAUAUUGGGAUUUGAUUCUGGCCUUAGUUUCGGUAAGAUAAUAUUGAGAAAUCAAAAUUCCAAUCUACCAUGGUUCCAUAAUAUGGCAUGAAACGUAAUAUGUCAAUUUGGUUACCGUUUAGUUCAACAAAUUAAUCUCUGGAAAAAAAAAAAAAAAAAAAAAAACCUUUCACGCAAUUUAUAGGAUUUAUAGUUAUGUACACAUGUACAUGUGAAAAUUAAGUUACAUAUAUUCGACAGUUUGGAAAGCACUGGUAACUUAGAAAUUGAAGUUAUAUUGAUUCAAUAAUUUAAAGCCACAAAUUAUUUAAGGAAUAAAAUCGCAAUCUUAUUAUGCCAAUUUAUUUACCAUUAUAGUUCGAUACAUAGAUUUGUUAUUAUAUAAAAUCCAUACAUGAACAAUUCUUUGAAUCCAAUGCGCUCCUCAUGGCGUUGCUUAAAGUCAUACUUUUGUACAGCAAAUAACGCCAAUAAUAAAAUAUAUAUACUUUGAAUUAAGGUCGUACUUGUUUUAGCUUGAAACCUAAUAUGCUAAUUUAGUUACCAUUCUGGUCGAACAAAUUCAUCUCUUAAAAUAAUACUUCCUUUCAUGAAUACACAUAACUUACCAUUUCUAAAUAUGCAUUUACAAAAAAUAAGUUACAUAUAAUCUUAGGUUUGGAGAGCACGAAUAAGUUAGAAAUUAAGCUAUAUAGCUUGAAUAUGCACUUAAUUAUACUAGGCAUCAAAUCGCAAUCUUAUUAUCAUAACUUAUCUACCAUUAUAGUUCGAUAAAUUGAUUUGUUUCAAAAAUUCAUGCAUGAACAAUUCGUUGAAUCCAACCUCACCAAGAUGUGCAAUCAUAGAAAAUAGUUUUCAAAUUCACCUAUAUAUAUUGUAGUCUUUUUAAAAACUAGUGACUCCGAAUUCAAGUUUUAUACCACGUACAAACCUAUAAUCCUUCCUUGCCUUCAACAAAUUGAAUAGAUAUGGAGAAAGGUUCAUUCAAGUCAGCUUUCCUCAUUGUGCUCCUUCUUGUUUCAUAUAAUGGUAAAAUACUUCUCUCAAUUUUUAAUUUUGUUACAAUGAAAGAGAAAUUUAUUCUUGACAUACUAUAAUCCAAACGUUAAUCCUAACAACCUAGGCUAACCUCAGGGGCUGACUUCUUUGAACAAUACAACUGCAUAUAGGCAUUUUUUUCUCCAACCUGGUUGACUUCACUUAUUUUGAAAAUGUGUAUAUGUCCUUGAUACCUCGUUAAAAUUAUAUACUUUAACCUAACAAUUGUCGAUAUUUUCAGCCAUAAAGUCGAGUUUAAGUGUAUAUUUUUGUAACGUAAACUUAUUCAUAAAGCAGUAUAUUCACAAUAAAGGCAAGAAACAGUUUUAUUAUGAAUUAUGGAAAUAUUAAUUGUGGUAGGUGUGCAAUUUGGAGCCGAAGCAAGAGGUCCAGUUACUCGUUAUCCGUGCCAAACAUCUGCUUUAUGCGGCCCGUGCACAUGCGUCGAGAAUUGGUGUAAGUGUCCGCCAGAUAAAAUAUCGAAGUUCAUUCUUCAAGACAUCUCUACACACCCGCAAGCACAUAAGGAAAUGCCAUAAUCAGCGCUACUUGAUACAUCAAUAUAUAGCAUAUACUUAUGACGUGCCCCAAAAAUCUUAUGUUCUCCCAAUAUGUUCGUUAAAUGUUUGAAUGGAUAAUAAAUAACAUCACCUUCUUACUUAUAGUUUACUUGGUUUGAAUAUUUUUAUAUUUCAUAAUGUUGUGAUGAUAAAGGUGUGGUACACGAGAAAACAGUGAAGUGAUUCUAAAUUACCGAACACAACGAAAAAAAGGCAAUUGAAAUAGUGUAACACCUAACAAUUUUUGCUAAUUAGGCGACAACAUGAAAUUCAAAAGUUUAUAAGAAAUAGUCUUCUAUUCUCAAACUGUUGUUGUAAAUAAGGCAAAUAUAAGUGAUGGUUCUGAAUGACCUCUUUUAAUCACUUGAAAAACAUAUAAAGUUGUAUAGAUAAGGAUUACAACGAAGUUAACUAAUAUAAAAUAAUUAUAUAUUUUAGUCUCAAGCACGUAGUUCUGAAUCCUAAAACAAGUAACUAUUACUAAUUUCUUUAGUGUGUGCUAAAUAUGAUUAUUUCUUACUAAUUUCGUGUUUGAUCCACCGAAUAAUAGGAAAGAAUUAAAGUUUUUAGAAACAAUAUCUCUUUGGUUGUCAUUUUUAUUUUAUUUUAUCACCACAUAACUCUGUUUUAAAAAAACUAGUAUCUCUUUCGCAUACAAAUAAUUGGUAAACGAAUUCGGCAACGUAGCGUUUUUGUAUUUUAAAAAAUGUACCAUCAAGGUCCAUUAAUUCGAUAAUAUAUUGGGAUUUGAUUCUGGCCUUAGUUUCAGUAAGAUAAUAUUGAGAAAUCGAAAUUCCAAUCUACCGUGGUUCCAUCACAGAUUUACUAAAGUUCAUACUUACGUACCAACAAACAACGCCGUCCUUGGAGUCAUAUAUACUUAAUUGCAAGUUUUACUCGUUUAGGUUGCCAAGUUAUUUAUGGCAUGAAACAAAAUAUGUCAAUUUAGUUACCGUUUUGUUCAACAAAUUAAUCUCUGAAAAAAAAAAAAAAAAAUCCUUUCACGAAUACGCAAUUUAUAGGAUUUAUAGUUAUGUACACAUGUGCAUGUGAAAAUUAAGCUACAUAUAUUCGACAGUUUGGAAAGCACUGGUAACUUAGAAAUUGAAGUUAUAUUGUUUCAAUAAUUUAAAGCCACUAAUUAUAUAAGGAAUAAAAUCGAAAUCUUAUUAUGCCAAUUUAUUUACCAUUAAAGUUCGAUACAUUGAUUUUUUAUUAUAGAAAAUCCAUACAUGAACAAUUCUUUGAAUCCAAUGCGCUCAUCAUGGCAUUGCUUAAAGUCAUACUUUUGUACAGCAAAUAUCGCCAAUAAUAAAAUAUAUAUACUUUGAAUUAAGGUCGUACUUGUAUUGGCUUGAAACCUAAUAUGCAAAUUUAGUUACCAUUCUAGUCGAACAAAAUCAUCUCUUAAAAUAAUAUUUCCUUUCAUGCAUACACAAUUUAUUUAACUUAUCAUUUCUAAACAUGCAUUUACAAAAAAUAAGUUAAAUAUAAUGUUAGGUUUGGAGAGCACGAAUAGGUUAGAAAUUAAGCUAUAUAGCUUGAAUAUGCACCUAAUAAUACUAGGCAUCAAAUCGCAAUCUUAUUAUCAUAACUUAUUUACCAUUAUAGUUCGAUAAAUUGAUUUGUUUACAAAAUUCAUGCAUGAACAAUUCGUUGAAUCCAACCUCACCAAGAUGUGCAAUCAUAGAAAAUAGUUUUCAAAUUCACCUAUAUAUAUUGUAGUCUUUUUAAAAACUUGUGACUCCGAAUUCAAGUUUUAUACCACGUACAAACCUAUAAUCCUUCCUUGCCUUCAACAAAUUGAAUAGAUAUGGAGAAAAGGUUCAUUCAAGUCAGCUUUCCUCAUUGUGUUCCCUCCUUGUUUCAUAUAAUGGUAAAAUACUUCUCUCAAUUUUUAUUUUGUUACAAUGAAGAGAAAAAUAUUCUUGACAUAAUAUAAUCCGAACGUUAAUCCUAACAACCUAGGCUAACCUCUGGGGCUGACUUCUUUGAACAAUACAACUGCAUAUAGUAAUUUUUUUCUCCAACCUGGUUGACCUCACUUAUUUUGAAAAUGUGUAUAUGUCCUUGAUACAUCGUUAAAAUUAUAUACUUUAACCUAACAAUUGUCGAUAUUUUCAACCAUAAAGUCGAGUUUAAGUGUAUAUUUUUGUAACGUAAACUUAAGCAUAAAGCAGUAUGUUCAAAAUAAAGGCAAAAAACAGUUUUAUUAUGAAUUAUGGAAAUAUUAAUUGUGGUAGGUGUGCAAUUUGGAGCCGAAGCAAGAGGUCCAGUUACUCGUUAUCCGUGCCAAACAUCUGCUCUAUGCGGCCCAUGCACAUGCGUCGAGAAUUGGUGUAAGUGUCCGCCAGAUAAAAUAUCGAAGUUCAUUCUUCAAGACAUCUCUACACACCCGCAAGCACAGAAGGAAAUGCCAUAAUCAGCGCUACUUCAUACAUCAAUAUAUAGCAUAUACUUAUGAAGUGCACCAAAAAUCUUAUGUUCUCCCAAUAUGUUCGUUAAAUGUUUGAGUGGAUAAUAAAUAACAUCACCUUCUUACUUAUGGCUUACUUGGUUUGAAUUUUUUUAUAUUUCAUAAUACUGUGAUGAUAAAGGUGUGGUACACGAGCAAACAGUGAAGUGAUUCUAAAUUACCGAACACAACGAAAAAAAGUAAUUGAAAUAGUGUAACACCAAACAAUUUUCGCUAAUUAGGCGACAACAUGAAAUUCAGAAGUUUAUAAGUAACGGUCUUCUAUUCUCAAACUGUUGUAGUAAAUAUGGCAAUUAUAAGUGAUGGUUCUGAAUGACCUCUUUUAAUCACUUGAAAAACAGAUAAAGUUGUACAGAUAAGGAUUACAACGAAGUUAACUAAUAUAAAAUAAUUGUAUAUUUUAGUUUCAAGCACGUAGUUCUGAAUCUCAAAACAAGUGAAUAUUACUAAUUUCUUUAGUGUGUGCUAAAUAUGAUUCUUUCUUACUAAUUUCGUGUUCGAUCCACUGAAUAACACGAAAGAAUUAAAGUUGUCAAAAACAAUAUUUCUUUUGUUGUCAUUUUUAUUUUAUUUUAUCACCACAUAACUCUGUUUUAAAUAAACUAGUAUCUCUUUCGCAUACAAAUAAUUGGUAAACGAGUUCGGCAACGUAGCGUUUUUGUAUUUUAAAAAAUGUACCAUCAAGGUCCAUUAAUUCGAUAAUAUAUUGGGAUUUGAUUCUGGCCUUAGUUUCGGUAAGAUAAUAUUGAGUAAUCGAAAUUCCAAUCUACCGUGGUUCCAUCACAGAUUUACUAAAGUUCAUACUUACGUACCAACAAACAACGCCGUCCUUGAAGUCAAUAAUUGCAAGUUGUACUCGUUUAGGUUUCCAAGUUAUUUAUGGCAUGAAACAUAAUAUGUUAAUUUAGUUACCGUUUUGUUCAACAAAUUAAUCUCUUGAAAAAAAAAAAAAAUCCUUUCACGAAUACGCAAUUUAUAGGAUUUAUAGUUAUGUACACAUGUACAUGUGAAAAUUAAGUUACAUAUAUUCGACAGUUUGGAAAGCACUGGUAACUUAGAAAUUUAAGUUAUAUUGUUUCAAUAAUUUCAAGCCACUAAUUAUAUAAGGAAUAAAAGCGAAAUCCGAUUAUGCCAAUUCAUUUACCAUUAUAGUUCAAUACAUUGAUUUUUUAUUAUAGAAAAUCCAUACAUGAACAAUUCUUUGAAUCCAAUGCGCUCGUCAUGGCGUUGCUUAAAGUCAUACUUUUGUACAGCAAAUAAAGCCAUUAAUAAAAUAUAUAUACUUUGAAUUAAGGUCGUACUUGUUUUGGCUUGAAACCUAAUAUGCUAAUUUAGUUACCAUUCUGAUCGAACAAAUUCAUCUCUUAAAAUAAUAUUUCCUUUCAUGAAUGCACAAUUUAUUUAACUUACCGGUUCUAAACGUGCAUUUACAAAAAAUAAGUUACACACAAUCUUUGGUUUGGUGAGCACAAAUAAGUUAGAAAUUAAGCUAUAUGGCUUGAAUAUGCACCUAAUUAGACUAGGCAUCAAAUCGCAAUCUUAUUAUCAUAACUUAUUUACCAUUAUAGUUCGAUAAAUUGAUUUGUUUACAAAAUUCAUGCAUGAACAAUUCGUUGAAUCCAACUUCACCGAGAUGUGCAAUCAUAGAACAUAGUUUUCAAAUUCACCUAUAUAUAUUGUAGUCUUUUUAAAAACUAGUGACACCGAAUUCAAGUUUUAUACCACGUACAAACCUAUAAUCCUUCCUUGCCUUCAACAAAUUGAAUAGAUAUGGAGAAAGGUUCAUUCAAGUCAGCUUUCCUCAUUGUGCUCCUUCUUGUUUCAUAUAAUGGUAAAAUACUUCUCUCAAUUUUUAUUUUUGUUACAAUGAAAGAGAAAUUUAUUCUUGACAUAAUAUAAUCCGAACGUUAAUCCUAACAACCUAGGCUAACCUCAGGGGCUGACUUCUUUGAACAAUAAAACUGCAUAUAGGAAUUUUUUUCUCCAACCUGGUUGACUUCACUUAUUUUGAAAAUGUGUAUAUGUCCUUGAUACCUCGUUAAAAUUAUAUAAUUUAACCUAACAAUUGUCGAUAUUUUCAGCCAUAAAGUAGAGUUUAAGUGUAUAUUUUUGUAACGUAAACUUAUGCAUAACACAGUAUGUUCACAAUAAAGGCAAAAAACAGUUUUAUUAUGAAUUAUCGAAAUAUUAAUUGUGGUAGGUGUGCAAUUUGGAGCCGAAGCAAGAGGUCCAGUUACUCGUUAACCAUGCCAAACAUCUGCUCUAUGCGGCCCAUGCACAUGCGUCGAGAAUUGGUGUAAGUGUCCGCCAGAUAAAAUAUCGAAGUUCAUUCUUCAAGACAUCUCUACACACCCGCAAGCACAUAAGGAAAUGCCAUAAUCAGCGCUACUCGAUACAUCAAUAUAUAGCAUAUACUUAUGACGUGCACCAAAAAUCUUAUAUUCUCCCAAUAUGUUCGUUAAAUGUUCGAAUGGAUAAUAAAUAACAUCACCUUCUUACUUAUAGCUUACUUGGUUUGAAUUUUUUUAUAUUUCAUAAUACUGUGAUGAUAAAAAGGUGUGGUACACGAGCAAACAGUGAAGUAAUUCUAAAUUACCGAACACAACGAAAAAAAGGCAAUUGAAAUAGUGUAACACCUAACAAUUUUCGCUAAUUAGGCGACAACAUGAAAUUCAAAAGUUUAUAAGAAAUAGUCUUCUAUUCUCAAACUGUUGUAGUAAAUAAGGCAAAUAUAUAAGUGAUGGUUCUGAAUGACCUCUUUUAAUCACUUGAAAAACAUAUAAAGUUGUACAGAUAAGGAUUACAACGAAGUUAACUAAUAUAAAAUAAUUGUAUAUUUUAGUUUCAAGCACGUAGUUCUGAAUCUCAAAACAAGUAAAUAUUACUAAUUUCUUUAGUGUGUGCUAAAUAUGAUUCUUUCUUACUAAUUCCGUGUUCCAAUCUACCGUGGUUCCAUCACAGAUUUACUAAAGUUCAUACUUACUUACCAACAAACAACGCCGUCCUUGGAGUCAUAUAUACUUUAAUUGCAAGUUGUACUCGUUUAGGUUGCCAAGUUAUUUAUGGCAUGAAACAAAAUAUGUCAAUUUAGUUACCGUUUUGUUCAACAAAUUAAUCUCUGAAAAAAAAAAAAAAUCCUUUCACGAAUACGCAAUUUAUAGGAUUUAUAGUUAUGUACACAUGUGCAUGUGAAAAUUAAGCUACAUAUAUUCGACAGUUUGGAAAGCACUGGUAACUUAGAAAUUGAAGUUAUAUUGUUUCAAUAAUUUAAAGCCACUAAUUAUAUAAGGAAUAAAAUCGAAAUCUUAUUAUGCCAAUUUAUUUACCAUUAUAGUUCGAUACAUUGAUUUUUUAUUAUAGAAAAUCCAUACAUCAACAAUUCUUUGAAUCCAAUGCGCUCAUCAUGGCAUUGCUUAAAGUCAUACUUUUGUACAGCAAAUAUCGCCAAUAAUAAAAUAUAUAUACUUUGAAUUAAGGUCGUACUUGUUUUGGCUUGAAACCUAAUAUGCUCAUUUAGUUACCAUUACAGAAUCAUCUCUUAAAAUAAUAUUUCCUUUCAUGAAUACACAAUUUGUUUAACUUACCAUUUCUAAACAUGCAUUUACAAAAAAUAAGUUACAUAUAAUCUUAGGUUUGGAUAGCACAAAUAAGUUAGAAAUUAAGCUAUAUGGCUUGAAUAUGCACCUAAUUAUACUAGGCAUCAAAUCGCAAUCUUAUUAUCAUAACUUAUUUACCACUAUAGUUCGAUAAAUUGAUUUGUUUACCAAAUUCAUGCAUGAACAAUUCGUUGAAUCCAACCUCACCGAGAUGUGCAAUCGUAGAACAUAGUUUUCAAAUUCACCUAUAUAUAUUGUAGUCUUUUUAAAAACUAGUGACUCCGAAUUCAAGUUUUAUACCACGUACAAACUUAUAAUCCUUCCUUGCCUUCAACAAAUUGAAUAGAUAUGGAGAAAGGUUCAUUCAAGUCAGCUUUCCUCGUUGUGCUCUUCUGUUUCAUAUAUGGUAAAUACUUCUCUCAAUUUUCUUUUUGUUACAAUGAAAGAGAAAUUUAUUCUUGACAUGAAUAUAAUCCGAACGUUAAUCCCUAACAACCUAGGUAAGCUUGGGGGGCUGACUUCUUUGAACAAUAAACUGCAUAUAGGAUUUUUUUUCUCGAACCUGGUUGACUUCACUUAUUUUGAAAAUGUGUAUAUGUCCUUGAACCAUCGUAAAAUAUAUACUUUAACCUAANNNNNNNNNNNNNNNNNNNNNNNNNNNNNNNNNNNNNNNNNNNNNNNNNNNNNNNNNNNNNNNNNNNNNNNNNNNNNNNNNNNNNNNNNNNNNNNNNNNNAGUGUAUAUUUUUGUACGUAAACUUAUGCAUAAAGCAGUAUAUUCAUAAUAAAGGCAAGAAACAGUUUUAUUAUGAAUUAUGGAAUAUUAAUUGUGGUAGGUGUGCAAUUUGGAGCCGAAGCAAGAGGUCCAGUUACUCGUUAUCCGUGCCAAACAUCUGCUCUAUGCGGCCCAUGCACAUGCGUCGAGAAUUGGUGUAAGUGUCCGCCAGAUAAAGUAUCGAAGUUCAUUCUUCAAGACAUUUCUACACAUCCGCAAGCACAGAAGGAAAUGCCAUAAUCAGCGCUACUUGAUACAUCAAUAUUUAGCAUAUACUUAUGACGUGCACCAAAAAUCUUAUGUUCUCCCAAUAUGUUCGUUAAAUGUUUGAACGGAUAAUAAAUAACAUCACCUUCUUACUUAUAGUUUACUUGGUUUGAAUUUUUUUAUCUUUGAUAAUACUGUGAUGAUAAACGUGUGGUACACAGGCAAACAGUGAAGUGAUUCUAAAUUACCGAACACAACGAAAAAAAGUAAUUGAAAUAGUGUAACACCAAACAAUUUUCGCUAAUUAGGCCACAACAUGAAAUUCAAAAGUUUAUAAGUAACGGUCUUCUAUUCUCAAACUGUUGUAGUAAAUAUGGCAAAUAUAAGUGAUGGUUCUGAAUGACCUCUUUUAAUCACUUGAAAAACAGAUAAAGUUGUACAGAUAAGGAUUACAACGAAGUUAACUAAUAUAAAAUAAUUGUAUAUUUUAGUUUCAAGCACGUAGUUCUAAAUCUCAAAACAAGUAAAUAUUACUAAUUUCUUUAGUGUGUGCAAAAUAUGAUUCUUUCUUACUAAUUUCGUGUUCGAUCCACUGAAUAACACGAAAGAAUUAAAGUUGUCAAAAACAAUAUCUCUUUUGUUGUCAUUUUUAUUUUAUUUUAUCACCACAUAACUCUGUUUUAAAUAAACUAGUAUCUCUUUCGCAUACAAAUAAUUGGUAAACGAGUUCGGCAACGUAGCGUUUUUGUAUUUUAAAAAAUGUACCGUCAAGGUCCAUUAAUUCGAUAAUAUAUUGGGAUUUGAUUCUGGCCUUAGUUUCGGUAAGAUAAUAUUGAGAAAUCGAAAUUCCAAUCUACCAUGGUUCCAUCACAGAUUUACUAAAGUUCAUACUUACGUACCAACAAACAACGCCGUCCUUGGAGUCAUGUAUACUUUAAUUGCAAGUUGUACUCGUUUAGGUUUCCAAGUUAUUUAUGGCAUGAAACAUAAUAUGUUAAUUUAGUUACCGUUUUGUUCAACAAAUUAAUCUCUGGAAAAAAAAAAAAAUCCUUUCACGAAUACGCAAUUUAUAGGAUUUAUAGUUAUGUACACAUGUACAUGUGAAAAUUAAGUUACAUAUAUUCGACAGUUUGGAAAGCACUGGUAACUUAGAAAUUUAAGUUAUAUUGUUUCAAUAAUUUCAAGCCACUAAUUAUAUAAGGAAUAAAAUCGAAAUCCGAUUAUGCCAAUUCAUUUACCAUUAUAGUUCCAUACAUUGAUUUUUUAUUAUAGAAAAUCCAUACAUGAACAAUUCUUUGAAUCCAAUGCGCUCGUCAUGGCGUUGCUUAAAGUCAUACUUUUGUACAGCAAAUAAAGCCAUUAAUAAAAUAUAUAUACUUUGAAUUAAGGUCGUACUUGUUUUGGCUUGAAACCUAAUAUGCUAAUUUAGUUACCAUUCUGAUCGAACAAAUUCAUCUCUUAAAAUAAUAUUUCCUUUCAUGAAUGCACAAUUUAUUUAACUUACCGGUUCUAAACGUGCAUUUACAAAAAAUAAGUUACACACAAUCUUUGGUUUGGUGAGCACAAAUAAGUUAGAAAUUAAGCUAUAUGGCUUGAAUAUGCACCUAAUUAGACUAGGCAUCAAAUCGCAAUCUUAUUAUCAUAACUUAUUUACCAUUAUAGUUCGAUAAAUUGAUUUGUUUACAAAAUUCAUGCAUGAACAAUUCGUUGAAUCCAACUUCACCGAGAUGUGCAAUCAUAGAACAUAGUUUUCAAAUUCACCUAUAUAUAUUGUAGUCUUUUUAAAAACUAGUGACACCGAAUUCAAGUUUUAUACCACGUACAAACCUAUAAUCCUUCCUUGCCUUCAACAAAUUGAAUAGAUAUGGAGAAAGGUUCAUUCAAGUCAGCUUUCCUCAUUGUGCUCCUUCUUGUUUCAUAUAAUGGUAAAAUACUUCUCUCAAUUUUUAUUUUUGUUACAAUGAAAGAGAAAUUUAUUCUUGACAUAAUAUAAUCCGAACGUUAAUCCGAACAACCUAGGCUAACCUCAGGGGCUGACUUCUUUGAACAAUAAAACUGCAUAUAGGAAUUUUUUUCUCCAACCUGGUUGACUUCACUUAUUUUGAAAAUGUGUAUAUGUCCUUGAUACAUCGUUAAAAUUAUAUAAUUUAACCUAACAAUUGUCGAUAUUUUCAGCCAUAAAGUAGAGUUUAAGUGUAUAUUUUUGUUUCGUAAACUUAUGCUUAAAGCAGUAUGUUCACAACAAAGGCAAAAAACAGUUUUAUUAUGAAUUAUGGAAAUAUUAAUUGUGGUAGGUGUGCAAUUUGGAGCCGAAGCAAGAGGUCCAGUUACUCGUUAUCCGUGCCAAACAUCUGCUUUAUGCGGCCCGUGCACAUGCGUCGAGAAUUGGUGUAAGUGUCUGCCAGAUAAAAUAUCGAAGUUCAUUCUUCAAGACAUCUCUACACAUCCGCAAGCACAGAAGGAAAUGUCAUAAUCAGCGCUACUUGAUACAUCAAUAUAUAGCAUAUACUUAUGACGUGCACCAAAAAUCUUAUGUUCUCCCAAUAUGUUCGUUAAAUGUUUGAACGGAUAAUAAAUAACAUCACCUUCUUACUUAUAGUUUACUUGGUUCGAAUUUUUUUUAUAUUUCAUAAUACUGUGAAUGAUAAAGGUGUGGUACACGAGCAACAGUGAAGUGAUUCUAAAUUACCGAACACAACGAAAAAAAGGCAAUUGAAUAGUGUAACACCAACAAUUUUCGCUAAUUAGGCGACAACAUGAAAUUCAAAAGUUUAUAAGUAACAGUCUUCUAUUCUCAAACUGUUGUAGUAAAUAUGGCAAAUAUAAGUGAUGGUUCUGAAUGACCUAUUUUAAUCACUUGAAAAACAGAUAAAGUUGUACAGAUAAGGAUUACAACGAAGUUAACUAAUAUAAAAUAAUUGUAUAUUUUAGUCUCAAGCACGUAGUUCUGAAUCCCAAAACAAGGAAAUAUUCCUAAUUUCUUCAGUGUGUGCUAAAUAUGAUUAUUUCUUACUAAUUUCGUGUUCGAUCCACUGAAUAACACGAAAGAUUUAAAGUUUUCAAAAACAAUAUCUCUUUGGUUGUCAUUUUUAUUUUAUUUUAUCACCACUCUGUUUUAAAUAAACUAGUAUCUCUUUCGCAUACAAAUAAUUGGUAAACGAGUUCGGCAACGUAGCGUUUUUGUAUUUUAAAAAAUGUACCAUCAAGGUCCAUUAAUUCGAUAAUAUAUUGGGAUUUGAUUCUGGCCUUAGUUUCAGUAAGAUAAUAUUGAGUAAUCGAAAUUCCAAUCUACCGUGGUUCCAUCACAGAUUUACUAAAGUUCAUACUUACGUACCAACAAACAACGCCGUCCUUGGAGUCAUGUAUACUUUAAUUGCAAGUUGUACUCGUUUAGGUUUCCAAGUUAUUUAUGGCAUGAAACAUAAUAUGUGAAUUUAGUUACCGUUUUGUUCAACAAAUUAAUCUCUGGAAAAAAAAAAAAAUCCUUUCACGAAUACGCAAUUUAUAGGAUUUAUAGUUAUGUACACAUGUACAUGUGAAAAUUAAGUUACAUAUAUUCGACAGUUUGGAAAGCACUGGUAACUUAGAAAUUUAAGUUAUAUUGUUUCAAUAAUUUCAAGCCACUAAUUAUAUAAGGAAUAAAAGCGAAAUCCGAUUAUGCCAAUUCAUUUAUCAUUAUAGUUCAAUACAUUGAUUUUUUAUUAUAGAAAAUCCAUACAUGAACAAUUCUUUGAAUCCAAUGCGCUCGUCAUGGCGUUGCUUAAAGUCAUACUUUUGUACAGCAAAUAAAGCCAUUAAUAAAAUAUAUAUACUUUGAAUUAAGGUCGUACUUGUUUUGGCUUGAAACCUAAUAUGCUAAUUUAGUUACCAUUCUGAUCGAACAAAUUCAUCUCUUAAAAUAAUAUUUCCUUUCAUGAAUGCACAAUUUAUUUAACUUACCAUUUCUAAACGUGCAUUUACAAAAAAUAAGUUACAUACAAUCUUAGGUUUGGUGAGCACAAAUAAGUUAGAAAUUAAGCUAUAUGGCUUGAAUAUGCACCUAAUUAGACUAGGCAUCAAAUCGCAAUCUUAUUAUCAUAACUUAUUUACCAUUAUAGUUCGAUAAAUUGAUUUGUUUACAAAAUUCAUGCAUGAACAAUUCGUUGAAUCCAACUUCACCGAGAUGUGCAAUCAUAGAACAUAGUUUUCAAAUUCACCUAUAUAUAUUGUAGUCUUUUUAAAAACUAGUGACACCGAAUUCAAGUUUUAUACCACGUACAAACCUAUAAUCCUUCCUUGCCUUCAACAAAUUGAAUAGAUAUGGAGAAAGGUUCAUUCAAGUCAGCUUUCCUCAUUGUGCUCCUUCUUGUUUCAUAUAAAGGUAAAAUACUUCUCUCAAUUUUUAUUUUUGUUACAAUGAAAGAGAAAUUUAUUCUUGACAUAAUAUAAUCCGAACGUUAAUCCUAACAACCUAGGGUAACCUUAGGGGCUGACUUCUUUGACAUAAAACUGCAUAAAGGAAUUUUUUUCUCCAACCUGGUUGACUUCACUUAUUUUGAAAAUGUGUAUAUGUCCUUGAUACCUCGUUAAAAUUAUAUACUUUAACCUAACAAUUGUCGAUAUUUUCAGCCAUAAAGUCGAGUUUAAGUGUAUAUUUUUGUAACGUAAACUUAUGCAUAAAGCAGUAUAUUCAUAAUAAAGGCAAGAAACAGUUUUAUUAUGAAUUAUGGAAAUAUUAAUUGUGGUAGGUGUGCAAUUUGGAGCCGAAGCAAGAGGUCCAGUUACUCGUUAUCCGUGCCAAACAUCUGCUCUAUGCGGCCCAUGCACAUGCGUCGAGAAUUGGUGUAAGUGUCCGCCAGAUAAAAUAUCGAAGUUCAUUCUUCAAGACAUCUCUACACAUCCGCAAGCACAGAAGGAAAUGCCAUAAUCAGCGCUACUCGAUACAUCAAUAUUUAGCAUAUACUUAUGACGUGCACCAAAAAUCUUAUGUUCUCCCAAUAUGUUCGUUAAAUGUUUGAACGGAUAAUAAAUAACAUCACCUUCUUACUUAUAGUUUACUUGGUUUGAAUUUUUUUAUCUUUGAUAAUACUGUGAUGAUAAAGGUGUGGUACACAGGCAAACAGUGAAGUGAUUCUAAAUUACCGAACACAACGAAAAAAAGUGAUUGAAAUAGUGUAACACCAAACAAUUUUCGCUAAUUAGGCGACAACAUGAAAUUCAAAAGUUUAUGAGUAACGGUCUUCUAUUCUCAAACUGUUGUAGUAAAUAUGGCAAAUAUAAGUGAUGGUUCUGAAUGACCUCUUUUAAUCACUUGAAAAACAGAUAAAGUUGUACAGAUAAGGAUUACAACGAAGUUAACUAAUAUAAAAUAAUUGUAUAUAAACUUAUGCUUAAAGCAGUAUGUUCACAACAAAGGCAAAAAACAGUUUUAUAAUGAAUUAUGGAAAUAUUAAUUGUGGUAGUGUGUGCUAAAUAUGAUUCUUUCUUACUAAUUUCGUGUUCGAUCCACUGAAUAACACGAAAGAAUUAAAGUUUUCAAAAACAAUAUCUCUUUGGUUGUCAUUUUUAUUUUAUUUUAUCACCACAUAACUCUGUUUUAAAUAAACUAGUAUCUCUUUCGCAUACAAAUAAUUGGUAAACGAGUUCGGCAACGUAGCGUUUUUGUAUUUUAAAAAAUGUACCAUCAAGGUCCAUUAAUUCGAUAAUAUAUUGGGAUUUGAUUCUGGCCUUAGUUUCGGUAAGAUAAUGUUGAGAAAUCGAAAUUCCAAUCUACCGUGGUUCCAACACAGAUUUACUAAAGUUCAUACUUAUGUACCAACAAACAACGCCGUCGUUGGAGUCAUAUAUACUUUAAUUGCAAGUUUUACUCGUUUAGGUUGCCACGUUAUUUAUGGCAUGAAACAAAAUAUGUCAAUUUAGUUACCGUUUUGUUCAACAAAUUAAUCUCUGAAAAAAAAAAAACAAAAUCCUUUCACGAAUACGCAAUUUAUAGGAUUUAUAGUUAUGUACACAUGUGCAUGUGAAAAUUAAGCUACAUAUAUGCGACAGUUUGGAAAGCACUGGUAACUUAGAAAUUGAAGUUAUAUUUUUUCAAUAAUUUAAAGCCACUAAUUAUAUAAGGAAUAAAAUCGCAAUCUUGUUAUGCCAAUUUAUUUACCAUUAUAGUUCGAUACAUUGAUUUUUUAUUAUAGAAAAUCCAUACAUGAACAACUUUGAAUCCAAUGCGCUCACAUCAUGGCGUUGCUUAAAGUCAUACUUUUGUACAGCAAAUAACGCCAAUAAUAAAAUAUAUAUACUUUGAAACCUAAUAUGCUAAUUUAGUUACCAUUCUGGUCGAACAAAUUCAUCUCUUAAAAUAAUUUUUCCUUUCAUGAAUACACAAUUUAUUUAACUUACCAUUUCUAAACAUGCAUUUACAAAAAAUAAGUUACAUACAAUCUUAGGUUUGGAGAGCACAAAUAAGUUAGAAAUUAAGCUAUAUGGCUUGAAUAUGCACCUAAUUAUACUAGGCAUCAACUCGCAAUCAUACUAUCAUAACUUAUUUACCAUUAUAGUUCGAUAAAUUGAUUUGUUUACAAAAUUCAUGCAUGAACAAUUCGUUGAAUCCAACCUCACCGAGAUGUGCAAUCAUAGAAAAUAGUUUUCAAAUUCACCUAUAUAUAUUGUAGUCUUUUUAAAAACUAGUGACUCCGAAUUCAAGUUUUAUACCACGUACAAACCCAUAAUCCUUCCUUGCCUUCAACAAAUUGAAUAGAUAUGGAGAAAGGUUCAUUCAAGUCAGCUUUCCUCAUUGUGCUCCUUCUUGUUUCAUAUAAUGGUAAAAUACUUCUCUCAAUUUUUAUUUUUGUUACAAUGAAAGAGAAAUUUAUUCUUGACAUAAUAUAAUCCGAACGUUAAUCCGAACAACCUAGGCUAACCUCAGGGGCUGACUUCUUUGAACAAUAAAACUGCAUAUAGGAAUUUUUUUCUCCAACCUGGUUGACUUCACUUAUUUUGAAAAUGUGUAUAUGUCCUUGAUACAUCGUUAAAAUUAUAUAAUUUAACCUAACAAUUGUCGAUAUUUUCAGCCAUAAAGUAGAGUUUAAGUGUUUGUAACGUAAACUUAUGCNNNNNNNNNNNNNNNNNNNNNNNNNNNNNNNNNNNNNNNNNNNNNNNNNNNNNNNNNNNNNNNNNNNNNNNNNNNNNNNNNNNNNNNNNNNNNNNNNNNNAGGUGUGCAAUUUGGAGCCAAAGCAAGAGGUCCAGUUACUCGUUAUCCGUGCCAAACAUCUGCUCUAUGCGGCCCAUGCACAUGCGUCGAGAAUUGGUGUAAGUGUCCGCCAGAUAAAAUAUCGAAGUUCAUUCUUCAAGACAUCUCUACACACCCGCAAGCACAGAAGGAAAUGCCAUAAUCAGCGCUACUUCAUACAUCAAUAUAUAGCAUAUACUUAUGAAGUGCACCAAAAAUCUUAUGUUCUCCCAAUAUGUUCGUUAAAUGUUUGAGUGGAUAAUAAAUAACAUCACCUUCUUACUUAUGGCUUACUUGGUUUGAAUAUUUUUAUAUUUCAUAAUACUGUGAUGAUAAAGGUGUGGUACACGAGCAAACAGUGAAGUGAUUCUAAAUUACCGAAAACAACGAAAAAAAAGUAAUUGAAAUAGUGUAACCCCUAACAAUUUUCGCAAAUUAGGCGACAACAUGAAAUUCAGAAGUUUAUAAGAAAUAGUCUACUAUUCUCAAACUGUUGUAGUAAAUAUGGAACAUAUAAGUGAUGGUUCUGAAUGAUGUCUUUUAAUCACUUGAAAAACAGAUAAAGUUGUAUAGAUAAGGAUUACAACGAAGUUAACGAAUAUAAAAUUCUUUACUGUGUGCUAAAUAUGAAUAUUUCUUACUAAUUUCGUGUCCGAUCCACCGAAUAACAUGAAAGAAUUAAAGUUUUAAAAAACAAUAUCUCUUUGUUGUCAUCUUUAUUUUAUUUUAUCACCGCAUAACUCUGUUUUAAAAAAACUAGUAUCUCUUUCGCACACAAAAAAUUGGUAAACGAGUUCGGCAACGUAGAGUUUUUUGUAUUUUAAAAAAUGUACCAUCAAGGUCCAUUAAUUCGAUAAUAUAUUGGGAUUUGAUUCUGGCCUUAGUUUCAGUAACAUAAUAUUGAGAAAUCGAAAUUCCAACCUACCGUGGUUUCAUCACAGAUUUACUAAAGUUCAUACUUACGUACCAACAAAGAACGCCGUCCUUGGAGUCAAUAAUUGCAAGUUGUACUCGUUUAGGUUGCCAAGUUAUUUAUGGCAUGAAACAUAAUAUGUCAAUUUAGUUACCGUUUUGUUCAACAAAUUAAUCUCUGGAAAAAAAAAAAUCCAUUCACGAAUACGCAAUUUAUAGGAUUUAUAGUUAUGUACACAUGUACAUGUGAAAAUUAAGUUACAUAUAUUCGACAGUUUGGAAAGCACUGGUAACUUAGAAAUUUAAGUUAUAUUGUUUCAAUAAUUUCAAGCCACUAAUUAUAUAAGGAAUAAAAUCGAAAUCUUAUUAUGCCAAUUUAUUUACCAUUAUAGUUCGAUACAUUGAUUUUUUAUUAUAGAAAAUCCAUACAUGAACAAUUCUUUGAAUCCAAUGCACUCGUCAUGGCGUUGCUUAAAGUCAUACUUUUGUACAGCAAAUAAAGCCAUUAAUAAAAUAUAUAUAUAUACUUUGAAUUAAGGUCGUACUUGUUUUGGCUUGAAACCUAAUAUGCUAAUUUAGUUACCAUUCUGGUCGAACAAAUUCAUCAGUUAAAAUAAUAUUUCCUUUCAUGAAUACACAAUUUAUUUAACUUACCAUUUCUAAACAUGCAUUUACAAAAAAUAAGUUACAUAUAAUCUUAGGUUUGGAGGGCACAAAUAAGUUAGAAAUUGAGCUAUAUACCUUGAAUAUGCACCUAAUUAUACUAGGCAUCAAAUCGCAAUCUUAUUAUCAUAACUUAUUUACCAUUAUAGUUCGAUAAAUUGAUUUGUUUACAAAAUUCAUGCAUGAACAAUUCGUUGAAUCCAACCUCACCGAGAUGUGCAAUCAUAGAAAAUAGUUUUCAAAUUCACCUAUAUAUAUUGUAGUCUUUUUAAAAACUAGUAACUCCGAAUUCAAGUUUUAUACCACGUACAAACCCAUAAUCCUUCCUUGCCUUCAACAAAUUGAAUAGAUAUGGAGAAAGGUUCAUUCAAGUCAGCUUUCCUCGUUGUGCUCCUUCUUGUUUCAUAUAAUGGUAAAAUACUUCUCUCAAUUUUUAUUUUUGUGACAAUGAAAGAGAAAUUUAUUCUUGACAUACUAUAAUCCGAACGUUAAUCCUAACAACCUAGGCUAACCUCAGGGGCUGACUUCUUUGAACAAUACAACUGCAUAUAGGAAUUUUUUUCUCCAACCCGGUUCACUUCACUUAUUUUGAAAUUGUGUAUAUGUCCUUGAUACCUCGUUAAAAUUAUAUAAUUUAACCUAACAAUUGUCGAUAUUUUCAGCCAUAAAGUAGAGUUUAAGUGUAUAUUUUUGUAACGUAAACUUAUGCAUAAAGCAGUAUGUUCACAAUAAAGGCAAAAAACAGUUUUAUUAUGAAUUAUGGAAAUAUUAAUUGUGGUAGGUGUGCAAUUUGGAGCCGAAGCAAGAGGUCCAGUUACUCGUUAUCCGUGCCAAACAUCUGCUCUAUGCGGCCCAUGCACAUGCGUCGAGAAUUGGUGUAAAUGUCCGCCAGAUAAAAUAUCGAAGUUCAUUCUUCAAGACAUCUCUACACAUCCACAAGCACAGAAGGAAAUGCCAUAAUCAGCGCUACUUCAUACAUCAAUAUAUAGCAUAUACUUAUGACGUGCACCAAAAAUCUUAUGUUCUCCCAAUAUGUUCGUUAAAUGUUUAAACGGAUAAUAAAUAACAUCACCUUCUUACUUAUAGCUUACUUGGUUUGAAUUUUUUUAUAUUUCAUAAUACUGUGAUGAUAAAGGUGUGGUACACGAGCAAACAGUGAAGUGAUUCUAAAUUACCGAACACAACGAAAAAAAGGCAAUUGAAAUAGUGUAACACCUAACAAUUUUCGCUAAUUAGGCGACAACAUGAAAUUCAAAAGUUUAUAAGAAAUAGUCUUCUAUUCUCAAACUGUUGUAGUAAAUAAGGCAAAUAUAAGUGAUGGUUCUGAAUGACCUCUUUUAAUCACUUGAAAAACAGAUAAAGUUGUACAGAUAAGGAUUACAACGAAGUUAACUAAUAUAAAAUAAUUGUAUGUUUUAGUUUCAAGCACGUAGUUCUGAAUCCCAAAACAAGGAAAUAUUCCUAAUUUCUUUAGUGUGUGCUAAAUAUGAUUAUUUCUUACUAAUUUCGUGUUUGAUCCACUGAAUAACACGAAAGAUUUAAAGUUUUCAAAAACAAUAUCUCUUUGGUUGUCAUUUUUAUUUUAUUUUAUCACCACAUAACUCUGUUUUAAAUAAACUAGUAUCUCUUUCGCAUACAAAUAAUUGGUAAACGAGUUCGGCAACGUAGCGUUUUUGUAUUUUAAAAAAUGUACCAUCAAGGUCCAUUAAUUCGAUAAUAUAUUGGGAUUUGAUUCUGGCCUUAGUUUCGGUAAGAUAAUAUUGAGAAAUCGAAAUUCCAAUCUACCAUGGUUCCAUCACAGAUUUACUAAAGUUCAUACUUACGUACCAACAAACAACGCCGUCCUUGGAGUCAUGUAUACUUUAAUUGCAAGUUGUACUCGUUUAGGUUGCCAAGUUAUUUAUGGCAUGAAACAUAAUAUGUCAAUUUGGUUACCGUUUUGUUCAACAAAUUAAUCUCUGGAAAAAAAAAAAAAAAACCUUUCACGAAUACGCAAUUUAUAGGAUUUAUAGUUAUGUACACAUGUACAUGUGAAAAUUAAGUUACAUAUAUUCGACAGUUUGGAAAGCACUGGUAACUUAGAAAUUGAAGUUAUAUUGAUUCAAUAAUUUAAAGCCACAAAUUAUUUAAGGAAUAAAAUCGCAAUCUUAUUAUGCCAAUUUAUUUACCAUUAUAGUUCGAUACAUAGAUUUGUUAUUAUAUAAAAUCCAUACAUGAACAAUUCUUUGAAUCCAAUGCGCUCCUCAUGGCGUUGCUUAAAGUCAUACUUUUGUACAGCAAAUAACGCCAAUAAUAAAAUAUAUAUACUUUGAAUUAUGUCGUACUUGUUUUAGCUUGAAACCUAUAUGCUAAUUUAGUUACCAUCCUGUGUUUUACCUUAUCAGCCAAUUUAGUCCUUGUGUUAUUAAUUUGGCCAAAUUUAGUCCCUGUGUUUGUAUCUGUUAACAAAUUUGAUCCAUUCCGUCAAAAUUAUGUUCAAACCUAAAAAAAGAACAUUUAAAAUUUUGUAAUUAAUUGUAAAGAUUUAAACUCAAAUAAUAAUAAUGCUAAAAUGAUUAAAACUCACACAACCUCAACCUCCAAUGGUCUCGAUUCCUGUAGGAAAAAAAAAAAAAAAAAAAAAAAGGAUUCUUGGUAGAAUUGAUGCCUACUCUUUUCUUGAUGCAAAUUUUCUUCUAUCUUCUGUUUAAGAUUUUCUUAUACUCUACCCUUCAUCUCUCUCUCCUCUCCGAUCCAUUGGUCUGAAUGUCGUCGACUUUUGCUACAGCCAAGAUGAUCAAUUGGCGGUAGAGCCGUCAAGCUUACGGUGACUGGCUAUGAUGAUCUUCAUGAUUUGUCAGAGAGAGAGAGAGAGAGAGAGAGAGUUGUUGUAGUUUAGGUGGGGUUGGAAUGGUGGUAAGGGUGGCUAUGGUUUUGGGGUUGGAGUGGUGGUGGUGAUGGUGGCUGGGUUUGGGAGGUGGUUGAGGUGUGUGCGCGAAUUGGGGAAGGUGAAAUUUAAAAGAAAUAUAUUCCAUUUUCAGUUAGUUCGAUACAUAGAUUUGUUAUUAUAUAAAAUCCAUACAUGAACAAUUCUUUGAAUCCAAUGCGCUCCUCAUGGCGUUGCUUAAAAUCAUACUUUUGUACAGCAAAUAACGCCAAUAAUAAAAUAUAUAUACUUUGAAUUAAGGUCGUACUUGUUUUAGCUUGAAACCUAAUAUGCUAAUUUAGUUACCAUUCUGGUCGAACAAAUUCAUCUCUUAAAAUAAUAUUUCCUUUCAUGAAUACACAAUUUAUUUAACUUACCAUUUCUAAACAUGCAUUUACAAAAAAUAAGUUACAUAUAAUCUUAGGUUUGGAGAGCACGAAUAAUUUAGAAAUUAAGCUAUAUAGCUUGAAUAUGCACCUAAUAAUACUAGGCAUCAAAUCGCAAUCUUAUUAUCAUAACUUAUCUACCAUUAUAGUUCGAUAAAUUGAUUUGUUUCAAAAAUUCAUGCAUGAACAAUUCGUUGAAUCCAACCUCACCAAGAUGUGCAAUCAUAGAAAAUAGUUUUUCAAAUUCACCUAUAUAUAUUGUAGUCUUUUUAAAAACUAGUGACUCCGAAUUCAAGUUUUAUACCACGUACAAACCUAUAAUCCUUCCUUGCCUUCAACAAAUUGAAUAGAUAUGGAGAAAGGGUUCAUUCAAGUCAGCUUUUCCUCGUUGUGCUCCUUCUGUUCAUAUAAUGGUAAAUACUUCUCUCAUUUUUAUUUUGUUACAUGAAGGAGAAAUUUAUUCUUGACAUACUAUAAUCCAAACGUUAAUCCUAACAACCUAGGGNNNNNNNNNNNNNNNNNNNNNNNNNNNNNNNNNNNNNNNNNNNNNNNNNNNNNNNNNNNNNNNNNNNNNNNNNNNNNNNNNNNNNNNNNNNNNNNNNNNNUAAAACUGCAUAUAGGAAUAUUUUUCUCCAACCUGGUUGACUUCACUUAUUUUGAAAAUGUGUAUAUGUCCUUGAUACAUCGUUAAAAUUAUAUACUUUAACCUAACAAUUGUCGAUAUGUUUAGCCAUAAAGUUGAAAGUGUAUAUUUUUGUAACGUAAACUUAUGCAUAAAGCAGUAUGUUCACAAUAAAGGGAAAAAACAGUUUUAUUAUGAAUUAUGGAAAUAUUAAUUGUGGUUGGUGUGCAAUUUGGAGCCGAAGCAAGAGGUCCAGUUACUCGUUAUCCGUGCCAAACAUCUGCUCUAUGCGGCCCAUGCACAUGCGUCGAGAAUUGGUGUAAGUGUCCGCCAGAUAAAAUAUCGAAGUUCAUUCUUCAAGACAUCUCUACACACCCGCAAGCACAGAAGGAAAUGCCAUAAUCAGCGCUACUUGAUACAUCAAUAUAUAGCAUAUACUUAUGAAGUGCACCAAAAAUCUUAUGUUCUCCCAAUAUGUUCGUUAAAUGUUUGAGUGGAUAAUAAAUAACAUCACCUUCUUACUUAUGGCUUACUUGGUUUGAAUAUUUUUAUAUUUCAUAAUACUGUGAUGAUAAAGGUGUGGUACACGAGCAAACAGUGAAGUGAUUCUAAAUUACCGAAAACAACGAAAAAAAAGUAAUUGAAAUAGUGUAACCCCUAACAAUUUUCGCAAAUUAGGCGACAACAUGAAAUUCAGAAGUUUAUAAGAAAUAGUCUACUAUUCUCAAACUGUUGUAGUAAAUAUGGAACAUAUAAGUGAUGGUUCUGAAUGACGUCUUUUAAUCACUUGAAAAACAGAUAAAGUUGUAUAGAUAAGGAUUACAACGAAGUUAACGAAUAUAAAAUUCUUUACUGUGUGCUAAAUAUGAAUAUUUCUUACUAAUUUCGUGUCCGAUCCACCGAAUAACAUGAAAGAAUUAAAGUUUUAAAAAACAAUAUCUCUUUGUUGUCAUCUUUAUUUUAUUUUAUCACCGCAUAACUCUGUUUUAAAAAAACUAGUAUCUCUUUCGCACACAAAAAAUUGGUAAACGAGUUCGGCAACGUAGAGUUUUUUUAUUUUAAAAAAUGUACCAUCAAGGUCCAUUAAUUCGAUAAUAUAUUGGGAUUUGAUUCUGGCCUUAGUUUCAGUAACAUAAUAUUGAGAAAUCGAAAUUCCAACCUACCGUGGUUUCAUCACAGAUUUACUAAAGUUCAUACUUACGUACCAACAAAGAACGCCGUCCUUGGAGUCAAUAAUUGCAAGUUGUACUCGUUUAGGUUGCCAAGUUAUUUAUGGCAUGAAACAUAAUAUGUCAAUUUAGUUACCGUUUUGUUCAACAAAUUAAUCUCUGGAAAAAAAAAAAUCCUUUCACGAAUACGCCAUUUAUUGGAUUUAUAGUUAUGUACACAUGUACAUGUGAAAAUUAAGUUACAUAUAUUCAACAGUUUGGAAAGCACUGGUAACUUAGAAAUUUAAGUUAUAUUGUUUCAAUAAUUUCAAGCCACUAAUUAUAUAAGGAAUAAAAUCGGAAUCUUAUUAUGCCAAUUUAUUUUCCAUUACAGUUCGAUACAUUGAUUUUUUACUAUAGAAAAUCCAUACAUGAACAAUUCUUUGAAUCCAAUGCGCUCGUCAUGGCGUUGCNNNNNNNNNNNNNNNNNNNNNNNNNNNNNNNNNNNNNNNNNNNNNNNNNNNNNNNNNNNNNNNNNNNNNNNNNNNNNNNNNNNNNNNNNNNNNNNNNNNNNNNNNNNNNNNNNNNNNNNNNNNNNNNNNNNNNNNNNNNNNNNNNNNNNNNNNNNNNNNNNNNNNNNNNNNNNNNNNNNNNNNNNNNNNNNNNNNNNNNNNNNNNNNNNNNNNNNNNNNNNNNNNNNNNNNNNNNNNNNNNAUAAGUUAGAAAUUAAGCUAUAUGGCUUGAAUAUGCACCUAAUUAUACUAGGCAUCAAAUCGCAAUCUUAUUAUCAUAACUUAUUUACCACUAUAGUUCGAUAAAUUGAUUUGUUUACCAAAUUCAUGCAUGAACAAUUCGUUGAAUCCAACCUCACCGAGAUGUGCAAUCAUAGAAAAUAGUUUUCAAAUUCACCUAUAUAUAUAUUGUAGUCUUUUUAAAAACUAGUGACUCCGAAUUCAAGUUUUAUACCACAUACAAACCUAUAAUCCUUCCUUGCCUUCAGCAAAUUGAAUAGAUAUGGAGAAAGGUUCAUUCAAGUCAGCUUUCCUCAUUGUGCUCCUUCUUGUUUCAUAUAAUGGUAAAAUACUUCUCUCAAUUUUUAUUUUUGUUACAAUGAAAGAAAAAUUUAUUCUUGACAUAAUAUAAUCCGAACGUUAAUCCUAACAACCUAGGCUAACCUCAGGGGCUGACUUCUUUGAACAAUAAAACUGCAUAUAGGAAUUUUUUUCUCCAACCUGGUUGACUUCACUUAUUUUGAAAAUGUGUAUAUGUCCUUGAUACCUCGUUAAAAUUAUAUACUUUAACCUAACAAUUGUCGAUAUUUUCAGCCAUAAAGUCAAGUUUAAGUGUAUAUUUUUGUAACGUAAACUUAUGCAUAAAGCAGUAUAUUCACAAUAAAGGCAAGAAGCAGUUUUAUUAUGAAUUAUGGAAAUAUUAAUUGUGAUAGGUGUGCAAUUUGGAGCUGAAGCAAGAGGUCCAGUUACUCGUUAUCCGUGCCAAACAUCUGCUCUAUGCGGCCCAUGCACAUGCGUCGAGAAUUGGUGUAAGUGUCCGCCAGGUAAAAUAUCGAAGUUCAUUCUUCAAGAUAUCUCUACACAUCCACAAGCACAGAAGGAAAUGCCAUAAUCAGCGCUACUUGAUACAUCAAUAUAUAGCAUAUACUUAUGACGUGCACCAAAAAUCUUAUGUUCUCCCAAUAUGUUCGUUAAAUGUUUGAACGGAUAAUAAAUAACAUCACCUUCUUACUUAUAGUUUACUUGGUUUGAAUUUUUUUAUCUUUGAUAAUACUGUCAUGAUAAACGUGUGGUACACAGGCAAACAGUGAAGUGAUUCUAAAUUACCGAACACAACGAAAAAAAGUAAUUGAAAUAGUGUAACACCAAACAAUUUUCGCUAAUUAGGCCACAACAUGAAAUUCAAAAGUUUAUGAGUAACGGUCUUCUAUUCUCAAACUGUUGUAGUAAAUAUGGCAAAUAUAAGUGAUGGUUCUGAAUGACCUCUUUUAAUCACUUGAAAAACAGAUAAAGUUGUACAGAUAAGGAUUACAACGAAGUUAACUAAUAUAAAAUAAUUGUAUAUUUUAAUUUCAAGCACGUAGUUCUGAAUCUCAAAACAAGUAAAUAUUACUAAUUUCUUUAGUGUGUGCUAAAUAUGAUUCUUUCUUACUAAUUUCGUGUUCGAUCCACUGAAUAACACGAAAGAAUUAAAGUUGUCAAAAACAAUAUCUCUUUUGUUGUCAUUUUUAUUUUAUUUUAUCACCACAUAACUCUGUUUUAAAUAAACUAGUAUCUCUUUCGCAUACAAAUAAUUGGUAAACGAGUUCGGCAACGUAGCGUUUUUGUAUUUUAAAAAAUGUACCAUCAAGGUCCAUUAAUUCGAUAAUAUAUUGGGAUUUGAUUCUGGCCUUAGUUUCGGUAAGAUAAUAUUGAGAAAUCGAAAUUCCAAUCUACCGUGGUUCCAUCACAGAUUUACUAAAGUUCAUACUUACGUACCAACAAACAACGCCGUCCUUGGAGUCAUGUAUACUUUAAUUGCAAGUUGUACUCGUUUAGGUUGCCAAGUUAUUUAUGGCAUGAAACAUAAUAUGUCAAUUUGGUUACCGUUUUGUUCAACAAAUUAAUCUCUGGAAAAAAAAAAAAAAAAACCUUUCACGAAUACGCAAUUUAUAGGAUUUAUAGUUAUGUACACAUGUACAUGUGAAAAUUAAGUUACAUAUAUUCGACAGUUUGGAAAGCACUGGUAACUUAGAAAUUGAAGUUAUAUUGUUUCAAUAAUUUAAAGCCACAAAUUAUUUAAGGAAUAAAAUCGCAAUCUUAUUAUGCCAAUUUAUUUACCAUUAUAGUUCGAUACAUAGAUUUGUUAUUAUAUAAAAUCCAUACAUGAACAAUUCUUUGAAUCCAAUGCGCUCCUCAUGGCGUUGCUUAAAGUCAUACUUUUGUACAGCAAAUAACGCCAAUAAUAAAAUAUAUAUACUUUGAAUUAAGGUCGUACUUGUUUUAGCUUGAAACCUAAUAUGCUAAUUUAGUUACCAUUCUGGUCGAACAAAUUCAUCUCUUAAAAUAAUAUUUCCUUUCAUGAAUACAAAAUUUAUUUAACUUACCAUUUCUAAACAUGCAUUUACAAAAAAUAAGUUACAUAUAAUCUUAGGUUUGGAGAGCACGAAUAAGUUAGAAAUUAAGCUAUAUAGCUUGAAUAUGCACCUAAUUAUACUAGGCAUCAAAUCGCAAUCUUAUUAUCAUAACUUAUCUACCAUUAUAGUUCGAUAAAUUGAUUUGUUUCAAAAAUUCAUGCAUGAACAAUUCGUUGAAUCCAACCUCACCAAGAUGUGCAAUCAUAGAAAAUAGUUUUCAAAUUCACCUAUAUAUAUUGUAGUCUUUUUAAAAACUAGUGACUCCGAAUUCAAGUUUUAUACCACGUACAAACCUAUAAUCCUUCCUUGCCUUCAACAAAUUGAAUAGAUAUGGAGAAAGGUUCAUUCAAGUCAGCUUUCCUCAUUGUGCUCCUUCUUGUUUCAUAUAAUGGUAAAAUACUUCUCUCAAUUUUUAAUUUUGUUACAAUGAAAGAGAAAUUUAUUCUUGACAUACUAUAAUCCAAACGUUAAUCCUAACAACCUAGGCUAACCUCAGGGGCUGACUUCUUUGAACAAUAAAACUGCAUAUAGGAAUUUUUUUCUCCAACCUGGUUGACUUCACUUAUUUUGAAAAUGUGUAUAUGUCCUUGAUACAUCGUUAAAAUUAUAUAAUUUAACCUAACAAUUGUCGAUAUUUUCAGCCAUAAAGUAGAGUUUAAGUGUAUAUUUUUGUAACGUAAACUUAUGCAUAACGCAAUAUGUUCACAAUAAAGGCAAAAAACAGUUUUAUUAUGAAUUAUCGAAAUAUUAAUUGUGGUAGGUGUGCAAUUUGGAGCCGAAGCAAGAGGUCCAGUUACUCGUUAUCCGUGCCAAACAUCUGCUGUAAGAACCCAAACCAAAAUAUCUAAAAAUUGAGAGCCAAAAGACGAUUUUGCCCUCGCAUAUUUUAAAAGGGGAAAAUUUGACUUUUUGAUCGGAAAAGAAUUUGGCAAUUCCGCUUAUGCCGUUGCGUAGAGCACGGCGAAACGAGUUCGUAGACAUGGAGUAGACCCGAACCGGAGUUGUAAUGAAGAAGUUACGGUCAAAAUACUCACGAGGGCAAAAUGGAAAUUUUGGGAGAUCAUUUUUUUUUUUUAAAAUCUGUUUUCUUCUCUCACUCUCUCAUUCUCUCUCUCUCUCCCUCUCUCUCUCCCUCCCGAUAGUUCAGAAAACCAGAAGGGCAGCCACCUUCCAAGCCACCCCGACCCUCCGGAACGGACCCAGCAGCACCGGCCAGCUCCCGCCAGCAACCUCAGCCCGUCCGCCGCCCCUGCUGGAGCCGCUUGAAACUGCUGGAAAACGCAGCAGUUUUGGCCGAUUUUCCAACCUCAGUUUCUCCCUCAUCCGGACACCAAAUCAGUCAUGUGAGGUAUCGAUUUCUAGCUAUUUUUCGUGCUCUAACUGAUGGUUGGCUGGGUUUAGAUCGAUUUCACCUUAACGGACCCAGCAGCACCGGCCAGCUCCCGCCAGCAACCUCAGCCCGUCCGCCGCCCCUGCUGGAGCCGCUUGAAACUGCUGGAAAACGCAGCAGUUUUGGCCGAUUUUCUAACCUCAGUUUCUCCCUCAUCUCGGUUCCAAGAUUGUUUUUCGGCACACCCGAAUCGCUUUGGACACCCAAUCGGUCCGCGCGUGUGGCGGCGCGUGGGCCAGGGUGGUGGCACGGCUCUGGCCAGUUUUGAGACCCUCGUGCCAUCACGAGCGCGUAGGAUUUCGCGGAACUCAAUUCGGAGUCCGUUUGAGCCCCGAACGGAUUUUUCCAUAAUAUGCGAUUUCCGGGUGCAGCGUCGUCUAGCCGUUGGAUCGCACCCCAUUUCGGAUAUGUUGUUCUACAUUGUUUCAGGAUCGUGUAGGAUUCAACGGAUUGCGAAUCGGAGUCCCGAAUACUCCGAAAUCGCGAACCCUGGGGCUAGGGUUAGGGUUUUAAGCGAUAGCACGAUUUUGGCCAAUCCGACCGUCCAUUUCGGACCAAACUCGCAGGACAUGGGUUUUACACAGUGAGGAACCUCUAGAGAAUCCCAGAUCGGCCAUCGGAGAUCGUGGACCCCACGGGGUUCCGGAUCGGCCGGUCUAACAGUUUAUCGCUUUGUAAGGUUUCCUGUCUUUUAAGGCCAUUCUGGACAUAGAGUUGACUUUACAGUGAGAGCACGUAUUUCUAGGAGCCGGGGGUCAGGGUAUUUAAUUUAAUGUUUUUAUUGAGCAGUUUAGUAAUUGAAUAUUCAUGGUUAAACAGGCAUCAGAGGCCAAACUGAACCACAGGAGGGACCUUCAAGAGGUCCAGCUAGCUCGGACCAGCAGUGAGUGGACCUUUCUUUUUUUAAAUGAUUUUCUGAAUCAGUUUUAUUCAGUGUGAUUUAUUUCUAUGAAUUUAAAGAUUCCUUCUAUACAUUGCUUAGCUGAUUUUGCUAAAGUUAUUUGGACAACAGACUUUGAGAUUUAUGAUUCAGAAAUAUCUAGCUCAGAUUUUAUCAGAAUAUAGAGGAUGUCAGAUUUUAUCCAAGAUAAUUAUUUUAGACCACCAUGAAUUAUAGAAAGCAGAGUUUGAGUUUUCUAUCAGAUAAAAAGGGCAGCACAGUUAUAGAUUGAAUAAAGAUUCAGUUAUUCAUCAGAUCUUUCAGAAAUAUUAUGAUAUUUAUAUUUGAUAUUUUCUCAGCAGUUAAUAUUUUCUUAAACCACUGUGGAUACCCGGUUACAGAAACAGGUUGCCGUCAAAUAAGACGAUGUCUACGGACAUCCAGAUUGCCUUCGGUUUAUGUUGCCUUCGGAUAUGAUGAUGUCUACAGACAUCCAGUUUACUUUCAGUUACGUCAGUGCACUUGACAUUUGCCUCACGAGUUUUGGGGACGCCCGGACCGUGAGUGCCAGGAUUGCGAAUCAGGCUGACUACGGUCUCCUGAAUCCUGCCAGUUUGCGGCUCGGAUACACUAUGUGUCGCCGAGACCUGCCAGGGGAAUUAACGGAUUUACAGAGGAUUUGACAGUUUUACAGGGGUACACCUAGGUGGUAGUUUUAAAGAAAUUUCAGUGCUUUUAUGCAAAUAUUGAUUUCAGUGAUUUUACUCAAUAUUUCCUUGGUAUUGAGCAUAUCCUACAUCUGGAUAUAUAUAUAUAUAGAUGUAUAUAUUUAUGUGAAUGCUUGAAUUUACCCUAAAUUCAGUGCAGUUUACAUAUUCAGUUUUAUGAUUAUCAUUGUUUUUACAGUGGGGGUUAUUAUGUUCAUACACUGUUUGAGAACUCUAUUUUGGUCCACUCACACUUUUAAUGUUUUGCGCCCCCCCAGGCCGUAGAAGAACGAAGGAAACCACUCGGGCCAUCAUCCUAGCUUCCGACCCACCACCAAAGUGUAGGAGUUCGUUGUAACUCUUUUGUAAAUCCUGUAAAUUUGUAUAGAAAUGCUCUGAGAUCUGGUUGAACAUAAGGAACUGGUAGGAUUUUUGAGACUGUUUGACAGGUGGAAGACUUUGUGUUUGGUCAAAAUACAGGGUAGACUCUGCCGGAUUUUCGGCAGAAGUCGAAAGUAAAUUUUAAGAAAUUUGUUUAAGAAAAGGGUAAAAAGGUCAUUCGUGCCCGGCAUUCGCCAGGUGUCGGACACGCACAGGAUUCGGCUCGGAUUCCAAAGCGGAAAUUGGGUCGGGUCCUGUCAAUUUGGUAUCAGAGCAUAGGUUUUACUUCCUGUAGACCCUCUUUCUUGUUACUGAACCCUUGUUCUUCUUUCAGUUGAUUAUGGGCCCGAAGCGUGGUGGUUUCCGUAGGGGGACGAGACAGUCGUCCCGAGUGAGGGGACAGGACCCUCCUCCAGAACCAGAGAAUUUUCCUACCCCAGAACCGGUCCAAGAACCGGUUGAACAGUCAUUUGUUGGAGGCCCCUCAGGGCCCGCACCUCCUAUGCCCACGGUGAUGGGAGACCCAACUUUUUAGCAGACCUUAGAGAUGUUGACUCAGGCCCUAUCCCGGGCAGGGCAGCCUAGAGACCCGUCCUUGGGAUACGCAGACCAAGCAAAAAGAAUUGGGGCCAUAGAUUUUGAUGGUACUGGCGACCCAGCAGUGGCCGAAGGGUGGAUAGAGAGGAUGGAACGGAUCAUGGAAGUGAUGGCCGUUCCACAGGAUCGCAGAGUACUUUUGGCCAGUUUCUUUUUGAUCGGAAAUGCUAGACACUGGUGGGAGUCAAUUAAAAGGAGAUAUCCAGAUCCGUCAGUCAUUUCAUGGCCAGUUUUUCGAGCUGUUUUUAACAGCCAAUAUUAUCCACAAGCGUACCAGAAUUUGAAGAUGCAGGAAUUUUUGCAGUUGGACCAGGGGUUGAUGACAGUACUGGAGUACGAGAAGAAGUUUAAUGAGUUAUCAAAGUACUGUAUUCCACUGGUAGAGGAUGAAAGCAAAAAGUGUCAAUUGUUCACUAAAGGAUUGAAAGCCUCUAUCAGGGACAUUGUAAUUAGUCAACGGCUGACGAACUUUGGAGACUUGGUGAUGUCAGCUUCGCUGGUAGAGAGUAGUCAGAUGAUGGUCAGGGCACAAGGUGAACCUCGGAGACGAUUAUUUGAUUUAGGUGGUCCCAGUCAGGGGUCAUCCAAGAGAGGCAGUUACAGUGCUGGAUCAUCUAGGGGUCGUAGUUUUGGAGGUUUUCGACCAGGAAUUAGUUCCAGUGGAGGCUCAAACCGGAGUGGUAGUUUUGGAAGCCGUUUGGUGGGCAAUGCAGUUAGAGGUUCUGGGAGACAAUCACCCUCAGCAGUUGGGGGGAGGAGGAAUCCACAGUGUACUGUGUGUGGCAGAUAUCAUACCGGAACCUGUCGGCAAGGAACCACAGGAUGUUUCCAUUGUGGUCAGCCUGGACAUUUCUUGCGAGAGUGCCCAGUAUUACUUCAGGGUGGAGAAGCGACUGUUACAAUGCCUACAGAGAUAGGCACAGAGGGCAAAACGCAGUUUAGAGGAGCCUCGUCCAGUGGUGGGAUCCAGACUAGUGUUGCAAGCCGAGGUGGCAGUCAGCAGCAGGGACGAGGUGGACGUGCUAGAGCCACAGGCAGGGUGUAUCACAUGUCCCAGCAGCAGGCACAGCCGUCGCCAGAUGUGGUGACAGGUAUGUUAUCAGUCUUUGGAACUCCUGCUAGAGUUUUGAUUGAUUCUGGGGCUACGCACUCAUUUGUUACGCCUAGUGUUGCCCGCAACGCUGAUGUCAGACAGUCAGCCCUACGGGAUGAAUUAGCAAUCUCUGUACCGACAGGAGAGAUCUUUUAUGUAGGUACGGUAUAUAGUGAUAGUGCAAUAUUAGUAAGGGAUGUGUGUUUAGAAGCAGAUUUGAUUCCACUAGAAAUGGUGGGCUUGGAUGUUAUAUUGGGCAUGGAUUGGCUAGUUAAGCACCAUGCCGCAGUAGAUUGCUUCCGGAAAGAAGUUAUACUUCGUAGCCUUGGACGCCCUGAAGUGACAUUUUAUGGUGAGCGUAGAGUGCUCCCAUCUAGCCUCAUUUCAGUGAUGAUGGCAACGAGAUUGCUCAGAAAAGGGUGCUCAGGAUAUGUAGCUUAUAUAGUGGAUAGUAGGACUCAGGAGUUAAAGUUUGAGGAUAUACCAGUAGUUCGGGAUUUUCCAGAUGUAUUCCCGGAUGAUCUUCCUGGGUUACCUUCCCAUCGGGAGAUCGAGUUCACUAUUGAACUCAUGCCAGGAACAAGCCCUAUAUCACAGGCACCUUACAGGAUGGCACCUGCGGAACUAAAGGAGUUGAAGGUGCAGCUGCAGGAGUUAGUAGACAAGGGCUUCAUCCGACCUAGUUUUUCUCCUUGGGGUGCCCCAGUAUUGUUUGUGAAGAAAAAGGAUGGUACCAUGAGGUUAUGUGUCGAUUACAGGCAACUGAAUAAAGUCACAGUGAGGAAUAAGUAUCCGCUACCCCGUAUUGAUGAUUUAUUUGAUCAGUUGAGGGGUGCUAAGGUAUUUUCCAAGAUUGAUUUGAGAUCGGGGUACCAUCAGUUACGGAUCAAAGAAAAAGAUGUACCUAAGACAGCUUUCCGCACCAGGUAUGGGCAUUAUGAGUUUUUAGUAAUGCCAUUCGGAUUGACGAAUGCCCCAGCUGCGUUUAUGGAUUUGAUGAACAGAGUGUUCCGACGUUAUUUGGAUCGCUUUGUCAUUGUAUUCAUAGAUGAUAUUCUGGUGUACUCCAAGAGUCGGAAGGCGCAUAUGAAGCAUUUAGAACUGGUACUGAAGACGCUGAGGAGGAAGAAAUUGUUUGCUAAGUUCAGUAAGUGCCAGUUCUGGCUAGAUAGAGUAAAUUUCUUAGGGCAUGUUAUUUCUGCAGACGGUGUUUAUGUUGAUCCUCAGAAGGUUGAGGCAGUAGUAAAUUGGCCGCAGCCAACCAGUGUUACAGAGGUACGGAACGAAAAAAAGUGAUUGAAAUAGUGUAACACCAAACAAUUUUCGCAAAUUAGGCGACAACAUGAAAUUCAAAAGUUUAUGAGUAACGGUCUUCUAUUCUCAAACUGUUGUAGUAAAUAUGGCAAAUAUAAUGAUGGUUCUGAAUGACCUCUUUUAAUCACUUGAAAAACAGAUAAAGUUGUACAGAUAAGGAUUACAACGAAGUUAACUAAUAUAAAAUAAUUGUAUAUAAACUUAUGCUUAAAGCAGUAUGUUCACAACAAAGGCAAAAAACAGUUUUAUUAUGAAUUAUGGAAAUAGUAAUUGUGGUAGUGUGUGCUAAAUAUGAUUCUUUCUUACUAAUUUCGUGUUCGAUCCACUGAAUAACACGAAAGAAUGAAAGUUUUCAAAAACAAUAUCUCUUUGGUUGUCAUUUUUAUUUUAUUUUAUCACCACAUAACUCUGUUUUAAAUAAACUAGUAUCUCUUUCGCAUACAAAUAAUUGGUAAACGAGUUCGGCAACGUAGCGUUUUUGUAUUUUAAAAAAUGUACCAUAAAGGUCCAUUAAUUCGAUAAUAUAUUGGGAUUUGAUUCUGGCCUUAGUUUCGGUAAGAUAAUAUUGAGAAAUCGAAAUUCCAAUCUACCGUGGUUCCAACACAGAUUUACUAAAGUUCAUACUUAUGUACCAACAAACAAUGCCGUCGUUGGAGUCAUAUAUACUUUAAUUGCAAGUUUUACUCGUUUAAGUUGCCACGUUAUUUAUGGCAUGAAACAAAAUAUGUCAAUUUAGUUACCGUUUUGUUCAACAAAUUGAUCUCUGAAAAAAAAAAACAAAAUCCUUUCACGAAUACGCAAUUUAUAGGAUUUAUAGUUAUGUACACAUGUGCAUGUGAAAAUUAAGCUACAUAUAUGCGACAGUUUGGAAAGCACUGGUAACUUAGAAAUUGAAGUUAUAUUUUUUCAAUAAUUUAAAGCCACUAAUUAUAUAAGGAAUAAAAUCGCAAUCUUGUUAUGCCAAUUUAUUUACCAUUAUAGUUCGAUACAUUGAUUUUUUAUUAUAGAAAAUCCAUACAUGAACAAUUCUUUGAAUCCAAUGCGCUCAUCAUGGCGUUGCUUAAAGUCAUACUUUUGUACAGCAAAUAACGCCAAUAAUAAAAUAUAUAUACUUUGAAACCUAAUAUGCUAAUUUAGUUACCAUUCUGGUCGAACAAAUUCAUCUCUUAAAAUAAUUUUUCCUUUCAUGAAUACACAAUUUAUUUAACUUACCAUUUCUAAACAUGCAUUUACAAAAAAUAAGUUACAUACAAUCUUAGGUUUGGAGAGCACAAAUAAGUUAGAAAUUAAGCUAUAUGGCUUGAAUAUGCACCUAAUUAUACUAGGCAUCAACUCGCAAUCAUACUAUCAUAACUUAUUUACCAUUAUAGUUCGAUAAAUUGAUUUGUUUACAAAAUUCAUGCAUGAACAAUUCGUUGAAUCCAACCUCACCGAGAUGUGCAAUCAUAGAAAAUAGUUUUCAAAUUCACCUAUAUAUAUUGUAGUCUUUUUAAAAACUAGUGACUCCGAAUUCAAGUUUUAUACCACGUACAAACCCAUAAUCCUUCCUUGCCUUCAACAAAUUGAAUAGAUAUGGAGAAAGGUUCAUUCAAGUCAGCUUUCCUCAUUGUGCUCCUUCUUGUUUCAUAUAAUGGUAAAAUACUUCUCUCAAUUUUUAUUUUUGUGACAAUGAAAGAGAAAUUUAUUCUUGACAUACUAUAAUCCGAACGUUAAUCCUAACAACCUAGGCUAACCUCUGGGGCUGACUUCUUUGAACAAUACAACUGCAUAUAGGAAUUUUUUUCUCCAACCUGGUUGACCUCACUUAUUUUGAAAAUGUGUAUAUGUCCUUGAUACAUCGUUAAAAUUAUAUACUUUAACCUAACAAUUGUCGAUAUUUUCAACCAUAAAGUCGAGUUUAAGUGUAUAUUUUUGUAACGUAAACUUAAGCAUAAAGCAGUAUGUUCAAAAUAAAGGCAAAAAACAGUUUUAUUAUGAAUUAUGGUAAUAUUAAUUGUGGUAGGUGUGCAAUUUGGAGCCGAAGCAAGAGGUCCAGUUACUCGUUAUCCGUGCCAAACAUCUGCUCUAUGCGGCCCAUGCACAUGCGUCGAGAAUUGGUGUAAGUGUCCGCCAGAUAAAAUAUCGAAGUUCAUUCUUCAAGACAUCUCUACACACCCGCAAGCACAGAAGGAAAUGCCAUAAUCAGCGCUACUUGAUACAUCAAUAUAUAGCAUAUACUUAUGACGUGCACCAAAAAUCUUAUGUUCUCCCAAUAUGUUCGUUAAAUGUUUAAACGGAUAAUAAAUAACAUCACCUUCUUACUUAUAGCUUACUUGGUUUGAAUUUUUUUAUAUUUCAUAAUACUGUGAUGAUAAAGGUGUGGUACACGAGCAAACAGUGAAGUGAUUCUAAAUUACCGAACACAACGAAAAAAAGUAAUUGAAAUAGUGUAACACCAAACAAUUUUCGCUAAUUAGGCGACAACAUGAAAUUCAGAAGUUUAUAAGUAACGGUCUUCUAUUCUCAAACUGUUGUAGUAAAUAUGGCAAUUAUAAGUGAUGGUUCUGAAUGACCUCUUUUAAUCACUUGAAAAACAGAUAAAGUUGUACAGAUAAGGAUUACAACGAAGUUAACUAAUAUAAAAUAAUUGUAUAUUUUAGUUUCAAGCACGUAGUUCUGAAUCUCAAAACAAGUGAAUAUUACUAAUUUCUUUAGUGUGUGCUAAAUAUGAUUCUUUCUUACUAAUUUCGUGUUCGAUCCACUAAAUAACACGAAAGAAUUAAAGUUGUCAAAAACAAUAUCUCUUUUGUUGUCAUUUUUAUUUUAUUUUAUCACCACAUAACUCUGUUUUAAAUAAACUAGUAUCUCUUUCGCAUACAAAUAAUUGGUAAACGAGUUCGGCAACGUAGCGUUUUUGUAUUUUAAAAAAUGUACCAUCAAGGUCCAUUAAUUCGAUAAUAUAUUGGGAUUUGAUUCUGGCCUUAGUUUCGGUAAGAUAAUAUUGAGUAAUCGAAAUUCCAAUCUACCGUGGUUCCAUCACAGAUUUACUAAAGUUCAUACUUACGUACCAACAAACAACGCCGUCCUUGGAGUCAUAUAUACUUAAUUGCAAGUUUUACUCGUUUAGGUUGCCAAGUUAUUUAUGGCAUGAAACAAAAUAUGUCAAUUUAGUUACCGUUUUGUUCAACAAAUUAAUCUCUGAAAAAAAAAAAAAAAAAUCCUUUCACGAAUACGCAAUUUAUAGGAUUUAUAGUUAUGUACACAUGUGCAUGUGAAAAUUAAGCUACAUAUAUUCGACAGUUUGGAAAGCACUGGUAACUUAGAAAUUGAAGUUAUAUUGUUUCAACAAUUUAAAGCCACUAAUUAUAUAAGGAAUAAAAUCGAAAUCUUAUUAUGCCAAUUUAUUUACCAUUAUAGUUCGAUACAUUGAUUUUUUAUUAUAGAAAAUCCAUACAUGAACAAUUCUUUGAAUCCAAUGCGCUCAUCAUGGCAUUGCUUAAAGUCAUACUUUUGUACAGCAAAUAUCGCCAAUAAUAAAAUAUAUAUACUUUGAAUUAAGGUCGUACUUGUAUUGGCUUGAAACCUAAUAUGCAAAUUUAGUUACCAUUCUAGUCGAACAAAAUCAUCUCUUAAAAUAAUAUUUCCUUUCAUGCAUACACAAUUUAUUUAACUUAUCAUUUCUAAACAUGCAUUUACAAAAAAUAAGUUAAAUAUAAUGUUAGGUUUGGAGAGCACGAAUAGGUUAGAAAUUAAGCUAUAUAGCUUGAAUAUGCACCUAAUAAUACUAGGCAUCAAAUCGCAAUCUUAUUAUCAUAACUUAUUUACCAUUAUAGUUCGAUAAAUUGAUUUGUUUACAAAAUUCAUGCAUGAACAAUUCGUUGAAUCCAACCUCACCCAGAUGUGCAAUCAUAGAACAUAGUUUUCAAUUCACCUAUAUAUGUUGUAGUCUUUUUAAAAACUAGGGACUCCGAAUUCAAGUUUUAUACCACAUACAAACCUAUAAUCCUUCCUUGCCUUCAACAUAUUGAAUAGAUAUGGAGAAAGGUUCAUUCAAGUCAGCUUUCCUCAUUGUGCUCCUUCUUGUUUCAUAUAAUGGUAAAAUACUUCCCUCAAUUUUUAUUUUUGUUACAAUGAAAGAGAAAUUUAUUCUUGACAUAAUAUAAUCCGAACGUUAAUCCUAACAACCUAGGCUAACCUCAGGGGCUGACUUCUUUGAACAAUAAAACUGCAUAUAGGAAUAUUUUUCUCCAACCUGGUUGACUUCACUUAUUUUGAAAAUGUGUAUAUGUCCUUGAUACAUCGUUAAAAUUAUAUACUUUAACCUAACAAUUGUCGAUAUGUUUAGCCAUAAAGUUGAAAGUGUAUAUUUUUGUAACGUAAACUUAUGCAUAAAGCAGUAUGUUCACAAUAAAGGCAAAAAACAGUUUUAUUAUGAAUUAUGGAAAUAUUAAUUGUGGUAGGUGUGCAAUUUGGAGCCGAAGCAAGAGGUCCAGUUACUCGUUAUCCGUGCCAAACAUCUGCUCUAUGCGGCCCAUGCACAUGCGUCGAGAAUUGGUGUAAGUGUCCGCCAGAUAAAAUAUCGAAGUUCAUUCUUCAAGACAUCUCUACACAUCCGCAAGCACAGAAGGAAAUGCCGUAAUCAACGCUACUUGAUACAUCAAUAUAUAGCAUAUACUUAUGACGUGCACCAAAAAUCUUAUGUUCUCCCAAUAUGUUCGUUAAAUGUUUGAACGGAUAAUAAAUAACAUCACCUUCUUACUUAUAGUUUACUUGGUUCGUUUAUAUUUCGUAAUACUGUGAUGAUAAAGGUGUGGUACACGAGCAAACAGUGAAGUGAUUCUAAAUUACCGAACACAACGAAAAAAAGGCAAUUGAAAUAGUGUAACACCUAACAAUUUUCGCUAAUUAGGCGACAACAUGAAAUUCAAAAGUUUAUAAGUAAUAGUCUUCUAUUCUCAAACUGUUGUAGUAAAUAUGGCAAAUACAAGUGAUGGUUCUGAAUGACCUCUUUUAAUCACUUGAAAAACAGAUAAAGUUGUAUAGAUAAGGAUUACAACGAAGUUAACGAAUAUAAAAUUCUUUACUGUGUGCUAAAUAUGAAUAUUUCUUACUAAUUUCGUGUUCGAUCCACCGAAUAACAUGAAAGAAUUAAAGUGUUAAAAAACAAUAUGUCUUUGUUGUCAUUUUUAUUUUAUUUUAUCACCACAUAACUCUGUUUUAAAAAAACUAGUAUCUCUUUCGCACACAAAAAAUUGGUAAACGAGUUCGGCAACGUAGAGUUUUUGUAUUUUAAAAAAUGUACCAUCAAGGUCCAUUAAUUCGAUAAUAUAUUGGGAUUUGAUUCUGGCCUUAGUUUCAGUAACAUAAUAUUGAGAAAUCGAAAUUCCAACCUACCGUGGUUUCAUCACAGAUUUACUAAAGUUCAUACUUACGUACCAACAAAGAACGCCGUCCUUGGAGUCAAUAAUUGCAAGUUGUACUCGUUUAGGUUGCCAAGUUAUUUAUGGCAUGAAACAUAAUAUGUCAAUUUAGUUACCGUUUUGUUCAACAAAUUAAUCUCUGGAAAAAAAAAAAAAUCCAUUCACGAAUACGCAAUUUAUAGGAUUUAUAGUUAUGUACACAUGUACAUGUGAAAAUUAAGUUACAUAUAUUCGACAGUUUGGAAAGCACUGGUAACUUAGAAAUUUAAGUUAUAUUGUUUCAAUAAUUUCAAGCCACUAAUUAUAUAAGGAAUAAAAUCGAAAUCUUAUUAUGCCAAUUUAUUUUCCAUUACAGUUCGAUACAUUGAUUUUUUACUAUAGAAAAUCCAUACAUGAACAAUUCUUUGAAUCCAAUGCGCUCGUCAUGGCGUUGCUUAAAGUCAUACUUUUGUACAGCAAAUAAAGCCAAUAAUAAAAUGUAUAUACUUUGAAUUAAGGUCGUACUUGUUUUGGCUUGAAACCUAAUAUGCUAAUUUAGUUACCAUUCUGGUCGAACAAAUUCAUCUCUUAAAAUAAUAUUUCAUUUCAUGAAUACACAAUUUAUUUAACUUACCAUUUCUAAACAUGCAAUUACAAAAAAUAAGUUACAUAUAAUCUUAGGUUUGGGGAGCACAAAUAAGUUAGAAAUUAAGCUAUAUGGCUUGAAUAUGCACCUAAUUAUACUAGGCAUCAAAUCGCAAUCUUAUUAUCAUAACUUAUUUACCACUAUAGUUCGAUAAAUUGAUUUGUUUACCAAAUUCAUGCAUGAACAAUUCGUUGAAUCCAACCUCACCGAGAUGUGCAAUCAUAGAAAAUAGUUUUCAAAUUCACCUAUAUAUAUAUUGUAGUCUUUUUAAAAACUAGUGACUCCGAAUUCAAGUUUUAUACCACAUACAAACCUAUAAUCCUUCCUUGCCUUCAGCAAAUUGAAUAGAUAUGGAGAAAGGUUCAUUCAAGUCAGCUUUCCUCAUUGUGCUCCUUCUUGUUUCAUAUAAUGGUAAAAUACUUCUCUCAAUUUUUAUUUUUGUUACAAUGAAAGAAAAAUUUAUUCUUGACAUAAUAUAAUCCGAACGUUAAUCCUAACAACCUAGGCUAACCUCAGGGGCUGACUUCUUUGAACAAUAAAACUGCAUAUAGGAAUUUUUUUCUCCAACCUGGUUGACUUCACUUAUUUUGAAAAUGUGUAUAUGUCCUUGAUACCUCGUUAAAAUUAUAUACUUUAACCUAACAAUUGUCGAUAUUUUCAGCCAUAAAGUCAAGUUUAAGUGUAUAUUUUUGUAACGUAAACUUAUGCAUAAAGCAGUAUAUUCACAAUAAAGGCAAGAAGCAGUUUUAUUAUGAAUUAUGGAAAUAUUAAUUGUGAUAGGUGUGCAAUUUGGAGCUGAAGCAAGAGGUCCAGUUACUCGUUAUCCGUGCCAAACAUCUGCUCUAUGCGGCCCAUGCACAUGCGUCGAGAAUUGGUGUAAGUGUCCGCCAGGUAAAAUAUCGAAGUUCAUUCUUCAAGAUAUCUCUACACAUCCACAAGCACAGAAGGAAAUGCCAUAAUCAGCGCUACUUGAUACAUCAAUAUAUAGCAUAUACUUAUGACGUGCACCAAAAAUCUUAUGUUCUCCCAAUAUGUUCGUUAAAUGUUUGAACGGAUAAUAAAUAACAUCACCUCCUUACUUACAGUUUACGUGGUUUGAAUUUUUUUAUCUUUGAUAAUACUGUGACGAUAAAGGUGUGGUACACGAGCAAACAGUGAAGUGAUUCUAAAUUACCGAACACAACGAAAAAAAGUAAUUGAAAUUGUGUAACACCAAACAAUUUUCGCUAAUUAGGCGACAACAUGAAAUUCAAAAGUUUAUAAGUAACGGUCUUCUAUUCUCAAACUGUUGUAGUAAAUAUGGCAAUUAUAAGUGAUGGUUCUGAAUGACCUCUUUUAAUCACUUGAAAAACAGAUAAAGUUGUACAGAUAAGGAUUACAACGAAGUUAACUAAUAUAAAAUAAUUGUAUAUUUUAGUUUCAAGCACGUAGUUCUAAAUCUCAAAACAAGUAAAUAUUACUAAUUUCUUUAGUGUGUGCAAAAUAUGAUUCUUUCUUACUAAUUUCGUGUUCGAUCCACUGAAUAACACGAAAGAAUUAAAGUUGUCAAAAACAAUAUCUCUUUUGUUGUCAUUUUUAUUUUAUUUUAUCACCACAUAACUCUGUUUUAAAUAAACUAGUAUCUCUUUCGCAUACAAAUAAUUGGUAAACGAGUUCGGCAACGUAGCGUUUUUGUAUUUUAAAAAAUGUACCGUCAAGGUCCAUUAAUUCGAUAAUAUAUUGGGAUUUGAUUCUGGCCUUAGUUUCGGUAAGAUAAUAUUGAGAAAUCGAAAUUCCAAUCUACCAUGGUUCCAUCACAGAUUUACUAAAGUUCAUACUUACGUACCAACAAACAACGCCGUCCUUGGAGUCAUGUAUACUUUAAUUGCAAGUUGUACUCGUUUAGGUUGCCAAGUUAUUUAUGGCAUGAAACAUAAUAUGUCAAUUUGGUUACCGUUUUGUUCAACAAAUUAAUCUCUGGAAAAAAAAAAAAAAAAACCUUUCACGAAUACGCAAUUUAUAGGAUUUAUAGUUAUGUACACAUGUACAUGUGAAAAUUAAGUUACAUAUAUUCGACAGUUUGGAAAGCACUGGUAACUUAGAAAUUGAAGUUAUAUUGAUUCAAUAAUUUAAAGCCACAAAUUAUUUAAGGAAUAAAAUCGCAAUCUUAUUAUGCCAAUUUAUUUACCAUUAUAGUUCGAUACAUAGAUUUGUUAUUAUUAAAAAUCCAUACAUGAACAAUUCUUUGAAUCCAAUGCGCUCCUCAUGGCGUUGCUUAAAGUCAUACUUUUGUACAGCAAAUAACGCCAAUAAUAAAAUAUAUAUACUUUGAAUUAAGGUCGUACUUGUUUUAGCUUGAAACCUCAUAUGCUAAUUUAGUUACCAUUCUGGUCGAACAAAUUCAUCUCUUAAAAUAAUAUUUCCUUUCAUGAAUACACAAUUUAUUUAACUUACCAUUUCUAAACAUGCAUUUACAAAAAAUAAGUUACAUAUAAUCUUAGGUUUGGAGAGCACAAAUAAGUUAGAAAUUAAGCUAUAUAGCUUGAAUAUGCACCUAAUUAUACUAGGCAUCAAAUCGCAAUCUUAUUAUCAUAACUUAUCUACCAUUAUAGUUCGAUAAAUUGAUUUGUUUCAAAAAUUCAUGCAUGAACAAUUCGUUGAAUCCAACCUCACCAAGAUGUGCAAUCAUAGAAAAUAGUUUUCAAAUUCACCUAUAUAUAUUGUAGUCUUUUUAAAAACUAGUGACUCCGAAUUCAAGUUUUAUACCACGUACAAACCUAUAAUCCUUCCUUGCCUUCAACAAAUUGAAUAGAUAUGGAGAAAGGUUCAUUCAAGUCAGCUCUCCUCAUUGUGCUCCUUCUUGUUUCAUAUAAUGGUAAAAUACUUCUCUCAAUUUUUAAUUUUGUUACAAUGAAAGAGAAAUUUAUUCUUGACAGACUAUAAUCCAAACGUUAAUCCUAACAACCUAGGCUAACCUCAGGGGCUGACUUCUUUGAACAAUACAACUGCAUAUAGGCAUUUUUUUCUCCAACCUGGUUGACUUCACUUAUUUUGAAAAUGUGUAUAUGUCCUUGAUACAUCGUUCAAAUUGUAUAAUUUAACCUAACAAUUGUCGAUAUUUUCAGCCAUAAAGUAGAGUUUAAGUGUAUAUUUUUGUAACGUAAACUUAUGCAUAACGCAGUAUGUUCACAAUAAAGGCAAAAAACAAUUUUAUUAUGAAUUAUCGAAAUAUUAAUUGUGGUAGGUGUGCAAUUUGGAGCCGAAGCAAGAGGUCCAGUUACUCGUUAUCCGUGCCAAACAUCUGCUCUAUGCGGCCCAUGCACAUGCGUCGAGAAUUGGUGUAAGUGUCCGCCAGAUAAAAUAUCGAAGUUCAUUCUUCAAGACAUCUCUACACAUCCGCAAGCACAGAAGGAAAUGCCGUAAUCAACGCUACUUGAUACAUCAAUAUAUAGCAUAUACUUAUGACGUGCACCAAAAAUCUUAUGUUCUCCCAAUAUGUUCGUUAAAUGUUUGAACGGAUAAUAAAUAACAUCACCUUCUUACUUAUAGUUUACUUGGUUCGUUUAUAUUUCGUAAUACUGUGAUGAUAAAGGUGUGGUACACGAGCAAACAGUGAAGUGAUUCUAAAUUACCGAACACAACGAAAAAAAGGCAAUUGAAAUAGUGUAACACCUAACAAUUUUCGCUAAUUAGGCGACAACAUGAAAUUCAAAAGUUUCUAAGUAAUAGUCUUCUAUUCUCAAACUGUNNNNNNNNNNNNNNNNNNNNNNNNNNNNNNNNNNNNNNNNNNNNNNNNNNNNNNNNNNNNNNNNNNNNNNNNNNNNNNNNNNNNNNNNNNNNNNNNNNNNNNNNNNNNNNNNNNNNNNNNNNNNNNNNNNNNNNNNNNNNNNNNNNNNNNNNNNNNNNNNNNNNNNNNNNNNNNNNNNNNNNNNNNNNNNNNNNNNNNNNNNNNNNNNNNNNNNNNNNNNNNNNNNNNNNNNNNNNNNNNNNNNNNNNNNNNNNNNNNNNNNNNNNNNNNNNNNNNNNNNNNNNNNNNNNNNNNNNNNNNNNNNNNNNNNNNNNUUUUUGUAUUUUAAAAAAUGUACCAUCAACGUCCAUUAAUUCGAUAAUAUAUUGGGAUUUGAAUCUGGCCUUAAUUUCAGUAACACAAUAUUGAGAAAUCGAAAUUCCAAUCUACCGUGGUUUCAUCACAGAUUUACUAAAGUUCAUACUUACGUACCAACAAACAACGCCGUCCUUGGAGUCAAUAAUUGCAAGUUGUACUCGUUUAGGUUUCCAAGUUAUUUAUGGCAUGAAACAUAAUAUGUUAAUUUAGUUACCGUUUUGUUCAACAAAUUAAUCUCUGGAAAAAAAAAAAAAUCCUUUCACGAAUACGCAAUUUAUAGGAUUUAUAGUUAUGUACACAUGUACAUGUGAAAAUUAAGUUACAUAUAUUCGACAGUUUGGAAAGCACUGGUAACUUAGAAAUUUAAGUUAUAUUGUUUCAAUAAUUUCAAGCCACUAAUUAUAUAAGGAAUAAAAGCGAAAUCCUAUUAUGCCAAUUUAUUUACCAUUAUAGUUCGAUACAUUGAUUUUUUAUUAUAGAAAAUCCAUACAUGAACAAUUCUUUGAAUCCAAUGCGCUCGUCAUGGCGUUGCUUAAAGUCAUACUUUUGUACAGAAGGAAAUGCCAUAAUCAGCGCUACUUGAUACAUCAAUAUUUAGCAUAUACUUAUGACGUGCACCAAAAAUCUUAUGUUCUCCCAAUAUGUUCGUUAAAUGUUUGAACGGAUAAUAAAUAACAUCACCUUCUUACUUAUAGUUUACUUGGUUUGAAUUUUUUUAUCUUUGAUAAUACUGUGAUGAUAAACGUGUGGUACACGGGCAAACAGUGAAGUGAUUCUAAAUUACCGAACACAACGAAAAAAAGUAAUUGAAAUAGUGUAACACCAAACAAUUUUCGCUAAUUAGGCCACAACAUGAAAUUCAAAAGUUUAUAAGUAACGGUCUUCUAUUCUCAAACUGUUGUAGUAAAUAUGGCAAAUAUAAGUGAUGGUUCUGAAUGACCUCUUUUAAUCACUUGAAAAACAGAUAAAGUUGUACAGAUAAGGAUUACAACGAAGUUAACUAAUAUAAAAUAAUUGUAUAUAAACUUAUGCUUAAAGCAGUAUGUUCACAACAAAGGCAAAAAACAGUUUUAUUAUGAAUUAUGGAAAUAUUAAUUGUGGUAGUGUGUGCUAAAUAUGAUUCUUUCUUACUAAUUUCGUGUUCGAUCCACUGAAUAACACGAAAGAAUUAAAGUUUUCAAAAACAAUAUCUCUUUGGUUGUCAUUUUUAUUUUAUUUUAUCACCACAUAACUCUGUUUUAAAUAAACUAGUAUCUCUUUCGCAUACAAAUAAUUGGUAAACGAGUUCGGCAACGUAGCGUUUUUGUAUUUUAAAAAAUGUACCAUCAAGGUCCAUUAAUUCGAUAAUAUAUUGGGAUUUGAUUCUGGCCUUAGUUUCGGUAAGAUAAUAUUGAGAAAUCGAAAUUCCAAUCUACCAAGGUUCCAUCACAGAUUUACUAAAGUUCAUACUUACGUACCAACAAACAACGUCGUCCUUGGAGUCAUGUAUACUUUAAUUGCAAGUUGUACUCGUUUAGGUUGCCAAGUUAUUUAUGCCAUGAAACAUAAUAUGUCAAUUUGGUUACCGUUUUGUUCAACAAAUUAAUCUCUGGAAAAAAAAAAAAAAAAAAAACCUUUCACGCAAUUUAUAGGAUUUAUAGUUAUGUACACAUGUACAUGUGAAAAUUAAGUUACAUAUAUUCGACAGUUUGGAAAGCACUGAUAACUUAGAAAUUGAAGUUAUAUUGUUUCAAUAAUUUAAAGCCACAAAUUAUUUAAGGAAUAAAAUCGCAAUCUUAUUAUGCCAAUUUAUUUACCAUUAUAGUUCGAUACAUAGAUUUGUUAUUAUAUAAAAUCCAUACAUGAACAAUUCUUUGAAUCCAAUGCGCUCCUCAUGGCGUUGCUAAAGUCAUACUUUUGUACAGCAAAUAAUGCCAAUAAUAAAAUAUAUAUACUUUGAAUUAAGGUCGUACUUGUUUUAGCUUGAAACCUCAUAUGCUAAUUUAGUUACCAUUCUGGUCGAACAAAUUCAUCUCUUAAAAUAAUAUUUCCUUUCAUGAAUACACAAUUUAUUUAACUUACCAUUUCUAAACAUGCAUUUACAAAAAAUAAGUUACAUAUAAUCUUAGGUUUGGAGAGCACAAAUAAGUUAGAAAUUAAGCUAUAUAGCUUGAAUAUGCACCUAAUUAUACUCGGCAUCAAAUCGCAAUCUUAUUAUCAUAACUUAUCUACCAUUAUAGUUCGAUAAAUUGAUUUGUUUCAAAAAUUCAUGCAUGAACAAUUCGUUGAAUCCAACCUCACCAAGAUGUGCAAUCAUAGAAAAUAGUUUUCAAAUUCACCUAUAUAUAUUGUAGUCUUUUUAAAAACUAGUGACUCCGAAUUCAAGUUUUAUACCACGUACAAACCUAUAAUCCUUCCUUGCCUUCAACAAAUUGAAUAGAUAUGGAGAAAGGUUCAUUCAAGUCAGCUUUCCUCAUUGUGCUCCUUCUUGUUUCAUAUAAAGGUAAAAUACUUCUCUCAAUUUUUAUUUUUGUUACAAUGAAAGAGAAAUUUAUUCUUGACAUAAUAUAAUCCGAACGUUAAUCCUAACAACCUAGGCUAACCUCAGGGGCUGACUUCUUUGAACAAUAAAACUGCAUAUAGGAAUUUUUUUCUCCAACCUGGUUGACUUCACUUAUUUUGAAAAUGUGUAUAUGUCCUUGAUACAUAGUUCAAAUUGUAUAAUUUAACCUAACAAUUGUCGAUAUUUUCAGCCAUAAAGUAGAGUUUAAGUGUAUAUUUUUGUAACGUAAACUUAUGCAUAACACAGUAUGUUCACAAUAAAGGCAAAAAACAGUUUUAUUAUGAAUUAUCGAAAUAUUAAUUGUGGUAGGUGUGCAAUUUGGAGCCGAAGCAAGAGGUCCAGUUACUCGUUAUCCGUGCCAAACAUCUGCUCUAUGCGGCCCAUGCACAUGCGUCGAGAAUUGGUGUAAGUGUCCGCCAGAUAAAAUAUCGAAGUUCAUUCUUCAAGACAUCUCUACACAUCCGCAAGCACAGAAGGAAAUGCCGUAAUCAACGCUACUUGAUACAUCAAUAUAUAGCAUAUACUUAUGACGUGCACCAAAAAUCUUAUGUUCUCCCAAUAUGUUCGUUAAAUGUUUGAACGGAUAAUAAAUAACAUCACCUUCUUACUUAUAGUUUACUUGGUUCGAAUUUUUUUAUAUUUCAUAAUACUGUGAUGAUAAAGGUGUGGUACACGAGCAAACAGUGAAGUGAUUCUAAAUUACCGAACACAACGAAAAAAAGGCAAUUGAAAUAGUGUAACACCUAACAAUUUUCGCUAAUUAGGCGACAACAUGAAAUUCAAAAGUUUCUAAGUAAUAGUCUUCUAUUCUCAAACUGUUGUAGUAAAUAUGGCAAAUACAAGUGAUGGUUCUGAAUGACCUCUUUUAAUCACCUGAAAAACAGAUAAAGUUGCACAGAUAAGGAUUACAACGAAGUUAACGAAUAUAAAAUUCUUUACUCUGUGCUCAAUAUGAUUAUUUCUUACUAAUUUCGUGUUCGAUCCACCGAAUAACAUGAAAGAAUUAAAGUUUUAAAAAACAAUAUCUCCUUGUUGUCAUUUUUAUUUUAGUUUAUCAUCACAUAACUCUGUUUUAAAAAAACUAGUAUCUCUUUCGCAUACAAAACAUUGGUAAACGAGUUCGGCAACGUAGCGUUUUUGUAUUUUAAAAAAUGUACCAUCAACGUCCAUUAAUUCGAUAAUAUAUUGGGAUUUGAAUCUGGCCUUAGUUUCUGUAACACAAUAUUGAGAAAUCGAAAUUCCAAUCUACCGUGGUUUCAUCACAGAUUUACUAAAGUUCAUACUUACGUACCAACAAACAACGCCGUCCUUGGAGUCAAUAAUUGCAAGUUGUACUCGUUUAGGUUGCCAAGUUAUUUAUGGCAUGCAACAUAAUAUGUCAAUUUAGUUACCGUUUUGUUCAACAAAUUAAUCUCUGGAAAAAAAAAAAUCCAUUCACGAAUACGCAAUUUAUAGGAUUUAUAGUUAUGUACACAUGUACAUGUGAAAAUUAAGUUACAUAUAUUCGACAGUUUGGAAAGCACUGGUAACUUAGAAAUUUAAGGUAUAUUGUUUCGAUAAUUUCAAGCCACUAAUUAUAUAAGGAAUAAAAUCGAAAUCUUAUUAUGCCAAUUUAUUUACCAUUAUAGUUCGAUACAUUGAUUUUUUAUUAUAGAAAAUCCAUACAUGAACAAUUCUUUGAAUCCAAUGCACUCGUCAUGGCGUUGCUUAAAGUCAUACUUUUGUACAGCAAAUAAAGCCAUUAAUAAAAUAUAUAUAUACUUUGAAUUAAGGUCGUACUUGUUUUGGCUUGAAACCUAAUAUGCUAAUUUAGUUACCAUUCUGGUCGAACAAAUUCAUCACUUAAAAUAAUAUUUCCUUUCAUGAAUACACAAUUUAUUUAACUUACCAUUUCUAAACAUGCAUUUACAAAAAAUAAGUUACAUAUAAUCUUAGGUUUGGAGGGCACAAAAAAGUUAGAAAUUGAGCUAUAUACCUUGAAUAUGCACCUAAUUAUACUAGGCAUCAAAUCGCAAUCUUAUUAUCAUAACUUAUUUACCAUUAUAGUUCGAUAAAUUGAUUUGUUUACAAAAUUCAUGCAUGAACAAUUCGUUGAAUCCAACCUCACCGAGAUGUGCAAUCAUAGAAAAUAGUUUUCAAAUUCACCUAUAUAUAUUGUAGUCUUUUUAAAAACUAGUGACUCCGAAUUCAAGUUUUAUACCACGUACAAACCCAUAAUCCUUCCUUGCCUUCAACAAAUUGAAUAGAUAUGGAGAAAGGUUCAUUCAAGUCAGCUUUCCUCAUUGUGCUCCUUCUUGUUUCAUAUAAUGGUAAAAUACUUCUCUCAAUUUUAAUUUUUGUUACAGUGAAAGAGAAAUUUAUUCUUGACAUACUAUAAUCCGAACGUUAAUCCUAACAACCUAGGCUAACCUCAGGGGCUGACUUCUUUGAACAAUACAACUGCAUAUAGGAAUUUUUUUCUCCAACCUGGUUGACCUCACUUAUUUUGAAAAUGUGUAUAUGUCCUUGAUACAUCGUUAAAAUUAUAUACUUUAACCAAACAAUUGUCGAUAUUUUCAACCAUAAAGUCGAGUUUAAGUGUAUAUUUUUGUAACGUAAACUUAAGCAUAAAGCAGUAUGUUCAAAAUAAAGGCAAAAAACAGUUUUAUUAUGAAUUAUGGUAAUAUUAAUUGUGGUAGGUGUGCAAUUUGGAGCCGAAGCAAGAGGUCCAGUUACUCGUUAUCCGUGCCAAACAUCUGCUCUAUGCGGCCCAUGCACAUGCGUCGAGAAUUGGUGUAAGUGUCCGCCAGAUAAAAUAUCGAAGUUCAUUGUUCAAGACAUCUCUACACAUCCACAAGCACAGAAGGAAAUGCCAUAAUCAGCGCUACUUCAUACAUCAAUAUAUAGCAUAUACUUAUGACGUGCACCAAAAAUCUUAUGUUCUCCCAAUAUGUUCGUUAAAUGUUUAAACGGAUAAUAAAUAACAUCACCUUCUUACUUAUAGCUUACUUGGUUUGAAUUUUUUUAUAUUUCAUAAUACUGUGAUGAUAAAGGUGUGGUACACGAGCAAACAGUGAAGUGAUUCUAAAUUACCGAACACAACGAAAAAAAGGCAAUUGAAAUAGUGUAACACCUAACAAUUUUCGCUAAUUAGGCGACAACAUGAAAUUCAAAAGUUUAUAAGAAAUAGUCUUCUAUUCUCAAACUGUUGUAGUAAAUAAGGCAAAUACAAGUGAUGGUUCUGAAUGACCUCUUUUAAUCACUUGAAAAACAGAUAAAGUUGUACAGAUAAGGAUUACAACGAAGUUAACUAAUAUAAAAUAAUUGUAUGUUUUAGUUUCAAGCACGUAGUUCUGAAUCCCAAAACAAGGAAAUAUUACUAAUUUCUUUAGUGUGUGCUAAAUAUGAUUCUUUCUUACUAAUUUCGUGUUCGAUCCACUGAAUAACACGAAAGAAUUAAAGUUGUCAAAAACAAUAUCUCUUUUGUUGUCAUUUUUAUUUUAUUUUAUCACCACAUAACUCUGUUUUAAAUAAACUAGUAUCUCUUUCGCAUACAAAUAAUUGGUAAACGAGUUCGGCAACGUAGCGUUUUUGUAUUUUAAAAAAUGUACCAUCAAGGUCCAUUAAUUCGAUAAUAUAUUGGGAUUUGAUUCUGGCCUUAGUUUCGGUAAGAUAAUAUUGAGUAAUCGAAAUUCCAAUCUACCGUGGUUCCAUCACAGAUUUACUAAAGUUCAUACUUACGUACCAACAAACAACGCCGUCCUUGGAGUCAUGUAUACUUUAAUUGCAAGUUGUACUCGUUUAGGUUUCCAAGUUAUUUAUGGCAUGAAACAUAAUAUGUUAAUUUAGUUACCGUUUUGUUCAACAAAUUAAUCUCUGGAAAAAAAAAAAAAAUCCUUUCACGAAUACGCAAUUUAUAGGAUUUAUAGUUAUGUACACAUGUACAUGUGAAAAUUAAGUUACAUAUAUUCGACAGUUUGGAAAGCACUGGUAACUUAGAAAUUUAAGUUAUAUUGUUUCAAUAAUUUCAAGCCACUAAUUAUAUAAGGAAUAAAAGCGAAAUCCGAUUAUGCCAAUUCAUUUACCAUUAUAGUUCGAUACAUUGAUUUUUUAUUAUAGAAAAUCCAUACAUGAACAAUUCUUUGAAUCCAAUGCGCUCGUCAUGGCGUUGCUUAAAGUCAUACUUUUGUACAGCAAAUAAAGCCAUUAAUAAAAUAUAUAUACUUUGAAUUAAGGUCGUACUUGUUUUGGCUUGAAACCUAAUAUGCUAAUUUAGUUACCAUUCUGAUCGAACAAAUUCAUCUCUUAAAAUAAUAUUUCCUUUCAUGAAUGCACAAUUUAUUUAACUUACCAUUUCUAAACGUGCAUUUACAAAAAAUAAGUUACAUACAAUCUUAGGUUUGGUGAGCACAAAUAAGUUAGAAAUUAAGCUAUAUGGCUUGAAUAUGCACCUAAUUAUACUAGGCAUCAAAUCGCAAUCUUAUUAUCAUAACUUAUUUACCAUUAUAGUUCGAUAAAUUGAUUUGUUUACAAAAUUCAUGCAUGAACAAUUCGUUGAAUCCAACUUCACCGAGAUGUGCAAUCAUAGAACAUAGUUUUCAAAUUCACCUAUAUAUAUUGUAGUCUUUUUAAAAACUACUGACACCGAAUUCAAGUUUUAUACCACGUACAAACCUAUAAUCCUUCCUUGCCUUCAACAAAUUGAAUAGAUAUGGAGAAAGGUUCAUUCAAGUCAGCUUUCCUCAUUGUGCUCCUUCUUGUUUCAUAUAAAGGUAAAAUACUUCUCUCAAUUUUUAUUUUUGUUACAAUGAAAGAGAAAUUUAUUCUUGACAUAAUAUAAUCCGAACGUUAAUCCUAACAACCUAGGCUAACCUCAGGGGCUGACUUCUUUGAACAAUAAAACUGCAUAUAGGAAUUUUUUUCUCCAACCUGGUUGACUUCACUUAUUUUGAAAAUGUGUAUAUGUCCUUGAUACCUCGUUAAAAUUAUAUAAUUUAACCUAACAAUUGUCGAUAUUUUCAGCCAUAAAGUAGAGUUUAAGUGUAUAUUUUUGUAACGUAAACUUAUGCAUAACACAGUAUGUUCACAAUAAAGGCAAAAAACAGUUUUAUUAUGAAUUAUCGAAAUAUUAAUUGUGGUAGGUGUGCAAUUUGGAGCCGAAGCAAGAGGUCCAGUUACUCGUUAUCCGUGCCAAACAUCUGCUCUAUGCGGCCCAUGCACAUGCGUCGAGAAUUGGUGUAAGUGUCCGCCAGAUAAAAUAUCGAAGUUCAUUCUUCAAGACAUCUCUACACAUCCGCAAGCACAGAAGGAAAUGCCGUAAUCAACGCUACUUGAUACAUCAAUAUAUAGCAUAUACAUAUGACGUGCACCAAAAAUCUUAUGUUCUCCCAAUAUGUUCGUUAAAUGUUUGAACGGAUAAUAAAUAACAUCACCUUCUUACUUAUAGUUUACUUGGUUCGUUUAUAUUUCAUAAUACUGUGAUGAUAAAGGUGUGGUACACGAGCAAACAGUGAAGUGAUUCUAAAUUACCGAACACAACGAAAAAAAGGCAAUUGAAAUAGUGUAACACCUAACAAUUUUCGCUAAUUAGGCGACAACAUGAAAUUCAAAAGUUUCUAAGUAAUAGUCUUCUAUUCUCAAACUGUUGUAGUAAAUAUGGCAAAUACAAGUGAUGGUUCUGAAUGACCUCUUUUAAUCACCUGAAAAACAGAUAAAGUUGCACAGAUAAGGAUUACAACGAAGUUAACGAAUAUAAAAUUCUUUACUCUGUGCUCAAUAUGAUUAUUUCUUACUAAUUUCGUGUUCGAUCCACCGAAUAACAUGAAAGAAUUAAAGUUUUAAAAAACAAUAUCUCCUUGUUGUCAUUUUUAUUUUAGUUUAUCAUCACAUAACUCUGUUUUAAAAAAACUAGUAUCUCUUUCGCAUACAAAACAUUGGUAAACGAGUUCGGCAACGUAGCGUUUUUGUAUUUUAAAAAAUGUACCAUCAACGUCCAUUAAUUCGAUAAUAUAUUGGGAUUUGAAUCUGGCCUUAGUUUCUGUAACACAAUAUUGAGAAAUCGAAAUUCCAAUCUACCGUGGUUUCAUCACAGAUUUACUAAAGUUCAUACUUACGUACCAACAAACAACGCCGUCCUUGGAGUCAAUAAUUGCAAGUUGUACUCGUUUAGGUUUCCAAGUUAUUUAUGGCAUGAAACAUAAUAUGUUAAUUUAGUUACCGUUUUGUUCAACAAAUUAAUCUCUGGAAAAAAAAAAAAUCCUUUCAGGAAUACGCAAUUUAUAGGAUUUAUAGUUAUGUACACAUGUACAUGUGAAAAUUAAGUUACAUAUAUUCGACAGUUUGGAAAGCACUGGUAACUUAGAAAUUUAAGUUAUAUUGUUUCAAUAAUUUCAAGCCACUAAUUAUAUAAGGAAUAAAAUCGAAAUCUUAUUAUGCCAAUUUAUUUACCAUUAUAGUUCGAUACAUUGAUUUUUUAUUAUAGAAAAUCCAUACAUGAACAAUUCUUUGAAUCCAAUGCACUCGUCAUGGCGUUGCUUAAAGUCAUACUUUUGUACAGCAAAUAAAGCCAUUAAUAAAAUAUAUAUAUAUAUAUACUUUGAAUUAAGGUCGUACUUGUUUUGGCUUGAAACCUAAUAUGCUAAUUUAGUUACCAUUCUGGUCGAACAAAUUCAUCAGUUAAAAUAAUAUUUCCUUUCAUGAAUACACAAUUUAUUUAACUUACCAUUUCUAAACAUGCAUUUACAAAAAAUAAGUUACAUAUAAUCUUAGGUUUGGAGGGCACAAAUAAGUUAGAAAUUGAGCUAUAUACCUUGAAUAUGCACCUAAUUAUACUAGGCAUCAAAUCGCAAUCUUAUUAUCAUAACUUAUUUACCAUUAUAGUUCGAUAAAUUGAUUUGUUUACAAAAUUCAUGCAUGAACAAUUCGUUGAAUCCAACCUCACCGAGAUGUGCAAUCAUAGAAAAUAGUUUUCAAAUUCACCUAUAUAUAUUGUAGUCUUUUUAAAAACUAGUGACUCCGAAUUCAAGUUUUAUACCACGUACAAACCCAUAAUCCUUCCUUGCCUUCAACAAAUUGAAUAGAUAUGGAGAAAGGUUCAUUCAAGUCAGCUUUCCUCAUUGUGCUCCUUCUUGUUUCAUAUAAUGGUAAAAUACUUCUCUCAAUUUUAAUUUUUGUUACAGUGAAAGAGAAAUUUAUUCUUGACAUACUAUAAUCUGAACGUUAAUCCUAACAACCUAGGCUAACCUCAGGGGCUGACUUCUUUGAACAAUACAACUGCAUAUAGGAAUUUUUUUCUCCAACCUGGUUCACUUCACUUAUUUUGAAAUUGUGUAUAUGUCCUUGAUACCUCGUUAAAAUUAUAUAAUUUAACCUAACAAUUGUCGAUAUUUUCAGCCAUAAAGUAGAGUUUAAGUGUAUAUUUUUGUAACGUAAACUUAUGCAUAAAGCAGUAUGUUCACAUAAAGGCAAAAAACAGUUUUAUUAUGAAUUAUGGAANNNNNNNNNNNNNNNNNNNNNNNNNNNNNNNNNNNNNNNNNNNNNNNNNNNNNNNNNNNNNNNNNNNNNNNNNNNNNNNNNNNNNNNNNNNNNNNNNNNNNNNNNNNNNNNNNNNNNNNNNNNNNNNNNNNNNNNNNNNNNNNNNNNNNNCAAGAAUCUCUACACAUCCACAAGCACAGAAGGAAAUGCCAUAAUCAGCGCUACUUCAUACAUCAAUAUAUAGCAUAUACUUAUGACGUGCACCAAAAAUCUUAUGUUCUCCCAAUAUGUUCGUUAAAUGUUUAAACGGAUAAUAAAUAACAUCACCUUCUUACUUAUAGCUUACUUGGUUUGAAUUUUUUUAUAUUUCAUAAUACUGUGAUGAUAAAGGUGUGGUACACGAGCAAACAGUGAAGUGAUUCUAAAUUACCGAACACAACGAAAAAAAGGCAAUUGAAAUAGUGUAACACCUAACAAUUUUCGCUAAUUAGGCGACAACAUGAAAUUCAAAAGUUUAUAAGAAAUAGUCUUCUAUUCUCAAACUGUUGUAGUAAAUAAGGCAAAUACAAGUGAUGGUUCUGAAUGACCUCUUUUAAUCACUUGAAAAACAGAUAAAGUUGUACAGAUAAGGAUUACAACGAAGUUAACUAAUAUAAAAUAAUUGUAUGUUUUAGUUUCAAGCACGUAGUUCUGAAUCUCAAAACAAGUAAAUAUUACUAAUUUCUUUAGUGUGUGCUAAAUAUGAUUCUUUCUUACUAAUUUCGUGUUCGAUCCACUGAAUAACACGAAAGAAUUAAAGUUGUCAAAAACAAUAUCUCUUUUGUUGUCAUUUUUAUUUUAUUUUAUCACCACAUAACUCUGUUUUAAAUAAACUAGUAUCUCUUUCGCAUACAAAUAAUUGGUAAACGAGUUCGGCAACGUAGCGUUUUUGUAUUUUAAAAAAUGUACCAUCAAGGUCCAUUAAUUCGAUAAUAUAUUGGGAUUUGAUUCUGGCCUUAGUUUCGGUAAGAUAAUAUUGAGAAAUCGAAAUUCCAAUCUACCAAGGUUCCAUCACAGAUUUACUAAAGUUCAUACUUACGUACCAACAAACAACGUCGUCCUUGGAGUCAUGUAUACUUUAAUUGCAAGUUGUACUCGUUUAGGUUGCCAAGUUAUUUAUGCCAUGAAACAUAAUAUGUCAAUUUGGUUACCGUUUUGUUCAACAAAUUAAUCUCUGGAAAAAAAAAAAAAAAAAAACCUUUCACGAAUACGCAAUUUAUAGGAUUUAUAGUUAUGUACACAUAUACAUGUGAAAAUUAAGUUACAUAUAUUCGACAGUUUGGAAAGCACUGGUAACUUAGAAAUUGAAGUUAUAUUGUUUCAAUAAUUUAAAGCCACAAAUUAUUUAAGGAAUAAAAUCGCAAUCUUAUUAUGCCAAUUUAUUUACCAUUAUAGUUCGAUACAUAGAUUUGUUAUUAUAUAAAAUCCAUACAUGAACAAUUCUUUGAAUCCAAUGCGCUCCUCAUGGCGUUGCUAAAGUCAUACUUUUGUACAGCAAAUAAUGCCAAUAAUAAAAUAUAUAUACUUUGAAUUAAGGUCGUACUUGUUUUAGCUUGAAACCUCAUAUGCUAAUUUAGUUACCAUUCUGGUCGAACAAAUUCAUCUCUUAAAAUAAUAUUUCCUUUCAUGAAUACACAAUUUAUUUAACUUACCAUUUCUAAACAUGCAUUUACAAAAAAUAAGUUACAUAUAAUCUUAGGUUUGGAGAGCACAAAUAAGUUAGAAAUUAAGCUAUAUAGCUUGAAUAUGCACCUAAUUAUACUAGGCAUCAAAUCGCAAUCUUAUUAUCAUAACUUAUCUACCAUUAUAGUUCGAUAAAUUGAUUUGUUUCAAAAAUUCAUGCAUGAACAAUUCGUUGAAUCCAACCUCACCAAGAUGUGCAAUCAUAGAAAAUAGUUUUCAAAUUCACCUAUAUAUAUUGUAGUCUUUUUAAAAACUAGUGACUCCGAAUUCAAGUUUUAUACCACGUACAAACCUAUAAUCCUUCCUUGCCUUCAACAAAUUGAAUAGAUAUGGAGAAAGGUUCAUUCAAGUCAGCUUUCCUCAUUGUGCUCCUUCUUGUUUCAUAUAAUGGUAAAAUACUUCUCUCAAUUUUUAAUUUUGUUACAAUGAAAGAGAAAUUUAUUCUUGACAUACUAUAAUCCAAACGUUAAUCCUAACAACCUAGGCUAACCUCAGGGGCUGACUUCUUUGAACAAUACAACUGCAUAUAGGCAUUUUUUUCUCCAACCUGGUUGACUUCACUUAUUUUGAAAAUGUGUAUAUGUCCUUGAUACAUCGUUAAAAUUAUAUAAUUUAACCUAACAAUUGUCGAUAUUUUCAGCCAUAAAGUAGAGUUUAAGUGUAUAUUUUUGUAACGUAAACUUAUGCAUAACGCAAUAUGUUCACAAUAAAGGCAAAAAACAGUUUUAUUAUGAAUUAUCGAAAUAUUAAUUGUGGUAGGUGUGCAAUUUGGAGCCGAAGCAAGAGGUCCAGUUACUCGUUAUCCGUGCCAAACAUCUGCUCUAUGCGGCCCAUGCACAUGCGUCGAGAAUUGGUGUAAGUGUCCGCCAGAUAAAAUAUCGAAGUUCAUUCUUCAAGACAUCUCUACACAUCCGCAAGCACAGAAGGAAAUGCCGUAAUCAACGCUACUUGAUACAUCAAUAUAUAGCAUAUACAUAUGACGUGCACCAAAAAUCUUAUGUUCUCCCAAUAUGUUCGUUAAAUGUUUGAACGGAUAAUAAAUAACAUCACCUUCUUACUUAUAGUUUACUUGGUUCGUUUAUAUUUCAUAAUACUGUGAUGAUAAAGGUGUGGUACACGAGCAAACAGUGAAGUGAUUCUAAAUUACCGAACACAACGAAAAAAAGUAAUUGAAAUAGUGUAACACCAAACAAUUUUCGCUAAUUCGGCGACAACAUGAAAUUCAAAAGUUUCUAAGUAAUAGUCUUCUAUUCUCAAACUGUUGUAGUAAAUAUGGCAAAUACAAGUGAUGGUUCUGAAUGACCUCUUUUAAUCACCUGAAAAACAGAUAAAGUUGCACAGAUAAGGAUUACAACGAAGUUAACGAAUAUAAAAUUCUUUACUGUGUGCUAAAUAUGAUUAUUUCUUACUAAUUUCGUGUUCGAUCCACCGAAUAACAUGAAAGAAUUAAAGUGUUAAAAAACAAUAUGUCUUUGUUGUCAUUUUUAUUUUAGUUUAUCACCACAUAACUCUGUUUUAAAAAAACUAGUAUCUCUUUCGCAUACAAAACAUUGGUAAACGAGUUCGGCAACGUAGCGUUUUUGUAUUUUAAAAAAUGUACCAUCAACGUCCAUUAAUUCGAUAAUAUAUUGGGAUUUGAAUCUGGCCUUAGUUUCUGUAACACAAUAUUGAGAAAUCGAAAUUCCAAUCUACCGUGGUUUCAUCACAGAUUUACUAAAGUUCAUACUUACGUACCAACAAACAACGCCGUCCUUGGAGUCAAUAAUUGCAAGUUGUACUCGUUUAGGUUGCCAAGUUAUUUAUGGCAUGAAACAUAAUAUGUCAAUUUAGUUACCGUUUUGUUCAACAAAUUAAUCUCUGGAAAAAAAAAAAUCCAUUCACGAAUACGCAAUUUAUAGGAUUUAUAGUUAUGUACACAUGUACAUGUGAAAAUUAAGUUACAUAUAUUCGACAGUUUGGAAAGCACUGGUAACUUAGAAAUUUAAGUUAUAUUGUUUCAAUAAUUUCAAGCCACUAAUUAUAUAAGGAAUAAAAUCGAAAUCUUAUUAUGCCAAUUUAUUUACCAUUAUAGUUCGAUACAUUGAUUUUUUAUUAUAGAAAAUCCAUACAUGAACAAUUCUUUGAAUCCAAUGCACUCGUCAUGGCGUUGCUUAAAGUCAUACUUUUGUACAGCAAAUAAAGCCAUUAAUAAAAUAUAUAUAUAUACUUUGAAUUAAGGUCGUACUUGUUUUGGCUUGAAACCUAAUAUGCUAAUUUAGUUACCAUUCUGGUCGAACAAAUUCAUCACUUAAAAUAAUAUUUCCUUUCAUGAAUACACAAUUUAUUUAACUUACCAUUUCUAAACAUGCAUUUACAAAAAAUAAGUUACAUAUAAUCUUAGGUUUGGAGGGCACAAAAAAGUUAGAAAUUGAGCUAUAUACCUUGAAUAUGCACCUAAUUAUACUAGGCAUCAAAUCGCAAUCUUAUUAUCAUAACUUAUUUACCAUUAUAGUUCGAUAAAUUGAUUUGUUUACAAAAUUCAUGCAUGAACAAUUCGUUGAAUCCAACCUCACCGAGAUGUGCAAUCAUAGAAAAUAGUUUUCAAAUUCACCUAUAUAUAUUGUAGUCUUUUUAAAAACUAGUGACUCCGAAUUCAAGUUUUAUACCACGUACAAACCCAUAAUCCUUCCUUGCCUUCAACAAAUUGAAUAGAUAUGGAGAAAGGUUCAUUCAAGUCAGCUUUCCUCAUUGUGCUCCUUCUUGUUUCAUAUAAUGGUAAAAUACUUCUCUCAAUUUUAAUUUUUGUUACAGUGAAAGAGAAAUUUAUUCUUGACAUACUAUAAUCCGAACGUUAAUCCUAACAACCUAGGCUAACCUCAGGGGCUGACUUCUUUGAACAAUACAACUGCAUAUAGGAAUUUUUUUCUCCAACCUGGUUCACUUCACUUAUUUUGAAAUUGUGUAUAUGUCCUUGAUACCUCGUUAAAAUUAUAUAAUUUAACCUAACAAUUGUCGAUAUUUUCAGCCAUAAAGUAGAGUUUAAGUGUAUAUUUUUGUAACGUAAACUUAUGCAUAAAGCAGUAUGUUCACAAUAAAGGCAAAAAACAGUUUUAUUAUGAAUUAUGGAAAUAUUAAUUGUGGUAGGUGUGCAAUUUGGAGCCGAAGCAAGAGGUCCAGUUACUCGUUAUCCGUGCCAAACAUCUGCUCUAUGCGGCCCAUGCACAUGCGUCGAGAAUUGGUGUAAGUGUCCGCCAGAUAAAAUAUCGAAGUUCAUUCUUCAAGACAUCUCUACACAUCCACAAGCACAGAAGGAAAUGCCAUAAUCAGCGCUACUUCAUACAUCAAUAUAUAGCAUAUACUUAUGACGUGCACCAAAAAUCUUAUGUUCUCCCAAUAUGUUCGUUAAAUGUUUGAGUGGAUAAUAAAUAACAUCACCUUCUUACUUAUGGCUUACUUGGUUUGAAUUUUUUUAUAUUUCAUAAUACUGUGAUGAUAAAGGUGUGGUACACGAGCAAACAGUGAAGUGAUUCUAAAUUACCGAACACAACGAAAAAAAGUAAUUGAAAUAGUGUAACACCUAACAAUUUUCGCUAAUUAGGCGACAACAUGAAAUUCAAAAGUUUAUAAGAAAUAGUCUUCUAUUCUCAAACUGUUGUAGUAAAUAAGGCAAAUAUAAGUGAUGGUUCUGAAUGACCUCUUUUAAUCACUUGAAAAACAGAUAAAGUUGUACAGAUAAGGAUUACAACGAAGUUAACUAAUAUAAAAUAAUUGUAUGUUUUAGUUUCAAGCACGUAGUUCUGAAUCCCAAAACAAGGAAAUAUUCCUAAUUUCUUUAGUGUGUGCUAAAUAUGAUUAUUUCUUACUAAUUUCGUGUUUGAUCCACUGAAUAACACGAAAGAUUUAAAGUUUUCAAAAACAAUAUCUCUUUGGUUGUCAUUUUUAUUUUAUUUUAUCACCACAUAACUCUGUUUUAAAUAAACUAGUAUCUCUUUCGCAUACAAAUAAUUGGUAAACGAGUUCGGCAACGUAGCGUUUUUGUAUUUUAAAAAAUGUACCAUCAAGGUCCAUUAAUUCGAUAAUAUAUUGGGAUUUGAUUCUGGCCUUAGUUUUAGUAAGAUAAUAUUGAGAAAUCGAAAUUCCAAUCUACCGUGGUUCCAUCACAGAUUUACUAAAGUUCAUACUUACGUACCAACAAAAAACGCCGUCCAUGGAGUCAUGUAUACUUUAAUUGCAAGUUGUACUCGUUUAGGUUGCCAAGUUAUUUAUGGCAUGAAACAAAAUAUGUCAAUUUAGUUACCGUUUUGUUCAACAAAUUAAUCUCUGAAAAAAAAAAAAAUCCUUUCACGAAUACGCAAUUUAUAGGAUUUAUAGUUAUGUACACAUGUGCAUGUGAAAAUUAAGCUACAUAUAUUCGAGAGUUCGGAAAGCACUGGAAACUUAGAAAUUUUAGUUAUAUUGUUUCAAUAAUUUAAAGCCACUAAUUAUAUAAGGAAUAAAAUCGCAAUCUUAUUAUGCCAAUUUAUUUACCAUUAUAGUUCGAUACAUUGAUUUUUUAUUAUAGAAAAUCCAUACAUGAACAAUUCUUUGAAUCCAAUGCGCUCAUCAUGGCGUUGCUUAAAGUCAUACUUUUGUAUAGCAAAUAACGCCAAUAAUAAAAUAUAUAUACUUUGAAUUAAGGUCGUACUUGUUUUGGCUUGAAACCUAAUAUGCUAAUUUAGUUACCAUUCUGGUGGAACAGAAUCAUCUCUUAAAAUAAUAUUUCCUUUCAUGAAUACACAAUUUAUUUAACUUACCAUUUCUAAACAUGCAUUUACAAAAAAUAAGUUACAUAUAAUCUUAGGUUUGGAGAGCACAAAUAAGUUAGAAAUUAAGCUAUAUGGCUUGAAUAUGCACCUAAUUAUACUAGGCAUCAAAUCGCAAUCUUAUUAUCAUAACUUAUUUACCAUUAUAGUUCGAUAAAUUGAUUUGUUUACAAAAUUCAUGCAUGAACAAUUCGUUGAAUCCAACCUCACCGAGAUGUGCAAUCAUAGAACAUAGUUUUCAAAUUCACCUAUAUAUAUUGUAGUCUUUUUAAAAACUAGUGACUCCGAAUUCAAGUUUUAUACCACGUACAAACCUAUAAUCCUUCCUUGCCUUCAACAAAUUGAAUAGAUAUGGAGAAAGGUUCAUUCAAGUCAGCUUUCCUCGUUGUGCUCCUUCUUGUUUCAUAUAAUGGUAAAAUACUUCUCUCAAUUUUUAUUUUUGUUACAAUGAUAUAAUCCGAACGUUAUUCUUGACAUAAUAUAAUCCGAACGUUAAUCCUAACAACCUAGGCUAACCUCAGGGGCUGACUUCUUUGAACAAUAAAACUGCAUAAAGGAAUUUUUUUCUCAAACCUGGUUGACUUCACUUAUUUUGAAAAUGUGUAUAUGUCCUUGAUACCUCGUUAAAAUUAUAUACUUUAACCUAACAAUUGUCGAUAUUUUCAGCCAUAAAGUCGAGUUUAAGUGUAUAUUUUUGUAACGUAAACUUAUUCAUAAAGCAGUAUAUUCAUAAUAAAGGCAAGAAACAGUUUUAUUAUGAAUUAUGGAAAUAUUAAUUGUGGUAGGUGUGCAAUUUGGAGCCGAAGCAAGAGGUCCAGUUACUCGUUAUCCGUGCCAAACAUCUGCUCUAUGCGGCCCAUGCACAUGCGUCGAGAAUUGGUGUAAGUGUCCGCCAGAUAAAAUAUCGAAGUUCAUUCUUCAAGACAUCUCUACACAUCCGCAAGCACAGAAGGAAAUGCCAUAAUCAGCGCUACUUCAUACAUCAAUAUAUAGCAUAUACUUAUGACGUGCACCAAAAAUCUUAUGUUCUCCCAAUAUGUUUGUUAAAUGUUUAAACGGAUAAUAAAUAACAUCACCUUCUUACUUAUAGUUUACUUGGUUCGAAUUUUUUUAUAUUUCAUAAUACUGUGAUGAUAAAGGUGUGGUACACGAGCAAACAGUGAAGUGAUUCCAAAUUACCGAACACAACGAUAAAAAGUAAUUGAAAUAGUGUAACACCAAACAAUUUUCGCUAAUUAGGCGACAACAAGAAAUUCAAAAGUUUAUAAGUAACGGUCUUCUAUUCUCAAACUGUUGUAGUAAAUAUGGCAAAUAUAAGUGAUGGUUCUAAAUGACCUCUUUUAAUCACUUGAAAACAGAUAAAGUUGUACAGAUAAGGAUAACAACGAAGUUAACUAAUAUAAAAUAAUUGUAUAUUUUAGUCUCAAGCACGUAGUUCUGAAUCUCAAAACAAGUAAAUAUUACUAAUUUCUUUAGUGUGUGCUAAAUAUGAUUCUUUCUUACUAAUUUCGUGUUCGAUCCACUGAAUAACACGAAAGAAUUAAAGUUGUCAAAAACAAUAUCUCUUUUGUUGUCAUUUUUAUUUUAUUUUAUCACCACAUAACUCUGUUUUAAAUAAACUAGUAUCUCUUUCGCAUACAAAUAAUUGGUAAACGAGUUCGGCGACGUAGCGUUUUUGUAUUUUAAAAAAUGUACCAUCAAGGUCCAUUAAUUCGAUAAUAUAUUGGGAUUUGAUUCUGGCCUUAGUUUCAGUAAGAUAAUAUUGAGAAAUCGAAAUUCCAAUCUACCGUGGUUCCAUCACAGAUUUACUAAAGUUCAUACUUACGUACCAACAAACAACGCCGUCCUUGGAGUCAUAUAUACUUUAAUUGCAAGUUGUACUCGUUUAGGUUGCCAAGUUAUUUAUGGCAUGAAACAAAAUAUGUCAAUUUAGUUACCGUUUUGUUCAACAAAUUAAUCUCUGAAAAAAAAAAAAAAUCCUUUCACGAAUACGCAAUUUAUAGGAUUUAUAGUUAUGUACACAUGUGCAUGUGAAAAUUAAGCUACAUAUAUUCGACAGUUUGGAAAGCACUGGUAACUUAGAAAUUGAAGUUAUAUUGUUUCAAUAAUUUAAAGCCACUAAUUAUAUAAGGAAUAAAAUCGAAAUCUUAUUAUGCCAAUUUAUUUACCAUUAUAGUUCGAUACAUUGAUUUUUUAUUAUAGAAAAUCCAUACAUGAACAAUUCUUUGAAUCCAAUGCGUCAUGGCAUUGCUUAAAGUCAUACUCAUGGCGUUGCUUAAAGUCAUACUUUUGUACAGCAAAUAACGCCAAUAAUAAAAUAUAUAUACUUUGAAACCUAAUAUGCUAAUUUAGUUACCAUUCUGGUCGAACAAAUUCAUCUCUUAAAAUAAUUUUUCCUUUCAUGAAUACACAAUUUAUUUAACUUACCAUUUCUAAACAUGCAUUUACAAAAAAUAAGUUACAUACAAUCUUAGGUUUGGAGAGCACAAAUAAGUUAGAAAUUAAGCUAUAUGGCUUGAAUAUGCACCUAAUUAUACUAGGCAUCAACUCGCAAUCAUACUAUCAUAACUUAUUUACCAUUAUAGUUCGAUAAAUUGAUUUGUUUACAAAAUUCAUGCAUGAACAAUUCGUUGAAUCCAACCUCACCGAGAUGUGCAAUCAUAGAAAAUAGUUUUCAAAUUCACCUAUAUAUAUUGUAGUCUUUUUAAAAACUAGUGACUCCGAAUUCAAGUUUUAUACCACGUACAAACCCAUAAUCCUUCCUUGCCUUCAACAAAUUGAAUAGAUAUGGAGAAAGGUUCAUUCAAGUCAGCUUUCCUCAUUGUGCUCCUUCUUGUUUCAUAUAAUGGUAAAAUACUUCUCUCAAUUUUUAUUUUUGUGACAAUGAAAGAGAAAUUUAUUCUUGACAUACUAUAAUCCGAACGUUAAUCCUAACAACCUAGGCUAACCUCUGGGGCUGACUUCUUUGAACAAUACAACUGCAUAUAGGAAUUUUUUUCUCCAACCUGGUUGACCUCACUUAUUUUGAAAAUGUGUAUAUGUCCUUGAUACAUCGUUAAAAUUAUAUACUUUAACCAAACAAUUGUCGAUAUUUUCAACCAUAAAGUCGAGUUUAAGUGUAUAUUUUUGUAACGUAAACUUAAGCAUAAAGCAGUAUGUUCAAAAUAAAGGCAAAAAACAGUUUUAUUAUGAAUUAUGGAAAUAUUAAUUGUGGUAGGUGUGCAAUUUGGAGCCGAAGCAAGAGGUCCAGUUACUCGUUAUCCGUGCCAAACAUCUGCUCUAUGCGGCCCAUGCACAUGCGUCGAGAAUUGGUGUAAGUGUCCGCCAGAUAAAAUAUCGAAGUUCAUUCUUCAAGACAUCUCUACACACCCGCAAGCACAGAAGGAAAUGCCAUAAUCAGCGCUACUUGAUACAUCAAUAUAUAGCAUAUACUUAUGACGUGCACCAAAAAUCUUAUGUUCUCCCAAUAUGUUCGUUAAAUGUUUGAACGGAUAAUAAAUAACAUCACCUUCUUACUUAUAGUUUACUUGGUUUGAAUUUUUUUAUCUUUGAUAAUACUGUGAUGAUAAAGGUGUGGUACACGGGCAAACAGUGAAGUGAUUCUAAAUUACCGAACACAACGAAAAAAAGUAAUUGAAAUAGUGUAACACCAAAAAUUUUUCGCUAAUUCGGCGACAACAUGAAAUUCAAAAGUUUAUAAGUAAUAGUCUUCUAUUCUCAAACUGUUGUAGUAAAUAUGGCAAAUACAAGUGAUGGUUCUGAAUGACCUCUUUUAAUCACCUGAAAAACAGAUAAAGUUGCACAGAUAAGGAUUACAAAAAAGUUAACGAAUAUAAAAUUCUUUACUGUGUGCUAAAUAUGAUUAUUUCUUACUAAUUUCGUGUUCGAUCCACCGAAUAACAUGAAAGAAUUAAAGCUUUAAAAAACAAUAUGUCUUUGUUGUCAUUUUUAUUUUAUUUUAUCACCACAUAACUCUGUUUUAAAAAAACUAGUAUCUCUUUCGCACACAAAAAAUUGGUAAACGAGUUCGGCAACGUAGAGUUUUUUUAUUUUAAAAAAUGUACCAUCAAGGUCCAUUAAUUCGAUAAUAUAUUGGGAUUUGAUUCUGGCCUUAGUUUCAGUAACAUAAUAUUGAGAAAUCGAAAUUCCAACCUACCGUGGUUUCAUCACAGAUUUACUAAAGUUCAUACUUACGUACCAACAAAGAACGCCGUCCUUGGAGUCAAUAAUUGCAAGUUGUACUCGUUUAGGUUGCCAAGUUAUUUAUGGCAUGAAACAUAAUAUGUCAAUUUAGUUACCGUUUUGUUCAACAAAUUAAUCUCUGGAAAAAAAAAAAUCCAUUCACGAAUACGCAAUUUAUAGGAUUUAUAGUUAUGUACACAUGUACAUGUGAAAAUUAAGUUACAUAUAUUCGACAGUUUGGAAAGCACUGGUAACUUAGAAAUUUAAGUUAUAUUGUUUCAAUAAUUUCAAGCCACUAAUUAUAUAAGGAAUAAAAUCGAAAUCUUAUUAUGCCAAUUUAUUUACCAUUAUAGUUCGAUACAUUGAUUUUUUAUUAUAGAAAAUCCAUACAUGAACAAUUCUUUGAAUCCAAUGCGCUCAUCAUGGCAUUGCUUAAAGUCAUACUUUUGUACAGCAAAUAUCGCCAAUAAUAAAAUAUAUAUACUUUGAAUUAAGGUCGUACUUGUAUUGGCUUGAAACCUAAUAUGCAAAUUUAGUUACCAUUCUAGUCCAACAAAAUCAUCUCUUAAAAUAAUAUUUCCUUUCAUGCAUACACAAUUUAUUUAACUUAUCAUUUCUAAACAUGCAUUUACAAAAAAUAAGUUACACAUAAUGUUAGGUUUCGAGAGCACGAAUAAGUUAGAAAUUAAGCUAUAUAGCUUGAAUAUGCACCUAAUAAUACUAGGCAUCAAAUCGCAAUCUUAUUAUCAUAACUUAUUUACCAUUAUAGUUCGAUAAAUUGAUUUGUUUACAAAAUUCAUGCAUGAACAAUUCGUUGAAUCCAACCUCACCGAGAUGUGCAAUCAUAGAAAAUAGUUUUCAAAUUCACCUAUAUAUAUUGUAGUCUUUUUAAAAACUAGUGACUCCGAAUUCAAGUUUUAUACCACGUACAAACCUAUAAUCCUUCCUUGCCUUCAACAAAUUGAAUAGAUAUGGAGAAAGGUUCAUUCAAGUCAGCUUUCCUCAUUGUGCUCCUUCUUGUUUCAUAUAAUGGUAAAAUACUUCUCUCAAUUUUUAUUUUUGUUACAAUGAAAGAGAAAUUUAUUCUUGACAUACUAUAAUCCGAACGUUAAUCCUAACAACCUAGGCUAACCUCUGGGGCUGACUUCUUUGAACAAUACAACUGCAUAUUGGAAUUUUUUGCUCCAACCUGGUUGACUUCACUUAUUUUGAAAAUGUGUAUAUGUCCUUGAUACAUCGUUAAAAUUAUAUACUUUAACCUAACAAUUGUCGAUAUUUUCAGCCAUAAAGUCGAGUUUAAGUGUAUAUUUUUGCAACGUAAACUUAUGCAUAAAGCAGUAUGUUCACAAUAAAGGCAAAAAAUAAUUUUAUUAUGAAUUAUGGAAAUAUUAAUUGUGGUAGGUAUGCAAUUUGGAGCCGAAGCAAGAGGUCCAGUUACUCGUUAUCCGUGCCAAACAUCUGCUCUAUGCGGCCCAUGCACAUGCGUCGAGAAUUGGUGUAAGUGUCCGCCAGAUAAAAUAUCGAAGUUCAUUCCUCAAGACAUCUCUACACACCCGCAAGCACAUAAGGAAAUGCCAUAAUCAGCGCUACUUGAUACAUCAAUAUAUAGCAUAUACUUAUGACGUGCCCCAAAAAUCUUAUGUUCUCCCAAUAUGUUCGUUAAAUGUUUGAAUGGAUAAUAAAUAACAUCACCAUCUUACUUAUAGUUUACUUGGUUUGAAUAUUUUUAUAUUUCAUAAUGCUGUGAUGAUAAAGGUGUGGUACACGAGAAAACAGUGAAGUGAUUCCAAAUUACCGAACACAACGAAAAAAAGUAAUUGAAAUAGUGUAACACCAAACAAUUUUCGCUAAUUAGGUGACAACAUGAAAUUCAAAAGUUUAUAAGUAACAGUCUUCUAUUCUCAAACUGUUGUAGUAAAUAUGGCAAAUAUAAGUGAUGGUUCUGAAUGACCAAUUUAAUCACUUGAAAAAUAGAUAAAGUUGUACAGAUAAGGAUUACAACGAAGUUAACUAAUAUAAAAUAAUUGUAUAUUUUAGUCUCAAGCACGUAGUUCUGAAUCUCAAAACAAGUAAAUAUUACUAAUUUCUUUAGUGUGUGCUAAAUAUGAUUAUUUCUUACUAAUUUCGUGUUCGAUCCACUGAAUAACACGAAAGAAUUAAAGUUGUCAAAAACAAUAUCUCUUUUGUUGUCAUUUUUAUUUUAUUUUAUCACCACAUAACUCUGUUUUAAAUAAACUAGUAUCUCUUUCGCAUACAAAUAAUUGGUUAACUAGUUCGGCAACGUCGCGUUUUUGUAUUUUAAAAAAUGUACCAUCAAGGUCCAUUAAUUCGAUAAUAUAUUGGGAUUUGAUUCUGGCCUUAGUUUCAGUAAGAUAAUAUUGAGAAAUCGAAAUUCCAAUCUACCGUGGUUUCAUCACAGAUUUACUAAAGUUCAUACUUACGUACCAACAAACAACGCCGUCCUUGGAGUCAUGUAUACUUUAAUUGCAAGUUGUACUCGUUUAGGUUGCCAAGUUAUUUAUGGCAUGAAACAUAAUAUGUCAAUUUAGUUACCGUUUUGUUCAACAAAUUAAUCUCUGGAAAAAAAAAAAAUCCUUUCACGAAUACACAAUUUAUAGGAUUUAUAGUUAUGUACACAUGUACAUGUGAAAAUUAAGUUACAUAUAUUCGACAGUUUGGAAAGCACUGGUAACUUAGAAAUUGAAGUUAUAUUGUUUCAAUAAUUUAAAGCCACUAAUUAUAUAAGGAAUAAAAUUGCAAUCUUAUUAUGCCAAUUUAUUUACCAUUAUAGUUCGAUACAUGGAUUUUUUAUUAUAUAAAAUCCAUACAUGAACAAUUCUUUGAAUCCAAUGCGCUCUUCGUGGCGUUGCUUAAAGUCAUACUUUUGUACAGCAAAUAACGCCAAUAAUAAAAUAUAUAUACUUUGAAUUAAGGUCGUACUUGUUUUAGCUUGAAACCUAAUAUGCUAGUUUAGUUACCAUUCUGGUCGAACAAAUUCAUCUCUUAAAAUAAUAUUUCCUUUCAUGAAUACACAAUUUAUUUAACUUACCAUUUCUAAACAUGCAUUUACAAAAAAUAAGUUACAUAUAAUUUUAGGUUUGGAGGGCACAAAUAAGUUAGAAAUUAAGCUAUAUAGCUUGAAUAUGCACCUAAUUAUACUAGGCAUCAAAUCGCAAUCUUAUUAUCAUAACUUAUUUACCAUUAUAGUUCGAUAAAUUGAUUUGUUUACAAAAUUCAUGCAUGAACAAUUCGUUGAAUCCAACCUCACCGAGAUGUGCAAUCAUAGAAAAUAGUUUUCAAAUUCACCUAUAUAUAUUGUAGUGUUUUUAAAAACUAGUGACUCCGAAUUCAAGUUUUAUACCACGUACAAACCUAUAAUCCUUCCUUGCCUUCAACAAAUUGAAUAGAUAUGGAGAAAGGUUCAUUCAAGUCAGCUUUCCUCAUUGUGCUCCUUCUUGUUUCAUAUAAUGGUAAAAUACUUCUCUCAAUUUUUAUUUUUGUUACAAUGAAAGAGAAAUUUAUUCUUGACAUACUAUAAUCCGAACGUUAAUCCUAACAACCUAGGCUAACCUCUGGGGCUGACUUCUUUGAACAAUACAACUGCAUAUAGGAAUUUUUUUCUCCAACCUGGUUGACUUCACUUAUUGUGAAAAUGUGUAUAUGUCCUUAUACAUCGUUAAAAUUAUAUACUUUAACCUAACAAUUAUCGAUAUUUUCAGCCACAAAGUCGAGUUUAAGUGUAUAUUUUUGUAACGUAAACUUAUGCAUAAAGCAGUAUAUUCACAAUAAAGGCAAGAAACAGUUUUAUUAUGAAUUAUGGAAAUAUUAAUUGUGGUAGGUGUGCAAUUUGGAGCCGAAGCAAGAGGUCCAGUUACUCGUUACCACUAAGAUCCCUAUGGUUUCAAUUUCGUCACUUUUAUCCUUGUGGNNNNNNNNNNNNNNNNNNNNNNNNNNNNNNNNNNNNNNNNNNNNNNNNNNNNNNNNNNNNNNNNNNNNNNNNNNNNNNNNNNNNNNNNNNNNNNNNNNNNAUUUCGGUCCAAACUUGCAGCCCCUCCCCAAAACCACCCUACAACCACACAACAACCCCUCCAAAAACUUCUCUCCGUGGGUAAAUCAGCAACAAACAAUGCUCUAUUUGAAUUUUUGUUGAUAAAAAUGAUGGCCAUCUAUACAUAAACAUCAACUAACAAAAUCAUAAUCGAGCGGGUCUUAGGAUUAUACAAGGGAGACACAUUCCUUUAUUUUUUCCGAACUCAAAGAAAAACUCACAAUUAUAAUCAUAAUCCAUCUCAUUUCUUCAUAAGGGAUGAAGGUAAUCUCCAUCCAAAAAAGAAAAACAAGGUAGCCAGAGCAAGUCUACUUUGGUCUUUUGUAAGCUUCAUAAAAGUAGCCUAGGAUUACAACAGCGUCAUCAAUUGCAACUCUUACUGCACCUUGUGCCAGUGUCACAAGCUUUGAUAGUUUCUUAUUAUGUAAUUCAACAUAAUCUCUAAAAACAUUGUUGAUGAAGGUUGUAUAAAUGGUACAUCUCUUUGUACAUCUCCAAGGAGCAUUGUUUGUUGCUGGUUUAGACAGUGGGAUUGUCAAUGUUUACAACAGGGAGGAGUUUUUGGAGGGGCUAGGGGCUAGUGGCUGUGGAGGUGGUUGGGGAGGGGCUGCAAGUUUGGACUGAAAUGCCCCUCAAUAAGUAUCACAAAUUGGAAGUUGUCCUUAAAUUGCAUCAAAUUGAAACUACAGGAACAAAAGUGACGAAAUUGAAACCACAGGGACCUUAGUGAUAAAAAUAGUAAACCACAUGGACCAAAAGUAACUUUUUGCCUAGAAAAAAUAAACAAGUUGACAAAAACAAAGGAACGUGGGAGGGAGGAGGUAGGAAGUAAGAGGCAGGGUCAAGUGAAAUCCUAAUAUUAUAUGAAAAGAAAGACAAAAUAAAGUAAAAAAUGUAACAGGCCAUAUCAGCCAGGUCAUAAGCCUGAAUAUUUUUGGGUAGGGUCUGGGCUUAAUAUAUUUAAUAUAGGAUUGGCUUGGCCUCGGCUCUGCCCAAUUUCUCCUUAGGGCUAAAGAGGCCUGUUAUUAGAUAGGACUUUGGCUCAUACUUCUUUUGCCGUUUUACAGGCCUACUACAAACCCAUCUUUUUACGAAACAAAAAUAAAUAUAAAUAAAAGUUGUUUACAAAACAAAACCACCACCACCCUGAAAUUAAAAAAGAACCCAUCUUUUUACCCUAAAUUUACCCUAAAAAGAAAAAAAGAAAAAAACCAAUCUCUGACUAGAAUCGCCAAAAUCCAUAAACUGUUAUAAAGUGAGAGAUGAAGCCCACAUGAAGAAAAUAAGGAGGUAUUAGUCAAAAGAUAAAAUGAUGAUGUUGGAUAGAAGCAUCAUUAUGUCUCCCUUAUAUGCCAUUUGCUUUGCCUAUAAAUAGGCAUCAUUUCUACUUGCAAAGACACACCAACGGAGAAGAGAAGAGAAGAGAAGAAAGCGAGAGUGAGAGGAAAGAAGAGAGAGUCAAAAAUAUGAGUGUUAGUCUCUAAGAAGAAAUUUUGUCAGUGCAAACACCACAAAGAGCAAAUAUAAUUCUACUCCCAAUAUUCAUUGGUACUUCCCAUACUCUGAUUAUUUUAUUUUAUAACACAUUAUCAGCACGAUAGUCUCUCCCCUUUAUUCCUUCAUGGGCAGAGCCUCUGUUUCAAAACGACUUGUUGACUCCUUCAAGCAAGCGAUUGGCCCCCAGUCUUCCUUCACAAGUAGAGCCACUGUGUCAAAAUGACCGACCGCUCUUUCCCACCGAUCGAUCGAAUCCAUGCUGCCUAAAUCAGAAGAAGGAAACUGAACUGUCUUCUGAGAUUUUGCCCGCGGACCUGCCUAUAGCUGUAGUACCACACCAAUCCCCUGCUGAGGAAGUCAUUCGGGUAUGAUCUUCUCCUGAAUCUUAUAACACUAAUGAAAUAUACUAUGAUGAUUUGAACUGUCUUAUGAGAUUUUGCCCGCGGACCUGCCUACAGCUCUAGUACCACACCAAUCCCCUUCUAAGGAAGUCAUUCGGGUACAAUCUUCUCCUGAAUCUGUUAACACUAAUAAAAUAUACUAUGAUGAUUUGAACUGUCUUCUGAGAUUUUGCCCGCGGACCUGCCUACAACUCUAGUACCACACCAAUCCCCUGCUGAGGAAGUCAUUCGAGUACGAUCUUCUCCUGAAUCUGUUAGCACUAAUGAAAUAUAGUAUGAUGAUUUGAUUUCAAAAGGCACAAAGCCAGCAUAUGAAGCAAAUCCUAAAGCCAAAGGGAAAUACUCAAUCAAUAAUUAUAUAUCUCUAAGAAGAUUGUCCGAAUCACAUGUACACUUUGUGAAGUAGUUGGCCGAUAUAUUUAUCCCCAAUAGUGUGACUGAAGCAAUAGAAGACUCAAAAUGGAAAGAAGCCAUAAAUGAAGAAAUGCGAGCGCUUCAGACGAAUGCCAUAUGGGAGCUCAUACCUUUACCUCACGAAAAAAAGAUGGUAGGAUGCAGGUGGAUCUAUACUUUGAAACUCAAAGCAGAUGGAUCCAUUGAAAGAUACAAAGCUAAACUCGUGGCGAAGGGGUACACAUAGAUAUAUGGGGUGGACUACCAGGAGACUUUUUCCCUAGUAGCCAAGAUCAACACUAUCGGGGUCCUACUGUCUUUAGCAGCAAAUCUAGAUUGGUCACUGCAUCAGUUUGAUGUUAAAAAUGCCUUCUUACAUGGAGACUUGGAGGAAAAGGUCUACAUGGAUUUACCACCAAGAUGUAAUGCAGCUCCUGACAAGAAAAACCAGGUUUGCAACCUCAGAAAAUCAUUAUAUGGGUUUAAACAGUCUCCCAGGGCAUGGUUUGGCAGAUUUACUAAGUCCAAGAAAUUUUUUUGGAUACACUCAAAGUAAUUCAAACUAUACCAUGUACUUAAAGCGCGAUGGUGGAAAAAUCAUUGCUUUAAUUGUGUAUGUGGAUGACAUGGUCGUAAUUGGGAACAACGCUAGAGAAUAAUAAAACUACAAAAGUAUUUGUCUUGGGAAUUUGAGAUUAAGGAUUUAGGUGCUCUAAAAUACUUCCUAGGAAUUGAAGUAACAAGGUCAAUGACUGGUAUUUUUCUGUCUCAAAGGAAGUAUUUGAUAGAUGUACUCACUGAAACAGGAAUGUUGGAUGUAAGCCAGCUGACACACCCAUUGAGAUGAAUCACAAGUUGUGUGAAGAUAUGGACUAGGUGCCUACCAAUAAGGAACAAUACUAGUGGCUUUUUGGAAGGUUGAUAUAUUUGGCAUACACAAUACCAAAUAUUGCAUACGCUGUGAGUAUGGUUAAUCAGUUUAUGCGUUCUCCUAGUGUUUCUCAUAGGAAUGCAGUUGAUCGAACCUUAGGAUACUUAAAGUUAGCCCCUAGAAAGGGACUAAUGUUCUCUAAGAAUGGAAAUCAUGAAGCGGUUGGAUAUACAGAUACUGACUGGGCUGGUUCCAUUACUAAUAUACACUCUACAUCAGGUUACUUUACAUUCGUUGGAGGUAACCUUGUCACUUGGUGGAGUAAAAAAUAAAAUGUGGGUUCCCGGUCUAGUGAGGAGUAAGCUAUUAAUGCAUCCUUGGUUUUGUAUUACUAAUAUCCAAAUUUCUUUGAUCUUUAGUAGUUAAACAAUCUUUUUCACAUAGGAUGCUUAGAAUUUGUAAUUAUAAAGGGAAGGGGAAUAAGAUUCAUUAAAAUGCAUGCUUAAUUGAUAUAUCUUGAGAAAGCAGUAGAUUGAUUUCUAGAUUGCUACUCCAUGGAAAUUGUUAGAUAAUUAAUUAAGGUUUUAUGGAAUAAUGGUGUGGAAUCUAAAACCUCAGUUAUUUUUCUAAUUCAUUUAAACCUUAUUUUAGUUUUUUUGCAUUUUCAAUUCUAUGCUUUAUUUCAUUUUCUUUUCCAACAAACAAAUCAAACUUUGAAUCAACUAGGUUAGCAAUUGAAUUAAGUUGGGUUGGAUUAGUUUUCCAUCUUUUUCAUGCACUCCCUGUGGGUAUGACCUCGCACCUACACACGCCUAUUCUACAAUCGAUUCGUGCUCUUGCAAGUUUUAUAAAUUUAAAACAAUACCUUCGGGGGACAAACAAUAAAUACCAUACUUCUAGGGUUUACAUGAUUAUCAAAGGUUUUCAUAAAGCUCAAAAGAGUUUCUAUGUGUUCAUAUUUGUACUAAAUACCAUAGACAAAUUACAUGUAUGAAUAUACGAGUUAGCCUAAAUACCAUAGGUAAUUCAUGCAAAAGGAAAAUUAAUCAACAACAUCAAUUGAAUAAAUUAACAGAUAGGUAAUUAAGAGGCUAGAUUGCAUUAUUAGUGGUAGAUUCGAUGUCCAAGUGCUUUUAUAAAUUGGUUUUCAAUCCCUUUAAAUAUCGUGUGUUUUAUUUGUUUUGGUUUUUAAGUUUUUGUCAACUUUAGUUCAAUCAAUCAUUUGUUUAAUUAGAUUUAGUGCAAUUUAAUUGAUUAACUUGUUUCAUCAAUCCUUGUUGGUUUGACUUUGUACUUGCAUAUCUCUAUAUUAUUAUUGAUUCAUGCCCUUGCGAGCAAUUUAAUUUGUGAUUUUUUAAUAUUCUUUUCUAUGUGUUCGAAAAUCUACAUCAAGUUUUUCCAAUAUUUUUCCAAAUUUUUAAAUAUUCUUUUCUUGACGUAGACUUUUGAACACCUAGAAAAGAAUAUUAAAAAAUCACAAAUUUGUUAUAAAACUGGAGAGAUUGGAGAGGAGAUUGAGAGAGAGAGAAGGGAGAGUUUUCUCUUAUUGAAUGUGUCUCAAAUUGUGUACAUUUACAAGCAAGAAGGAGAAGAUUUUAUAGGCAUCUUCAGGGGGCAUUUUGGGGACUCUUUAUGGGGCAUUUUGGGGACUCCACUUUUACAACACUCCCCCUUGGAGACCACAAAUGAUACAGAAUAUGUCUCGUUAAAAACCUUGCCAGUAAAAACCCAGUGGGACAAAAACUGGUCAAAGGGAAAAAGAGUACAUAAUCAUGUGUAACAUAAAAUUCUAUGUAUAUUGACGCGCGUGCGACACUGCCUCGUUAAAACCUUGCCAGGAAAAACCCAGUGGGAUAAAAAAACUGGACGAAGGAAAAAGAGUACGGUGUUUGAAGAUCUUUAUUGAUGGUGCGCUCCCCUGAUGCUUGGCAAAAUAUCUUUAAGUCAUAAUGUUGAUCAGCUUUCUGAAUAUCGUAGUUGACACUGCUUCUGUGAGUCAAUCUUGAGCGACACUGCCUCGUUAAAACCUUACCAGGAAAAACCCAGUAGGAUAAAAACCUGGAUGAAGGAAAAAGAGUACAGUGUAUGAAGGUCUUUAUCAAAACCAUGCUCCCCCUGAUGAAUAUCUCCCCCUGAAAAAUUUAGGACUAGCUUUUGUCCAGUAAGCGACCAUAAAAAUUUUCAUGGUAUACCCUAAACCCUUGAGCGACACUGCCUCGUCAAAACCUUACCAGGAAAAAACCCAAUGGGAUAAAAACCUGGAUGAAGGAAAAAGAGUACAGUGUGGAGCUGAGCUCUAUCUGAUCUAGUAUACUUCCGGAAAAACAUUUAAGGACCAACGGAUAAUCCUCAUAAAAAUGCUUCAAUACUUUCUUAGUAUAAGCAAGAAUCUCGUUGGCACAAUGCUCGAUCCUUAAGUCGAGACAAAUAUUUCGUGAAUUCUGCAGAAUCUUUAAUGUGUUGCAAUCACAUCAAUGUACUCACUGAGGUAAUUUAUGCAUAUUAAUAUUUAGUACAAAUUUUGUGCUUCAAGCACAUGUCCUUUAGGGACUUGCUUUAUGCAAUUGUCAAUCCUCUCAACGGAUUUUGUCUAAAAGGGAUUAAGCUUUAUGACACAUUAUAUAGCUUUAACCCAGCUAUUUAUACAUCUUUUAGGGAAUCGCUUCUGGCGAUAUGCUCCGUGCAUUUAAUAACCCUUAAAGAUAAUAUGUUGGUCUCCGUAAUUGUGUAAUAAGGGGGGGGGCACAAUUGAAUCUGUAAAUAUGGAGAAAACCCAACAUUCCUUGUUUCUGCCAGAAACAGUGUGUCAUACAAAGUAGGUAUAUUCCCUUUUAUUCCGAACACCCAAGUAUAACUUUCAGUAUUAACAAAUUUUGGGGUUCGUAUUGUGGGUUUGUUCUUUCACGUUCAUUCUCAUUUAUAAUGGAAUUACCUCGUUCCAUUUUGGCCAAUGAUAUUGUCGACAUUUAAUAAUUGAACGUGGUUCCAAUCAACACAGCCCAUUGAUGAUUUGAGUAGCUACUCCAAAAACAAAAAAAAUUGUCAUUCAUCAAUUCAUGAUCAAAAAUUGUCAUUCAUCAAUUCAUGAUCUCACCAUUCUCAUGUGCAUGCUCAUGCAUCAAUUAUAAGCAUUUCUUUUCUUUUGGGUACCCAAGCCACUUCAGGGGGCUUUUAUUAUGUGAGAAUGUGGAUUAUAACCUCCAAUGGAGCGUUAUUUUACAUAGGGCGUGGAAAAUCUCCAUUUAGGGAGUUGGAACAUUUAGAACCCAUAUAUCUGUCAUGCUGCAGGUGUGCCACAGAUUAAUAUAUACAUGUCAAUUAAUUUCUGGGACUUUAACCCAUAUAAUUUGCUACGCAUUAGGCGUGCAUAAUAUCAAUAUUGACAUGUCAAAGGAUUGUCCUUUCGGGACUUCAAUCCACAUUAUUUGCUACGCAACAGGCGUGCACCCAUAUAUCUGUCAUGCUGCAGGCUUGCCACAGAUUAAUACAUACAUGUCAAUUAAUUUCUGGGACUUUAACCCAUAUUAUGGGACUUUAACCCAUAUAAUUUGCUACGCAUUAGACGUGCAUAAUUCCAAUAUUGACAUGUCAAAGGAUUGUCCUUUCGGGACUUCAAUCCAUAUCAUUUGCUACGCAACAGGCGUGCAUCAUAUUGAUCACUGCUAUACCCAUAUUCUGUUCUUAUGGGACUUUAAUCUGUGGCAGUGUAUUAUCAAUGUAUCCAACUUGCAAUCUGUAAAAUUUGCAUUAAUAAUUCAUGGAUACAUACAAGCCAUUCUUUUGGAACGGACUUAUCUUCUCAUUUGGUUACCUUUCAAGAUAAAAUAUCAAAUAAGCAUAUAAGCAAAAAAUAACACAAGUAUUGCUUACAUCCUUAGGUGGGAGAAACUUUUCUCAAGUAUCAUUCAAGCUUGUAUCGGCCCGGUAAAUAUAGCGCUUGAUGAUCUAGUUAUAUCCUGCAAUAGUAAAAUCACAACUCUUUUCUCUAUCAAAAACAAAUAAUCCUCAGAGAGUUACAGAAAGAGAAAAAAUGCAAAAAAAAAAAAAAAGAGAAGGUAAGCAAUCAGGGAAGGAAGCUGGUGGGAGCAGACAAUAAGCUCUCAUAUCUCCUAGUCUAGAAGGACUUCCGGAGAUUAGAGCAUAAGAUCGCCUUCACAGUUUCCUGAUGUAGCGGAAACGUGAUCAGGGAUAGUCUCGCUUCCUGAAUGGAUGAUCAGAGAUAGUCUUGCUUCUCGGGCAUAUUGAGUGCUUCACUGAUAAGAAAAAUAAGUAGAUAUCGCAUCACUAGGUAUGGAGAAAACUGGAUGUCUUCUGCAAAGAAAAUUUUGUUAGUAAUACAUUUAUACACAAAUACAAUGAAUAGGUAGAACCGGUGAAUUUCAAAUUAACCAUAGAAAAUUGCGAGAUUCUCGGGAUACUUUUGAAAAAGUAGCUCCGUGAAAUCCGCAAAGUAAGAUCGGCUUUUGACGAAAAUAAUACUUUGAAAACGCCGAAAGUGCCGACAAACAUUAAUGGAGGCCACGUGAAGUUUUGGAAUCUGGGAAAGAAAAUAUGGGGAUCCGAAAAGACUGUAGCCAUAUUUCCUCCUAUAGAUAUUGCCUUUGCAAAACUUGAUUGGAGCAACUGCGUUUCAACUUAACUUCCUUCAUUUGCUGAAACUCUAGUUUUCUUAAGGCUUUCUUUGAAACCUUCUUAAGAAUGGCUUCCUCUUCUUCCUGCCCAAAUUAUUUCAAUUUAAAUGAUACUCCCACAACAACCAGUGACGCCCAAGUUUGGCGUCCAUCCUUUGUAUCCAAAAAUCGUCAUCUCACAGUUAAUGAUUCUGUGAUGAUGAAUGAUGCUACUGCUAUCAUAGUAGCUAGGAAUUGCAUUACUCCAAUGGAUGAAAUGUUGUUGACAGGGAGAUCAAAGGAAGAGGCUAUUGAUGAUUCAAUGGCUUUUAGCAUUCAGAGUGCUGUUUCUGUUUCUAACAUGGCUGAUCGUUUGCGUGCCAGAGCAAACGAGGUUGAGAAUUUAACAACUGAAAAUUCGUCUCUCCAAAGAAUGCUUCAUAAGUCUCAACAGGAGGUUGAGAAACUUAAAGGAUAGAAUAAUGCCUCGUUGAAACUGGUGAGUUCGUAUUCUGUUGAUACACUGAGAAGGCUAGACAUGCUGCAGGUCUCCAAUGAAAGAAUUUUGGGAGACCAUGAGAGGCUCAUGGCUAAGCUUAAGAGGCGUCAUCCUCUUCCUUCAGAGGCUUCCGGAACAUAAUGUAUGUUUAUAGAUUUUACAGGACCUGCACCUUCAUUGCAGGAAAAAAUCUAUCUGUUGUAUGUUCCUGCUACAAUAAUUGCGCACGUUCUUAAAAUUUGCACCUGUGGUUUUUACGUCUUUUCAAAAUGACGGUUUGGAACCUUGUGCCUUAUAGGUUCAAAUAACCACAUCAACUCUCCCAAAUUUCAUAUUUCAACGUAUGGUAGCCCGGAACUUUUGGCCUGGGCUAAACACAAACUCAAAAUUUAUUUGCCCUUUUCAAAAUGGACAUGAAAUAUGAAUUGAGUAAAAGCCACGCUAAUAUCUCAUAUAUUUGGGUUCAUGAGCUUCCGGCCCAGAUAUAACAAAAUAUGUGGGGAGCCUCAAUUCAUCAUUUUCUUAUGCCAAAGAGAUAUGUGGCGUACCACAAUUUGCAAUAAGACCUCAAGAGUUGUCCAUUUAAUUGUUGGAACUUUAGGUUCUCAACACUGUUAGAUUUUGAACUUCAGGCCAAAAUCACAUAUUCUCAUGGUAUGGACAUUCAAUCCCCGUAGAUUUUGAACUUCAGGCCAAAAUCACAUAUUCUCAUGGUAUGGACAUUUUUACAAUUUUCUGUACAUAUUUCUGGACUUCAAGCCCUUACAUAAUUGUCCAUAUUUUGAGGAACUUCUGGCAUCUCAUUUAAUUGCUCAUCCAUGAGUUUAAGGAGCUGCAGGUUCCAGUACAUUUGCCAGUACAGUUAUCAUCCAUGUGUACGGCAUUAUGAACCAAUACGGUACUGUUACAUCAUUAAGGAACCCCAGGUCCUUAUUUACAUGUCAGGGAUCAAGGACCCUCAAGUCCGAUCACAUGUUUACAAAUAUAGUACCGGAGAGACUGCCAGCUCUCAUAUUGACAUCAUCAUCAAGGAUCUGCAAGUCCUGAUGUAAUUGUAUGAUGAGGAUCAAGGAACUUAUGGUCCUGAUAAGCAUACUGUAAAAACUCAUCAUACAGCACAUUUAAUCCAUAUAAUAAGUUGCUGGUAAAUAAAUUACUGGUAUGGGCGAUAAACCCGCACCAUACAUUUAAAUAAAAGUAAAGGCGUGGGCGAUAAACCCGAACCACCCUUUUAAAUAAAUGUAAAUGUGCAGUAAUUUAAAUUCAUAAAUUAAACGUGCGUGUAUGGGCACUAAUUCUGCUCCAUACUUUUAAAUGAAAGUAAAGGCGUGGACGAUAAACCCGCACCACCCUUUUAAAUAAAUACUGUCGCAUGGGUAAUAAUCCUACACCAUACAGUAAAUAAAAUAAAUGUGCGGUAAAGUAAAUUUGCAGUAAAUUAAACGUGCUUGUAUGGGCACUAAUUCUGCACCAUACAUUUAAAUAAAAGUAAAGGCGUGGACGAUAAACCCGCACCACCCUUUUAAAUAAAUGUAAAUGUGCGGUAAAUUAAAUUCAUAAAUUAAAUUGUUAGUAUUAGUAACGGUCUCCCACUGAUAAUAUGUUUAGUAUUACCGAGGGUCCAUUUUUGUUAAUGGUUAGUAAAAGAAAAGCAGAUGAAUAUAAUAUGAAAUAAUAGAGAAGAUAAGGAAGCAGAGAUCUUAUCGCUUAUUCUUUCGGUGGGUCGGUGAGUUUUGCUGUUUUUUUUUUUUAAAUAAAAGAUGCUUCAGACCCCUUCUUUUUUUCUUUUUUUUUAAAUUUAAUUAUUCUUUCUUUCGUUCGGUGGGUUUGCUUUUCUUUAUCGGUGGGAAUCUCAUCAUUUCGAUCUGUCUGUCAAAGUUGCCUCUGUCUGUCAAAGUCGCUUUUCUUUUGUCUGUUAAAUAAUGCCUGUAUCCAUUCAAGAUUAGGGUAUGGAAACCGUCUGGUUAACAUCUCCAAUACAGUGCAUCCAAGGCUCCAUAUAUCCGCUAGAAGCCCAUAUCCCUGGUGUUUCCGAUUAACAACCUCAGGGGCCAUCCAGUAUGCAGUCCCCUGGCUAGAUUUGAUGUUGUUCAUCUGGAUAGUCUUUGCCAAUCCAAAAUCUGCGAGCUUCACAGAACCAUUUGCAUGCACCAAAAUAUUUGCGCAUUUGAUGUCUCUGUGAAUCACUCUUCGGUCAUGAAGAUACUUCAGACCCUGCAGGAUCUGUCUUGUGAAUCACUCUUCGGUAAGACGAUACGUCUUCUUCCCCAUUACUUUUGUUGAAUAAUCUGAGAAAGAGUUGGGGGGCUAUCGGAGCGGAGGCUUCUGCCAUUGCAGCUCUGUAAGCCUUGUGUUAUUUGCAGAAGAGAUGAUGAGGAACGGUGGCCACACAGUGGUUGAUACUGAAAAGCAAGGCUGGGUUUGGUCGGAUCCGGACUGUUGUUCUUGAGGUAGCUCGGGUAUGAAUAUCCCCCAACCUUCUCAGACACCUUCUCUGUUAUUGAUACACCCACUCUACAAGAUCGGCGGCAGAGAAGAGGAGCUGGGAGAGGCGCAAGGCAAGACCGCCGUGGGUGCCGGGCAUGCCCGGAAGGUCCUUCAUUCGGACCCGGAGCGGGUGGGGAACGGCGCCGUCUGUGGUGGGUACAUCUUCAACUGGGUGAACCGAUCCAUGGCUCACGUUCAUUUCCUCUUGGGUCGGUCUUCAAUUGUUCAGAACCAUGAAACAAUCAUGGUCGUUCUAGAUUUCGACUGGAGAGGAAUUAGGAAUCUGAGCCUUUUUUUUUUUUUUUUUGGUUCUCCUUCGCUCCCUUGGAUUCUGAAUUGUGUAAUAGUGUUUGGAGACUCAACUGAGAGGAAAAACUUAAAAGUCAGUUCAGGAGGCGGGUAUAUGUUCACCGUUGACUUGACUGGCAGGAUUUAUGUUGUUUCUGGGUUUUCAAGAAAAGCUCUGCUGCGGUGUGGAUGAGAGAGCAGAGGAAGGUGAGAUGGGUUGGGUCUCUGAAUUUAGAGAUAGAGAAAUCGUGCUGAUAACGUGUUAUAAAACUUGAGAGAUUGGAGAGGAGAUUGAGAGAGAGAGAAGGGAGAGUUUUCUCUUAUUGAAUGUGUCUCAAAUUGUGUACAUUUACAAGCAAGAAGGAGAAGAUUUUAUAGGCAUCUUCAGGGGGCAUUUUGGGGACUCUUCAUGGGGCAUUUUGGGGACUCCACUUUUACAACAAAAUUAAAUUACUACCAGUGCAUGAAUCAACAAUAGUAUAGAGAUAUGCAAGUACGAGGUAGAAUAGGGUUGCUCUCUCGUUACACAAGGAGAGCCUUGCGUCCUCUCUAGAGUUUCAUCUCCAGUCCAUUCGUCAUCCCACCACGUGUUCACGUCGCUUCUUCUCUCUUGCGAGGUCAUCUCCUCGCGCUCAGUCGUGCUCACCUUCCUUCUCUUAGCCCAUCGUCUUCAGUCGCUCGAUCACCUUCCACCAUCUUCAUCGUUCUCGUUCCCUUUCUCUAUGAUCGUCGUGCACGUCUCAUCACCCCCAUCCUCCAUACCCAAUCACAUCUGCACUCUUGGCAUCAUAACUGUGCACCAUUUUGUCCCAGUCUGUCACCGUGGUAAUCUUUCCCAUUCUUCGGGGACUCGUUCGUUUGCUCUCGUCUUUUCCCUUUCUUGAUGUUUGGUGGUUUGUCUAUUAUUUUGGUAUAUCUACGUAUGUGGAAAAUAUUGAGCAAUCCUUUGGUAGCCGCUUGGUAUUCACGCCAGGUGAAUAGGCUGGUUUGGUUAUUGGUUCUUCUAACAUUGCAGACACUUUUGUUGGUUUAAUCUAUGGUCUUGUGGCUCGGGUCCUUAUAGAUCAGCCCGUCAGUCGUGAUGGCUUUAUUAAAACCUUUAUGUAACUUUGGAAAGGCUCUGUUGAUUUCUCUAUUAAGGAAAUUGGUUUUCAAUAGGUUUUGGGUUUGUUUUGUUUGUGAUCGCGAUAAGAAGCGGGUUCUUGAUAUGGAGCCCUAGGCUUUUCGGCACUAAUUGAUUUUGUUGGCUGAUAUCCCGAAUCAUGGGAAUAUGAACUUGUUGCUCUUGACUCUUGGUACCUUUUGGGUUCAACUUCAUGGUGUCCCUGCCUUCUGUAUGACUAUCAUUGUUGCUAAAGCAAUUGGGGCUAUUCUUGGAGAAGUUCUUUGGGUGGAUAAUCGUGAUGGUACUUAUUGUGUAGGGCAUUUUAUCCGGAUUCAUUUAAGGUUUGAUGUCACCCAACCUCUUAUCCGCCUAACACCUGAUACAUUUCCUAAGGUGGGUGAGCGAAUAAUGAAUUUUAAGUAUGAGUAUCUCCCUGAAAAUUGUUUUGCGUGUGGUAAAAUUGGUCAUCUUACUCAGGUGUGUAUUGAUAAGUAUGAGCUUUCUCAAGGUUCUCUCACUCCAUCUUUGUUGGCACAAUUUUCCUCCGCUUUUGUUGAUCUAGAAGGUGGUACCAACUUGCGGGGCAAUUCUAUAGGUUCUUCUGCACAAAGUACAUUGACUCCUUCACCCCCACAUAAGACUCCAGUUCAUUCUCCUUAACAACUUGUGUAUGUGUUGAGAGUGUUUGUCCCACAUUGAAAUGUUAAGGGACCUAGCCUGGGUUUAUAAGGAGUUGGGCAACUCCCCCCAUUGCCAAUUGGUUUUGGGGUGGAACCUCAACUUCCUUCAGUAUGGAUAAAUGAUGUUUCGAGCGAUUGUAUUAGUUUUGGCACUCGGUCUUGGUGGUGGUCUUCUCGCGAAUAGACCGAGGUAGACGACUCUAUCACCCCCCACCCCCGGCCCACCUCUCCGCCAUACAUUGCUUGACCCAAUGGCCUCUCUUCAAUGUCAGUCUGAGAGUUCAGUUGCUGUGACGCGUUCUCCGCCAGUUUCCCUGAAUGAGCCAGACAUCUAUGUGGCUCCAGUAGUUCCAACCUUAAAUGAUCCCAUCUCUCAGGCACCUCUCCCAGCCCCCCAAAGGUUCAGCAACCUCUGAUCCCUUUGAUCUUAUGCCCAUAAUUUAGUUCUCUGCCAGUCAUUCACCAGAAAGGGAUAGCGGCAGACCCAAGAAAGGGGAGGGCUCCCAUUAUGUCUCCAUCAAGACUCAUGCUAAGUGUAAAACUCCAGUUGCACUCGUUUUAGUUGGAGAUAUCUGGGUUUCUGGGGUAGAUUUCAUGGCUUCCAAGCCUUGUGCCUUGUUUUCCCUACUAACAAACCUAUGGAGACUGGCCCUGUGAAGUCUCCUGGACGCUUUCCUUAAUAUGUUAUGUGGGCAUUCCUGGGCUUGGCAUCAAGCAAAUGCUCUUGAGCCUAAUCCCCGUGUUCAGGAUUAAGUGACUGAGGCCAGUUUUGUUAUUGUUGCAUGGUGUCUUCUUCUUUUCUCCCCUUCGUUGACCUUUGAUUCUUCGCCUAUUUCAAGAAUGGUUUCAUAGGAGUUUUCUUUGACAUUGUUGACAUGAUACGACAUUUUGGGGGGGGACCUUGUUAUUUAUUUAUUUUUUCCUAGCCUGUUUGUGGAGCUAGUCUCGUCUUUGUGUUGCUCCUUAUGUCUUGUUCUCCUUUCAUCGUCAUUACUCCUGGAAGUGAUUGGAGAUGGGGUACUUAGUGACUGUUUCCUUUUUCCUAGGGUAUUGGUGUGCUCUCUGUCGGAUGCUCUCACUAUCUUGUGGCUGUGCAAAGGACUAUGAUUUCAUAGCAAGACUCUUUUGAUAGUUAGGUUGUGUUGUGGUGUUCUCGUCGGAGGUCUAUGUGUCAGCCUAUUGUUUUUCUUUUCUUGUUCUAACUUUGGUUCUACGUGACUGUUUCAGACUCUCUUGUUAGUCCAUGACAUGUGUGGUAGACUUUCCUAGCCUAAGGUUUGUUCCUCAUGAAGGUUUUAACGAGGCUACUGUUUCGUGUUGUUCUAUGUAUGCUAUCUUGAUUCUAUGAAUGAAUUCCAUUUCUCCUAUUAAAAAAAAUGUAUCACUUUGGUUGUCGUUUUUAUUUUAUUUUAUCACCACAUAAUUCUGUUUUAACUCAAAAGACCUAAAUGUUAUUAGUAGUGGAAAGAAAAAGGAAAGUAAAUAUUCCUAUUACAAGAUAUAUUUCUAAGUAUAAGAUAUUAGUACAAAAAAGAAAGUGUUUGGGACUGUGGAGCCAAGUUUCUGUUCAUUCUUUCUUAAGACAAUAUCUCCAUAAAUGUGAGGGCAAAGUAUCUAUCAAUUUUGUCUUGAGACCAAAUGUCUAGAUAUCUCGCCAACAUAAGAUACAUUAGGGGUGGGCACUUAAACCGACGAACCGAAAAUUCGAGCCGAACCAAACUGAAAAAAAAUCGAUCCAGACCGGUUUGGAACGGUUUUGGAUCCGGUUCCAUGUCUUCAAAAAUCGAACUGAACCGGUCAAAUUGAAAAAUAUAUAAUUUCAAUAUAUAUUUAUAUUUAAUGCUAUAUUUUUAAUUUCACCCAAAAAAAAAACUAAUAUUUUUUCAAGUUCAAUUUCAAAAUAUCUCUCUUUUUUAACUUUAAUAUUUAUUUUUAUAUGAAAUUGAAUAAUUUGUUAAUUUUCAAGUAAUAAUAAUAAUAAUAUUUCGAUUGAGAAUUGUAUUAAAAAUUAAUUUUUAUAAUCCGAUUCAAAACCAAACCGGACCAAAAUCGAUUCAACCCAAACCAAACAGUUUUUGAAAUUUUUUUAUUAAAAUCAAACCGGAUGAAUAGUACCUAAUCGGUUCUAAUUUAGUGUAAAAACUGGUCCAAACCUAACCGUACCCACCGCUAAGAUACAUGUCAACAUUAAUUUCUCUGUGAGCCCCACUCAAGUUUUACCAACUUAAUCAAAUUUUAAUGCUCGCACGUAUAUGAAUCAAAAGUGAUAUAGCUAAGUAAACACAGAUAUCGUCCCACAAUGAUUGAUUACAUUCUUCAUAUUCCUAACAAUUAAACUGAACCUAAUUUUAAAUUGAGAAGGAUGAAAUUGAUUUGAAUUUGUAAUUGAGAAAAACUAAAAUUAAAUAAAGCAAUUAAAACAAAAGACAAAGUUGCACGACACGAGAUUUUGGAAAACCAAGAGAUAGAGACACUAGAGCAUCCGAUUUCACCUUAACCAAUCCUACCAAUCAAUUAGCAUAUCAACUCCAAGUAAUUCCCCUUAUUGAUGAUCAAUUCCCCCAAACCAUUCAAUGGCCUUGGCAUCUGGUUACAUAUAUAAUAUAUUUAUUGGUUGGUUUACCCAAAAGCAAACUAUAGCGUGAUAGAAAUCAUAUAAAAUUGUCAAAAUUAAAAAAGCAAUCACAAUAUCAAGUAGUAAAUAAACAGAAACUACGUCCUUACAAAGACAGAAAGCAACAUGUCCUCACAAUUCUGACUUCUUUCUUCUCAAUCCAAUUGCCUUUUCUGUUCUUUUUAUAUAUAUAAGUUCUUUCACUCAACAAACUUACAGAAAAAUUACAAAUGAAGCCACAGGCUCAAUACCCUAUGAAUUGAAUUGAUAUAAAGAAAAAUAAAAAUGAAUGCAAAACUUGAGUGCACACAUCAAACCAUACAGAGUGAAUCAUAAAGGGAGCUUGCAUGAUUCAUCCCAAUCUAUACCAAACCUGCAAUCUGUUUUGAGGGGCAUCUGUCCUCAAAUUGAUCACUAGAGCAACAUGGUUGUCGAAUGUGUUCAUGAAAGAAUGCACGUCGAGGUUAGUUUCUGCCACCUUAAAUCCUUUGGCUUAUGCAGCAAUUGGAGGUUCCUGCAUAUCAAAGGCAUAAUUACAAGAUAACAAAGCAUAAAAUCACUUCGCUUCUGGAUUCAGAUUAUAAUACAUUUACCUAAAAUAAUUAUAGAGCACCUAAGAAUAUUUCUACUAAUUAGUCAUAUUUUAAUUGCUUAAUCAUCUUUAUAUUCUAAAUGAUAACUCUCUGAAGUUUCUAGCAAAAUUUAACCAGAAUUACAACAGAUAAACAGGGGAACUUAAUUCUUAAAGUCCACCUACAAAAAGAUGGAUGGCUUUGUGGCCCUUUUAAGGGUGGAAACGCAGCAACAUAAGGUGUAUUAAUACAAAUUCUAGGUUUUCACAUAAAACUGCCAUCACAUGAUUACCAGGAAAUAAAAAAUCAUACAAUACAAACGUAAGGGUUCUCAUAUGAGCAAUAAUGUAAUACUGAUAGCGGCGUAACCUACCUUUGCAGUCAAGUUUGACACAGCCAUAUGGAACUUUUCUCUGGUUUUCGUACCUGCAGCCUGUCCUGCCUUUGCCACCUUACCAAAAGCACCAUUUAACCAGGCUGCUCCAGCAGUCACAUACCUGUCAACACCAUAGAAGAGUUUGUCAACAGACAUUGUUCUCGGUUUUAUUCUCAUCUAUCAAUAGAGAUGAUUCUGCUGGAAUGAAAUCACUCUAGAGAGGUCAUUAAAGUGGUUCGUCCUGACUACAAAUUCUCUAUCAUGUCUUCCAAUUUUCAUGUCAUUUUACAAAUCUCUCUACAGGUUUUCAUUUUUAUGAGGGGUAGAUACGAGACCAUAGAAACAUAAAACAAGUUGUGGGGAGAGGGCUGGGAAAAGUUAAUGUUUUUUUUUUUUUUUAAUAGAUGCAGAGUUCACAUAUCCAUCCUCUACUAAUAGUAAGUUUGUGAGGAACAAGAAAAUAAGAAAGCAAAGAACCUACAAAUUGAAACUCUAAAGAAUCCAAGGAACAAAAGCAACAUCAGAAUGAGUGCUACUUGGGGUAAAGAUCCUGGUAUGUGUAUGCACAUCAAAGUUGUGGCAUCCAACCUAGAACAAUUGGCAAUGGAGUCCGGAUUUUAUACAUUAUGAUUCAAGGCAUAGAAUGCCCAAUAUAGAUUUAUAUUCUCAACAUACAGUAUAUAGAAGUGGCCUUUACGAGAUAUUUUGAUGUCUAGAGAAUGUGUCCUACUGAAAUAAGCUAAGCCUAGUACCCUCAAAAACUUCAAAGAAACAGGGUCCAUGGAUGGCCCAAGGAAACAGGCUUCAAGUUAAACAAAUGAAAAAUGCAUACCACUGCCCUCGUUAUUUGCAGAUAAUUCCUUUUUCACUUUCAGCAUCAUUCUUACAGAACGUAUGAAAUAAUUAACAGCAGCAGAAAAGUGCAAAAUAGAUUGGCAGAUCACAUUUUUUAAAGGGCUCAUAUACCUGCUUGUUUUGACAGCUGACCCCGUAUCAUUCAAUUUUCUCUCUGCCGCAAAUAUUGCUGCCAUUGUUUUAUCUGAGACAUGAAGCCUUUGAUCAACAGACUUCACUUUCUCAUUAACCACGGAAAAGCCUACUGUUAAUUUCUCUGUGAGACCCACUCUCUUGUCAAAGGAAAUAACCUUCUCUGACGCACUUGCUGUCAACCGAUGUUUUUCAUCAAAUGCUUUAGCCUUGUUCACAGCAUCUUGUCCAAUAGCUGAACCUUUCGCGACAAUACAGGUCACCACAUCUUGUGCUCUAUUAACAUACACCCUUCCAUUGGUAGGCGGGCUAUUUCUAUCCUGCUAACAGAGACAUAUUUACCCUGAGCCCGUAAAAUUGGAAACUUUGAAGGUAAACAACAAUAAGGCAAUGACUGGACGUUAUGACUGGACGUAUUGGGAAAAUAAGCGUGUCAGUACCAUAAUAUUCAAGAUAGACCAAAAACUAGAAACAGUCACAAUCCAGUAAAUGGAUGUGCUAAUAGGUAUUCUAUAAUCUAUAACGCAGAAAGAUACGUAAGUUGGAAAAAAAAUUCCAUUUCAAAUGAUUAAGUCAUGUAUUCUUUCGCUCAUUCGGAAGCUGAAUGCACCAAAGGAAUAAAGAGAGUGACACACCUGAGGACCCUUGUAUAUCAACAUUAAAUUUCCACAGUAGUAAAGAUCUUAUAUAGUGAUUUAAGGCUUAUAAUACCCCACAAGGGAUUUUUAAAUGCCAACUCACAAAUUUUCCAUUUCCAGAAUACUCUAGUAUCCACUAAAAUGUACUUAAUUAGCUACAUAUGAAAUUUCUUCAACUAGGUCAGAUUCUUAACACCUUGAGAUAUGUGGUGGUGUCAAUGGCUACCUCAGCAUUUGGUGAAAGAAUUCCAUCAGGAGCAGCACAAACAGCACUUUCCACCAUCCUUACUUCCUGCAUGAAUUGCACGAAUGAACUACAAAGUUUUGGCUGCAGGAAAGAAACAGAUUGCAGAAACUUUUAAAUGAAGCUUACCAGCACAUCAGUUUUUGGUACAUAAUUUUCAACUGGAGAUAUAAUCACAAUCUGAUCUACUAUUGUUGCUCCCUGCAACCAAACACACAGUUUUCAUUACGUAGAGCCAAAGAGCAGAAAUGCAUGCUCAUUGAAAAGGAAUCCAAAUUGCAAGUUCAAAACCCAUAAAUCAUUUAAAUGGAAGAAAAUGCUUAUUCAGCUGAUGUCAUGGAAGAUAAGAAGAUAAGGCACAAGUACAUUGAUAAUGUGAGAACUUUAGAUAAAACAUCUAUAAAGACAUAGAUUGAGUAAGAUACUUUCCAUACAAUUAUACCAUUUGAACAGAAAAUAUUGCAUGCAAUGAACAUUCAACAACAAACAUGGAAACUGCCUUUCUUUAAAUAUAAAAUUAUAUUAACAUAUAUCACUUUUAUUGCUACUCCUCACAUUUAAUUAGUUCUCUAUUCACCAAAAAAUGGAAAAUAGGGGACAAGAACUUGAAUGAACAACUCUGUGCUUUUGAUUUAUUUAUAGGAAAAAACUCUAUGCUUAUUUUGCUUUCUUUAUAUCUCUUACUGUCUUCCACUUCAUUGUAUACAGAAAAAGAAGGGGGGAUAAAAGAAUUUUGGCCUAUAAGGAUUCCAAGAUUCAAAGUAAUCCCAAAAGAUUAAACAACGUGUACAAGAGUGUAAGAUACGCAGCAAUUGAGAAACCACGUUGCAAGACUGACCUUGACUCAUUAGCUUAGAUUCAAGUUUCUGAUACACCAAUAUCUUCCUUUUGGAAUGAAAUCAAAUUUGAUUAUUUAUUUUUGUAUUACCGAAUGACCAAUUUUGUCCCACGUACUUCUAUUGCUUUCCAAAGCAACUCACAUUGAGCAAAAAACUAAAAGCACAAAAAGCCUAGCUUGAAGUUAAAGAAAAGUGUUCAAUUAGAGGCUUGCUUCCAAUAAGCUGCUUCUUUUCUCAAGUUUAAUCAAUGGAGGACCCUUAAGAAAAAAGAACAAAGGAAAGAAAGGAACUUGCUUAUAAAGAAAAUAUAAUUAUAAGGCACUGACUUCAAUUGCAAGAAAGUAAAAAACAAAUUUGAGAAAAUACCGAUAACAACAACGCGAUUUCGAGAGCUUUGGGAUCCUUGAAAGUAACAAAUGCAGUCUUUGAUUGUCCAGGCUCACUGCACACAUCCAAUUCAAAAAAACAAGAUUAACAAUCGCAACAAACACUUACAACUGGCUUGGUUUCGUUGCUCAGUACAAUUGCAAGAAAGAUGGUAAAAUUAAAAAUAAAAUAAAAACUUGGUUACAUUAGCUUUAAGUCAAAUUUAUGAAAUUAAACCCAAGUGAAUUCUUUUUUCUUUUAUUUUCCUAAUAUUUUAUCCAAAAAAAAAAAAAAAACAGGAAGGUUAAAAUAUACUUUAAAAUAGCUAGAUUAAAGUAUGCAUGCAUUUACUUUUUGACCUUUUUUUCCUUCGAAAAUUGCCGGGGAAAAUAUUAAAGUGUUCUUCUCCUUGUUUUUUCCUUAAAUUUUCCCGGCAGCCAAACAAAUUGAAAAACCCAGUGUUUAGAUAAAAAUAAUAUUAUAAAAAUAAAAAAAACUAAAAUUUUGAAUUAAAGAAAAAAGAAAGAAAGAAAGCGUACCGUUGGAUCUGAAUGCGUUCGAUUUCUCCAGAGAAUGAGAAGAACUCGUGAAUUUCUCUAUCACUAGCUAGAUCUGAUAGUUGUUUUACUUGGACUGUCCUCGUCUGCCAAAAAUAGAAUAAAAUUAAAUUCAAAAUUCAAAACUAUAAAAUACAAAAAAUUAAGUACAGGUCGGGUUUAUUUGAAGACCUGCAGCUGCUGCAUUGUGAUUGUGCUCCAAAAAGCUUUAAUAUGUUCUAUGCGAAGGAGGGAAAGCCUUCAGGGGGAUGUUGAUGGCGGUGGUGAUGAUGAAGACAGUGGUUGGUGGUGGUGUUACAGCUGGGACUGACUGGGAGAGAAGUUUCCAAGUGCCAGCCACCAGAAGAGAGAGAGAGAAUUUCAGCAGGAUAGGAAUGUAUUUGUGAUUCAACUUCACAAUCAAUAUUCGUCCAAAAAAAAAAAAUAAUCACAAUCAAUAUUUAUAAACAAUCCUAACUCCUAUUGGCGGUCUAUAAUUUGACUCCUUUUUUCUUCACUUACAAUUCUUUUUAUUUUUUAAUAUUUUUUAAUCAAUUUUGUUCUUUCUAUUUUUACCUUAUAAUAAUUUCUUUUUACUUCACUUUUAUAUUAGUUCUUUUUCUUUAUACUUAAUUUUCCAACUUGAACUAAAUUUUCAGUAUUUUUUUAAAUUUAAUUGAAUAAGAAAUUGAGUUUUUUUUUUAAUUGAGUGUAAGUUGGAAAAUUAAAUAUAAAGAAAAAGAAAUAAUAUAAAAAUGAAGUAAAAAAGAAAUUAAUGUAGGGUAAGAAUAGAAUAAGAAAGAGAAAGAACAAAAUUGAUUAAAAAGUAUUUAAAAACAAAAAGGAGUGUAAGUAGAUAAAAGGAGAGUGGGAAAAUCAGCUUCGUAAUUUAAUAUUGCUUUAUUUAUGAUUAUUUUAAACUUUUAAUUAAUAUUAACAAUUUUUAUAAUUUUUUUUAUAGAGAUGGAUCAAUUAAAAAGUGUUAUAACAUUUAUAACUCUUUUAACUAGAGAGUAUGAUUGGAGUUAAAAUUUUAUAAAAAGCUCUUAAAAUAGAUUUUAUAUAUAUUUUUAGUUAAAUUGUAACUAAAAAAUAAAGAGUAUAAUUAUAGAUGCUCUUAUAUGACACAGGACAUGUCAACUCAUGUUAUCUGGCACACCAUCUUUUUUAUUUGUGAAGUUUUAAUUUCAUUAUUUAAUUGACAAAGUGUGGAAGGGUAAUACAGUAAAAGAACAAAAGCACGUUAUGAUUCUUUUCUUGGUCAAUGCGAGAUGCAUUUCAAUGGCUAAAGCAAAACAUGCGUGAUGCGUAAAUUUGUAGUGGAGUCCGCGCGCCGAACGGGACCUGAGUUGGACUAGAAUUUUCAAUUGUUUCAUCUCUACACUCUCUAUAAAAUAUAAUAAUAAAUAUAAAAGAUAAAAAUAAAUAAUAUAAUAAUAAUUUAUAAACUUGUAUUGCCUUAUCCCUUAGAGUGACUAACUUUUUCAAUAAUAAGGCAAAUUGAUAGGCAACGUUACGCUCCACCUAAGUUAUUAUAAGAAUUCAAAAACUGUAUGUUAAAGCUAAAUAUAUAGUUAUUUGUAAACAAUUUGUUGAAGGGACGCCAUUUACUCAAAACUAAGGUAUUUUAACUAUUUACAUCCUACAACAUGUGAAUAUAGUGGAGAGUUUUAAAAUGUGGACUCGACCGUGUACGGACUUCUACUUGUAGCCCAUUUCAAUAGGAAAGAUUCUAUAAAUUACUCCUGUAUUGAAGUUCGCUGAUGGAAUCCCAAUAUUUCUUGUGUCAAAAAAUAAGACCUUCUGAACAACCACUUCCUCUUGCAAAUCAAAUCAAAUCGGAUGCUCGUUUUCAACUUUUCAUAAAUAAAUAAAGAAAAGAAAAGGUCAGAUGCCGUUUCUUAUUAUCACCUGUGCCUUGUGCAAGCCUUGGAGAUAUAACAGCCACUUAUACAUUUUAAAAGCCUCAGUCAGCUCAGCGCCCAUAUUUUUAAAGAGAAUUCCAUGACAUUCUCUACGUUCAGUUUAUAAAAUAUUUUUGUGCAAGCAUUGUUUCAAAUACAGUAACAAUAUUUAGCCGCAUACCAGUUUAAAUCACGACUUCUUAAAUUUUAUUAUUGAAAAAGAAAAUACCAAGUCUCGGGAUGAGGCAUUGAAACGAGGUAUCAACCCGUUAUUAGCUGACCAUAUGCCGAAAUGAUCACUGUAAUUUACUCAUAGGCUUCAAAACCAAAAUAAAAAACCAAAGGGACAUUCAACGAAAUAUAUUCACCAUGUCAUUUUGUGCAAGUAGGUCCUCUAAGAUGCUUGAAACUGCUUCCUUCUCAUCUUCGGUUUCUUGGAAGUGUACAUUCCAACUCCCCUACAAAUUCAACCAAAGCAUAAAAUAAAAAAACUUUCAGAACAUCAUCAAAGAACUGUAAAACCAUGAAAAUCGACCAUCAACAAGGAAAAUAAUUUCCUCCUUCGUUUCGAGGGAAGGUGUGAUGAGAUAGAAUUCAAACGAACAAAUGUCAAAAGGACUUAAACUUGUUCAUUAAAGCAAUCACUGGCCCAGUUUAGCAUGACUAAUCUAGUUGGGACAAGCAAUCAAAGAAGAAAUAACACUAAUAUUUAAAAAUCAUAAACCAAAACAAAAUAUAAUAAGGAAAAUUUGUUGGUAUCAAACACUUAGGCAAGCCCUUUUCACUUAUGCAUGAAAUUUUUGAGACCAUUGCCGUUUGGAAGUUGGGAGUAUCAGUGCGCACCUCAAGCAAAGGGACUAUCAGAAGCAUCGGCAAACCGUUUCUUCAUGAUCAUCCAGAGUGCGUGAGAGGAAGAAGCCCCAACUGUAUAUGGCAAUAAAUCUUCAGAGAUUCUUGAAUUAAGCCAAACCAUUACACUUUGAUCCCGAUCCAUCCAUUUUUCGAAGGCUGGAUUCACUUGAUUGGUGAUUUUACCAUUGGUAUCAAACAAAAAAGCAGGUGGACAGAUCUCUGUCCCUUCAACCAAACCUUCUACUCUAUAUUUCCUGAGAACUUGAAGAAAUAGCCAUUUCCAUACGGUGAAAUUAGGGCCAGUGAGUUUCAUUGGAACCAUAAUGCUGAUGUUCUGAACAGUGAUCUCUUGGACAGUGAUCAGAUGUGAAACAGGAAUUGCUACUACUGGCGUUUGUUGAUCUGCCAAUUUAAGAAAUAGAAGAAGAAGACUCUUUAAUAUGCAAGAAAAUACAAGAACGGGAUGAUUUACAAUUUCAGUGGAUUAGCAGAUCAAAAUGAACAUAUAAUUUUCAAAUGCAUGAAGGAUGUAGUUACCGCAAACGAUGGAGACGAAAGGUAGCAGAGUCUCAACAUAUUGAGUCAGGUCAUUUCCAGAGUCAAGCCCCUGAAUCAUAUAUCGCUCACGUGAAACCACAUCCUUUUUAAACUUGUCUUGGUUUUUAUCAAGCCAUAUCAACUCCACAUUCUUGGAAUUACGAUCCCGCAUCACAACUGUACCACUUUCCCUAAUGAAGAUAGGUACAUCAUUGGCAACCUUAAAUAGCACAGUCCAUGAUUCAUACACAUUAUAUUCUCUCAUGACCCAGAUUUCAAGAUAUUCAAAAUCAGGAAAUCCAUUAGCCCAUGCACACAGGCACCCUUCUAAAAGAACCCCCACUCGUCUGUAACCCAACUCAUUUUGUUCACAAAUUGGCAACAUUACAUUUCGGAACUCCUCCUUUGCCAAAUCAAAAGCAAUUGCUACUGGUUGUGGCCUACAUGAUGUGUGCAGCCAAUGGAGUGCCUCAUUUGAAAGAGCCCCCUCACUAUGCCCAUGGGGUGAAAGGGGAGCUUGAAUCUUUUUCCAGGAGUUGGCUCUCAAUGAGAAGACCACAACAGGGUAUUUGUUAGCUCUGUCAGUUUCAUACGUCAACUCCGCGCCCACAACAACUUUGUAGUCAUCAAUGGUGGAUGCAUAACCAAAACCAUAUUUGUAAUGCCUCCUAAUUUCUUCUGACCCGAAAUCUGGGUCAGGUAGUUUCUGCAAGAAUCUAGUGGAUGGGUUCCAGAUAUAAAAGCAUUCAUGAAAAUCAAGAGCUACGCACACCAAACCAUUGCAGGAGCCCAGUACCUUGACAGCGCGGCCCUGUUGCUUCAAUGGGAAGCUGAGAUUUCUGACCAAAGAAUUUCCACCAAUUGCAAACGACGGCGUUUCCAAGUGUACGGAUCGGAGCUCAGAGGCAGUGGAGAUGAGGAGGCUGGGACUCAGUGUUUGUUGCUCAGAAGCUACUUUGAAGUGGUAUUUGGCGAAUUGCGGGUCGUACAACAGAAAACGCCAGCGAUUUGAGACGCAGAUGAAUCGGAUCAAGGAUUUGACUGGCAACCUGGAGAGAAUUUUGACUAAAAUAUCAUCAGGUACGUGGGUCUUCUGCAAUUUCUUGUUCGCCAUUGGCAAUGCCCAUGAAUUUUAGCUGUUGUCGCUGGAACCCUGAAUUUGGAGAAGCUAACAAUUCCUACAGUUCUCAAUCCCAACCAACCACUCAAGAGACUAGUGUUAAUUAAGCAUGCAAUUAAUGAAAAAUAAUUUGUAAUGGGGUGGACUCGGUUUGGUUUAACUGGACCGAAUGGCGGGAACCGCGCAUCCAUUGCCUGUAUGCACGCCCUUUUUUGUGUCUUAAGACUUUCGGUUUUUUUUUUUUUUUUUGAAUUUUAAAAUUUUUCUUUUUUCUUUUCCGUUUGAUUCGUGUAUUGAACUUCUUGAGAAUAAACUUCCCAUGUCUAAUUCUGUGAAAUGGGAAUGGAGGAUGUUCAUUCUCAUGUUUGGAAACGUUGGAAAUUGAGGACUAGCAAAUGUCAUUUUCUCUCAUUCUCGUGUGUUGAUUCGUACAGUAUUAAGAAUGAAAAGACCCGUAAAAAAGGAGAAAUGAAAAGAUGUUCAAAAAUACCCUUGAUUUUUUAUUAUUAAAAGUUAUUUGAGUGCCGAGUGGUUAAGUGAGGGCAUUUGAGACGGAGUGGAAGAAUGUAAAUAAAGUGAGGAAAUUUGAGUGCCGUGUAGUUAAGUGAGAGCGAACUAAUGUUCUAAGAGGUGAAACUGUAAAUAAGCCUAAUUUUUUUGUUCUUUUAUUUUCUUCGGUUCCAAAUAUUUGUAUUUGAUUUGUUUUGUAAAUUAAAUAAAAUUAGAAUGGCAACAAAACUGAAAUUUUGGGAAAAGGUUGGGUCUAUAGACCAUUUAAUGGGCCCAAGCAUAUUAUUUUUUUCCAUGAAGAAAAGUGAAACAUGGGCUACAUUUUGAGAAGAGUAAAAGUAUAAUUUUUAAAAUUCAAACCGAGACAAGCCACCCUCAAAGCCUUCUGAGCGCACUUUGAUCCUCAAAACUCAGAGAAGAGCUACACUCUCAAGUGCCUGCUUGUGUUGUGACUAAAGACUAAAAUAUCGAUAAAAUCGAUUAGAUAUUAAGGAUAUUAUUAUUUUUUCGGGUCUAGAAUAUUUUGGAACAUAUUCAUACAUAUAUUGUAUAAGUAUCGAUAAUAUCGAAAAAUAUCAACGUCGAUAAUUUCUAUUAAUUUCAGCAACAUUUGGCCAAAAUAUCGCUAUAAUAUCGCGAUAAUAUCAAUAAUAUUGAGAUGAUGAAGAAAAUGAAAAUUUUGAAGAGUUAUUUACACUAACAUCCCCUAAGGUUUCUUGUGUUUUCAUAAAACCCCUUCAAAUCUCAAAAAUUACACGAACACCCCUUAAAGUUUCAGUUUGUUUUCACAAAAUCCUUUUCGUUGAUUGUUUGUCCAAAAAUUGAUAUAUAAAUAAAAAAUAAACUUAGGUAGCAGGAUUGAUAUGACUUAUCAAUCUUGGAACCAUAAAAUAAAGAAAUACGUAGAGAAUUAUUUUACAUGGUAAAACCCCACCUCUAGGGAAAAUCCACAGGACUCCUUAGUCCAACUCAAAUCCACUAUAGAACGAUAAUUACAAUAAGUACUCACACACUUAUCCUAGACACAUUCUAGAUAAUGUUUACCGACUUCUUCGUAACUCAACUUCUGUCACGGGAUGAUCUUCGACACUCCUUAUGUUGAACGCAAUACUGGUCACGAUUGCUUCAAACUCGUCGGAGGAAAACUGCCACCACGAUCUUGGUGCCCUCAACUGUAUGAGUCACCGAACAAUGCAAAUAAAUGUAAUAUGAAUUAUUAAAGUGUUUGAUAAAUCCCCAAAUAAACAUGGAACACUUGAUGAUUUUUCUCAAAUAUAUGCACAGAAGCUUUCAUAGAAAUUUUAGAUGCUCAAAAAAUAAAUAUGUCGAAAGCCCACUGUAUGAAAAGAAACGCACAUCUUUUAUACAAAACUGGUUCUUCCUAGUCAAAGAUAAGCACAGGAACCCACCAAUCAUAUCCUAUCAUGAAUAUUAGAUUGUUAUUCACUUUGGAUUCUAAGUGAAGACGUCAACUAAUGCAAGAAGUGAGGAAACCUAAAAGACUUCCACUACAGCCAAUCUUUUAAGGGAGAAACAAUAUUUAUCUAAACAAAUUAAUUAGACCAAUCAAGUAGGAGCUUAUUUCAACAUAUGCAAGUCAUAAUAGGAAAAGAUAAUAUUUUAAUUUAAAUUAAAAUAGAGUCCAACUAGGAGAGUAAUCUCAAGAGGUAAAAUCUAAUCCUAUUAAAAAUAGGACUAACAUAAAAUUGCUUGAGUAAUCUGUAAGAAAAAAAAAACACGAACCCUAGCUGCACUCUGAUUCUCUUUCUCCUUGCUAACAACCAAUCUCGAGGAAGAUAAGGGGGGGAGGUGGCCACUGCCCCUUCUCUCCUCCGCCCAUCUUCCCCUUCCUCUCCUCAUCUCCCCUUCUUUUUCUCCCAUAUUUUCCUUUCCUCUUAUCCCUUCUUCUCCUCCCCUUCCCCUCUCCAGAUAGUCUAGAUCUGUUUGGAUCUAGGUCUAUUUAUUUUGUUUGGUUAUUUUUGCAGUGUUUUAGGUGAUUGGUGUUGUCUUUAUCUCGGCGACGGCUAUGGUAUGACUUAUAGUUUGUAUGGGUGUCAAAGGACUAUGAUUUUGCUCAUAGAAGACUUCUUUUGACAAUUGGGAUGUUCUGCGGUCCUCUCAUGUGGGUUUACUAUUUGGAGUUUCUACGGUUCUCUCAUGUGAGUCUACUGUGUUGGUCUCUAGUUGCGGUUCUCGUCGGAGAUUUUUGUGUUAGGUUUUGUUUUUGACUUGUUAAUUUAUUAUAAUAGUCCAAAGUGACCUGAAUUGGACUCUCCUGUUAGUCCAUGACAUGUGUGGUACUCUUUCCUCUCCUGGGAUUCUUGUCCUAGAAAGGUUUUAACGAGGCCACCGUAUCAUGUCGCUCUUUGUACUUCUGUGGUUUUAUAAAUGAAUUCUCCUUCUCAAAAAUAAAAUAAAAGUGCUUGAGUGAAAAUAACUCCAACUAAUAAUCCUAUAAUGAAUGCAUGAUUAUGUCAUGAUUUACCUGAAAUCAAGUUCCUCAUAUCGAUCAAGUCAUACUUCGAAAAUCCGGGAUUGAAUGUGUUGCACCAAACCUUCCAGUAAAAGAUAUUCACACAUUAAUUCCUAACCUAUGCUAGAGUCUAGAAAAUGACAAUACAAUUUUCAUACUAACAGAAAUAAUAAAUAAAUGAUGCCUGGACUACAAAGAAUUUGAAUUGUUAAAAUGGUAUUUCUACAUUGGGUAUCUAGAGAUUGCUUACAAUAUUGCUCGAACUCAGGUGUCUUUGGGAAGGAUUGGGGGAAAAGGACCGCUUGUCUGGCCGAACCCAAUGAGAACAAUUAUCUAGUAGGUCAAACUCAUUGUAACAAAUGUAUAACUUUUCUAUUAUCAUAAUGAGAACAACUACCAACAACAACAAUGAAAAUAGAAAAACAAAAUGAUGAUGUAUGAGAUGGAUGAGACUCCAACAAUAACAAAAGAAUAAAAAUAAAAAUAAAAAUAAAACUCAAAGAAAAGAAUAAGAAAAAGGAAGAUGAGGUUGGAAUGGGGUUUGGAAAAGUUGCUAAAAAGGAGGUCAAUUCAUACUCAUUGUCUAAUAGGAAAUCCACCAACCUUUGGCUAAAAAACAAAAUUCACAUGGUUCAUGGACAGCAACAGUCCGAACUAUAACACAUCAUCAUCAACUGAAGCUUCAUUUUCCACUAGACUUACUCAUUGUCCACCACUAUCUUACCAGCCCUUAACUGGCAUGCCCAAAAAGCGAAAAUCCCUUCCUUGGCCUCCAAGUCAUUUGCUUUCAUAAAAGUCCAUGUAAUAUUGUUGCUCUACCUAAAUGCUUCUCCUAUGGGCACCAAAAUGCUAAACAUGUCAGCCCCCAAUCUGGAAAGUGAAUGCAAAGAGAUUCAUGAUUCUUGGGGACAGCUAAACCAAUUGGCUCUGGCUUUGGCUGGCCGAACCCGCCUUGAAAGGCAACAGAUUAGAGAAACUUACAAGGCAAUUUAUGGAGAGGACUUGGCAAACAGACUCCAAAAGGCAGAUCAAAUGGCUGACAACAGAAAACAGGCAGCUGCUGGUGUUGGGGUUUCACCAAAAUUAUGUGCAGCCUUGUCCAUGUGGAUGAUAGAGCAGCAUGAACGCGAUGCAAUUGUGGUCCGGGAGGCCCUUGAUGAUCAGCAAGGUGACACAAACUAUGGCGCUCUUGUAGAGAUUUUUGUUGGUCGAAAAUCAAGUCAAAUCCUUCUCAUCAAACAAGCAUAUCAGAGAAGAUUUAGGAGGCAGUUGGACCAAGAUAUCAUCCAUAUUGAGCCUCCCCAUCCUUACCAAAAGGUGAUUUAAUUAAUUAAGCUUGCUAUAUAGUAAUGAAGCCAAAGACAUAAACACACAAUUAUGUAACAGAUACUGGUGGCAUUGGUUGCAUCCCACAAGGCACACCAAACAGAUAUUAGCCAACAUAUUGCCAAGUCGGAUGCACGGAGGCUCUACGAAACAGGGGAGGGGAAUUCAGGGCCCAUAGAAGCUGUUGUACUAGAAAUACUAAGCAAACGGAGCAUUCCACAGCUUAAACUCACAUUUUCUUGCUAUAAACACAUUUAUGGGCAUGAGUAUACAGAGGUAAGUAACUAGCAUGAUUACUUUUCUGGAAUUUCCACAUUUGGCUUACUUUUCUGGAAUUACCAUUAUCAAAUUAAACUAAAGAAAUUUGAAACCAUGGCUAAUUACUUGGUAUGCUGCAGUACCUGAAGACCAGAAACUCUGGAGAAUUUGAAAACGCAAUGAAAACAGUCGUCCAAUGCAUCUACAGACCAGCUACCUAUUUCGCUACGGUAAUCAUCAUUUUCUCUUCUAUUUCCUUAUGAGCUAAUGGUCUCAGUUUGGUACGAAACAAGGAAGAAGUGGGAAUUAAAAAGGAAAAAGGCUCAGACUCACAGUUUGGAACAUGGUGAUACUAAUACUUGAGCAGAUAUUGUAUGCAAGCAUCAAGGGGUCCAUGACCGAUAAAGGCGCGUUGGCACGUGUGAUGGUGAACAGGGCUGAAGUAGACAUGGAUGAAAUUCAAAGGGAGUUUAAGAGGCAGCAUGGGAUUGAACUCAGAGAUGCAUUAUGUGACAGUGACAAAAUCCCACCUGGGGAUUACAGAGACUUUCUUGUUGCCUUGACGGCCUCCAAAUGAACUGCCACCACAGGCUAAACCUAUUAAAAUAUAUUAUAUAUAAUCAUCGCUUGAUUAUGUUUUCAACAACUUGAAUUUGUUUAUUGAUCGAAUAUACUCAUUUCUCUUUUCAUUUUUCAUAUUAAUUAAUGUACAUUUUAUACUUUAACUAGCUUGCACAAACACUCCGUCCCUAAUUCCUAGUAUUACUCUUCUGAAAUUUACGAAAUUGAUAUUGUCAUAUAAUAUAAGAAGUGCAUAUACUGUUGUUGUCUGCUAGAUUAGUACCUUGGCUGAUGUGUUCAUGAGGUAUUAGCAUAUCUUGAGGACAAAGAAAUUAUUCCCUCCCUCAAUGUAUGCACCAAGAACAAAACUCCGGGAGAAGUAAACAAAAAAGGGAUUUAUUCUCUUUCAAAAGGAAAACUCCGGGACAAAGUAUUAGCUUCUAAAUGCCCUUUUCAUCAUGUAUAAGAUAAGGAAAGAGAGGCCCUCAUUUGGCCAAGAAACUUGAUAACAUUUUCUUUACUUGAAACCUUAAAAAGAAAACAAAGAAAGCAUAAAAUCUCCAAUGGAAACCAAGCUUGCAGCAAACGAUGAGCAGUGUUACGAGGUCUUUGAACCGUUUUGCCAGUGGAAGAAAGAGGAAGGACUUGACAUUCUUAAAGUUCAUCUACCAGGUACUGCUAUAUCAUGUUGAUUCUUGUCUGAAUACGUAAGCAUUUAACUAACAACAUAAGUGCGACAACAGAACAUUAUGUUCAGCGGGUUACAUUCCAUGUCAUGUUUCUCUUUUAUUUUGUUUUACUUGUUGAUGCAUGUAGGUUUCAAAAGGCAAGAUGUCAGAGUUCAAAUCAACAACAAGGGCAUCCUAACCAUUAGUGGAAAGCAAUCUAUGGAAGAAGAAACUGCAUCUCCACCCAGCCGCUUCCUCAAAGAGAUCAAAAUUUCUACAAAUUGUAAUACGAGUGGAAUCCGUGCUAAGUUUUCGAAUGGAAUUCUUUCCAUAUCUAUGCCUAAGAAAGUGACAAACCUUUCAACACAAUUAUCAGGCAGCGGAGACAAGAUUAAGGCCGCUGAAAUUGCUACAUGGUCGUCAAUUAAUUACUAUUUACUUGGUUUAAGAAGCAAAGUUUUAAGCAAGGAGAUGGUUCUGAAGAUGGCGGGGGUCGCUCUGGGAAUGGCUCUUGGAGGUUAUGCAGUAUAUAGAUAUCCAAAGUCAGCUUGUGUCCAAAACUGAAUUAACAUACGAUGGACAUUAUUUUCAGAUCAAAUUACACUUCUUUGAUUAUUUUUCAAGUUGGCUGUUUUUAUUUAUAAAUAAUCUUUAAACCAUUGCAAUUAUGGUCACAACAAAGCAGAAUUUCCAUCAGAUGAAGUUUCCAGAAUGCCAGUGGCACAUACUGUUGCAAAGAUAUUGCUAUUGUUAUCAUGAUACUUGAAUUUAAUCCUCAUUGAUAUAUAUAUAUAUUUUUUUGGGUCAAUUUAACACUUGAAUUCUUUACAAAUAGCCAAUUUCACCCUUGCCAUCAAGAUUUUCCAUGAGGAUUCACGUGCUUGGCAUGUGAGAAAUAUUUUUUUAAAAUCCAAAAUUACUAAUUAACUAAUUAAAUUUAGUAUCACGUCCUUCCCCUCCUCUAUAUUUCUUUCUUGAGGUUGGUUUGAAUACUUUAGGUUAGUUGUAUUAUUUUUCAUAAGGAGUAUAUAUAGGAGUUACAAGGGUGCUUUACAAGGAAAUAGAUAUAGUAAUUAAUUAGGAGAAUAUCUCCUAAUUAUACAAGGAUGUGUAAACUAUAUAAAACAAUGAAGUAAAUCACCUAAUUAACUUACGAAAUAAAUCUCCUUGAUUUAAUAGGUUAUCUCACGUCAACACUCCUCCUCAAGUUGGUGCAUACACAUCACCGAUGCCUAACUUGGUAAUUGAGUCAUAAAACACUCGUCCACAAACAACUCUAAAUGACCUUCUGAUUUUACAAAGGGUAGACAGAUGAUCUUGUUCUCAAUUUUUUCUUUAAUGAAAUGUAUAUCCACCUCAACAUGUUUAGUUUGAUUACGUUGAACUGGAUUGGGAGCAAUAUCGAUAGCUAACUUGUUAUCACAAUGUAACUCCAUUGGCUUCUUUGGUUUAAAACCCAGUUCUGUCAAGAAACCUCUGAUCCACAAGAAUUCACAAACUCCUUGAGCCAUUCCUCAAUACUCUGCUUCUACACUAGACCGAGCAACCACAUUUUAUUUUUUACUCCGCUAAGUGACUAGGUUACCUCCAACGAAUGUAAAGUAACCCAAUGUAGAGCGUUUAUCUAUAAUGGAACCAGCCCAAUCAGCAUCUGUAUAUCCAACAACUUCAAGAUUUCCAUUCUUAGAGAACAUUAAUCCCUUUCCAGAGGCUAACUUUAAGUAUCUUAAGAUUUGAUAAACUACAUUCCUAUGAGAAAUACUGGGUGAAUGCAUAAACACACUAACCACACUCACAACAUAUGCAAUAUCUGGUCUUGUGUGUGCCAAAUAUAUCAACCUUCCAACGAGGCGCUGGUAUUGUUCAUUAUUGGUUGGCAACCAGUCCAUGUCUUCACACAACUUGUGAUUCAUCUCAAUAGGUGUGUCAGCAAGCUUACAUCUAAGCAUUCUUAUUUCAGUUAGUAGAUCCAUCACGUACUUCCUUUGAGACACAAAUAUACCAGUUUUUAACCUUGCUACUUCAAUUCCGAAGAAGUACUUCAGAGCACCUAAAUCAUUCGUCUCGAAUUCCUGAGACAAAUACUUUUGUAGCUUCUGUUGCUCUCUUGUGUCGUUCCCAGUUAUGACUAUGUCAUCCACAUAAACAAUUAAUGCAAUGAUUUUUCCUCCAUCACACUUCAAGAACAGGGUGUGGUCUAAAUUACUUUGAGUGUAUCCAAAAUUCUUCAUGAACUUAGUAAAUCUACCAAACCAUGCCCUAGGAGAUUGUUUUAACCCAUAUAAUGAUUUACUGUGCUUGCAAACUUGAUUUUUCUUGUCAUGAGCUAAAUUACAUUCUGGUGAUAAACCCAUGUAUACCUUUUCUUCUAAGUCUCCAUGUAAGAAGGCAUUUUUAACAUCAAACUGAUGUAGUGGCUAAUCUAUAUUUGCUACUAGAGAAGUAGGACUCUGAUAGUGUUGCUACUGGGGCAAAGGCCUUUUGGUAGUCCACCCUAUGUCUCUAUGUGUACCCCUUCAUUACCAAUCUAGUUUUAUAUAUUUCAAUGGAUCCAUCUGCUUUGAGUUUCACAAUAUAGAUCCACCUGUAUCCCACUGUCUUCUUUCCAUGAGGUAAAGGCAUGAGCUCCCAUGUGGCAUUCUUCUGAAGAGCUAGUAUUUCUUCAUUCAUGGCUUCUUUCCAUUUUGAGUCUUCUAAUGCUUCAGUUACACUAUUGGGGACAUAUAUAUCGGCCAACUGCUUCACAAAGUGUACAUGUGACUCAGAUAAUAUGCUUAGAGAUAUAUAAUUAUUGAUGGGGUAUUUUUCUUUGGCUUUAAGAUCUGCUUCGUACUGUACUCGAGGUUUACCAUAGUUCUUCCUUUGUGGAAGUUGGUAUAUAGGGGUAUAUGUAUCUUUUAUGCUUUCUAAAAUCAAAUCAUUAUGGUAUAUUUCACUAGUGUUAUUAGUUUCAGGGGUAAAUGUUACCUGAAUGACUUCCUCAUAAAGUGACUGGUGUGGAACUAGAGAUGAAGGCGAGUCCGGGGUAGGCAAAAUCUCAUAAAAUAAUUCAACGUCCUCCUUCUGAUUUUGGCAGCGUGAAGUCGACCGGUCGUUUUGACAUAGUGGCUCUGCCUAUGAAGGAAUAAAGAGGGGCAACCGGUCGUGUGGGAGAGGCGAUUUGAGCAGGCCCCAAAACAUUAGAAUGAAUAAGGGAGAAGGGAACUCAACUUUUAUUUGUACUUAAUGGGAACUGAAUACAAUGCUCUUAACCAAUUCACAGGUAUCACUCUGGAAGCUAGAAAUAUCAAAACAAGAAAAUAAUGAUGGAAACAACUUCUUCAGAUAACCAAACAAGGCAUGCUCAAAACGUUUAUCCCAUAACCAAACUUUGUCUCUCGGCCUCGUAGAACUAGCUCCACUUGUUAUGAAAGUUUGACCAACCUUGGUCUCACUAUCUGAUGCCCAGUCGAAGUGGUAGAGUUUGCCCCACCUAGUACCACAACCAAUCGUCUUCCUCGUGAUGAUAUCAUGAAAAACACAAUGAUUCGGCCAAAAUGUUGUAGUACACCCCAAAGUUAUAGUAAGUUGCGCAAUAGACAACAAGUUAUGGUAUAAGGAUGGAACAAUCAAUACAGAAUCAAUAUGUGUGGAGUUAGAUAGAGAUAGAGAGCCCUCCCCAACCAUAGAGGAAGGGGUACCAUUAGCAUUAGAUACCACCGACUGAGUGGUUAGUUUGCGACUAAUAAUUGGCCAGGAUCAAAUGUCAUGUGAUCCGUAGCACCUAAGUCAAUACUCCAUGUAGAUUUUGGAGAGGACGUAUGAAAAGCAGAACCUUUGGUGGUGGCGAUAGAAGCACAAGUCUGGGUAGCCGAUUUAGCAGGAUUGACUGCAUGCUUUUGUGAGUCAGCAAGGAGGUAGAGAAUCAUAGGGGGGGUCCUAACAUUGUUAAAUAUAUGCCCUAGAAGCUAAUAUAAAAAUGGAUAAUUUUAAGGAAAUAAUAUAUAAUAAUCAAAGGGGCAAGAACAUUGCUUUAGAUACAUAACGUACACAAAGUAACAAGUCCAUGGAUUAAGAUAUAAAUGGAAAGAGGUCUAAAGAAGUUAGAUGCACGAGACCUUUCCAUACAUAUGAAUACCGUAUCCUAAAAUUCCUAAAAUGUUCCUAGUCAUAGGAUCACCAAUUGGAGAAUGGUGACCUGCAAAGACUGGUACACAUUAUCUCUGCUCAAUUAGGAGGAUGACUAGUCUCAAGUCAUUCGUGUAGAGACACUGAGACAUAUGUGUAGGUGCUCUAUAGAAGAUGGAGUCCACUGACUGUGAUCAACUUUAGAAUUCUUGUAUGGAAGUCUUACUCACAAGUGUCAAACAAAGAAUUCUAAGUUGUGAUAAUGCAAAUUAAUCCUUAGACCUGAGACAUCGUAAUUGUUUUGUGUAUAUGUUGUUUCUCUUUGAGAGCAUUAUACGGUCGUAUCAAAAUAAUGUGACUUAAAGGUAUUCCUCAGGAUUCUCAACAUGUACGCAGAGACAAGUGAAUUUACAACAAGGAAUCGCUGCUCUUAGUAAGAAGAGAGAAUACUCUAAAGAUAUGAUUCGUGAAUCUUUGGCCAAAGUAUCGGAUGAAAAUUGGAACAAGAAUGUUUGGAAUUUCAUCAAAUUUCAUCAUAUAAUCUAGAGAUGUCAUAUUAGAGAUUUUGACACAAGUUUACCAUAUCCCGAGAAUAUGACAUAGAGUACUGAAUUAGAGAAGGAUCGAAUUGCAUUGUAAUCACAAACUGACUAGGUUCUCUAAAUGAAUUCUUUUUAGCUUGGGUAGCCAUGACGUACUACUUGGUGUCACUCAUGGCUUGUGGAAGCCCUUUAAGGAUUAAUUAUAAUUAGCAUUCGCCAAUAAGGAGAAUUGUAUGGAGGGAUACAAUUCACACUUGAUUCAGAGUGAAUCAUUCAUACCCACUACGUCGCUAAUUAGAACCUAUAAGAUCGUACACCGAAAAGAAAUAAAUUGGGAAAUUAAGAAGAGAAUGAAUGAUUUUGUGACUUGGUCAAAGUCAAUGUGAAAGUCAUGGUCAAAGUCAAUGUGAAAGUCAAAGGUCGAAGUCAAAAGUCAAAGAUCAAAGGUCAAACAGUUGACCCGACACUUGAUACGGUCAACUAAGGAUGACCGGGACCAACACUCGUUAGACAAGUGAGUGAUUAAAAAAGGAUUUGACCAUAUGGACUUAGGCACAUAUGUGACACAUUAUAUGAUUAAUGUGUUACUCUCUCUCCCUAACCCCUUAAAUAAGUCACAUCAAGUGAGGGUGCUAGCACCACUCUUCACUUGUUGUCUACUCAUUCUCUCAUCCCAUUCAAUCCUUGGUGAAGAGCUUUGGGGGUGCAUAUCUUUGUACCUAUUUGGAGAACUACGAUGUGGAGAAUCAACAUCAAAGGGAGAGCCAACAACGAAGGGACCACUCCCUCUACUUGAACACCAUUCUUGGUUUCAAGAUUCGCUCCAAGGGUAUGAACAUCUUAUAUUUCUCUCAAAUAGGAUUUAGAGAGUUUUUUGUGCACAUUUUCAUAGACUUAUAAAAAUUGGGACUAAAUGGGACUUGCAUGAAUCCCUAGUUUAUUUAAUGCUUCCGCUCUUACUUUGAUUUCAUAUUAGAUAUGGCAUGCUAGGUGAUUUAUACUCACAAAGUUUGGUUAUAGAGUUUUUAGAAAUCUCUAUACAACACCAUUCCCACAAUAUUUCCUUCAGACAUCAUAGAGGAAUUAAGAUUUGAUAUGAGUGUGUGUUUGUGAUUAAGGAGUUGAUUUAAGAAUUUGAGGAAUUUGAUGUAUGAAUUUGAUUUGAGAGGUAUGUGUUGAAGGAGUUUCAUAAGAGGAUUUGAUUUGAGAGGUAAGGAAUUUGAUUUGGGGUUUGGGUUGGAAUUUGAGAGUAUGAUUUGAUGGCUUAGAGACAACCUAGGAUCGAUUGCUCUGAUACCAUACUAAAAUAUAAAUUUAGUUUGAAUACUUUAGGUUAGUUGUAUUCUUCUCCAUAAGGAGAUAUAUAUAUAUAUAUAUAUAUAUUUAGGAGUUUACAAGGGUGUUUUACAAGGAAAUAGAUAUAGUAAUUAAUUUGGAGAAUAUCUCCUAAUUAUACAAGGACAUGUAAACUAUAUAAAAUAAGGAAGUAAAUUGUAACACCCCGACCUAGUUUAAUCAUCUUAUCCAAUUUAUUUUAUGUGCACAAUUACGUUUUUACCCUCAAGAGUAAGGGCACUUUGGUAACUUUUUGUUUCGGAAGGAUUUUGGGGAAUUGAGUGGCACCGUUACGUAGAGCUUGCUCUCCGAGUUUGUAGACAUGUAGUGGGUUCAAUUUGGAGUUAAAACGAUAUAAUCUAUGGAAGUACAGUAGCACAACCAUAAAUUUUGUAAAGUCAAAAUUUUUAAAAAUCUGGACUGCUUCUCUCUCUCUCUCUCUCUCUCUCUCUCUCUCUCUCUCUCCCCUUUCCCGACUCUCUCUCUUCUUCCCGAAAACAGACCGGCCACUUUGGCCGGCUUUUUCUCCUCUGUCCGAUCACGGCUAGCGACGACACAACCCACAAAACGUUCAUCUUUUCCUCCUCUACACGUUCAUACCCAUUUCCACCUUUAAAACUACAAGAUUGGUUGCAAUUUUGGACUGAAACUGAGCCAAAACCCUCUUUCGUUGCAGAUGGUGUUUGUGUGAUUUUCGGUGGCCAAAAUCGUCAAAUCAGAUAUGAAACUUCAUCCUCUCAUCGUGCUCUACCUGUCUAUGUGCUUGGUUUAGGUUAAUUUUGAGGUUUUAGAGAUCGAUUUCUAACCCCCAGUUAAGCUGACGGUCUCGGCUUAGAUCCGGCUAGUUCCGGUCAGUUUUUGGCCGUAGUCCAAGAACAAAAGUUGAUCCCCUAGGUAGUCGGAUUAUAAUGGUAUUGGUGUUGACCGGCGAUUUGGAGUUUUCCAUCACCGAAAAUUACUCAAGACACCUACACACUGUCGGCCGCAAAUGGCGGCGCAUGAUCCACUUUGUGGCUGCCCAUUAGGUUCUAAAAUGUUCCCUUUGUCGUCCUGAGCAUGAAAGUAUGCUCAGAUUUGGAACUGGUUACCAUUUGACAGUUGAACGGAUAUUGCACCUAUUAUGCGAUAUCGGGGUUCGAUAGGUUUGGACCGUUCGAUCGGCCUCAAUUUCAAAUAUGUUGUUCCAUGUACCUCUAGGAUCAUGUAAGAUCUUGUGGAUCGAGAAUCGGAGUCUCGGAUAUUCCGAGUCAAUGAUUCCAAGGUUAGACAAAUCAACCGUCGUUCGAUCAUGCGAUUUGCUUAGAUCUGACCGGUUGAUCGAGACCAAACCUUCGGGACUUAUUCAGUAGACUUUGUUGGACCUAUAGUUACUUUCGAAUUGAAAAUCGGAGGUCUUGGCCCCAGUGGGACCGAUUGACCCAUAUGAAAAGUUUGACCGCUCGGUUGACCGUGAGUUUUCCGAGACCAUCUCAUCCUUCAGGAAGUAUUAGAAUGACCCUAUAAACUUUCUUAAAGGUUGUGCACACUUUGAGACUAGGGAACUAGUGUUUGGAGUUAAAGUUCGUUGUCGGGUACGUUUAUUAAUUAUGCCCGUUUAUUCUCUCAAAUAGAUACUCUUGCUUCGCGCACUCUAGAGCAAGAUCUCUCUCAGGAUUGAGCAGCGUUGGACUUGUCGUAAGUGGACAUUUGUUUUUAAAUUGCAUUUAUUUUUCAAAUAUGGAAUUGCUUGCAUAAAUGUGAUUGGAUUGGAAAUCAGUUUAUUUUGGUUAAUAAGGUUAUUGGAUCUUAUUGUCGGGCUAGUCUUAGCUUUUACAAUGUAAUAUGUUAUUUCAAGGGAUUAUUAUUUUAAUAUAUAAUAUUAUAUCUAUUAAAGUAUAUGGAUUUAGGUCUCGGACUUUGGUGAUUUUGGGAUUUGGGUGAUAUUGGGUUUGUUUAUGAAAUUUGAACAAGGGAUUUGGUUUAUUUGGAUUUUGGAUAUUUUUAUCAUUAUUUUAUGAGAUUUUGGUGUUGGUUAUAUCGGUUAAGUUGUGAAUUUUGUAUAAUGAAUAUUAUUGUUUCAACUAUGAUAUUAUCGAGAUGUUUAUAUAUAUGGGUUGGGGUACCUUUGAAUAUUUGAAAAUUGGAUUUUGAAGGUGUAUUAUGUUUUAUUAUUUAUAUUAGUUUAUGAAAGUGGAUUCUGGAUCUUGGGAAUGACACACCAUUAUAUGUACCUCCCUUAUUACUAUUACUUUGGAUAUUUUUGACACACGGUAACUCUUCGGAGGUGUGUCGGGAAUAGGACACCCCUGACCGGGUGUACUGAAGGCCUUGAUGAGCUGUCUGUGUGCGUAUGACUCAUUUCAGCAACACGUGUAUUGAGGAUUCAACCGUACUAGUCUGGGAAGCAAUAGCCCUCGGUUGGAAUGCUCAUUCCCUAGCCACAUGAGUAUUGAGGAUUCUGCCAUGUGGUCUAGUAAAACUAGGAGUGGGCACGGUACGGUAUUUAGCUCGUACCGCUACCAAUACCGGAAAUUAAAACCAGUAUGGUACGGUAUGAGAUUAUCUUUUGUCAAAGUUGGUACCAUACCAUGCUGUGCCAAAUCAGUAUCGAUACCAUUUCGGUUCCAAAAUGACACAACUAAAAAAUGAACCAAUUCAAUAUUCAACAUAUUCAUUCACCAAAACAAGUGAUGCCUAAGUUACAGAUUCAAAGAUUCAACAUAUUCCAUAUCCAAAUUCUAAUCAACCAACUCAAUAUCCAUCAACAUAUUCAAUAUCCAAAUCAACCAAAUCCAAAGAUAAAAUGACAUAAAACAAAAGCAAUAAAAUGACAUAAAACGAACAACUUCGCCAAACUUCUGUAUGCUAAAAUCUCAACCAUGUUUGAGGUUCAAACCUCAGAAAGCUUAAAGAAGCUUGUACAAACAACAUAGCUCUUACAGUAGUAUAUAUAGAUAGAAAUAUACAUCUUACUAAAAAAUUAUUAGUUUUGCAUGAAACUAUGUAUCCAAGUCUCAGUCAAUCUGAACAGCUAAUAGAAUAUUCAAAAUCUUUUUUAACUUUCUAGCUUACAUUUUCCAAAAGGAUGUGGAGCACAUGCUUUCUCUGUAGAUAUGACUGAAAGCAAUGCAACUAAGCCCUCUAAAAGUACUUUCCAUAGCAGAAUAUAUAGAUUUCUCUGGCAUAAUGCAGUAAAGUAUUGAUCUCUUGGAAACUGAGGAUAGAUCAAAAUAUUAUUCUUCAGUAUUCGGUACGGUACGGUAUUGACUAGUACCAAAUAUUUGAUACCGCUACCAUACCAUACUCUAUUGGUACGGUACCAAAUAUCUCCCCAUCCCAAAUGAAACGGUAUGAAAUCGAUAUGGUACGGUAUGGUUAGUGUACAGUUUCAGUAUUUCGGCUUUAGAUGCCCACGCCUAAGUAAAACAAUCCCCGUGUUGGAUUGUUUCCCCUAGUACAUAUUGAUGAUUUGUUUAUUUUUGGUGUGUGUAUAUUUAUAGUAAUGUGCAUUGAGACUACUCUACACAGGUAUGAAUAUAUAUAUAUAGGUAUAUAUGUGGAUUUACUUUCCAGGUUUUGAGGUUUCUUGAGCAUGUGCAUUGAGACUACUCUGCACAGGUAUGAAUAUUUGAAAUGGAGUUCAGAUUUGAGAUUGGAUAUUUGGGAAUUGCUGGGCAUAUUGUAUUUUUGCAAGGGUUUGGUUACAAGAAAAAAGAUUUUUGGGUUUUGUUGGUUAUAUUUUAUAUUAACAAGAUUACUUUGGAAGUUUCGAUUAUACAGUUUUACAAUUAUGAUUAAAUGCAUAAAUUUACGUUUCCCAAGAAUUUGAGGAGUAUUAAUUAAAUAGUUUUCAUUAUCGUAUAUCUUGAUAUAAGUAUAUUUAAUUUAAUUAUUUUCAAGUAUCGGAAGGUAUAUAUGUCCGUAUACAAAAGGAUUUUGUUGCAUAUUUUUUUGUUGGCAUUAUUUUCUAAAACGGAGGGGGUUAUUAGUUUGAAUAGAAAUUAUGUUUACAGCUUUGUUUUCAUCCACCCACACUAUCAGUUUUGCGCCCCCAGGUCCUAGAUAUUCGAGAUCGAGACCACCACGUCGAGGCAUCACCAUUGUCCACACUGUAGGAAUUCCUCCUUUAUCUUUCUCUACUUUACUUUCCCCUAGUUGUAAACUAAAUCUUUAGUUGCUUUGCUUGCUCGUUUCGAGUUUUGGUUGAGAGCGUGAAGCCCUUUGGUUUAGUCUUAACUGUUGUGCGUGCUUUUACCUUGUGCAUGCUGGAAGUUGGGCCAUUCUGGUGUUGUUUGCAGGGACGGUAAUUCGGGAAUUGUUCCAAGUACAGGGGAGAUCCUGCCAAAAUUUCAGUAGAAGUCAAACUAUUUAUCCUUUUAAAUUAGGGCUACAAGACUUUUUAGUAAAGUGGGUUCAACAUCAGGGUAAAUGUCGGACGGGGAGCAAGGUUCAUCGCAGAUUCCAAAGUGGAAUACAGGGCGGGUCCUGUCAUAAAUCACCUAAGUAACUUAGGAAAUAAAUCUGCUUAAUUUAGUAGGUUAACUCAUGUCAACAUGGAGUGUGGAUGUGGUGAGGGGAAUGCUCUCAACAGAGAACAUGGUGGGUUUUUUUUGGUUGAAGGAAAUGAAAAUUUUUUUGACCAAGAAAAAGGAAAUGAAUAUUUCAUUCCAAGCAAAAGCGAUACAACAAUCAGCGAAACUACGAGUUAGCCUAAAUAUCAUAGGUAAUUCAUGCAAAAAGAAAAUUAAUCAACAACAUCAAUUGAAUAAAUUAACGGAUAGGUAAUUAAGAGGCUAGAUUGCUUUAUUAGUGGUGGAUUCGGUGUCCUAGUGCUUUUAUAUAUUUGUUUUCAAUCCCUUUAAAUAUUGUGUGUUUUAUUUGCUUUGGUUUUUAAGUUUUUGUCAACUUUAGUUCAAUCAAUCAAUCAAUCAAUCAAUCAUUUGUUUAAUUAGGUUUAGUGCAAUUUAAUUGAUUAACUUGUUUAAUCCAUCCUUGUUGGUUUGGCUUCGUACUUGCAUAUCUCUAUACUAUAUUAUUGAUUCAUCCUCUUACAAGUAAUUUAAUUUGUGAAUUUUUUAUGUUUUUUUCUAGAUGUUUGAAAAUCUACAUCAAGUUUUUCCAAAUUUUUAAAUAUUCUUUUCUUGAUGUCGAAUUUUGAACACCUAGAAAAGAAUAUUAAAAAAUCACAAAUUAAAUUACUCCCUAGUGCAUGAAUCAACAAUAGUAUAGAGAUAUGCAAGUACGAUGUCGAACCUAAAAGGAUUUAUUAACCAACUUAAUCACCUAAAUUGCACUAAACCUAAUUAAGCAAACGAUUGAGUGAUAUUAAACAAAAAUUGACACAAAAGCUUAAAAGCCAAAACAAAUAAAUAUAUGAUAAUUUAAGGGGUUGAACGUCAAUUUAUAAAAGCACUAGGACAACGAAUCCACCACUAAUAAUCUAAUCUAACCUCUAAAUUACUUAUCCGUUAAUUAAUCCAAUUGAUGUUGUUAAUUAUUUUUUGUUUUUUUUAAAAAUUACCUAUGGUAUUUAGGCUAACUCGUAUAUUCUUACAUGCAAUUUGUCUGUGGUAUUAAGUACAAAUAGGAAUAUAGACUCUUUAAGCUUUGUGAAAGUUUUGAUAACCAUGUAAACCCUAUGAGUAUGAUAUUUACUUUAGAUGAAUUACAAUUCCUAACUACAAGAAGCAAGCCUCAAAUUAGGUGUGGUAUUAUUCUAAUUUGCAUCAAAGAACUCAACUUAAAACCUAGAUAGUAGCUAAGCUUCAAGACAUUCAAUCAAGUCUAUAAGCAUGGUGAUUAAGAAUCUAGCAUCAAAAGGCAAUCAAAGGAUAGGCAAAAUAAGAAAACUAGAUCAUCAUAUUAGGGUUUCAUCUUACCCUAGAAAAGUAUUUAGUUACACAUAGUUAUAAUAAAAAUCAUAAGAAAAGUCAUGAAAAAGAUAGAAUUCGGAAAUCAAUGGUGAUGCGCACGCCUGAGCUCCACGUCCUCUCUUGAAUGGAAAUUGUAUAAAUGGUGGUAGGCUAGGUAGAGAGAGCUUAGGGUGGGCUUAUAUAGUGAAAAGUAACUAAAACCUACUCUAAAAAGGUCCGGAAAAACUCUCCCAAAGCAAAUCAAAAUCCUAAAUAACUAAGUAAACAAACUAGGAAAGAAUCCUUCUUUCACUAGGAAACCCGUCUUGCUUGCAUGUUUUGGAGUCAUUUCAGUUCCUAGAAAUUUUGAAAAAAUAUUUAAAUUUUAGCUGUAUUUCUUAGCUUUGUAGGCAUAUAACGCUAAUUCAGCUUGGGCUGUUUUGAUUUCAAAUUAUGGGACAAUUGUCUUCAAAAAAAAUUCUGACAAAUUGACACAAUGAUCUUCAAUGUCAUAUCUUUCUUAUCCAAUUGGCUUGGCUAAAAUUCCUUCAAAAAAUUGAUUUUCCAUCUAACACCUUGUAAGAGCAUAGCAAAACUGAAAAUAAGUUAAAUAACAUAAUAAUUCUCUUUUUAAUUAACUUUUCCUACAAAAACCAAAUAUAAAGGGUAUAACAAUAAUGCACCUAUAAAAUACCUGCAUCUUAAAUUUUGCUAGUCCUUGAGGAAAACAAAACAUAAGAACGAAGACUCGAAACAAGUGGCCAACGCGCCAAACCGCCACCAAGUGUUUUGGAACUUAUUGAACUGCCACUAAGUGGCCAACAUGCCACCACCCGCCAUGGGCAACGGUUGUGGCUUGAGUAAUUUUCGGUGAUAAGAAAAAUCCAAAACCGCCUAUCAAUACCCAUACCAAUAGAACCAACACACCAAAGGGGGACAAAUUUUGCUCUUGGACUAUGGCCAAAAAGUGGCUAGAACAGGGUCAAUCGAGCCCGAACCCGUGAGGGUUUUGGCCGAAAUUUCCCGGACUCAAUAUAGCGGCUACGGUGAUAAUCGACGUCCAGACCAUAGGGGAAACACUAAGGGAGAGGAGAGCUACCUUUUCCAAGUGGUGGCGCAGCCUGAAGUCACUAGAGUUGUCCCAGGCGAUGAGGAUCGGUUUUAGGCGAUUUUUUACUUUGAUCUAGAAGGCGUUCCACUUGUUUUCUGGGCGGGAUAUGGCGUGGGAUGAGACGGGGAGGUGGAGGCAAGUCGAUUGGGACUGAUCUAGUGGCCUGAGAUGGCCAGACGACAACAAUUGCUGGUUGCAUAGUGACGAGUUAGGGUUUGUCUCAAGGGAGGAGAGAGAGAGAGAGAGAACUGGAGAAAAGAGAGAGAGAGAGAAAGCGUGAGGGGCAAAACCGGGUUUCUGGGUUUUAAAACAAUGUUUUUUCUAAAGGACCAAAUUGCCUUUUUUUGUUUUUAGACCCUUAUUUAACUGUCAUAACUCAGAAUUGAGCGUGCCGCCUCUCCAUGAACUCGUAUCGACAAGCUCUACGCAACAGUGCAAUUCAAUUCCCCAAAAUCCUUUCCAAAUUAAAAGUGACCAAUUUACCCUUACCCUUAAGGGUUUAAAAAAAAAUGUAAUUCCUUAAUUAAAUUUUUAAUUAAUAUUUAUUUUAGGUCGGGAUGUUACAUCUUGAGGCAUAGAAAAGAAUCAAUCUGAGCCAGCUUCCCUCUUAGAGUACAGUGGUUUGAUUAGAAGUCAGUUUAUUCGAAGUGCAUAUUAUUAAUAUAUUCAUCUUUCUAUUAGGCUAUUUCUCGCACUAAUGGUGGCACGCUCACACAAUUAAAUCUCUUACCCUAUUUAUAGGACUAAGGCAAUUUUGGGAUUAUGUAAUUGGUACUUAGGUGAAGGGGGUAAAUUAAAACCCCAAUGGAUAGAUGUAUGACAAUAAUGAUCAAAUAAACCUAGAGACAAUAUGAUUAGUUAAUAACUAGUCAUAGGCCGGCUCGCUUCCAAUCGGGUUAGGAGGUUAGAAGUCAGAAGUCGGGGAAAGCGCCCUAUCUUGUUGGUUCUUCGUCUUUCGAACCUUAACCAUGAAAGUCAGUCAAUGUUGGCUUCCUCGAUUACACAAUUGACCACACGCAUUCAACGGUAGCAUAACACUUAUGCAAAAUACAUCAAAUAUUCAAAUCCCUACAAGCCUACAAGAUAACUACGUGACAACCUAGGCACUCAAAAGGACCAGUCAAUCUAGGCAUCCCUUAUGCUAGCAACAACUUGAGUGAUAGGUGUGUGAAACAUUCAUCAACAUUUCAUAUAUAACGCAAACAGUAUGACUAGGCAUAUAAAUCAAAGAAACACCCCAGAAAUGUUUACCUAGAAACCCACCAUUGGGAAAAACUAGGGAUCAUCACUCCGACCAGGCAAUCCACCAAGUUAAGAAGGUUAUUACAGAAAAAGUAAUCACAAGCUCAAGCAAUCCUAGGUCUAUUUAGGAAAUGAGCACUACCUCCAUAUGCACCCUUCUUCUCCAAACUUAGUUGAGAUAGUAGCUUGUCCUUCAUGGAAUUGGCAGCUAGUCCAUAAACUCCUUCAUCCCAUGGCAAGAAUCUGAUCUAGAUAUGAAUGAGAAUGUGGUUAACUAGCCUAGAUGCAGAUUUUGAAUAACAAAGAUUUCAAAAAAAAAUUUGAAAAUCUCAUUUUGGAAACCUCAUAUCUCACUCAUCUCACCAUUUGCAGAGGAGAAGAAGAAGAUGACUCUCUUUCUUUCUCUAAAAAAUGAUGAAUGAAUGAGUGAAGAGGAUUUUAAAUAUCAAAGCAGAUUUUAAAAAUCAUUUUUCAAAAUCUCAUAAUGAAAACCUAGACUUCACUAAGAAGGAAGAAAAACAGAGAAGAAAGGCUCUCAAAAUUCUAUUUUUCUGUAAAACUGAUGGCUACAAUGUUGUAGCCUCCCUUUUUACCCAAAAAGAAAUCUGCCCUAAAUUCUCCUAGCUAGUAGCCACUCAUUGACUUCAUAAUAGACAAAAACUUCAUCAGGACAGAAAACCUAUAGUUGGUAACCCAUGAGAAAUUAAAUGAGCUGGCAGUAACGAAUGACUAGUCAUCACAUUGACUCGAUAUGUCCUAAUAUAUAUGCAAUGCAUGAUUUACCUUUGAAUAUCUUGAUUGCAUCGUGCCACUAUUGAUCUCAGGCACAUUAAUCAUCUGAAACUAGACUAUCCUAGUCUAAUUAACCUAGAGGUUGAUGAAUUACAUGUGCAAUUACAAAGUUGUCAAGGGAAGCUAAAAGCCUUAGCUAAACAUAACCUAACAUGUUAACACUACUAAGCACAUAAGCAUAAAAGCUUGGGUUUUUAACUAUAGAGGUCCCUGAACUUUACCUCGAGUUUCAGUAGUCUCAAAACUUUUUUAUGAGGCAAUUAGAUCGGCCAACUCGAUAAAUUGUUUUGAUUGAAUCCUUUCGUCACACUCUGUCAAUAUUAAGGGUAAAUUAGACUUUUGACAACACAAACCUUAUUCCCAACAACACCCUCAUAUCCCCGCGAUUUGCCUUGCACUCUAACCCUUUGCAAGUGCACCCAUCUUUCCUUUUGGGCUUAUUUCAAAGGACUGGUCUAGAUUGGGUACAUAAGCCUUGCCAGAGGAUUAAGUGGGAGCCUUUGAGUGGUGCUGCAAUGGGCUGAUUAGCCCUUUCAUUGGUUUUGAUUUUGUUAAGGGAUGGUCUUCCAUGCCCAUAUGUUUGUUAGUGUUGGUUGGCUUUUGUGGUUCUUAGUACUGUCUCUGGGUGGCUUCUGGUCUUUCAAGAAUUACAUUACACUUCUCCUUUAUGGAUUUUACAGUAUAAAUGGGAUAUGGUUGUUGCGGAAUAGAAAAUAGAGAAAUUAGGAGAAAGGAGGAGGGAAGGGUUAGUUUUUUUUUUUUUUUGUUUGUUUGUUGAAAGCAUGGCUAGAGUCUAGAGUAUGAUGUCGUUUUAAUUGGAAGAGUUGGGUGCUGGAAGAAGCUUCUGAGCUGAUAAACAAAAUGCCAAUGGAACCAAGUUCUUGGGAAUGGAUGGUUGGCUAGGUCAGCUUAGGAGACACCUGCUCUGGAAAUGAUGCUUUUAGCCCUCACUUUGAUGACCAAAUUGAUAGACUAUCACUGUAGGAGCUAAUUGCAACUACUUGUCGAGUUGGCAGACCUAAUUGCCCCAAAAAAAAGUUUCAUGACUCAAUUGAAACUCGAGGUAAAUUUAUGGACCUCUACAAUUAAAAACCCUAAAAGCUUUAUGAUUGCAAAGUGGCUACACAAAUGUUUAUUUCUUUGAUUUGGCAUUACUGAGUGAUAUUGACGGUCUUUUUCAUUAUAUAUAAAUGCGUAGGAGAUUUUGAUGAAUAACUAAAGGAAAAUGCUAAGGAAACGAACUUUAGAGACCAACUUGUGUACUAUUUCUGCAAUAGAGAUGUGACCCAUUGUAUGGGUGGGCUCCACCUCUAUUAUAUAUAAGUUGGUAUCUAAAGAUGGUCUCCCUAGUAUGACCUAUAAUUAAAAGAGUAGUCUUAUACAAAGUAUUUAUCAUUGGAAGUUUACAAAUACCAAGGGCAGCCCAGGCAUGGUGCAAGUGGAGCCACUCCAUAGCCCCGUGCUUUUUGAGGGCCGCCGAAAUUUUUUUACUUUAUAUUAUAUAAAUUAAUUUUAUAAAAACGUUAUAUAUACUCCAUCAUACAACACAUUGACAUAAAAAGUGUAUUUGGUGAAGCUUGUUUCUAGCGCAUGUCCCUUUGUACCAGACAAGGCCCAAGUUCGAGUCUUAGUGAUGUCAUUCUAUUUGUAUUUUUAUUCUUUUUUCAUUAUAGCAACAAAAUUUAAAAUAGUUUAUAGAAAAUAAGCACUUGGAAAAAAAAAACACAAAGAGAAAAGAUCCAACUAAACAAACAGCAGUAUAUAUCACACACAAAAAAAAGUACUUUCUUCCAUUCAAAACAAUACAAAACAAAAAAAUUCAUGCCUUCUUCUUUCUCUUGAACUCUUAUGAAUUUGAGUUGUGAUUGUUAUUACAUGCUAAUUGAUGAUAAAUUUUUGUUAUAAAAAAAAUUGUUUUAUGACAUUAAGUCAUGACAAAUUUAUUUUUAGUAUUUACAUAUUAGAUUAUGUUAGGGCUCUAAUUUAAGUGUUGCACAGCCAGGCGCUCAAAAUUUCUGAACCAGGCUUGACAAUACUACUCAGUUAUAUUGAUCACUUACUUCUAUUUUAAUAUAUUGUGUUAAAAGGGCAUCAGCUAAGUUUCUCCGCAUGCCUUGUUUUAAAGAAAUGCAAAGACAGAAAAGAAAGACAGGUUAGGAAUAUGAAACAUGCUAAGAAAUAUUCUCUUCUGGACCAACCUACACGAAACCUGUAAUUCCAUCCGUUCCGGCUAUAUAUAUAUAUAUAUAUAUAUAUAUAUAUAUAUAUAUGUGUGUGAGAGAGAGAGAGAGAGAGAAAAAGAAAAGCAAACUUAAGCGGUUGCCAUGGAUUCCAACGGUGAAGUCGUUAGCAUUAUACGUUCUUAUGAGGAUUUCAUGCCUUACUGCAAGUUCCAAAGAGAGGAACGAUACGAUACAUACCAGAUUCCUCUCCAUGGUAAUUUCCUAUUUUAAUUUUUUUUUUUCUAGAUAUCCUUGUGUUUAUUGUUUAUAGUUCCUUUUAUUAUGGUCCGGACGUGAUGCAUUGCUUUAUAAGGACAAUAUGCUUGAAAAUGCUAUGAUAAAAGGAACAAAAGUAUCUGAAUAUAUAAGCUUGGAAAGGUAUUAGUUAGGCUAGUAGGAAAGUCAGUGAUAUUGGAAAUUAUGGAUACGUAUAUUAAUCGCCAAAUGUGUAAUUUAAUAGUAUUUCCUUCUAAUGUACCCACCACCCGAGUUCGAAUCCCUCAACGUGUAGAUUAGAGUAGUAUCAUUAUCAUCUUGUCCAAAAAAAGAGAAGAAAAUACAGUACUAUAGCUUGCAAUUUACAAAUUAAAAAAAUCAACUUUUGAAUCUAAAGAAUAAAGCUUCAUUAGAGGAGAAUCGAGGAAAGAGCAAAAUAUCAUCUAGUGAGUCUAUAUAAAGUUCACUCUCAUUAAUCUUUGUCUCAAGAAAUUGAGUUACUUAUAACUAGGUUUGGAAGGUAAUGAUUUCUUCUUGUAUAAUUUGCAUCGGUACGUAUUAGGUUUCAAGAUUGCGCAAUUCAAUGUAUGCUUGAAUGAGGAGAAAGAGACCAUAAACAUUGAAGGCCAACGUCCUGUGGAUGGAACCAGAUGGAUUCGUUUCCGCCAAGAAUUCAAAGUGCCUUGUGAUGUUUAUAACACCAAGGAUAUUCAUGCAAGGUUUGGUUAUGGCGUUCUUUCCAUAAGGCUGCCAAAAAAGAAACCUUCAAAUGACGCAUCUGAUUCAGUUGUCAACAAAAGUUUGCUUUCGAGGCUGAAAACUAGUAAAAUGGCGAUCCUGAGAAUUGCAAUAGCUGUUGUUGUGGGCGUGGCUGUUGGAGGUUACGUAAUCUUCAAAUGCUUUCCAUCUAAGCACGCUAUUGAGAAGCACUAAUCAAUUAAAACUCGUAUGAGUCUAGUGCCUUUGUUAAUAUUCAUAUAGGCAUUUCUAGUUGCAUAUACUUGCUUUAUACAAACGGGUAAUAUUAUAAUAUAGCCUUUGUUUAUGGUUCAUUUUCUCUGAGGGUUCUAUGGCUGUGGGUCCUCUCAUAAUCUAAAAGUUAUGCCAAUCAAUUUUCAUAUAUAUAUAUAUAUAUAUAUAUAUAUAUAUUUUUUAAUACAAGCUAUAGUAACUACAACACGGGGUAGUGGCGGAGGCAGAAACCUUUUACAGAGGGGCACCUUAUAUAUUGAAAUAUAUUUUUCUUUACUGUGACAUUAUAAUUAAUAUUUUACUUGAUACAAAAUUGUUAAAUUUGAUUACUAUACUCUAUUAAUUUAAAUAUCAUAUUAAUUAUCUACUCAUCAAUACUAGCAAAAGAUAUUAAAUGUACUUCGUUAAAUAUACACACUAAGAAAAUACGAAUUAUAGUUUAUUACUUCAAUUUUCAUUUAUGCUGCAAAAUUUUCCUACAUUAACGAUCUAUAGAAGCCAUAUCAUUCUCCAAAAAAACGUCAUAUCACUAUUAGGAAUACAUAUUCAUGAAGGGUUUUUAACUUAAGUAAUUCCUGAAUUUAUACCUGAUUUAUAAUUUUGUCCUCAAAUGUGUUUUUGGAGGUUAUGGGGUCUCCCAACUCUUUCAUUCAUCCAUAUUGAGUGCUUCAGUCACAUUCCAUCAAUUUGGCUAUCAAUUUGAGGGUUAAGACAAGCCAUCUUGCCUAAAAUAUUAAUAAAUAAUGAAAAUUUAAAGCAAAAUAUAAAUUGAAAAGAAAAAUAAACCAAACCGUCCAUCUACAUUUUCUGUGUAGCGAUAUGAAUAGGGUUUGGUAUGAGGAUGAGAUAUUAUGAAGAUGAGGCUGGGUUGGGAGGUCACUUCUGUUAAAUUUCAAAGAAACGGGUCAACGACUCACUACUAACAACACUGAUAUUAUCUCUAACUUAACCACCUACAAAGCCCAAUAGGUGUGCGGUUUUAUCACAAAAGGCUUCGGUGAUAUUAAUAUUGAAACCAUUCAUUAUAUCUUAUAUUUUAUUUAGUCAAGUUUCCGAUAUGGAAUUUAUAUUCUUCAACACGCCCCCUCACGUGGAACCAUCACAUAGUGAGCCACACAUUGAGCCAAGUCAAUAUUGGAGUCAAACAUUCAAGCCCAACAUGUGAACACCACAUAUUGGGUAAGGGGUAGAGGUAAACAUUCAAACCCAACAGUGAACACCACAUAUUGGGUAAGGGUAAAGGCCCAAUUCAGGCCCAGUCAAUCUACUACACUACGGCUUUCUAAGACUGUCAGUGCGUAGUAGGGGUGGGCAUCGGGACCGGAAAACCGGAACACCGAACCGAACCGGUGAAAAAAAACCGGAAAAAAAAGCGGUUGACCAAAAAAGUCAACAAACCGGACCGGAACCGGACCGAACAGGUUCCAACCGGUUCCAGUUCUGAUUUUACAUCUCUCCGCACCGGACCGGACCGAACCGGACUGGUCAUAUAUUUUAUAUUUAUAUUUUUACAAAAUUUUAAAAUCUAAUGCCAUUUUUUAACUUCUAUAAUCACUAAUUUUUCAAGUUCAACUUCAAAAAAUUUCUAAAUGUAUGAAUUGGAUUAUUUGUUCAUUUUUAAGCUAAAAAAAUAAGUUAUUUAUUAUAAUUUUUUUAUUAAAAAAAAAUAAUAAAUUAAUAAUCCGGUUCAAAACCGGAACCGGUCAGAACCGAACCGGCCGGUUUUCGAAAUUUUUUUUGCCUAAACCGGACCAAACCGGACCGGUUAAAUAAUACCGGUUUCGGUUCCGGUUUGAGGUGAGAACCGGACCAAACCGGACCGCGCCCACCCCUAGUGCGUAGCCUUCAUUCUACUAUACUAUGAAAAGGUUACGAAGUCACUUAGCUCAACGACUUUAGGAGAGUAAGGGGGCAACGCCAUACCUAUGCACCUCAUAAUUUAAAUAUGCUAUAUAUAUAUAUAUAUAUAUAUAUAGAGAGAGAGAGAGAGAGAGAGAGAGAGAGAUUUCAAAUUAGCUUAUUUGAGAGACACCUUUAUAUGGCUCAUUUUUACAUAACGAGUAUAGAUAAAUUAUCUCUUUUUAAAUAGGGUAGUUUAGAAAGUGGGUUUCCUUCCUAUUUCUUUCUUAAAUUUUUUAAAUAUUGUCUGAGUUUCGAGAAAAAUCUUAGAUGUAACUUGUUGUAUGCAACCAUUUGCCUAUUCCUCAACUAAUCAUAUGAGAAAUUAAGUCAACUGGCCAACUUAAUAAAAGAAUUUGCAAAUGUACCAUAUAUAUGACUAACUUCAUCAAUUUAGUCCAAAAAGUAGUACAUGCUUCGCGCACCGCACUUCAAGAAAAGUUUUUUUUUUUUGGUCAAGCACGCUUGAAGAAAAGUGUACGUUGAUAUUUUGGACCUCAAAAAAAAACAAAAAACCAUUGAAAAAGAGCCACAUGCAAAUGGCAUGUUACGUUUGGCACAAAAUUAAUAUGGAUGAAGGCUAUAUAGGUGGUUCAUUGCAAUAAAAUUUUAGUUGCGGUGGGAAUGUGAUUCAAUUUUGAAUUUUAAUUUCCCCUAAUAUUUUAAAUAGAAAAAAUUAAAAAUCCCUAAAUUUGAAUUGAUUAAACUAAUAAUAAAGCACUUUUGAGAAAUCAAUUGGCUCUUUGUUUAAUGAUAUUUCUCUCUGUUAGUUUAUUAAUUUUAUAAAGGUUUGAGGUUUUAUUUCCUAAAUCAAAUUUUUUUGCUAAAAUACGCAUGUUACUUGUAAAUUCUAUUUUAGAGUAUAGUAUCAAUAAACAUAUAUUCAUAUUAUAAAACGUGGACCGAAAAUACUACGUGCUAGUGCAGUGGUGCUGGAUAAGAAAGAGAGGUUAAGAAUAAUUACGUAAACGUGAGCAAAGGAAGGCCCAUAUAUAUGCGAAAGAGCUACCUAGCUUUCGAAACAAAGCAAACGAAAAGAAAGGAAUGAUUCUAUUACCAUUUGGUAAAGUCUAUAUAGUUUGCUUUGUUGGCAAAGUAUAAAUGGACCUAUACUUAAUUCAUAGCUAGAGCACACUUAAUAUCUCUCUUCCAUAAGAAACUAGGUAUUAAUGUAGGCAUCCUCCCAUGGACACCAAAUCUAAUUAUUACGAUUAUUUUGAACCCUUUUGCAAAUGGCAAAGUGGGGAAAUCAGCAACACUCUGAGAGUCCAUCUCCAAGGUAAUAUAAUUUACUCAUCCCUUUGAAGUUUUGGAUGGGCAGAGGUAGAUAUUUCUUUUUCUUUUUCUUUUCUUAAUUGGCUAUGUAAUUAAGGAUCGGGGAUUUCAGAAGCCCUAACUUUGCAGAAAAACUUGCUUGCAAUCAGGAUACCUUUGUUUUGCUAUUUCCGGCCAAUAAUACUAUGACACGUGAAAAAGUUACUAAAUUUAAGUAGGCACUAAAGACUUUGAUUUCUCGCAACGGUAUAGAUUGUAGCUAAUUCGGUUAAAACAUCAAGAUUUUAUUAGAUUUUAUUUCUUUUUGCGGUUUAUUGUUUGGCUGAACUGUGUAGAGGUUGGAGUGGGCUCUAGCGAAUUCCGAUUUGGUGCAAAUUUGAUAAGGUACCCCUACUCUCCCACAUAUAUUCGCCCACCCUUCGUAAAUUUUAUAAGCUACGUAACCCAUAUACUCCCACAACUCUGCAGCCACUGAUUGUAUUUUAUUCCACAAAGCCAAGAAUAAACUUGUUUGGUUUCUAAUUUCUCUAGAGCAAUUGAAGAAUCUAUUAUAAUAUAGAAGAAAGAAAAACAAAUUUUGCCCAGCCCUCCUAUUUAAAUUCCUGGUUCACCCUCCUAAUCCCGAAUUAUUAUUAUAUAAGUAUAUAGCAUGAUUUAAAACCCAAAUCUUUCUUAGUCAGUGGGGAGGUUGGGGGUUAAAAAGAGGGGGUUUGGAUUAGAAUAGGUUAAGAGUUUGUAUCCAUCCCAGUGUAUAAAAUAAAAUAGCAAUCUGAUCUCUUUCCAAUCUAUGAUUUUUCCUCAUUCCUUGGGCGCCUUUUUAUUAAGUAGAUUUCAGUUUCCUUUGAACUUUUGCAGGCUUCCAACGGGAUCAAAUAAACGUGCAGGUCAAGUUUGGCAAAAUAUUGAUCGAAGGAGAACGUGAAUAUGUUUUGGAAGGAACCUCAGCAACAAGAUGGAAGCGCUUCAGCAAAGAAAUACCACUUGAAAGAAGAGAAUACAAGCUGUGCAAUAUGAAAACAAAAUUUGAAGCAGGUGUUCUUUCUAUAAUUCUGCCUAAGAAAGUUCAUAAAGCAGAUCAACUUGGCCUGAGUAAAUUAGUCUCAACGUUGAAUGUUACGAGGACUACUGUGGAAGUCAUGCUAGCAGUUUCCAUGGGGUUGGCUGUUGGGGCAUAUGGAACAUACAAAUUAAUAUUCCCAAAUUAAUAUUUCUUUUUGGUGUUAAUUUUUUUUAAUUGAUUUGGGUUGUAGAUGUAGAGUCUGUAUAAGCUGAUCAAAAUUACUCAUCAAUAUUGACGCUGAAAAGUUCAUCCAAUAUGCCUCGAAUAAGAGACAAAAUUGAAGACCGCCUAUGGUCGGCUUACAAUUUUCACUAUGUUGCCAAUGCAAGUAUGGUCGGCUUAAAUAUUAUGCUUUGGUACACAUCAAGUAGCAUUAUAUUGUAAGACAAUUCAUUGUCUUAAUCCACGAAUUGUGGUCUUUUAAUCAUAUGAGGACUCAAGUAGUUUGUUUGAUCAAGAGCUAAAACUCUAGCUUAUCGGAUUAUCUCUUGUGCAAAGCUAGUUUAAUUAAAAUAUAAGAGCUAAGAGACUUCCUAAUUCUAUAUAGAUUGAAAACAACCUAAUCUAAUGCAAAUAGAACACUUGGCUGCUACUUGAUGGGCAAGGCAUUCGAGUAAUGCAAUAUAUAGUAGUCCCUUCCAUUGAAGCAAAACACACUCAAACAGUUUCUCACCCCCAUCUAGAAAGAGAGUACCAAGGUGUUGCAUAGGUGAAGAAGAUCCUCUAUUUCAAUCAUGUUGGAUCAAGGUUAGGAUUAAGAUAUAAAGUCUAGUUAAGAUUUACAUAUAUUAUAUAGGCUUAAUUACUGUCCUUGAAACUUAAAGCGACCCAAAGUGCUCCCUUGACCAAGGUUUGGUGUUUCAUUUUGCCCCCACCGUUAACUUUGUUAAAAAUUCUGUUAAAAACACUGACAUAGAACGAAUGGGACCCAUCUUUUUGCUGAAAUGUAUGCCAUAUAAGUGUAGGAAACAUGCAUCUAAUGCUUAGGAAAUGAACUUUAGCCACAACCUAUACAACAAAAACAUUCUAAAUGGCGGAUUCAUUUUGUUUAUACUAGUUGAGCUAAACAUUUUUCAUUUUAAACCAAGUAUCUUAGCCUAGUCUCUUUGAACACAAAUAGAAAAGGGAAAAAGGGAAUAGAUCUUUACCCUUUAUGACAUUUUCUUGAUUUAUCAAGAAUGAACACCUUUGUUGGAAAGGCCUUUUGUUUCUCUUAAUUUUGACUUCUUCACCUUAAGACUCCAAGAUUGAAGUCUUCUACCUCACCACACCAAAUGCUCCUACAGAUGAAGAGAAGGCAAUCAAGAAGUACGGAUGCUAAUCUACUUCUUGAUUGGACCAAUUUUUGGUUAUGCAAGAUGAGAUACAAAGAUAAUCACUCAUCAACCAAAGUAGGAAACCAAAAAUCAUAGCAAGGUUCUCUCCGACACUUAGCUUAUAUAGAACAACACAAAAGGCAAUUGGGUGGGUAUUUGGAGCUCCGAUUGGUUCAUGUGUCAUGUCAUCUUAUGCCACUUAUCCCUUGGGCCCAAUAGCCUUUUGGGUAAUUUUGUCCAUUUUCUUUUAAAUCAUAUUUAAAAGCCCAAUCCAAUAUUUCUGUAUCAAUAUUAAUUCCAUAAUUAAUCUUUUAAUUGUAAUUUAAUUUUAAAUUAUAAUUAUAGUCUUACUUAAUUGACCCAGUAGAACUAUUUGACUUUGGUCAAUUGCUCCGGUCAACAUGUUGACUUUUGACCGUUGACUGUGACAUUUGAUUAUCAACCAUUGACUUGUAUCUUCUCAUUUCAUUUCUCCUCAUUUGUACCUCUAAUCACAUUCUUUGGGUGUGCAGAUCCGUAAGUUCCCUUUAGCAAGGUAGUGGGUUGACUCAACUUCUCAAAGAUGAUAUACGAAUUAAAUUCCACAAUUUAAUUCUUCAUAUUAAUAAAGGUUAAUUGAAACCUUUUAGGACAUCCACAAACCAUGGUUGUCGCCUAGCAGCAAGUCAUGGUUAUCCAAGCUAAAUGAAACGUUGUGAAAGAACCUAUUCAAAUUGGAAUGACCACGCAAUUGAAUCAUUCUCUUAUGUCAAUACUCCUUAUUCACAUUAUUAGAUUGUGGAAUCCGAUUGUCAAUAUCCUAAUGUGAAUCAUUCUUUUUAUAUGAUUAUCCUGGUAAGAUUUGAAGACUUCUUUUUUCAAGUCUUAUCUACUACUCUACGCAGAGAUUUGAUCAAUCAUAUCUUGGAGUAUUCUCUCUCCUUUACUGAGAGUAGAGAUUCCUUAUUGUACCUUCAUUUGCUUCCAUGACUUUAUUGAGAAUCUUGAUGAGCACCUUUAAGCUAUGCCUAAUUUAGCAUGACCGUAUAGUGCCCUCAAAGAUUAACAAUAUACCCACAAAACAUCUAUGAUUCCACAGGUCUAAGGAUUAGUUUGCACCAUUGCAAUUUAUGAGUUCCAGUUUGACAUGUGAGUAAAGACUUCCACGCUGUAACUCAUGUGUUGGAUCGCGUUCAGUGAACUUGUUCUUCUACAAGCACCUACACACAUAUCGAUGUGUUUUCACACUUAAUGACUUGAGACCUUGACAUUCCCUACAUAUAAACAAGAUUGUGUGUAUUGGUUUUUGCGGAAUAUUGAUGCCCAAUCAAUAUUCCUAUGACCAGGAACAUAUUCAAGAUUUAGGGAUGGUGAGAAGUCUCCGUGUAUGCAAUCUCAUUACAUAGCUCUCAUAUCUACUUGAGUAUUCCUUGGACUAUAGUUGUUCUAAAUAUUGAAAGAUAAUAUAGGAUGAUUUAAUGUAUAAAACAACCUUUCUUGCCUAUUGAUAACAUAAUAUGUCUUUUAUCAAAGAUGUCCUUAACUCUAACUAUUAUAUAAUUAGUUGACUUUAAUAGCAUAUUUCUAACAAUAAGUGCCACAUGUGAAGAAAAAAGAGUUUAAAAAAAAAAAAUUAACAAAUAGGAAAAAAAUAAUAUUUACAAAAUUACUUUCUUCUCUCUCCCUCUUUCUUUCUCUGUACCAGAACUAGACCCCCUCCCCCACCAUCUCCCCACCCAAACAAUCACUUACCCAUGACACACACCCACAAACCCACAUCCACCCGACCAAGGCAUGAGUGGUCUCCUGCAGCCGCGACCAAGGCAGUGGAUUUCCUAAUGGCGCUCACUUGAGAUGGAGAUGGCUUGGUAUAGAUGUGGAGCGCUGUAACCGCUAUAAUCAUGGAAGAUAUCACAUGUAUCCCUGACGCAGUUGUUUUCAAUCCAUUUAUGACUCCCUAAUUCCUUCCUCUUCCUCCUUUAUACACAAUUCUUCUUAUUUAUGGGGGUUUUUGGAUCACCAACUGGUUUAUCAUCAGUUUCAUGGCUGAUUUUGCUAUUCUCUCUGCUACUUUGAGUUUUUGAAAGGUGAUUAAAGAAGAAGAGCGGGAAGAGUUUGUUACGUUUAUUUGAUUUAGUUUUUUUUCGUUUUUGCUCGGUCUGAUUAACUGUAAAGGGGAAGCUGAGUUUUUUUUAGUUUUUUUUUGUGGUCAAACUGGAAAUACAUUACCAGGGCAAAAAGCCAAAGAUACAAAGCUAGAGUCCAAAGCUAAGGACAACUGCAACCAGGAAAACAGGACAUACAAGAACAAAGACUAGGGGAAGAACAGGUAGGAGACGACCCAACCAACAGGUGGUGGCAUCGUCAAAUUCCUCUCUAGCCUCAAACUAAUAUUGGGGUGGACAAGGUAACCCGUCCUUAUUAAGAAUGCCUACCCCUCGACGUUGCUAUCCUGGCCAAGUGGUCUGCUGCCAGGUUUGCGGUUCUAGGAACCCAAGACCACCUACACUCCCUGAAUUCUACCUGGUUCUUGUUGAUCAAGGUGAGCACCAGAUAUACAUGCCACUUGCUUCUUGAAAUGGACCGUUGAAGAGCAUUGAUAAUCUCCUUACAAUCAGAUUCAAUUACGAUGUGAUCACAGCCUUGCUGCUUGGCAAAUUUGCACCCCUCAAACACAGCCAAAGCUUCAACAAGUAAGGGGGAAUCAGCCAUAAUUGGAAGAGCCCCACCUACCACAAAUUCCCCUGAAGCACUACGAAGGACAAUUCCCACCCCUGCCUGAUGAACAUCAGAUCUCGAUGAAGCAUCAACAUUAACCUUGAUUAUAUUACUUGGGGGAGGAGACCACCGUUGGGGUGGUUUAUGAACUUGAGGAGCACCAUUUCGACGUUGAUUGAUGAACUGUUGAACCUCCAAAAAAUCACCACAAGAGGUUUGGAUUGCCCUUAUAAUUGAGAGGGUAUGCGGGGCCUUAUGCUCCAUAACGGCUUUGCAAUGGGCUUUCCAUAUGUGCCAACAAGUGUGGGCAAUAAAAGUACUCAUCCAUUCUCAAUCGGACACACUUAGAACCACCUCAUUUGUUAUUGACAACAACCAUCUGUCCAUACUUGUGAUAGCUCCCUUGUCAAUCUUGAUAUUCAAUUGGCCACCAAACCACACAGGUUCAACCCAAGGACAAAGCAAGAGCAAGUGUUCAACAGAUUCGACAAAUUCACCGCAAAUGGAGCAAAUAAGGGAAGUGCUCAUCUUCCUCCGAAAUAAGUUCUCCUUCGUGGCAAUACCAUUUCGAACAGCUCUCCAAAUAAAGUUACAAAUUUUCGGGGGAGCUGUUAUUCGCCAAACAAAUUUCCAGCAAGCCACAUCAACAUCACGAGAGGAGGAAGGUCUAUUUUGCUGACGAGAAGUUGAGGAGCUAUGCAGCCAGUGAUAUCCAGAUUUUACAGAGUAGCAUCCAUUCUUUUCGAAAAGCCAUACCAAUCUAUCUUUAUUUCUCGGGCUUGCAAAUUUAAUUUUGGCAAUGGCUUCAGCAGCCCUGUCAUCAAUCAGGUGUCGAAUGGGGUUGAGGUCCCAAUUACAAGUAUCAAAAUUAAUAAUGGAAUUGAUUGUUUGCUCUAAAUCCACCAUACCAUUAGUCGCAGGUUGCAGCCUUCCACCCUCAAAACCUGGAAUCCAAUUAUCAACCCAAAGCCUAACCUGAGAGCCAUCCAGAACCUGCCAGUGAGCGCCUUGUAGCAGAAUAUCCCCUCCUUGUAGUAAACUAGCCCAUGCCCAGGAAGCCCGACUACCUUUUCUGGCUUGAAGAAAGUUCUCAUUUGGAAAAUAAAGAUCCUUCAAAGUUUUUGCCCAAAGAGAGUCAGGUUCGGUGAUGAGUCUCCAAUAUUGCUUAGCUAUCAAUGCCAAAUUAAAUUCAUGAAGGUCACGGAAGCCCAUACCGCCAGAUUGUUUUGAGAGACUCAAAGAAUUCUAGCUGAUCCAGUGUAUCCUUUUCUCAUUUCCAUUUUGGCCCCACCAGAAAUUUACCAUUAACAAAUCAAUUUCCUUACAGAUUUUUGAAGGGAACACAAAAAUGUGCAUUGGAUAAGCAAGAACUGCUUGAACCAUUGCUUUCAACAGAACCUCUCCACAUGCCUGCAAAAGAAGUUGUUGUUUCCAACCUUGGAUUUUAGACAUAAUCUUCUCCUUAAUGUACAACAAUGCCUCACGCUUUGAGCGGCCCCAAAUGGUAGGGAGACCGAGAUACUUCCAGGAUUAUCAACCCGAGGCAUCGCAAGGAUAUGGCAGAUUUGGUGGCCCAAAUUUGAUGGAGUAUUGGGGCUAAAGAAAAUAGUUGAUUUGGCCAAACUAAUUUGUUGUCCAGACGCCCUACAAUAGGCAUUUAAAAGCUGCACCAUGUUUGUAUAAUUCUGCUCAGUGGCCCUUAGGAAGAUUAAAGUAUCAUCGGUAAACAUGAGAUGGGAGAGGGUAGGUCCUGACCUUCUUAAUUUGAUGCCUUGCAAAAAACCAGAUUCGCACGCCUUAAGCACUAAUAAGGAGAGAACCUCACUCACUAGUAAGAACAGGUAAGGGGAGAGAGGGUCUCCCUGUUUCAAUCCCCGGGUGGGUUUGAAUCCUCCUCCUGGUUGUCCAUUGAGGAUUACAGAAAAAAAACACAGUUCUGAUACAGCUCAUAAUCAACUCCACCCACCUCACAGUGAACCCCAUUCGAAUCAUCAUUGCCUCCAAGAAAUCCCACUCCACACAAUCAUAAGCUUUAUUCAUAUCAAGUUUUACUCCCAUUUCGAACACCUUCUUCGAUUUCCUUAGUUUCAGAUAAUGGAAUACCUCGUGAGCCAAGAUAAUAUUAUCUUGAAUCUAGCGCCCAGGGAUGAAGGCAUUCUGGCUAUGAUGAAUGAGGUCAGGCAUGUGAGAUUUGAGCCUAUUCGCCAUAAUUUUUUAGAGAAUUUUAUGCGAAUAAUUACACAACCCAAUUGGACGAAAUUGGGAAACAGUCUCAGGACAAGGGAUUUUCGGAAUCAGUACUAAGUGGGUUGAGUUGAGGGAAAUUGGGGAGACAGCACUUCAAAAAAAUCUUUCAUUGUCCCCUGCACCUCAGCAAGAAUGGUGUCCCAAUAUGUCUGGUAGAACAUUCCUUGAAACCCGUUCGGCCCCGGGGCUUUCAUACCCCCCAUUUGGAAAACCGCUUCUUUCACCUCGACCUACAAAAUUGGGCUUGUCAACGUAGCAUUCAUCUAACCACUAACAAUACAAGAGACACAAUCAAGUACAUUCCCCAAUCUCUGUGUCCACUAGUUGUAAACAAAUUUUUGAAAUGUGCCUCCACAGUUUGUCUAAUUCCUUCUGCAUUUUCAAUCCAAACCCCAUCGUCAUUCUUGAUCUUGGAAAUGUUGUUGUUCCUCAGGCGCAGCUCAGUUUAGCGAAUGUCAUGAAAGGCGUACGCCUUGAAGUCGAGGCGGUCCGAGGCGGCCGCUAAACACAAAUGCGCUGUAAAAGGCGCAAGCCUCGCGAGGAAGACAGACUUCCUUUAUUUGAAAAAUCUGAUUCCAGACGACGUCAUUUGCACGGGCUGUGUUGUUUUGUUUCCCUUUAGUUAAGCUGUGCGUUUCAGUUUUAAGUUUUAAUAUUAGACACGCACCGUUUUGUUCAAAGGAAACUAGUUUACCCAUUUAUUCCUUCCCUCUCCCAAAAGCCAAAGUUCCUAAACAGACCAACAGAAACCGCCUCCCGCCUUCCACCAUCAGUUCAGUCCACCUCCAUAAUCUACUCUUUUAUCUAUUCGAACUAGGUAGAAAGGCACUAGACUUAGAGAGAUAAUUUAACCAAAAGGAUAUAUAGUAAAGAAUUGAGCAAUAGUAAGAGAAAUUUUGAAAUAAACAUGCUUUGAUGGUUAAUUUAUAUUCUAGAGUGGCAUUUAAUACAUUAAAUAGCUGUUUUAUAUUUUUGUAAUUAUAAUAACUCAAUACCCGAAAGGCUUACGUUUCAACGCUUUAAAGCUUACGCCUCGCCUCAUAAGGUAUAAAACGCCUCACUCUAACGCCUCGCCUUUCAAAACAUUGUUGGCAUCACAUGUUGUUAGCCGAUUGACACGGGACCUUUGCUUCCAUUAACUAUCCUCCAUCGCCCAUAGAUCAUUAAUUUUGCCCACUACAGGUUGAAUCAGCUCACGGUUUUCCUGCCAAUUCUUUUGCAGUGAUCUUAAGUAGCUCAUUGUACUCUCGACCUCGUGCCGAUUGUUCUUAAACUUCGAUCUACUCCACCCCUGAAGCUGACCCUUGCACAUUCUCAAUUUUUUAUGCCACCUCUUAAUCCAGGAGCCACCAACUUGGGAUUGCCAGCACCUAUUCACGAUUUGAUAGCUCUCCUCCUCCUUAAUCCAGUGAGCCCCAAACUUGAAAAGCUUGAUGUGUCUGUUACCACUUGGCUUACAAACAAGGACCAUAGGGCAGUGAUCUGAUCCCAACACCGUUUCAUGAAGCACUCUGGUGUUAGGUCAAGUGACUUGCCAGGCUGCAUUUGCUAAGCAUCUAUCUAUUCUCUCCUCUACUAUUUCAUUAGUAAAUAUGUUUUAACUACUAUUUCAUUCCCAAAAAAAAUUAAAGAAAAAGUGCGCAAAAUAAUUAAAUUCUAUUUAUUUAGUGUUUUGUGAAAUCGUUCGGGUGUCUUAAUUAAAUUUCUCCAUGGCCCAAGAGCCCUAUCCGUUACUAUUAGGCCAUUACUCGAGUAACUAUUGUCCCUCUUUGAUUUUUUUACUUUUCCAAAAUUAUUAUCCGUAUAAAGACCUUGGUACUUUCACGUUUAAUAAUGUAUUAUACACGUCCGCACGUAUUUCUCAUGUGUAAUACAAGUAUUCUUUUACAAAAAUUUCAAUAAGGCACACAAAAUUCAUGUAUUAUAUUCAUAUUCUCACAUAUUAUUGAAUAAAAAUAAUAUAUAUAUACAUUUUUUUUCCCUAAAAGUAUAUCCGCACGGCUAUACUCUGUUUUAGCUUAAUUUUUUUAUCUAAAAAUAGUACGGCCGUGCGGCUCUACUUGUUUGACACGUGGCGCAUAGGCGCUGGGGCCGGCUACACUAGAUUCUUUUUAAAUUUUUUUAUUUUUUUUAAAAAAAAAACGACAACAACAAAUAGUAUAGCCGCGCGGCUAUACUCGCAAUCCGUCGAAUCCUACACGAUCCUGAAAUCAUGUAGACCGACAUAUCCGAAAUUCAGCGCGAUCCGACAAUUUGACGACACUACACCCAAGGAUCGCGCGAUAUGGAAAAUCCGUUCGGGGCUCAAACGGACUCCGAAUCGAGAUCCGCGAAAUCCUACGCGCUCGUGAUGACACGAGGAUCUCAAAACUGCCCAGAGUUACUCCACCACCCUCGCCCACGCGCCCCAGCACGCGCGGGCAGAUUCGGGUGUCUAAAGCAAUACCGAGUGGCCGAAAAAUCUCGGAACCAAGACUCCAAACUCCUACCCUAGGUAAAACACCCCAUUUGAAAAAAAAAUUUAAACAGUACAGCCGCGCGGCUCUACUCUUUUGACACGUGGCGCACAGGCGCUGGGGCUGGCUACACUAGAUUCUUUUUAAAUUUUUUGCAUUAAAAAAAAUUAAACAAAUAGUAUAGCCGGGCGGCUAUACUCGCUUCCUUCUAAUUUUUUUUUAAAAAUAGUACAGCCGCGCGGCUCUACGCCUUUGACACGUGGUGCCUAUGCGCUGGGCUGAUCCUUUUUUAUAUUAUAAAUAGUAUAGCCGUGUGGCUAUACUGUUUGAAAUACAAUUUUAUUCCUGGAUUUUUUUAAUUUUCAGAAUAUAAAAUUAGUUUCCUUUACUUUUUGUUCCGUUGCCCAACUUCUUUAAUUUAUUAUAUGUAACUAAGUAAUAUCUUACCCUCUUUGAAUUACUUUAAUUAGUAAAUAUGUUUUAACUACUAUUUCAUUCCCAAAAAAAAAAUUUAAAGAAAAAGUGCGCAAAAUAAUUAAAUUCUAUUUAUUUAGUGUUUUGUGAAAUCGUUUGGGUGUCUUAAUUAAAUUUCUCCAUGGCCCAAGAGCCCUAUCCGUUACUAUUAGGCCAUUACUCGAGUAACUAUUGUCCCUCUUUGAUUUUUUUACUUUUCCAAAAUUAUUAUCCGUAUAAAGAUCUUGGUACUUUCGCGUUUAAUAAUGUAUUAUACACGUCCGCACGUAUUUCUCAUGUUUAAUACAAGUAUUCUUUUACAAAAAUUUCAAUAAGGCACACAAAAUUCGCGUAUUAUAUUUAUAUUCUCACAUAUUAUUGAAUAAAAAUAAUAUAUAUUUUUUUCUCUAACAGUAUAGCCGUCCGGCGAUACUCUGUUUUAGCUUAAUUUUUUAUUUAAAAAUACUACGGCCGUGCGACUCUACUUGUUUGACACUUGGCGCACAGGCGCUGGGGCCGGCUACACUAGAUUCUUUUUAUAUGUUUUAUAUUUUUUUUUUUUAAAAAAACAACAGCAGCAGCAAUAGUAUAGCCGCGCGGCUAUACUCGCUUUUCCCAAUUUUUUUUUAAGUACAGCCGCGCGGCUCUACUCUUCUGACCCGUGGCGCACAGGCGCUGGGGCUGGCUACACUAGAUUCUUUUUAAAUUUUUUGCAUUAAAAAAAAAAUUAAACAAAUAGUAUAGCCGGGCGGCUAUACUCGCGUCCUUCUAAUUUUUUUUAUAAAAUAGUACAGCCGCGCGGCUGUACGCUUUUGACACGUGGUGCCUAUGCGCUGGGCUGAUCCUUUUUUAUAUUAUAAAUAGUAUAGCCGUGUGGCUAUACUGUUUGAAAUACAAUUUUAUUCCUGGAUUUUUUUAAUUUUCAGAAUAUAAAAUUAGUUUCCUUUACUUUUUGUUCCGUUGCCCAACUUCUUUAAUUUAUUAUAUGGGCAUACGAUGGGGGAUGGUGGAGGAGAAGGAGGAGAGAAGGGCAUCCCAGUAUAGGGAAGGAGAAGGAGGGGAAAGAGGAAGGGGAGGAGGGGUAGUGCCCACCUCCUCCCCUAAUUGAAAGAGGGCUUUGGAGUAUCAAAGAGAGAGUUUUUUGGGGAGACUAGUUUUUGGAUUCCCGAAUCUUUACAUUUAGUUAUUGUGCAUUUUACAUAAUUAAUAUAUAGGGGACGGAUCCGUGGCACUAUAUUUUUGACACAAUUUUUGGGUCCUUAGAUUACUCUACUUUCAAUUAAUAAGAUUAUACUUGAUAUUGCUUUUUGAUAUAAAAAAAAUAAAAAAAUAAAAGUAAUUUUCUCUCUCUUCUCCCUAUUUUCUUGGAAAGAUAAAUUUCUCUCAAUAAAUCAUUUUUUUUCUCUCUUUCCUCUUCCUCUUUUCAACACGUUCUUUACUAUCUCUCUCUCAUCAAACCCAAAAAACAAAAAAAACCAUCUUGCUGUUCACUGUUUCUUUCUUUCCAUUUAUCUCUUCAAUUUUUUUGCUUCAGCUGCUCAAACCCUUGUGUCUUGAUGUUCUAAUGAAAUCCUACAUAUUCGGUGAAAAGUCCCAAUUUUUACUUUGUUUUUCGUCUUUUUUUUUUUAAUUAAAAAAAUGCCAAGUUGGAUUACCUUUCAACAAGCUUGGAUAUCAUGGUGAAGAAGAAUGAUACCCAAAUAAUAUUUUGAAUUUGCACAAACUUCCUUACUGCUACUAUUUGUAAGACUUGAGAAUUGGUGGUAAAAUUGAUUCGCAUAACUUUAAUUUACAAGUUUCUUUUUACAAGACCAGGGCGAUAUUAUGUGUUAAAGUUUUUAAUGGCUUGGUUCAAAGUUGAAAGCGAAGAUUAAAAUCCAUAAAUCCUAAACCCAAAGAUUCAGAAACAUUAACAACAAUUUGAAACCCAUUGAUAUGAGUAACUUCAUUUCUAGAGAGGCACCUGUUCUUGCAGUUAAAUAGAAUGAAAGAAAGAGAGAAAGGACAAGAAGGUUUUUUUUUUGUUUUUUUUUUUUGUCUGAUAAAAAAAAGAGUUAGAAGAGAACGUGAUGGGGAAGAGAAAGAGGAGAGAAAAAAAAAAAACUUUGGUGAGAGAAAUUUACCAACCUGAGAAAAUAGAGAGAAGAGAUAGAAAAACAUUUUAAUUUAUUUUUUAUGUCAAAAAUCCAUGUUAGAUUUAAUUUCAUCCAUUGAAAGUGGAGUAAUCUAAUGGCCCAAAAAUUAUGUCAAAACUUGUGUCAAAAACAUAGUGCCACGGAUCCGGCCUCAUAUAUAUAUAUAUAUAUAUAUAUUUACUUGUUUCUCAUUCGUCAAUUUUGUAUAAGGACUAUCGAAUGACAGAGGCUUCAAAAGUAGAGCAUUGAAUUACAGGCGCUGUAGUAUAUUUGAGGAAGCCUUGGCUUUCCUUGUUAUUUUCCUUAAAUCAUUUAAUAUUGGAGACUUCAAUUGUACGCUUAGAAUAGACACAUGGUGUUUUAAUCUAACAAACAAACAGACGUAAUUGUCUUUGAAAUUCAAUCAAUAAAAAUGCUUCUUACAUGAUAAAACGGUUGUAGAACAAAAACUUCAAGUGCCCCACUACGCAAUUCUAGUUAUUGAACGUAAAAUUCAGAAACCAUAAAAUGUACGGUGUUCUUUUUUUGUUUUUGCAAAGUAAUAUUGUAAAUUACUCUAAUGUAAAUCGAACUCGGAUGCAAGCGGACCGAAGUAACGCACAUCUCUAUAAAAUAUGGGUGUUUAAUUAAUUACUGAUUGUAUUAUGUGGAUAGCCGUGAUGACGGCCAUGAAAGCUUGAUAUGAACCAGAUAAUGUGAUGCCACGAACAGCGGACGACUCAUCGGAGACGGUAAUGAAGAGCUUCAUGCCCAAAUCACAAUGAUUCUUAACAGAACAAAUGUACCAUUUAUUUCCAGAGAUAUUUAGGUCUAUUUUGUCAUUUCCACUGGAAAGUGGUGCUUCGUUUUCUGUUGGCUUAAUGCAUUCCUUGAACCCAGUUCCGUUCACCUUGAACACAUUGUGAUUAGGAGCCUUGUAAUUGAACACUGUAAUUAAAAUGUAAAACCAGUCACAUUAAGUUAAUUUGGUUCUCAUAAAACUAUAUAAUUAAAUGCAUACAAUUUGCAAAUGUACAUACCUAGUGUAUCACCAACACGAAAUACUUUGUCUUUGGCCCAAGCUUCGUAGUCAAAAUUAGUUUUCCAGCCGCUGUCAUCUCCGACGACGAAUUCUUUCGCCAUGGCGAUUGUCGGAAGAAGAACCACAAGGAUGGUGAUAAGGGUGACAAAUUUAUUCCAUGCCAUUGGAAACUUCGAUAAUAUAUCUGUCUGUUUUAACAAGCCUUUUAUUAUUAGCUCUCAGUGGGUAUAGUAUGAUGAGAUUGAGGUACGAAUAGGGUCUAUUUAUAGUAGUUUAAGUUGAAAAAUUCACCCAAAGCCUCGAAUUAGAGACAAAAUUGACGACCGCCUAUGGUCGGCUUACAUAUUCACUAUAUAUGUUGCCAAAUAUGGUCGGCUAAUUAUGCUUCAGAUGUAAAUCUAAUGAGUGAAUGAAACGAAAGAGCUGGGAAAAAUAUGUAAAUCUAAUGCUUUGUGUUUAAAAGGGAUUGGAAAUAAAAUGUCUAAAUUAUGAUUUUUAUUACCUGCUUACAUAUACUUUUGCAACUUUAGUCCUUAGAGAGAAGUUUAUGGAUUUCAUGAAAAAAAAAUUAAAUUCAUUAAAGAUGAUAUGUGUUUUGAGACAAGCGUUAUUGAGAGAGAGGGGAUUCGAGACCUCAGGAUAAUGGUAACAGUUCUUAACCACUUGAGCGAUCAGAUCCUUGCAAAGAUGAUGUGUGUUGAUUUAAUAUUUUAAAUUUGAAGAUGGUCAUACCCAAAAAACACAAACACAAAAGGAUGAUAUAUAUCCAUUUUAUGAGAUUCCCAAUAUCGUAUGUGCAACUUUUGAUUAAGCUGGUCUUUCGAAACCCUAUAUGUGCAACUUCUUUUGAAACAAUAAUUCACGAGCAUAACAACUGAUCAACUUAGAAGCACAUAUGACAAGUAACAAGGUCCUUUGGUCACCAACAAAGUUUAUGGCUGGCUACCCAUUCAAGCCAAGCUAUAUAAAAACCUACGCGGCUAACAUACUUCUACAAGUCAUAGUGAGGUUAACAUCUAUUUCCAUAGGGUUCGCGGCUAACAACCAUUUGGUUCAGUUACAUUUAUGCUAAUGACACUUAGAACAUAAACAAGAAUCAACACCAAAAUGAUAUGUAUUCUUCGGACAACCAAAAUCGUCACGCGUAUGCGACAAGUAAUUAAAGUAAACAAAACCAUCUAAAUACCAGAUGGAAGAAGUUGCUGAUAAUCAAAGAGUUGAUAGCAGAAACUCCCACCCAAGCACCAAUGGAAAUAAUAUUCGAGAAAGCCAUCCACAUCCCAAAAGACUUAAGCUCAUAGUGAUCAAAAGCUGACAGAUGGAUUUCAUAACCCACAUACCCAAUAAGACACCACGUCCAAUCUCCUCUAGUUAUUCAAAGCUCAUCCUCCAUCCUCAAGUACUCUCCAAUAUCUGUCUGGUGAAGUACCACAAUUCCAUUGGGGUCCAACUUCCUACAAUCCUGGGUAGAGUUGGCCGCACACUACUACAAAAAAGCAAAAAGACGACGGUAAAUCACCGUCGUGUAUUUGGUUUUUCAAUGGUCGUGGAAUCCACUGUCAUCUUUUCCCUCAUAAACCACGACGCUAAAUAACCGUCGUUGUUAAACAAUACAACGUCAUCAAAAAAUACAAAACGACGUCUUUGUACUGCAAAAAGAUCUAAAAAAAGCAAUCGAGGAUGAUAAUAGACGACCAAUUCUCUAAAAAGACCGUCGUUAAAAAGGGAAAAUAUGACACAUAUUAAGAGAACAAGGCCGCAAGAUAGACAUACAACGACGACAAUAAAAAUACGCCGACGUUAAAUAUAAUUUUCACGACAAUAAAAAAUAUGACGUCUUUAAAUACAUUAGAAGACGACGUUAUUGAUACCUACUACGUCGCACAUAUAAACACAACCGUCGUACAAUUAAUUUUCCACUUCGAUUUUUUGAUAAAAGAUGACGUGGAAAUAGUUGUCAGUGUCAUUAUUUACGACGUAUGUGUUUCUAUAGUAGACGUUGAAAAACUAAACAACGUCAGUUACAAAUAUAUGAGAGUCGUAUUAAAAAAUUUAUACGUCCUAUUUUCAGAAACAAACAACGACCAUAAAUAUUAGACGUUGUUAAAUACAACAACGUCGGAAAACAAUAAAAACAGACGUGUUUAGUCUGCUAAAGUUCUACAACGUCUCUUAUUUACAAAAAACCGUCGUGAAAUAAAUUUUCCACUUCGAUUUUUCUAAAAAAGAUGACGUGGAAAUAGUUGUCAGUGUCAUUAUUUACGACGUAUACAUUUAUAUAGUCGACGUUGUAUUUAUAUGUAUUCAUUACUCACGACGCACUUAAUAAUAUAGACGACGUUGAACGUCUAAACAACGUCGGUUCCAAAUAAAUGAGAGCCGUAUUACAGAACAUAUAGACGGCGUAGAUUAUGAUGGGAGCCGUAUUACAAAUAACGUCGUUUAAUUGUUAUUAGACGGCGGUUAUAAUGAAUUUCCGUCGGAAUUAAUUUCGUUCCUCUUCGUUUAUAAAAGAACUUGCGACGUGGAAAAUGUAUGAUGACGUCGUAUUUUUUAACGUUCAGAUUAUAUAUCUCGUUUUUUAGACGUCGGUAUUAUGGGAUUGGAGUCGUGUUAUUUUGAAUUACAUGGCGGUUCUUUAUCCUUCACCGACGUGAUAUCCUGAAUAAUUGCUUCACAAUAGCGUCGUGGUUCUUCAUUGUUACGUUGCUUUAAGACGUCGGUAAAUAUGCUGAAUAACUGAUUCACAAUAACGUCGUGUUUUAUUUGAACGUAGAAAGUGAAGAAAUCACAUUACAAUAUAUUACAAAAUUAAUGUCAUACACUGCCAAUUACAUAAGCAUCAUUCAAUCCAUAUAUCUUCACACCCAUCUCGAAUAUUUUGACCGCCUAACUCACCUACCAGUUCAUCAAAUGUGUCAACAUUUGGCAUCCCUCUAGUAAAUGGCUCACACUCAAUUAUCACAUCACCUAAUACUUCAUCACCAAUAACAUCAUUAUAUUCUCUACUAGGCAUUGAUAACACUACCGACCAACCACGAUGCAUCGGGUCGUCAACAAAAAAUAUUUGUUUGACUUGAGAAGCCAAAACAAAUUGGUCAUUCCUACGUCCAAUUUUACUCAAAUCUACAAGGGUAAAUCCAAGUUCGUCGACUACAAGACCAGAACUAUCUAUCCAAUCACACCUAAAGACUGGGAUUGUAAACUUUUGGUAGUCAAGGUCCCAAAUUUCUUGAAUGACACCAUAGAAACCCAUAUUUGAGAGAAUUGGGUUUUUAUCCUUGGCACUAGCAACUUGCAUGGUAUGUGCAAGUAAAUAAACUCCACUAUUUUGAGUUGUCCGCACAUCAUCUUGUGCCUUGAUAUUGAAUUUAAUACCUUUAAUAAGAUAGCUCCUAUAUAAUGGCACUGACAUGUUUGGACCAGCUGCUAGCCACCUUAAAUUUUCUGAUACGCCAUGAUUGUCUUCCUCAACUUCACUUUGAACCUGCAAAUUAAUCAUAUCUUAAUUCAUCCUAACAUAUAAAUAAGAAGAAAAUUAAAAGAGAAAUACGUUAUUCAACAACAUAUACCUUGAAGCGUAGCCAUUGAAUGAAAGUGCUAUUGUGCUUAUCCUGCAGCCACUUUGUUCUCUUUCUAAAUUUUGGAUAAGCAGUCUUGAUGUGGAUCAUAUGUUGCCUACAUGACACGAAAAAUUCAAGCAUUACGGUCCCAAAUAUAUAAGAUAAACAUAAGAAAUAAUUUUAAAUGGAAACUUAAAGAAUAAAACUCAUACGUACUCGAUAUAAGGUAGGACUUCCUCCGUAUUCUCCAAGACAUAUAGAUGUGCUUGAUUCAACAGGUCCUGAUCAACUACGCUCACUGUGCAACCUGAUAAUGGCUUUGAAACUCCCAUCUUUUGGCUUGAAGGCACUCCAACUGUACUAACAUCAGAUAAAUGCUGAGUACAAAACUCUACUGCUUCUUCAGCUAUAUACCGCUCAGCAAUGCAACCUUCGGGACAAGUACGAUUCUGAACAUACCCCUUCAGCACUUUCAUAUAUCUUUCAAACGGAUACAUCCACCUAAAAUAUACUGGCCCACAUAGACGAACUUCUCUGACAAGAUGUACUACUAGAUGAACCAUGAUAUCAAAGAAUGAAGGGGGAAAGUACUUCUCAAGCAAACACAGAGUAACUACUACAUCUUCUUCCAACUUAUCUAGCUUGGAAACAUCAACAGUCUUUGCACAUAUAGCAUUGAAGAAGAAGCACAAACGAGUUAUUGCAUACCUUGCAGGCUUCUCCAAAACAGAACGAAUUGCCACAGGGAGCAAUUGUUGCAUUAAGGUAUGACAAUCAUGUGAUUUAAGGCCAAGAAGUCUUGAAUCUUGUACAGAUACAAGAUUUUUAAUAUUUGAAGAAUAACCUUCAGGGACCUUCAUACCAUAGAAAGAAUUGCAAACCUCUCUCUUCUCUGCUCUUGACAAAUUCCAAGGCCCAGGAGGCAAACGAGUACGUCUUUCUCCAUACUCGGGUUGCAAAUCAGUUUUGACCCCCAUGUUCAAUAAAUCUAAUCGAGCAGCAAUCCCAUCUUUAUUUUUUCCAGGGAUCUCCAGCAAUGUACCAAUGAUACUAUCGCAAACAUUCUUCUCAAUGUGCAUAACAUCUAGGGCAUGCCUCACAGGAAGGUAUUUCCAAUACUCGAGAUCAAAGAAUAUUGAUUUCUGCUUCCAACAAACUCUGUCACCAUUUUCAACCAUAUGCAGCACUUCUUCUCCGGUUAAUGGCUCUGGAGGUAUGCCAUAUUCAGGUUUCCCAUUAAAAGCUGCACGUUGCCUCCUAUAUGGAUGAUUGAUUGGUAACCAUUUUCUAUGCCCAAUGUAACAAAUUUUGUGGCCAUUUUUCAACCUGUGACUAGGUGUAUCAUCGCCGCAUAUUGGACAAGCUUUAUAUCCUUUAACAACACAACCAGAUAAGUUUCCAUAGGCGGGGAAAUCAUUAAUUGUCCACAUUAAUGCAGCUCUGAGUGUAAAGUAUUCUCCAUUAUGUGCAUCAUACACUCCUCUAAUCCCAACCCACAAGGAUUUUAAAUCAUCAAUCAAAGGCUCCAAGUAGACGUCUAUAUCAUUUCCGGGUUGUUUAGGACCGGAAAUCAAUAAGGUUAACAUCAUGAACUUUCGUUUCAUGCACAGCCAUGGAGGGAGAUUAUAUGUAACUAAGAUAACCGGCCAACAACUAUAUCUGCUACUUAGAGAACUGUGGGGAUUGAAUCCAUCAGAUGAAAGAGCCAAUCUCAAGUUUCUCGGCUCAUUACCAAACUCAGGCCAUUUAUCAUCAAGAAGUUUCCAAGACGGGGAAUCCGCCGGAUGAGACAUCUGACCGUCAAUUGAUUUUCUAGCAACAUGCCACCAAGUCAAACUCUUAGCUGUCUCAUGUGAUUGAAACAUCCUUUUAAACCUUGGAAUUGGGGGAAAAUACCACACCACCUUCGCUGGCACACCCUCUUUCAAGAUUGCAUCUUUGCCUUCCUUCCACCUUGAGAUACCACAAGUAGGACAAUUAGUUGAAUCCUCAUACUCCUUCCUAUACAAGAUGCAAUCAUUGGGGCAUGCGUGCAUUUUCUCAUAACUCAGCCCCAAUGCACACAAAGUCUUUUUAGCCUCAUACAUGGAGGUUGGUAUUGUAUUUCCUUCUGGAAGCAAAUCGCCUUGAAGUAUCAAUAAUUCUGUAAAACAGACAUCACUCAUCCCAUGUUUUGCCUUCAAAUUAUACAACUUCACUAAUGCCGAUAACUUCGUGUACUUUCUACAACCAGGGUACACUGGUUGAUCUCUAUCCCCAAUCACAUUGGCAAACUCAUACGGAUCCGAACCAAAAUCACCAAAAUCAUUAUCAUCCAUAUCAAUUUCUUCAGACACAAAACUGUACCUACUAUGGCCAUCAUCUUCUUCAACAUUUCUGCUAGCAUUAGUAGUUGCUUCCCAAGGUUCUCCGUGAAAUGUCCAAUUCUUAUAGCUUUGGUCAAUUCCAUUAAAGUAUAAGUGAUCCCUUAUAAUUCCAACCCCAAACAACUUCAAAUUAACACAUUUAACACAUGGACAACGGAUAUGUGUUGUAGUUAGAAGAUUUUCUACAGCAAAGUUCAAAAAUGCUUCCACCCCAAACUCAUAUGCCUUCGAUCUUCUAUCCGAGUGCAUCCAUGACUUAUCCAUCUCCGACACUAUAACCUAUUAUCUAUAAUAAAGUGAAAAUACAGGCAAUGACCAUCACUAUAGCAGAUUAUACAAUGAUCUAAUCGCAAGUAAUAAACAACAGAGACGACGGGUUUUAAUCAAAAACAGACGUAUUUGGCAUAUAUAGACGACGGAUUUUCAACAGACGUCGUCUAUUAUACGUAAUACAAACAACGGUUUAUGAAAAAACCGUCGUGUAUAAGUAAUACAACGACGGUAGUUUAAAAACACCGUCGUGUAAUCGUCGUCGUACGCCUUAAAAUUCGUCGUGUCUCAGUUUAUUUUCAAGAACACAAAACCCAUUAAGAACACAACAUAUAUAUGAAACCAAGCAAGAAACCAACAUAUACAUGAAACCAAGCAUGAAAACAAUAAAUCCAUUCCCAAUUCAACAUAACAUAGGGUGAUUAAAAGAUACGACAAAAUUAAAUCCAUUCCCAAUUCAACAUAACAGAUAAUGUAAUCCAUGAACCCAUUAAACAGAAAAUCCAUGAACCCAUACCUAUAAGCAUUGGUGCACUUUGCACCUUCUCCAGAGCGGAAAAUGACAAGAUCAAAUAAAGGUGUCCUUUUGCUGGAAAUCAUUUGGAAGUUGGUGAUGUGUCUUUUUGUGUUGAUUUCCAGCAAAAGUACACAUUUAUUUGAUCUUGUCAUGAACCCAUUAAACAGAAAAUCCAUGAACCCAUACCUAUAAGCACAUUAUUAACAGAUCGCAAAGCAUAUACCUAAAACCCUUUAACAAAACAACCUAAUAUCAUUCAAUGAAUUUACAAGGGGAAGAUAGGGUUUGUACUUACAGGUUGGACGAGCUCACAGAUUCGACGAGCCUGGAGAGUGCAACUUUUAAUUAGAGCAGAAGUGAGAGAGCGAAAUGUUAUGUCGCGUGAAAUCUGAAAUUUUAGGUUUCAGGGAUCGAAGUAUAAGACUAAGAGCCAAAUCUAAAAAAAUUUAGGUCGCGCGAAAAUUUUUAGAGCGCGCGCGUUAUAAAACGUCGAAAGAAAAACCAAGGCGAAAGUUCUACAAGUACCGACGUAAAUUUAAUAUUCCACGACGGAAACUUCAUUUUUCGGAUUAAGAACGUAAGGCCGUUCAUUUUUCGGAUUAAUUUUAAAUUUAUUUUGAAUUUUUUAUAUAACGACGACUGAAAAACCACGUCGGUGUUAAGAAAUUAAAGACGUUGUAAAUUAUAUAAACCGACUUACAUAUUAAAAUAACAUCGUUUAAAGCGUAAACCAUGUCGUAUGUUUUACUGUACGACGUAAAAUAUGUAUUCCACGACCCAACCACCGUCGUUAAAAAUUAAUACACUAAACCCAUAAAAUUAAAUUAUACAAUUUAAAAAAUUAAGUUUAUAAAAGGUUUUAUGGUUUUAAAGCCUAACAUAUAACAUAGACUACCCAAAAAUUAUACUUUAAAAAUAAACCCCAAUAAAUAACAACACUAAUCUCUAAACCCUAGACUCUAAACCCUAAACCAUUAAACUAGAAGUGAUUUUAUGACUCAUCAAAACAAUUUUGUUUUGGAUGGUCAUUUUAAAUUUUUGUUAUUCAAAAUGAAUUUUUUCAAGGUUUAUGUGGAAGAAAAUAUAUCAAUGACUUCAUAGGAGUUGACUUUUCAAUUUUCUGAUUUAUUUUAUAUUUAUUUUGAAUAUUUUGAUAUAAAAAUAAUAAAAUAUUCUUACCAUACAACAAACCACGUCGGUGUUAAAUAAAUUGUAGACGUUGUAAAUUGUAAUAGACUACUAAGUCGUUAAAAUGACGUCGUUAAAAUGAGAAACCACGUCGGUGUUAAGAAAUUAAAAACGUUGUAAAUUAUAUAAACCGACUUACAUAUUAAAAUGACGUCGUUUAAAGCGUAAACCAUGUCGUAUGUUUUACUGUACGACGUAAAAUAUGUAUUCCACGACCCAACCACCGUCGUUAAAAAUUAAUACCCUAAACCCAUAAAAUUAAAUUAUACAAUUUAAAAAAUUAAGUUUAUAAAAGGUUUUAUGGUUUUAAAGCCUAACAUAUACCCUAGACUACCCAAAAAUUAUACUUUAAAAAUAAACCCCAAUAAAUAACAACCCUAAUCUCUAAACCCUAGACUCUAAACCCUAAACCAUAAAACUAGAAGUGAUUUUAUGACUCAUCAAAACAAUUUUGUUUUGGAUGGUCAUUUUAAAUUUUUGUUAUUCAAAAUGAAUUUUUUCAAGGUUUAUGUGGAAGAAAAUAUAUCAAUGACUUCAUAGGAGUUGACUUUUCAAUUUUCUGAUUUAUUUUAUAUUUAUUUUGAAUAUUUUGAUAUAAAAAUAAUAAAAUAUUCUUACCAUACAACAAACCACGUCGGUGUUAAAUAAAUUGUAGACGUUGUAAAUUGUAAUAGACUACUAAGUCGUUAAAAUGACGUCGUUAAAAUGAGAAACCAUGGCGGCUAUUUAACUAUACGACGUAAAAUAUAUAUUUUACGACUUAACCGCAGUCGUUACAUAAACGUCGUCGAUUAUACCCUGAACCCUUAAGAAAUUGAAGAUAUUGUAAACCAUUAACGACUCAAUUGUUCAAAGAACGUCGUCUAACUAUUUUUUUACGUCGUAUUUGUUUAAAACACGCAACAACAAAAUACGACGGUUAUUGACUUUAUUAGGUCGUUGGAAAAGUAUUACACGUCGGUUAAGCAAUUUGUAUGUUUGUUUUUUUUUUAAUUUAAGAAAACCUCAACAAAUUUUUACAUUACAUAUUAUAGAGAAAAUUGGUACAUUAUACAUAAAUAUCAAGUGUUCAAUAAUUGCCCUGUUUAAUAAUUUGGAAAACAAACUCUGCCCAUUCAUUCCGGACUUCAUCAAUGGCUUCUUGGGGGUAUGAAGCUUCCUGGUUUCCCUUGGCAUACUGCAUAAACAAUGACUAUUAGGGUUUAUAAAUAAAAAGAAAUUCAAUCACAGACGACGAUAUUUUUCAUAACCGACGUAGUAUAUCCAUUCAACGACGUUAAUUUUACACGACCGUCGUUGAUAAUACAAAAAACGACGUGAAAUGUAUGAAGGUAAUUUCUUCUUACCUUAUUCUCAAACCCCAAGGAAGGAUCCAUGAUGAUGUCCCUCAUGAAGCGCAUUACAUAAUACCCGCAUUCGACAUUGCUGGGUUGCUUUGGUGUGCCUGAGAGAGUUUUCCAAAUUACAUUUUUACGUCCUGCUCGGGCUAUGUGGGUAUUAUAUAAUUUUAAAGCACUGUUCACGAUGUUUUUGGCCUCUUCAUCGACCACACGAUUUCCUGGCAGAGGAUCCAGAAAAUAGACGGUUUCUCUCUUUGCUCUUACAAUCAGCAAAAUCCAAUGACGGCUGCACAAAAUUAAUAUAAAAACGACGGUUAUUUACAAAAACGACGUAUUAUAGUAUUUCACACGACGAAGUAAAGUAGCUAACGACGACAUUAUAUAUUUAUCACGACGAUAAAUAAAUACCGACGUGGUUAGUAGUUUCAAACGACUAAAUAAAAUAAAACACCGACGUGGUUAGUUUAUAAGCUAUCAUUUAUUGAAAAUCAUAAAAACAAAAUCCUAAGGAGACUAACCCUGGAUUGUAAGGCAUCAUGAAAAUCUGUUCACCGUCUGUCUUCUGAAGUCGAGCUGCUACCAGUCGUGAUCUGGCAGUUAUUGUGCCAGAGUUGGCACUAACUGUAGCAGGGUCGAUAAAGCCAACCAUACUGCACAUAUUGGCUUUUUUCAAAACAUCGUGUAAGUACCUAAACAAAUAAAAUAAUAUAAACAAGUCAGCACACAAAACACGACGGUUACGUAUAAAAAAACGACGUAUUAUAAUAUUUCACACGACGUACUGAAAUAGAUGAGGACGUUAUAAUAUAUUUAUCACGACGGUUGUUAGUUAAGACGACGUGGUUAGUUAGUUAAGACGACGCAAUAUAUAAACCAACGAGUUAUUAUUUUAGAAGUACAAACCUCAUAUAUACAGCCAAUACAGUAGCUCCAAUUUCUUCCAUGCCUGCAAAUUGUGUAAUAUCUUCAGGCAGGAGGAAGGUAUCGCGCUCACCACCAAACACCUCCUUAUCAAUUGUAAAUUGGACUGUCUUAUCCUCAGGCAGGAGUGUCGUUUCCACAAAACGACAAAGGGUUUUUAAAGAAGAUGGCGCCUCCAUUUUUGAAUAAGCACCAACUUCAAUAACCUGUUUAAAGAAAUAAAAAAAAUGACGUGGUAAUUCAAUAAAGACGACGGUUUAAGGAAUAAAACGUCGUUUUAAAAGUAUUUAAACGACGGUGAAAAAAUUGUCGUGGUAAUUUAAUAAAGACGACGGUUUUAUGAAUAAAGAGUCGUCUGAAACCUUUUAAACGACGGUGAAAAAACCGUCGUUUAAAUAUUUUAUUACGUCUUAAAAAAAUUCCGCCGUCUAAGUUGUAAACAAACGACGGAUUAAAUAAAAAUAUCGACGUCUGAAAUUUUGAAAAACAAAUAAAAAAGUUAUGUUAACAUACCUUGUCGUCAUGCUUUUCUUCAUCUUCUUUCUCCUUUUCUUCUUCCUUCUCUUCAUCUCUUUUUUCUUCUUCCUUCUCUUCAUAUCUUUUUUCUUCUUCCUUCUCUUCAUCUCUCUUUUCUUCUUCCUUCUCUUCAUCUGGCUGAUGUUUCCCCAUUUUGGCAGUAUCAUCCUCCAAAUGUAGGGAUCUCACAUCACCUCCAGAGCAGCUAGCUUUGUCAGACAUUGGAUUUUUGGGGCUUUGGCUAAUUCUUGGUUUAAGCAUGCUUGGAUCAAAAUUGGGAAUUAAUUGGGAAAGCUGACUCAGGAAAUGCUCCCUCUCAGCCUCUACCAAUUGUUUUGUCCUAGCCUCCAUCCUUAAGGCCUCUUCCCUUGCCUUAGCCUCCAUCUUUUUAGUCUCUUCUUGAAGGAGAACUCUUAAACUCUCCUUCAAACGGUCGUCAAAGCUCACCCUCUGUGGUUUGGGCAAAUUGAAAUAUUGCCUUGGGGAAACACCAGCACCAACUCCCCUCACCCUGCCUGGAUGCUCGGGGCCCAAAGCCAUGGUCAGCACAUCAUUGCUGCCAUCUACUCUGACUUUGCCUUCCGAGACUUGUUUCUGCAAUUCAUCCUAAAACAAAGAUAAACAAAAAAACACACGACGGUUAUUUAUGUACAAACGACGUAUUAUAUAAUUUCACACGACGCAAUAACAUAUAAAACGACGUUAUUAUAACUUAUCACGACGGUAGUUAUACCGACGUGGUUAUUUAUUUAAAACGAAGAAAUGAAUAAACAACCGACGUCUUAUGCUAUAAUUAAAGAAAACAGAGUAGUGAUUCCUAUUUAGACCGUUAACGACGUUUUUAACAAAGUUUCGACGUGGUAAUAUCAUUCACACGACGAACAAUAUAACACACGACGUAAUAAGAAUAAUUCACAAUUUAAUAAAAAUUUAAAACAGAGUGAUAGUAGGCUUACAAUUAAUUUAGCUUUCUCUGCCACCUUUGGAUCAGGGAUGUUACCAUGUUUGUCCUGUCUAGCUCUCUUCCAUAAGGUAGAUCGAUCAAUUUCUACCCCAGGCAUGGUUUCCUCCAAUUGAUCCUCCAAUCCAGCAUAUCCUUUUCGAGACAAUCGAUGAUUGUACUCGAGUUUCUCCCUAAUCUGUGCAUGUUGAGAAUGCACAGACUCAAAAUCUUUGGAUAGCCUUGAAGCUACAAAGGCAUCCCAUUGUGCUUUCUCUAUGAAUUUAUAUGUUUCAGGGGGUUGGCUUAAUUUCUCCCUGUCAUUGGUGUAUGGAAGGAUAUAAUGCCUCGUUAGUGUAGACUUGAAAUCCUUCCAUUUCUUGGAAGCAGAAGCUAAAACAGAGGUCUUGCCCCCUUGGCCUACGACAAAAGCCAUGUCAACUGCUUCCCAAAUCUGCUCCUUUAUAUCCUUGGGGAUUUGGGACCAUUUCUUGUCCACAAGUGGGAUCCUGGAGCGUGCCAACACACCAAUAUACGACUGCAUCUCAAUAUGUGCUUGGCCAACACCUUUCCCCCUUUUAUUGUACUCAACAAUUGGCCUCAGUUUCUGAAGCUUUCUCUUCACAACACGAGGCAUUGUGCUCAUACCUCGACCAGUCUUUGAAUCAUCAGAGAUUGUUGUCUGGCUGGUUGGUUCUGUCUCAGCAGAUGAUGAAGCAAACUUCAUCUUCUUCGAAGACUUCAUCUCCUUCGAAGACUUGUCUUGAGGAGCUACCAUUCCAAGCUUCUUGGAGCCAGAAUCCUUAGUUUGUUGUUGAGAAACCAUUUUAACAGACAAAACUGCAAGUGAAAAUAUUUCAGGAAAACAUUAAGAACACAAACGACGGUAUUAAAAAAUACGACGUAUGAUAUGAUUUUAGACGACGCAAUGAAAUAAUCUCAGAUGUAAUAAAUGUUUAAAACCAUUAUUUAUAUAACGUCGUGGUAUAUAUGUUCACACGACGUCAAUAGUAAUACACCGUCGUGGUAAACUAUUAUUUAUAUAACGUCGUGGUAUUUAUGUUCAUACGACGUCAAUAGUAAUACACCGUCGUGGUAUUAACAUUCACACGACGUAAAACAAUAAGAUAUUUUGUCGUCUAUAUUAGAUACCAACCCUAGUUUCUUUUUCUUUAUAUUUUAUCAAAUAAGGGAAAAACAAAAACCAUUGUUCAGAGAAAUCAAACCUGCAAUUAAACAAGCAUAUAAAAAAAGACUAUUAUUUUAAAAACAACUUUGUCAAUUUUCAGACGACGCUAGAACAACUUACGAACCGUCGUGGUCUACCGUCGUCUUAUUUAGUUGAGGUAGUUGUCUUCAAAGUUGGAAACUUUCCCUCUUUGUCUGUAUAUUUUAUCAAACUUGGAAAGAAGUAAAAUGAUUUUGGCCAGAAAAAAGGUAAAAAGAUUUUUCAAACAAAAAACGUAUGAGCAUGCAAAACAGUAACCAAAAUAGUGAAAAUGAAAGCUUACCUUUUGCGUGCAAUGAAAGCAAGAGGAAGAUGAUCGAUGUUUAAGUUCAAGGACGACGAAGAAGACGAGAGGAAGACGAUGAGAAACUCUGACAAUGCUCUGACAAGGAAAAGAGACGAAAAGGUUUCUCUGGAGAUUGAAAUUUCUAAUCGGGUUUGGAAACAGUGCAUGUGUAAGUCCAAAAGUUGCUUACAUAUAAAACCAUUUCAAAAAAAUAAUACGGCGGUUACAUUUAACUACGUCGUUUUUAACUAACACGACGCAAUAUUUUUAGUUCGACGUGGAAUCAUUUCAUUUAACGUCGUUAGGUUUAAUAUAACAGACGUGGAUUUUAAUUUUUAAAUUAUGAAUAGAAUUUUUUUUUUCCCGUGACCUUUCAGUUUAUUUUUCAAUUACAGUGGUUAUAAAUAGAGUUUUUUUUCCGGAGGAAAUUUAAAACGAAGGAAAUUAAUAUUCUGCAAUAUGUAAAGUUUCUUUUUUGGAUGACAGAUUUAAAUAAAAUAAGAAUAUAAAAACAACUAAUGUGUAAGUCAAGUAGACGAAAAGUUGCUUACAUAUAAAACCAUUUCAAAAAAAUAAUACGGCGUGGAGUUCUGUAAUGUACGUCAGUAAUACCGACGUUGAUUUUACAAUUUAAACGGCGGUUUUUUGGUAAGGACCGCCGUUGGUUUUAAAAAUUUAUUCUAUAAAUUUGUCGCUUUCAUUCAUUUUCGCGGUUUACAUUUAGGGUUCCAAGUUCUUCCUCUCUCAGAGACACUGUCUCUCACAUCUCAAAGACAAUAAUUUGGAGGUCUUUCUCAAAGAGAAAUUGAGCUUACAUUUAGGCUAGUUGACAAGAAGAAGCUUGUCAACUAGCCUUCUCACUUCCUUGAUCAAGCCUGAUAGGACACUUAGUGCUUCUGAAUACUCCUUGCUUUCCAUCAAAAGAGAUGCAAGCCUGGCCUCCACUCGCUGUCGAAGGAAAGUUCGCUUCUCAGGGAAAUCUGAAGAUCAGAUGUGCCUGAUCCUCUGCUUGAUUUUUUUGACUAAGAAGAUCCGUCAGAUUUGUGAUAGCCUCUUCCUUUACGUAGAGCUUCAGAAGAAGAAGAUGGGUUUCAAGAAUGCGAUAGAGAAUAGAAAUGGCUUCAGAUGGCCUCUAAAGCAUGAGCAAUCGAAUCAGUAGUUGCUGGGAGAUAUGAUGAAGACAUUGUCAAUGCUUUGAACUAUACAAGUCCUGCAGAAAGAUAAAGGACCAAACUGUUAAAGAAACUGAAACAACGGCGGUUUUCUGUUCUACCGUCGUCUUUUCUCGUCGUCUAUAUAAAGGUAAGAUGGCGGUAUAUUUAUAAUUACCGACGUAGAUUAUUUUGUUAAACGUCGUUAAGUGUACUACAACCGACGUGGAUUUUAUUUUUAAAUUAUAAAUAGAGUGUUUUUUUCCCGAAUUCUUUCAGUUUUAGUUUUCAAUUACAAAGCGUGAUAAAUAGAUUUUUCUUUCCCGAGGAAAUUUCAAAUGAGGGAAAUUAAUGUUCUAGAAUUUGUAAACUAACACGACGCAAUAUUACUAACCCGAGGAAAUUAUAAAUAGAUUUUGCUUUCCCGAAGAAAUUUUAAAUUAAUUCAGUUUGAAACAACGACGGGUUUUUGUUAUGACGUCGUUUUUAACUAAAACGACGCAAUAUUUGUUUUGCGACGUGGAAUAUUUUCAUUUAACGUCGUUAGUUUUAAUAUAACCGACGUGGAUUUGAAUUUUUAAAUUAUGAAUAGAAUUUUUUUUCCCGUGACCUUUCAAUUUAUUUUUCAAUUACAGUGCGUUAUAAAUAGAGUUUUUUUUCCGGAGAAAAUUUAAAAUGAAGGAAAUUAAUGUUCUGGAAUAUGUAAAGUUUCUUUUUUGGAUGACAGAUUUAAAUAAAAUAAGAAUAUAAAAACAACGACUGUUUUUGUAUUACUGUCGUCGUUUUUCGUCGUCUUAAGUAAGACUAAGACGACGUAAUAUAUUUGUUUAGCGACGUUGAUUUGUUUUUUAAACGUCGUUAGGUAUAAUAUAACCGUUGUUGAAAAUUGUCUCUCUGAUUGCAAAUUUGCAACGACGUUAGGUAUAAUAUUUGUAGAUACACAAACGCACACACAUCAUCAACUUCCAAAAAAUUGUCUCUCUGAUUGCAAAUCUGUGUCAUCUGUUAAGAUUAUGAUGUGGAACAGAGUUCCAUCUGGUAAGAUUUCGUAACCCUUGGGAUCUCAGAAAAAUCUGAUUAUGUCGGCGGUUUUCUAUAUAAACCGUCGUGGUUAUUUCAAUUCUUGUCAUUAAGUAGAUCUACCGACGUAGGAUAAGAAAAUCAAAGAAAAAAAUUGUUAACAAAAAUUCUUAUUAAGACGACGUAUAAAAUGAAUAAAUACGACGUUGAAUUUUAUAGUACGAUUUAAAGAUAACGUCGUAGAACUAUACGAGAAUGACGUCGAUAUAUUUAUAUUUUUCGUCGUUGUACAUUAAUUUAAUACGGCGAUAUUUUGUAUUUUAAAGCCUUGGAUUUGUUUGUAAUUAUACGGCGUCUUAUACGAAAACCUCGUCGUGUUAUUUUAUGAGUAAAAACGGCGGCUUUUAUUGAAAUCGUCGUCUUUACUUUCUACGUCGGUCGAUUCAUAACUUCUGCCGUUCUUUGUUGGUUUUGAUUUUACACUGCCGAAAUCUGUUUCAAAUAGACGUCGGUUGUUUAAUUAGGUACGUCGUUGUUUUUGAACAGCCAUUUGAAUCUCCAUUUUUAGUUGUCUAAGGUGGUAUUACACGACGGUGUUUUUAGAACCGUCGUCUUUUUAAAAACCACGACGGUUUUCACCUAGACCGUCGUUGUUUUCUGGUCGUCUUUUUCACUUUUUGUAGUGGUGGCAAUCCCAGAACCUAACGGGACAUCUGACAUUGGAAACACAACCACCCCAUCACUGGGCACAAUAUUUUCUGUAAUCCUCCCCAAACCACCUUUCAAAACAUGGUUUCCGUAUAAGAAGGACAUCUCGGAAGUAGGUUUGAGCCAGACCUUGUGUUUAGCAUUUGAGGCUAAUGAACUCAAACACUGAACAGUUAAGUGGAAACUGCCACCGUGAGUGAACCUACCAAUACAAGUCCCAAUAGACACUAACUGAGUCCGAGAUAUAUUUGUAGCACGCUUUACUAGUGAUUCGCUAACAUAGUAGACCUUGUUUUUGUGGAGGCUGAAGCAGGAACGGCCUCAAUCUGGGUCUGGACCUUCGUGCGAAGGGUUCUCGACGAUGUUUUUGAGGUUGUUGCCUGUGAACUUGAAAAGCUUUUCGAAAACUGCUGUGGUCUCAGUCUCAUCUAAAGGUCUCAUCUUUGUCCGGGACUUGAGGAAGCCUUUAGGACACAGUUUUCUGAGUCCGCGCAUGCUCAGCUAGUGUUGCUGAUACUCCCUAGGCAAAGCACUAUUAAUUAAUAUUUAUACAUUUGUCAAGAUGCAGAGGACCACUGGAGCAUGGCUUCACCAGAGAACAGUAACAGAACAGUUCAGACAAAUGCAUUCAUAAUCAUUUGGGAGAAAUUUAAUCAGGCAUUAUAUAUACUCUUUGACUGAAAGUAUGAAAUAGUUGAGUUACAUUGGUUUGACAAACAAAUGCAGAAGUUGCAAGAAAGAUAAAUAGCUCCAGAAUCAUCACCCAACCAAGACUGGCAGCAUAACAAGACAUAGUAAAUACAAUAAGAGCUUAUCUCAUAUGGUAAACAUGAAAUUCUCCCCUUUUAUGAUCAAUAUGCAUUAAAAUAACAACUCAAGUGAACUCAAAUGAGCGUAAAAGGGGAGAUUUUCAUAUAAAUGAUUGGCCCUGCCCCAUGUUGCAACAAGUUGAUCUUGUUAUUCUCAGAAAAAUAAAAUAUAACUGCAAGUUAGCUGUGAUCAUGAUACAAUAAACAAAAGAUAACUGAACUAAUCCAAGAACAUCUAUGCAACUAAUUCUUAGAAAACAACUGAAAUCCAAAAGCUCUGAUACCAUGUUAAAGUCCAACUACUAACAAAACUCAAAAAGCUUAAGUCGUUUGAGAAUAAGCCAACAUUAAUGGAACUGUGAGAGAUCUAAGCAAAAGGCUCAAAUACUAUUUAGUAUCAGCAGUGGAUUGGGAUGUGCUUCUGGUUUGCUAAAUGGAACUUUAAAAGAAAUCCAAAACCCCAUAAUUAUGACACCAUAGAAAUAACGAACCACCAAUGACACACCCAAAUUGCAAACAGAAACAAACCCGGUUACAUUGUAGUGUAUAUCAGCAAGUGCAAAUCAACCCAGUUGCAAUGCCCAAACAGAAAUCGAAAUUGAAGCAGAAAGUCCUAACUCUCAAAAUCAUAAUUAGAGAGUAAAAAAUUUCAAUUAACAGAAAAUCCCUGAGUUCACGAAAAAUUCAAAAGCCAAAUCAAUGAAUUAGUCCAAUAUAACUCGCCAUACUGAGCAGGGUCAUGGUUUUGACAUAGUAAAAAAAAAAAGAGAAACUGAAACAAAAACAAAAAAUCAAAACCCAACAAUAAUCAAAACAUAAAUUUUGAGAAAACAAAAACGAUGUGGGUUGUAGGGCUCACUUAGCUACACGCAUACACAAGAAUGAAUCAGAUAGAGAGACAGAGGGUGAGACCAUGAGAGACUGAGAAACUACCAUAGAUAUAUUAGAAUUAAGUUUUAGAGCUUACCCUAAACCAAAAACCAACAUAAUACAAAACAUAUAAGACAAUUAAUAUUUGACAUGUUUACAUUUAGAUUAGAACAUAAUACAACCCAUAAGGCUGAGUUUGGAUGCUUGGCAUUGCAUGUGUGUUAAAGUAUUGUCUCUUUGUGUUUUGUUUUAAAAUGUCAAACUUCAGAGAAAUAUAUAAAUGACAUUAGAGAUUAACUGGUGCUUGAAGAUUAGAAAGAGUGUGCUAAAGAAACAAGAGAGCAAUGUCAAGUCAAAUUCCCAUGAACGAAAUACGCAUACAAAAGAGGCAUGUGCAAACAUAGUGGAAAUAAUCCCAACGCAUUAACUGUGAAUCAGUACAUGAGUAACUAAUCAAUUAGUUACACAUGCAAUGAUCCUAUUUUCUGUUUUAAAAUCUAAUCUAUAAUGUAUAAGUUGUUUGAUUAUUUUGUUUAGUCAAUACCGGGACUUUAUUUCUCUGGGAAGGUUUUAACGAGGCUGCCGUUACCAUGCUAGUUCUUACCAUAUAAUGUUCCUUUCGAUUUAAUGAAAUACUAUCUUUUCUCAAAAAUGCUAUAAUAGUUUUUAAGUGACAACUGAACCAAUUUUUGACUUUUUGGAAAACCAGACUGACUCAUGGACAACACAAUCUGUGUCUUAGCUGACUAGAAGCAUGAUACUACAAUUCAAACUUCUAAGCAUAAAAAAGGUAUCAAGGAUUCUCUUCUACAGAAUUCAUCUUACAAAAUAUAGAAGCAAGCUUCAAACACAUAUUAAAGCCAAACAGAACGAAAACCAAACAAUUAAAAAUGUGGAAAAUCAAUAGAAUACAAAUGCAAAGGGACAAAUAUCGAAAAGCAAGGUAUAGUGCACUUUAAAACAAAGAGAAGCAGCAAAAACCCCAGAAGCAGUAGCAACAGCAAAAACCCCAGAAGCAGUACCCAUUGCACAAUAAAGAAUUGAUUCCAUUAUUAGAAGAUGGAUAGAAACAUACAUCUAACAAGAAGCCAAUACCCAAAUUAUAUAUGAUAAAACGUGAAAAGGAAAAAACCUUUAUGGAGAAGAAGAGAAACAUUAAUAUCACUUAACACCAUAAGGAAAAUAUAAAGGAAUACUCAGAACUCCAGUCCUUUAAAUCCUAGAAAGAAGAAAAAAUAAAUCCUCAUCAAUUUCCCUUCACCAUUCAUCCCCGCUAAACAGGAUCUCUACUAAGCUUGGGUGCAAGUGUGAUUGUUAUAAAUCAAUGUGUUCACAACUUAGCAUUGUCCUAUAUCAUUCAUCAAACAAUGUUCUUGUAAAACAUAUAUAGUUUCAAAUUGCAAUAAGCUGACGACUCGCAAUGCCCUUUGUGAUGGUUAAACUUAAAACUAAUAAGUUAAGCUUUUGGAAAGAUAAUUUACACUUGAAAGAAUUCAAACAAUCUGGCACAUGCUUCGGUUACCUUGCCACAGAGCUCACAGAAAGUUACUUCAGAUUUUUAUAAUUGUUUGUUACAAUAAAUUUAACCACAUUUAAGAGACCUUCACCAAGGCUAUCAAACUAGUGCUGGCUUUAAUAAACAAUCGCAUAAAAAAUAUUUUAAAAAAAGACGAACCAACAAGAUGUUAAAUCUCUACAAUGUUGAGCUGAAUGAAAGACAUAAGGACUGAUGUAUGUGUUUGCUUCCCGCAAGUAAUUAGAAUAAAACAAAAUUCCUAUUACCCAAUCUCAACUCCAGCAACAAAAAGAAAACACCUUGAGACCAAACUUUAACACUGUUGGUCCUUUUUUCCGUCCUUCGUUCCUUUUCGCCAACCACAAGGGUCAGCUCUGCCCUAAGGAACGAAGAGGAAUUAUUAGAUCAACACCAAUGCACCGAUCAGAUGGUGUAUCUUGGCUUACAAAAGGGACUUCUUCAAUUUCUGAACAAAAUUGAAAGUUGAAUCAGGUUGCCAAUAGUGGAUGGGCCCGAUCAAGGCCCUAUCUGUCAACUUCUUCUUAGUACUGAUCCCUUUUGUUGUGCAGGCGUGCCACUAUUGAGGAUAAAAUCAGCUCAAUAGAUCUGGUGUGGAUAUGAAUGAUUGAUGCUAAUGGAGUUUGCGCCUUAUGUAAGAUAGUUUAUUAUCACAAUCCUUACAAAAUUGGUCUUCUAUUUAUUAUCGGAUUGCAAGACUCAAGACUGAUCAAGAAUUCAACACAACUCUCGACCUGCAGCCUCUGUGUCAAUGUUCCAUAUGGAUUACAAGGCUAAAGGGGUUUCCAGUUCUAUAAGAAUUAGGAUUAACAGUUCUAUAGCAAUAAGGAUACCUCAAGGAGUCACUUGAUGAGCAAGACUCCUUGAAGUGUUGCAUAUAAAUAGAGCAGCUCCCUCUAAGAGCCGACACACACAAACAUCUCAUCAAGUAAUUCACCCCAUCUAGAAUUUGAGAAUAAGGCAGUCGGUUAUCUUAGAGAAGAGUUGUCUCGCAAGUGUUCGAUAAAAGACUUCAAUGGCAGAACAAGGUUAGUGUUCAAGUUAUAAUAGCGUAGAAAGUUUACAUGUGGUAUCAGAGCAUAAGUUAUUUUAUCUUCUACCUAACCAAUUUUGUUGCAGCUUUUAGAACUUGAAAAUUGGAGGAUAAUUAAGUUUUCAAGGUUAAAGAAACUUGACACAGCAACAGUUAAAGUUAACACCUUGCUGUGACAAACAGAAAUUGAUCAAAGUUUUGUAUAGUUCUUGCCAUGCUCUGAGCAAGCCAAAGCAACUCAGACACAACAAGAUCUGUACAUUCAAAGUUUUAUGAUCAAACUUGUGUUGAAAAUAAAGGCAUAAUGAAUGAUUCACUGUCCAAAGAUGAGAAUGAUUUAUCGUGCAAUUAUUUUCAACAAAACAGUAUAAGAGAUGAAACACGUAGGCUAUCAAGGUUGUUCUUCUUUCCAAAGAUGUGGAACCUUUCUUGUACAAGAAGCUUAUGUGAUUUUCAUGUCUUAGUGUUGAUAAACAUGUUUUGAUUUCUUCACCUAAAGGUGAGAAUCGAUCAUCUUUUAAAGUUAUGGGGUUUUCAGUUUUUAAACAUAUAUAUACUAUGUGUUUUUUCAGUUAAUCACAACUCGAUUGAAACUCUCAUUGGCUCCAACUGCACCAAAUGGAGGGAAGAUGUGGAAAUUUCUCUAGGUCUGCUGGACUAUGAGAUGGCUAUUGAAGCAGAUGCUCCUGCAGUACCUGAUGCAGAUGCAUCUGCUGGAGCAAAAGAAAAAUAUGCCAAAUGGGUUAAGGCAAACAAAAUGGCUAUUCUAAUCAUGAGAAGGUCAAUUUCACCAUCUGUCAAGGGAAGCAUUACAUCAUGUGAUAAUGCCAAGAAGUUCAUUGAUUCUAUUGGGGAGAAGUUUCAGGAAUCAGAAAAGGCUGAGAUUGGAACUCUAAUGGGACAGCUUACUGAUACAAAAUACAAUGGGGAAAGAUGUGUGAGAACACACAUACUGAACAUGCUGGAAAUUGGGAACAAACUGAAGGCACUCAAAGUCAAUAUGGAUGAAACUAUGACGGUGCAUUUUUCUAUAAACUCUCUGCCUAGUACUUUCAAGCAUCUUAGAAGCACAUAUGUAGCUCAAAAGGAGAAGUGGACAGUAACUGACCUCAUAAGCAUUUGUGUGCAGGAAGAACAAAAUAUGAAGAAAGAUAAGGCUGAAGAAAAGAUUAAUAUGGUUCAAAACAGCUUCAGAAGGGAUUUUGGAAAAGGCAAAAUCGUUGGAAAGAAAAACAAUGAAGAAAAGGAGACUAAAGGACUGAAACCAGAAGGACUCAAGUGUUACUUCUGCAAGAAGUUUGGUCGUAUGAAGAGGAAUUGUGACAGGUACAAGCGUUGGUUGGAUAAGCAAAAGGCUAAAGGUAAGAAUCAAGUACAUAUUUGUUUUGAGUCUAAUGCAAUUGAGAUUUCUUCAUAUUCAUGGUGGUUAGAUAGUGGUGCAUCAGUUCAUGUGGCUAAUUCCUUGCAGAGGUUCAAAACAAAGAGGCUGCCAAGCAAGGCUAAGAUGAAGGUGUUCGUAGGAAAUGGAGAAAGAGUCAAGGUGGAGUACAUUGGAUUUUCUAGGAUCAAGUUGGAGUCUGGUUUUAUUUUGGAGUUAGUAGAUGUAGUUUAUAUUCCUUCUAUGAAAAGGAAUCUUAUUUCAGUUAGUAAGCUUGUAAUAUCAAACUUACAGUUUGAGUUUGAUGAGUCUGGAUUCUCCAUUUUCAGAAAUAAAGUUCUGAUUGGCAAUGGUUUUCUAAAUGAUGGAAUGUUUCGAUUAAACUACAAGAAACCAAAUCCCAGCACUGGAAAUCUAAGCAUCAAUGUGAUAAGCACUAAAAGAAAAGCAGAAAAAGAAGAGUCUUAUAGACUUUGGCACAAGAGACUAGGACAUGUCUCAGCUGAAAGAAUGAAUUUGCUUAACAAAGAAAAUUUGUUGCCACCAUUUAACCACCAUGACAAAGACAGUGUUUGCAUAGAAUGUGUUAAAGGAAAAUUGACAAAUUUGAGAAAGAAAGGUGCUACAAGAAGUGAAAAAGUGCUGGAAAUCAUACAUACAGAUAUUUGUAGUCCUUUUCCCACUCAAACACAUGAUGGUUUGAAGUAUUUCAUAACAUUCACAGAUGAUUACUCUCGAUAUCGUUAUGUGUACUUAAUAUCUGAAAAAUCCAAUGCACUGGACAUGUUCAAAGUCUAUAAAGCAGAAGUGAAAAACCAGUUGGAUUCAAAAAUCAAAGUAGUAAGGUCGGAUAGAGGAGGAGAAUUUUAUGGUAAAUUUGAUGAGAGAGGAAGGAACCCUGGACCUUUUGCCAACUUUCUACAAGAAGGAGGUAUAGUGGCUCAAUACACUAAUCCAGGCACACCACAACAAAACGGAGUAGCAGAGAGAUGAAAUAGGACCUUGAUUGAGAUGAUUAGGAGCCUAAUGUGCUGCACAAAGCUUCCAAAAUUUCUUUGGGGAGAGGCUUUAAAAACUGCAAAUUAUUUGCUAAACCGAAUUCCUACCAAAAGUGCAGACAAAAUUCCUUAUGAAACAUGGUGCAAUAGAAAGCCUAGUCUCUCACAUCUUAAAAUCUGGGGAAGUAAGGCAGAGGCAAAGUUCUACAAUCCAAUGGAAAUGAAACUAGAUUCCAAGCCAUUGAGCUAUUUUUUCAUUGGAUAUCCGGAUAGAACAAAGGGGUACAGUUCUAUUGUCCCAACAACAGCACAAGAUUCAUGGAAACUCAAAGAGCUAUUUUUAUUGAAGAUGAUAUUGAAUCAGACACUGAGGAAAACUUUGAUUUUGAUGAAAUUUUGGAAAACAAGGAACCUGCUGAAAAGGAAAAUAUGCUGAGAGAUAUAACCAUCUUACCAUUCACUUAUUUGAAUGACAAGCAAGUCUCACCAAAUCAUGAUCAAACAACUGAAGUUCCACAAAUUGCACUAGAAGACAUGCAGAUAGAGCAACAAGAACCUCAGCCUCACAACUUAGAAUUGAGAAGAUCACUAAGAACUAAGAGACCUGCACUGUCCAAUGAUUUUUUCGUAUACUUGCAAGAGUCAAAACAUGACAUCAAUACCACAGAAGAUCCUCUAUCUUAUAAGCAGGCCAUUCAAAGUGACAACUGUGAUAAGUGGAUAGAAGCAAUGGAGUCUGAACUCCAGUCAAUGAGCAAGAACGGUGUAUGGAAACUUGUUGAUUUACCUCAAGGAUGUAAACCAAUAGGAUGCAAGUGGGUUUACAAGACCAAAAGAAACUCAAAGGGACAAAUAGACAGAUACAAGGCACGACUAGUAGUAAAAAGGUUCACACAACAAGAAGGAGUAGAUUACAAUGAGACUUUCUCACCUGUGUCAACCAAAGAUUCCUUAAGGGUUAUAAUGGCAUUAGUGGCACAUUUUGAUCUUCACCUUCAUCAAAUGGAUGUUCAAACUACAUUUUUGAAUGGAAACCUUAUUGAAGAAAUCUACAUGAAACAACUGGAUGGUUUCAUUCAAAAAGGGGAAGAAGAUUUGGUUUGCAGGUUACAAAAUCAAUAUACGGAUUAAAACAGGCUUUUAGGCAGUGGUACUUUAAGUUUGAUGAAGUGGUGAAGUCUCAAGGUUUCAUUGACAAUCCUUUAGAUGAGUGUAUUUACCAAAACUUUCAAGGGAGACAUUACAUUUUCAUGCUGUUGUAUGUUGAUGACAUUCUCUUAGCAAGCAGUAAUCUGUCACUAUUACAUGACACUAAGAGAAUGCUAUCAAACCAUUUUCAGGUGACUGAUUUGGGAGAAGCAAACUAUGUAUUAGGAAUUGAAAUAAGCCGAGAUAGAGAAAGGGGGUUACUUAGUCUAUCACAUAAGGGAUAUAUAGAAAGGAUACUGAAAAGGUUCAACAUGAAAAACUGCACAGGUUGUGAUGUUCCAUUCUCGAAGGGUGAUAAAUUGAGCAGUGAACAAUCUUCCAAAACUGAGCAAGAGAAGUUGGAGAUGCAGGACAAGCCCUAUGCCUCACUUGUUGGAAGUUUGAUGUAUGCUCAAGUUUGCACAAGGCCAGACCUUGCUUUCAGCAUUAGUGUUCUUGGAAGAUUUCAAUCCAAUCCAGGUCAGGCACAUUGGAUAGCAGGCAAGAAAGUUUUGAGGUAUUUGCAAAGAACUAAGAAUAUAAGCUAAUCUAUCGAAGAGUUGAAGAACUGAAACUAGAAGGAUAUGCAUAUGCAGAUUUUGCUGGCUGUGUUUGGACACACAAAAAAGUACAUCAGGUGUGGUGUUUUUGUUUGCAGGAGGAGCAGUGGCUUGGAGAAGUGUCAAACAACAAUACAUAUCAACCUCAACCAUGCAGGCUGAGUUUUUAGCAAUUUAUGAAGCGACCUCAAUAGCUAUGUGGCUUAAAAAUUUUAUGUCAAUGUUAUAAGUCGUGGAUUCUAUACAAAGGCCAAUCCAAUUGUGGAAUGACAACAGUGCUGCAGUUUAUUUUGCAAAAGGAAAUAAGAGGUCAGGAGGAUUAAGACACCUGCAGUUAAAGUUUUUAUCAACCAAGGAAAAGAUCCGAGAUGGUUAUACAGCCUUAGAUCAUAUUGGAACAGAUUUCAAUAUUGCAGAUCCCCUGAACAAAGACUUGCCUAAUCAUGUUUUUCAUAGGCAUGUUAAAAGUAUGGGUUUACAUAUCAGUUUUGAUGCUUGAAGUCUGUGGGAGUCUGUGGGAGCCAGAUUUAGUUUUAUUUUUCUUUUAGCUAGUUUUAAUCGAGACUGUUUUACAGUUUAUUUAAUAAUAAUUUUUUAUGAAUGUUUUGGCAUGUGGAUGAAGGAAUAAUUUGCAAAAUUUUGCUAGCAUAUAUGUUUUGCAUUUUCGUAUCCAUGAAGGAGCCAUGCAAGUUUAUUAAGACCUUGGUAGUCUUGUAAGGGUGAGCUAAGCUUUGUUUUGAUCAUUAAGUUUUCUAAGGUAGAUCACAACAUUGUUUUUUAUACUAAUUCAGUUGGCAGUCGCAUGUGUUGAUGUAUAUUUGUAUGUGUGGUUGUAAAAGACUUGAGUUUGGUUGCUCAAUGUUCUUUGACAGUUCCAUAUGAGUUUAUAUCAAUGACAGUGGCUUGGUAAGAAACUGAGAAGGUUGAGUUCUAAAUUGACCAUUAAGAGAUUGCUCUUGAGUCACAAUGAAUAAUUGACCAAGUGGGAGAAUGUAAGAUAGUUUAUUAUCACAAUCCUUACAGAAUUGGUCUUCUAUUCAUUAUCAGAUUGCAAGACUCAAGACUGAUCAAGAAUUCAACACAACUCUCCACCUGCAACCUCUGUGUCAAUGUUCCAUAUGGAUUACAAGGCUAAAGGGGUUUCCAGUUCUAUAAGAAUUAGGAUUAACAGUUCUAUAGCAAUAAGGAUACCUCAAGGAGUCUCUUGAUGGGCAAGACUCCUUGAAGUGUUGCAUAUAAAUAGAGCAACUCCCUCUAAGAGCCGACAUACACAAACAUCUCAUCAAGUAAUUCACCCCAUCUGGAAUUUGAGAAUAAGGCAUUCGGUUAUCUUAGAGAAGAGUUGUCUCCCAAGUGUUCGAUAAAAGACUUCAAUGGCAGAACAAGGGUAGUGUUCAAGUUAUAAUAGCUUAGAAAGUUUACACCUUAUUUAUGGACUUCCCACCAAGCCAUUGUGCUACAAGGGGGUACUGGCCUAGAUAGAUUCUUUUCUAUGCCUCAAUUAAGAGGACUUCAAUAUUAUUUCCUCCAUGAAUAUUCUUGACAAGUGUGAGAAGCACCUGAACAGGCAACAUAGCAAGACUAAGUUUGUGGUCAACAACAAACCCUGCCUGGGUUUUAAUAACCUGUUUCAAUAUUUUCUCGUUUUCAACUAAAUCAAUAGUUAGUUCAAGCCCACUGGUGAAAUUUCGGGCCCAACUUAACUUUGUAUCCCUUUCUUUUACUAUUCCUUUCGGGUCCCUAUUCCCUUUCGGGCCCGAAUACAAAUCUUCCUAGACUGUUUGAAGGGUAAAAAAGGCGGGAAUCCAAUUUUAUGUAUUAAAAUGAUCCAUGAUUCGUUCUUCAGAUAAUCAAGUGAAUUUUAUCUAUAUAGAUUCUUCAGCAACUUAUGUUUACUUUGAACCUUAAACUAAAUAACAAAAGAUUCUUUAAUUAAUCCACUAAUUAUCCUCAAAUCUGAAUUACAGAGUAAAGGAAAAGGUACUGGAGAUUUCUCAAUCCAGCUCAAACGAUUACAUGAAUUGAAACAAGAAGACGUCUUAAAAGAAAAAUUAUACCAUGGAUAUGGCAGAGCUACGAGAGAUAAGCGCAGGAGUUGUCGACUGGUUAUCUAAAGAAAAAGUAGGCAGAUUGAUAUCUUGAGAGUUUUCAAGUGUUGUUUUGAGACGUUGCGUCUAGUUUUUCAAGAGAAAGUCCCCUUCUUCUGAAGUAGACCUUCAUGAUUUAUAGAGAUAGAGGAACUUGUAAUGAUUGGAAUUAAUUACAGAGUAAAGGAAAAGGUACUGGAGAUUUCUCAAUCCAGCUCAAACGAUUACAUGAAUUGAAACAAGAAGACGUCUUAAAAGAAAAAUUAUACCAUGGAUAUGGCAGAGCUACGAGAGAUAAGCGCAGGAGUUGUCGACUGGUUAUCUAAAGAAAAAGUAGGCAGAUUGAUAUCUUGAGAGUUUUCAAGUGUUGUUUUGAGACGUUGCGUCUAGUUUUUCAAGAGAAAGUCCCCUUCUUCUGAAGUAGACCUUCAUGAUUUAUAGAGAUAGAGGAACUUGUAAUGAUUGGAAUUACGACAAGACCUUUGGUUUGUGGUUCAAGGUCAGCUGCUAGUUUGCUGAUCUUAACCAGUUCGUAGAGGGAAUGACGGAGGAAUCCUGGCAAGAACCGUCGGUUUCCUUUGGGGAACUCUCUUGAUUUGACUUCUUUGUACUUGAAAACCUAGCUGGCAAUUUCGAUCUUUUCUGGUUUUGGGGGCUUCAGCACGACUUAUUUUCUUGCUGGAGGAGAAGGAGGUCAAGUCGUCAUUAAAUGUGAUAAUCCCCUUCGGUCUCCCUUGUGGGGUUCAUAAAACACGCUUACCAAUCCUUUAACUUGUAGCGCAAGAUAAAGGUUUGACUCCCAUGACUUGGGCCUUUUGAAUAUUAUGAGAGGCCCAGUUGGGGAAAGGAUGACCUUUAAAAAAGACAAAUGCUGGUGGGCCUGGUUUUAUCUUUAAAAAUUCUUUUUAAACCUUGAGACCAUUGUUGGCCCGUUUACCAAAAUUGAGUACAAACAAAUACCAAAAACGCAAAAUCAAAAUCACAACUUGCCAAGAGAAAAGAGAAAGGAUAUAGAGGAGAGAAGGAGGAAGCUCACCAGAAGAAAGAGAGCAGAGUGAAAAUCAAAGAAUGGGAGCUGAAGGUUUAGACAGGGUUUAGAGAUGAAGCAUUUUCGUCUCAGAGCGAACGAUGGCAUAGGAAAGCUUCACUGUCGGAUGGAGUGAACGGCUAAGAUUAAAAAUUGAUCUUAGCCCAUUUUACUAUAACUUGACCCAUUUUGUAUCCACGUCUGUGUUAAGCAUCGGUAAAUUUUUUUUAAUAAAAAUAGGCUUAUUAUCACAAAACGUCCCUAAAAUUUACGAAACUAUCAGAUUGCAUCCUUAAUUUUUUUUUUUUUGGUCACUCGUGGUCCUCAAGGUUAGUAUGUGCGAUCACAAAUGGUCCCUGCCGUUAAGUUAGUAUUUAUAAAACUAUCAUAUUUAUGAGUCAUAUGUCACGUGUCAUUUGCAUGAGACCCAGAACUUAGAUGAGUCGACUUUAACUAAUCAAGUUGUCAAACUUUGAAUUAUUAACCACCAAAAUUAUGGUUUCUACAACUCACAAGUGCCAUUAAAUUUCAAUUUAUAAUAAAUUUGGAUAUGUUAACGGCGGAUCUACACUCACUCCAGCCCAGUGUUGAUUUUUUUUUGUUUUUUUUUUUUUUUGUUUUUUUUGUUUUUUUUGUUUUUGGUAGUCUUGGUGGUUUAAGUCAAAUAUAGGUAAAGUAAAAUAAGUCCAGCUCUCUAUGUAGAAAUAAGCCCACUCUUGAAGCAUAUAGGAAAUGGUAAACAUGCAAUUCAUAAUCUAUAUAAAUUUUAUUAGAAGCAAACAUCAAAAAAAAUAUUAUAGCCAUCUAAAACGCCAUAUUUGAACCUUCAAAGCCUAGAAGAAAUAGUUCUUCCCCUCUAAAAAAUUGUACCAGUCUAUCUUCAGUGGGUUCUUCAAUCUUGGUAAGUUUUUCUCUUUUUUUUUAGUUCAAUUUCCAAUUUUAAUUAUUGUUGUUAAGUUUUUAUAAUUUAGGGUUUGGGUGAAAACUUUUGGGGAUUGUUAUAUAUGUUUUAUUUUUGCAACUUGAAUUAUUAAUUAGUAUAUAUGAUUUUUGGUGUCUAGUAUUUCUUGUUAGGAUAUCUUGUCACAUGAUGAUAAUAGACCAACAAAGAGAGGAAAAACUAUUUAUUCAUUCUUCAAAAAAAUUGGUAACGAUAAUAAGGAUACAAUUUAUGCAUAUGAUGUUGAUAGUUCAAUUCCUGAGAAACUUACUCAACUCUGAUCUCAAGUAUUUGAACAAUGUGUUUGAUUUGAUAUUUAUUUAUAUAUUUUGUCUUCUUUGUGUUAUAUUUGCUCAUAAUUUGGCAUUGUUUGAUUUAUAAAAUUUUAUUUACAUUUUUGUUUCAAGAGAAAAAAAAGCUUAUAAUAUAUCUCUUGUAAAAAAUAAAAUUUAGCGUACUUGUAAAAAAAUUCAUGAGUCCACCAUUGGCUAAUAACAUGAUACAAUUGAUCCAAACAAAACAAAAGCAAAAAACAAAAACAAAAACAAAAACAUGAUACAAGAGCAGAUUCUGAUGGGCAAUUACAUCAGUAUUGCCAGCUCAGCAUCUAAUACAGAACGAAAUUCUCUUAUUUUAUUUUCCACAAAAUUAUUAUAAUUAUAGAAUCAAAGAAAAAACACUAUGUUUUAUUAAUGUAUGUAUCUUAAUUUGGUGUGUUUUUAUGCAUAUGCAUUUGGGGACGAGUUGAAGAUGAAGAUCAGGCAGCAACAGCUAUGAAAACUCCAACAAUGGCGGCCAUGAAGACUUGGUAUCCAGAAAAGAUGAAACCACGAACAGCAGAGGACGGAGCUGGUGCAGGCGGACCCUCCAUAACAGUGAUGUUAAGUUUCUGGCCCAAAGCACAGUGGUUGCUAGUAGAACAAAUGUACCAUUUAUUUCCAGUAGUCUUUAGCUCUAUUUUGUCGUUUCCAGAGGUAAGUGGUGGUUGAUCAUUUGUUGUUGGCUUAACACAUUCCUUGAACCCAGUUCCAUUCACCUUGAACACGUUGUGUGGUGGGGACGGGUAGUUGAACACUGCAUGCAUGCAUAAUAUAUGUUCAUAAAUUAAUUAAUAUUCAUAGAUAUAUGUAGUUUUGAAAGAAAAAAGGAACUGAUCACAUCAAUUCUGGUUUUUGUAAGUUAAUUAUUAAUUACGCUAAGAGUAAUGUUUGUUUUCUAAACAAAUGCUUAGUUUCGACCACUCGUUUUUACAAAACUAAAUUGUUGAAUGAUCUAAAUUCACGAUUUAGCAAUAUAAGCAUCUUAAAACAUCUUCUAUAUUAUGAUAGAAGUAUAAUCGGAAUGUAUAUAUUACCUAGUGUAUCACCAACAUGAAAUACUUUGUCUUUGGCCCAAGCUUGGUAGUCAAAAUUAGGUUUCCAGCCGUUAGCAUCUCCAACGAUGAACUCCGUUGCCAUGGCAAUUGUAGGAAGAAGAAUCACAACCAUGGUAAUUAGGGCGACAAUCUUAAUCGAAGCCAUUGGAGCUAAUUUGAUAUACCCCUUAAUUAUUAGGAAUUUUUUGUGUUAACUCUCUCAGUAGGUAUACUGUUUUGUAUAUGUUCUGGGAAUGUUUGGUCUAUUUAUACAUUUUCUCCUGUUGAAUAAUUCAUUGAAAACCCCGAAUGAAAGACAAAGCUUGAAGACUGCCUUUGGUUGGCUUACCACACUAUGUUGUAAAUAAAAUAAUAUGGUCGGCUUUAAUAUGCUUUCCAACUACUAAAUUUAGAGAAUGAACGGGGAAAAUUAUGUUUUGGUUUGUAAAGAGUUACGACUUAGAGUAACAUAAAUCAUAAAUUGAAGUAAAUAUGUACUAUUUCAUAACCUAAAGUUUAUGUACUAUUUCAAUUUCCAUUAUAUAAAUAUAUAUAUUGCUAAAAAUAUGUCUGCAAAUUGCAAUGUUCUAUCUUUUUGCUUUAUAUAUAUAGAUAUAUAGCCUUUUUCUAUUGAGAUAUCCUUAAAAUAAUUUUAUAAUAUAUAAAUAUUUGAAUAUAGUCGGCCUAUUAUUUUUGCUCACCACUUUAACCUAAGGUGUACCCUCACCACUCUUCCCAAAAGGUGACACAUGUCCAUGAGUUUACCUAUAGUUAAUUUUUACUUUUUAUUAUGUUUGAUGACAUUAUUAUGAGAGAGAAACAAUGCUUUAAUAAGAUUUUUCCCGAUUUACCAUUAUUCUAUUAAUUAACUCAACAAACUUUCCACUUUUAUAUUAAUUACCAAUUAAGCUAAUAACAAUCCGAAUAAUUAACAACAGCAGAACAGUCAUUACUUAAAUAAAUAAAAAUUAACAGUCUUCCACUUCCCAUGAAUCUGUUGGCAUCCCAAUCUUAACGAAGGACAUGAAUUGUUAAAUUCGAAUUUGGCCUUGAUACUCAGAAAACUAAAUAAAACAAAGCAAAUUUAUAAUUUUAAAAAAAAAACAAUACAUAGUACUAAAAACAACAAGUAACAACAUAGACGAUACCUAUCUUUUGCUUGAACAAAGGAAAGAAGUCUAUUGAGCAGAGUUCACAUAUAAGCACCCAAAUUGUGGAUAAUCAAGAAACUAGAAAUUCUCAAUUCAAUGGACUUCUAUGUUUUUUUUUGGAAUAGUAACGUAUGCCUUUUCAGUUUUCAUUGUUUUGAUUUAUUUUUUAAAUUAAAUUAAUCAAGAAAAGUGGAAAGUUCGUUGGGUUAAUUAAUAGAAUAAGGCUAAAUUAGGAAAAAUCUUAUUAAAUCAUCGUUUCUCUCUCAUAAUAAUGUCAUCAAACAAAUAAAAAAUAAAGAGUUAACUAUAGUUAAAUCCAUGGACAUGUGUCACCUUUUGGGAAGGGUGGUGAGGAUACACCUUGAGUUAAAGUGGUGAGCAAAAAUGCUCCCUAUUUUAUAUAGUAAAAGUCCUUUUUCAAAUUGUUUUUUUUUUUUUUGAAACCUCAAAGUUUUUUUUUGUUUUUUUUUAUGCGGGAAGUUUAUUAUAAGUUGGUUUCUAUAAUGUAUCAACUUUUUCCUUUUUUUUAAUUGAUAUUUCACUCUGUAGCUCUAUAGGGUAAUUAUCACUAGAUUCAAAGAUAAAUUACACACCUUGGAUAUUCUGGAUUUUAUUAUAUGCUUCUUUGGAAAUAUAAAUCUUGCCGGCUUGGCUGUUUUUGGACAUGUCAAAGCAUAUACACAUAUUUUUGUUUUCUUUUAGUUUUUGUUUUCCACAAUGAGAAAUGAUCUGAUGGUGUUUGGGCUAAGUUCAUGGCUCCAAAGGAAAUCAAUAAUUAAAUAAUUAAAUACCCAAUAAAGGGUGAAGGGCCGCAACGCGGGAGUGGGUACAAAUUAUUAAAAUAUGAAUAUGAUUUGAAUAAUUUUGGUUAGUUGUAUUCUUCUCUAUAUGGAGGUAUAUAUAAGAGUUCAUAAGAGUGCUUUACAAAGAAAUAUGUACAGUAAUUAAUUAGGAGAAUAUCUCUUAAUUAUAUAAGGAUGUGUCAACUAUAUGAAACAAGGAAGUAAAGUACCUAAUUAACUUAGGAAAUAAAUCUCAUUGAUUUAGUAGGUUAACUCAUGUCAACACAAAUCUGAAAGAAUUUAUCUCCAUUUUUUACAUGGGUUUAGCUUGAAAGUACAAGGCAGAGCAAUAAACGCUAUUCAGAGGUUAUGUCUAAAACUCAACCAAAUCUCACGCAAAUUGCUAGAUGUUUUACUUUACUUUCAUCAUUUCGACGACAAUCUAGCUUUGCUUAAUUUCAGCAAGGAUUGAUGGGUAGCUACUCCCUAAUAGCACAACUAUGCCUUUUGUUGGAGAAAUUAUUCAGUGAUAUGGUACUCCUUAAUUUCCCCAUAAUGCUUUUCAAUCUGGCAUUGCUUAUACCUUUUGGCCUUACACAAGAGGGAUUUUGUACUUGCGUCUCAUCAAAUGUGGUUGCAUUACAUCAAGACUAUCAUGAAUUUUUGCAUUAACUUCUCCCUUUGACUUUAUCAUUUCUUUUUCAAUCAAUCCUGCUAUCUCUCUCAAUUUCUGCAGAGCAAUUCUAGUAGUAUUUUCUUUCUUUGAUGCCUUAGUCAAUACAUCAUAAGUUGUUCGCAUCAAAGUAUUUCGCCGCAAUGUGACCGAGGAUUUACCCUUUAUUUAUAAUAAUUCAUCAUGCUCACUUGCCUCCAAUCUUUUCUUUGCAUAUUUUGUCCAUCGCUUCAAUAUAUAUUGUUUUGGUAUUUGACUCCAACAUUUCACAUUUUGUACCCUUAGAGUGUGACGACACAAUAAACCCAUAGACUCGUACAUUUUGCAGCUACAUGAAAUACUGCAAUUUAAUAAAUUUAGUUGGACAAUGUACACUCUUUUAUAACCUUCUGCAUUAAGUUCAAAUGAGUGUAUUGUACCAUCACUUCCAACUUCAUGCAUCAUCACUCCCAGACUAUCUACAAACUCCUUUUCAAAUAAUUUGAAUAUUUUUCUUGUGUAGACAGUAGUAGCAUGAUUCAGAAGGCCACUGUUUUUGGCAAUUCUAGAAGGGAGUUCUUGAUUGCAACGAAAAGAUUCUUCUAAUUCACUUGAAUGCAUUUUUUCUGCUUGUUUAUCAUAGUGAUGUACAAAUUGAGCAAGACACAUUGUCUUAGUGGACAUCUAAUAAAAAACAUUAUUUGUGCUCUCACUUCUUUGUGAAGAUUUUAUCUUACCAGUGAAAAUAUGUUGGCUAAAUACUGGACACCAUUUCGCACGAAGACUAUACAAUGUCUUCAACCACAAGUUGCCUAUAAGAUUGAAUUUUGCCAAUAUAUGAUCCUAAGUAGACUGAAAUUCCAAUUCUGUCUCACAAUAUCCUUGAAGACACUUGUUAAACAUAUGGUUAACAUGAUUCGCAUAAUAACUUCCCAAAUUUCUUGCUGCAUUUUGACAUAUUACGAGCAUAAACGAUGACAUACCCCAGGAAAAACUUUUUCAAUGCCAUUUGCCAUUGCCUGACAUUGAUCAGUAAAAAUAGUCUUCGGUUUUCGACCUCCCAUUGAUUCUAAAAAUGUCUCAAAUAACCAAAUAAAUGAAUCAGUUUUCUCAUCCAAUAAAAAAGAACAACCGAAUAGUACGUUUUUCCAAUGGUGGUUGAUGCCAACAAAAGGAGCACAUAUCAUGUUAUACCUAUUAGUUCGAUAUGUAGUAUCAAAUACUACCACAUCCCCAAAACAAUCAUAGUCAAUUCGUGACCUUCCAUCUUUCCAAAAGAAUUUUGUCAUUUGGUUUUCUUGAUCCACUUGCACUAUGUAAAAGAACAUAGGAUCUUCAGCUUGUUUGCGCUUGAAAAGGUUUAUCAAGCUUUGAGCAUCACCUGCUUCAAUCAUGACCAUUUUCUCCUUAUUGACAACAUUGUAGCAAUCUCUUUUUGUAAAACCAACAUUUUGAGACCCACCAACUUCUUUUGAUAAAUAAGAGUAUGUAUUUGUGGUCCUUAUUCCUACAUCCACCAUAGUUUUAAUCACACCCAAAAUAAGUAAAUUGCCGCAAAACUUGUUUUUGUAUUAUAUCUCUUUUGUCCCCUCCGAACACUAAAUCCAAUUCUCGUAGCAUAACUGUUGUAGGGAUUAUAAGCUUCCUCUUCAGUGGACACAACUUUUCCAAGAAAAUCUUCUUCAAAACUUUCCAUACGAUUGACGAUCAUUGGAUUUUCUUCUUCACUUUCACUAUCAAUAAUUACUUGCACACGCCACAACAUCAUUUUAAAAACAAAACAAACGAAAAUUAAGCGUAUAAUUGUUGAUAAAAUACUUAUUAACAAGUACAUCUGUGUGCUACUUGUUGAUGCUCUUUUUGGGAGGUCAACUUAGAUAGAGGUGGAAUGGUGGAUGAUGGGUAAAGGUGAGGACCUUCAGCAUGUGUGUGAAUAUUUGGGCAAGCGAUAAAUAUACAGAAGACGAGAUAUACGUGGUUCACCCUUAAUGAAUGGGCUACGUCCACGAAGAAGGAUGUUCUCAUUAUGAUAUCAUUUGUUAACAUUUUGUACAAGGGGUUGGACCCAAAUAUAAAGAUAACAAGUGAGAAGCCCAACCCAGUGAUGGGAUCCAGAAGAGAGAGUCCCUUUCUCGAGGAAGAGUAGUCUUCUUUUAUAGACGAGGAGGAGUCUCCAUUUCUUGUAGUUUUCCGAUGUGGGACUCCUCAUGCUUUGCUUAGAGUUGUGACUUGUGGUAAUGCUUAUUUGGAUAAGGUGAUGACCUCUCAAAGCAUGGCACAUGGAUGAUCUAGCCUAGCUAGUUGCUCGGUCAGUUACGGUACUAACAGUAGUCCCCCCAAGUUCACGAGUAAGAAUGUACUUCUUCAUUGGGGACUUGUAAUUUUAAGUGCACUAGCUGAGCAACACCACAAUUCGUCUUCCAAGCUGUAUAAUGCACUACCCAUAGUCCCCCAAGUCCCUGAGUAAGAAGGACAUUUGGAAGGGAGAGAACUUGGCAAGAGGGUGCCGAAGGUGACACAAAGCUUGCAUGUUUGCAAGGCGAUGGGCUUAGGCACUGGGGUGCCGAAGGCAAAGGGAUGCCGAAGAUGACACAAAGCUUAUAUGUUGCAAGGCAAUGUGACUAGGCAUGAGGGUACCGAAGACAUAAGAAUUGCAUGUCGCAAGGAGAUAGGCCUAGGCAAGAGGGUGCUGAAGGUGACACAAAGCUUGCAUGUUUGCAAGGCGAUGUGCUUAGGCACAGGGGUGUCAAAGGCAAAGGGGAUGCCAAAGGUGACACAAAGCUUGCAUGUUUGCAUGAGGUUGAGGGGGGAUGAUAGGAUAUAAAAGCAUUUGUACCUAUUAUAAGAUGACAAGUGUUAUGUCGUGAUUUGUUGAGUUAGUUAGAUUGCUUAGUCGAGAAUAUUACAAUGUAACAAUACAUAAGAAUCGUGUAGGCUGGUAAUUGAUUGAUUUAGCUAGAAACAGAAACAGAAAACAAAAUCUUUUUUUCUUCAAUUCUCUCAUAUUCUUCUCAUUCUCUUUAAUGUUUUCAGUAGUAUGGUAUGGUAUUGUAAUAGUAUAUCAAAUGUGAAAGAGGAGUGUCCUUUUAUAAGCAUCUAAGAACAUGUAACCUCCACCACAUUAAACUAGAAAAUUAAGGCAUUCAAUAUAGAUAAAAUUUGAAAAUUAAAUAUAUAACCCCCACAAUAAAUAAACUAAAACAUCCAAAAUAAUAAAACAAAUCAACUGUAAAAAAUUUAAAACUUUUUUAAAAUUCCAACAGUAGUGUUCAAACCACUCUCUUGCACACUAUAGAAAAAACCCUAGCCGCUCUUUCUCUAAGUCUCAAAGGAAAAUUCCAUAGAGGGGGAGGAGGAAGAAGCGUCAUUGCCCCUCCUCUAUUCUCAUCUUUUCCUCUUGGGUUAGUGAAUAAGUCCACUAGGACGUUGUUUGUGCAAAUAUUCUCAUAGGAGAAUAUCUGCUUGAAGAUCCUUUACCCUUUGAACUUCUUUCUCUCUCUUCCUUGGUUCCUAUAAAAAAAGACUAGUGUAAAUAGACCACACCCAGGGGGUUGUUAGGCAAAGGCCUUCCGAUGCCUAAGUUAGGUCGAUUGUAUCUAUGAGAAACAAUAGCUAAAAAAUGGUACAGAGAUUUCUCUAUGGUGAGAAUCGGGUGGCCGGAGCCAUGUGGAGAGGCAAAUAUGAAAGAGUCGGCGACUAGGGAUGCCGUCGGCUAGGAGAGAGAGAUAUGGAGAAUUUCAGGUGUGCGUAGGGCUUUUACACUAGGUUUAGGAUUGGAAAAGAAUUACCUUAAGUGUUGAAUGAAGCCAUAUAUUUAUAGGGCUCUAGGCAUCUAGGGCUUUUCAAAGAAUAAACUCUUAUCUGGAAGGAGUUUAUUCUUUCCCCAAAUUGUAGAGAUUGAGUCCAUUAGGGAUUUGAUUGAGAUCAAAUCUCCUAAUUUGAUGAUGAUAUCUCCAAAUUAGGAUAAUAUCUAAAUGGGUGAUAUGAUCUUUUUAAAUAAAGAUAAUAUCCCUAUUUUUAGUAUCAAUUAAUUGCCAAAUAAAUGGGUUUAGUUAAUUAACCUAGGUGAUAUUCUUCUUGUCCAUGUGGCAUCUCGUGAUUGGAAGCCGAAUUAUUUGCUCCCACGGGCGUUUUGAAUCAGAAGUCCUUUGUGGUGAUUUCUUCUUCGGUAGGGUUGUUGUUUUCAUUUAUUUGUUCUCUCUUAUGCGCAUGUAGAUUACUAGAAAUCAUAUUUUCUCCCAAUCUGUUACGGAAGCGAUGGAGGGUGUCGCCACUAUGGCACUUCUUCUAGUGGUGGUUCUAGGAUUCAUUUAGACUCAUGAGUUGCUUUAGGGUUUCAGUUAUAUUGGCUUUGUGGGCUUAUGGUUCAUUGUGGUAAUGUGGGCUAGUAGUUUUAUUGCGACUUUUGUCCGCUUUAGUUUGCCCUCUUUGAAUUAGGACUUUAGAUGUGAUGUUGAUGUUUUUGAUUGUUUUGUUGAAGUUUAUCUAAUGAAGUUUCUCUUUGAUAAUUAAAAAUAAAAAUCACUCUCUUUAUGGCCCUUAAGGGCAAAAUUGUACUUUCAGAAUUAAAUUUACGAGGCUCACAAAAAUGGCCAAACUCAUCCACCUAAAACUUACAUAAAACGAAAGCUACUUGAGCAGGCCCAAAAUUCAAAUAGGGUCUUUAGCAUAUUUGGAUUUCAAUUUCUUUUUUCUUUUUUGUUUUUUUUUCAAGAAAAAGAACUUCAUAAUCUGAUUCAAUCUCCGGGCCAACCUAUGAACAAUGUUGUGCCUCGUCUAGUCGGUCUCCUUAAUCAUCAGUACUGAAAAGGCCCUAGCAUUACCAUUGGAAAAUCUUCCAUUUAUUAAACACGAAUGUGUAUAUUAGCAUCUUCAGUUAAGGUAUUAAACAACCAUACUAGUGGUACAAAGUCCCAAUAAAAACUACCACAUGCCCUACAUGCAAAAGAUGCAACUUUGUGAGCAGCUUUGUUACAAGUUAGAACUACGAGGUGCAUAUUACUUCCUAAAAUUCUCUCGAAUCGCAGCCUGAAUGUCGAAAAGAAUACUAUCCACCUCCACAUCCACCGUCCUCUCCCCCUUCACCGUAUGAAUGGCAACUUGGGAAUCAAACUCAACCACACUAGAGAAACCUCCGUGUUGGCAAGCUAAUAGAACUGCACGUAUGGCAUCCAUCUCAGCCACGACAAACCUCCUUGUUACUUUGCGGAUAUCAAUUUCUUUACCUAAACGUGGGUUUUCGGGUUAACAAAUCUGAAUGCUACUUUUGCCAUUUAGUAGCAUUUGUAGUAGUUCAUUGUUUGACUUUUCAGUUGGCAACUUGGCACAUAAACUAAAAUGUGAAACUGUAUCAACCAAUUUUUCUAUUGCCCACAACCCAAGUGGAAAUGCUAAAAUGUAACCUAUUUCUAGGGCUCUGUACGGUUCAAAGGAAAUCGGUUGGAAGUAAAAUAUAAUUUGGAAAUAAGUGCAUCUUUAUGAACGCAAUUUUUUUGUUGCAGGCACGAUGAGGGGAUUGAUAUAAAAAUGAGGAAUAGGCUUGGAAACAUGGACACCACACAACUUGGUAAUGAGAUUUCUUCUUUUAUCAUCAUGUACACCAAUCAGUUUGGUGCCCUUAGAAAUGACAAGAGGCGGGGCCUCAAAAAUACAAAAUAUCAAAAGGAAAAAAACAAACAAAAAAGAAGAUAAAAUGCUCUCAAAAGCGCAUUAAAAGCCUACUAGAUAUUUCAACACACAGUUAUUUGAACCAAUAAAACAUGAUUAAAGAACCGUUUCAAGUUCCUGUAAUGCAAUAGAAUUGAAGCUUCCUUUCUCAAAUCAUUCACUUGGCACUGGCGAGCUGGGUGCGGAGGAGCUUGGCAGCAGCAACCAGGUUACUGAGGGCUGGCUUCACUUCAGUGUACUUGCGAGUCUUGAGACCACAAUCAGGGUUAACCCACAAGAUGUUUGUCUCG